AACAUAACUCACUUGUGAUCCUAAGGGUUAGCAGGUUUAGUUCAUGUAAAUUCUCAUAGAUAUUGUGCUAUAAAGGAAACAAGUGCACUUUCAUUAGAUAUUCUAAUAAAUCAAAGGUUGUGUGAUGCUUAGUGAACAACUCAAUGGGAGUAUAAUUGAAAUUAAGUUAUAUGAAUAUAAUUUCUUAUAGGAUGAUAUUUUGAGUAAAGGAGCAUUGAAUAGGAGUCUCAAUUUAUUUGAGGCAACUAAACCAAAGGAAAAUACUAUGAUAUCUCAUAUCGAAUAAGGGAAAAAGUUCUUGACAUCAUAUAUAUAUAUAUAUAUAUAUGAGCUUCUCUUAAUUAUUUAGACACAUUUUAAUGUUAUGAGGGCUCUUUGAGCCUAAAGUCGAUAGUAUAUAUUUACACAGUUGGGAGUGAGUUGUUACAAAUGGUAUCAAAGUGUAUCCUCAACCAUGGUAUGAGAGUUUGUUUGUUUGGUCCUGUAAUCAUAUGGGACACAAAUGAGGACUUUAUGUCUUCAUGGGGGUGAUUAUGAUAUGCUACAUUGAAUAGGGAAAAAAGUUCUUAGAAUUAUAUAUGUAAGAGCUCUUCUUAGCCAUGAAAACGUGUUUUAAAUCUCUGAGGUCCCUUUGAGUUCAGAGUAAACAAUAUCUACUUGAUUGGGAGUGAGUUGUUAUAGAUGUUAAAGAUCUUGCUAAGGAUAUGAGUGACUCGACAAGAUAGUAACUUUGAGUAGUAACUUGCCCCUACUAGAUUAUGCCACUAAGUGUGAUUUUACCAUUACAUAUUAAUUCACUAGAUUUAGAUGUGUGUGGGGAAAAACUUGGAACUAUCUCAUCAUUGUAAUUGUGGGCAUUAAGGUGAAGCUUUCAUGUUUGCAUCAUAAGAUCAUGAUGUUAGGAUAGAUUCUUUAAAAGCAUGAUAUGAUGUAACCAUAAAUGGAGUUCAUUAAUACUUACAUUAUGACUUCAAUUUUCUAUUUACUAUCCUAUUUAUGAAUUAUGUAUGUUAAGCAUUCAAACCUACAUCACUUGCAUGUACAUGACUUGAGUGAAUUAGGAGUUACAUGGAAAAUCUAAGUCAUAGAUUCCUUGCAAGUUAAUGACUCAUUCACAACUGGUUCAUGGACUUCAAUAAUCCAUUUGAGGGAUGACUUGCCCUAGUCAUUAGGAUGGGUUUCCCAUGGUCAGUGUACUAGUGUGUUUAGUUAUGUUGGGAAACCUAUAUCUCUCCAUUCCUAUAACCCUAGAUUGUAUAUGUGCAUGCAAAAUACCUUAGGGCUCUAAAUCCUAUGCAACAUAAGCAAAAAUCAAAAUUUUAACAUUCUAUAAUCUAGAGAAAAGUUAUUAAAAACUUUGAGAAAAUAAAAGGCUAAUCUUAAUAGAAAACACCCAAGAGGGGGGGGGGGGGGGGGGGGGGGGGGGGGGGGGGGAAUGGGGUUUUAAAAAAAUUUUUUCAAACCCACAAAAUUCAGGCAAGGGAAACCAAAAAUAAANNNNNNNNNNNNNNNNNNNNNNNNNNNNNNNNNNNNNNNNNNNNNNNNNNNNNNNNNNNNNNNNNNNNNNNNNNNNNNNNNNNNNNNNNNNNNNNNNNNNGGGGGGGGGGGGGGGGGAGGGAGGGGAGGGGUGAAUUGGGUUUUAAAAAAUAUUUUUCAAACACAACAAAUUCAAGCAAAGGAAACACAAAUAUAAAGAGAUAAGGUUAGAAAGAGUAAACUCAGAUUUUAUAGUGGUUCAACACUUGUUUACCUAUGUCCACUCUCCUCAACCUCCUAACUAAGUGAAGGUUCCACUAUACUUGAAGCUUCAACCAAGCUUUUAAUCACCUUUACACUUGGAUUCCAACUUCAAUGGGCUAUUACACAAUCCCUUCAAGUCUUAACUCACUUGAAGCUUUUAACACUCAAAUAAUAAGUUCGAAUCUCUCAACCUAGCUCAACAAGGGCUCAAAUACAACUUAAAUGUUAGGAAGAAUCACAAAGGUGCACUAAGGAAUAUGCAAAUGGAGAUUUAAUGCACUAAGGAAAGAAUGAGAGCUUUUGAGGCAAGAACAAGUAGGUAGACAAAUAAAUGCAGGUGUUCUCUACCUCAUAAAUGAAGUGGAGUUCUCAAUUUAUACGUUUCUAGCCUUGGGAGCCAAAAAUGUCAAAAAGUAGUAUUGAUCAGUUGAGUUGAGGGUCAACCGGUUUACUAACCAUUAGACAAUAAAUGCAUGGUAGGUGACCAUUACGCCUUGACUAAUCCUUGACCAAACCUCGAUCGGAUCUCGACCGAGAAGGCAUAUCCCUCGACCAAGAAUGCAAAGCUACAAGAAGAGAGAAUAUUUUUUGCAUUUCUCAAUCAGACCUUGAUCAAGAAGGUGUAAUCAGUCGACCGGUGCCCUAACCGGUUGAGCCGGUUGACCAGUGCCUUGACCAAUUCACCAUUUUUGGCUUGAAAACCUCUUUUAUAUAUAUAUAUAUAUAUAUAUAUAUUCUUUUCUCUUCUAACACUUAGGCAAGGUAUUUAGGUAAAUUAAUAUGCCACUUUUGAAACAAUUUGCCUAAGGUUCAUUUGAUAAAACUAGGGUUUUGACGGAAAUGUAACUUUAAUGCCUAAACCGAGUUUUUAAAGAGCAUGAAAAGAUAUGAAAUCCUAAGUGCACCAUGCAUUCAUCUUACAUAUGUUUCAUAUUAUUAAAGGGUCUUUUAAUUGUCUUUAUCUUGCAUCCAUUGGGUCCUUUGAUUAAUUUCCAAACUAAUACCUAAAAUUCUUUAUAAUUCAAACCAAUUAACAACUUAACCAUGGUUUGUUAUCAUCAAAACGCAAUUAGGAGAACCCUUGGGCUAACAAAUCUUACCUUUGAUUUGAAUGGUUCUCAAAUCAAUUCUACUGAAUAAAGAUGAAGCCUAAAGAGUCUAGAGGUCUCAUACACCAAAAAUAUUUUGCUUGAUGACUUGAUCCAUGAUCUUGGCACUCCAAAAUGUGGGCUUUGGAAAAGAGGAAUCCUAGGCUCUCUCUCUAGAUGUAGAAGACGAUUGUCUCUCAAAAAGUGAUUGGAACCCUAACCCUUAGAGGGUAUUUAUAGCGUUGCCCUACUAGGCUUAAAUGACUUGAGCCCACUAAGGCUUGGGUCACUUAAUCUUGUCUAAAAUGGGUCCUAAUUGAUUAAUUAACCAUAUAGGGUCAUCUAAUUAAUCAAUUCAUGUCAAUGAGAUAAUAAAGAGAAAGUAAAAAAUAUAAAUAAUACAUUUAUAAAUAAAUCUCUAUUUGUUACAUCAUGUCACUCUUUUUAGGACUCAAUUCUAAUAGUUUACACAUUAAAUAGGAUUUACAGUGAGUCAGACAUUGGUCAUUAGGUAGUCUUGACUUCACCAAGCUGUUAUGUUGUAUAAGCUCUCAACCUUGAGAGAAUAUUGCUAAGGUAUUCAAUGGCUUUAACCCAUGAGUGAGACCCUAAAGUGGUCAUAUAUUCUCUAUAGAUUGGGUCACUAUGAUUGAGGCAUGUGAUAAUAGGUAUUCUCAAGAUAAGCACCACGAUAUCUUAGGGGUUUGAGACAUUAUGUCCCCUUAGGUGAUCCUAAGGACAUGUGAUCAUGAAAAUUGUGGCCACAAUAAUUCCUUAAGUGGAAUUUGAUGUAUGCUCUUAGAGAGAUAUUGUAUGUCAAUUGAUCACAUAAUAGGAGGAUCUAAGACUCAAGGAUUGUAGAGGUAGUCUUGAGAGGUUGAUAACAUUCAUCUUGUUAAAUUAUGAAUACCAAUUCAUGGGGAGCUUGCAUGCAAUUGUUAGUAGGUCGUAGACUGAAGUUUUUUAUCUCGAUCUAAUAUCAUAAGGAUACUAAAGUGUAGUUGACUCUUUAUAGUUAGAUUUUGAGUCAACUUUAAAAUUGGAUUUUAGGGGAGCCAACACUUCCCUACGGGUCCUAGUGGUUCCCACUCAAACUCAUAUUCCUUGGUAAAAAAUAUUUGAGGAAUAGUUGGAUUCUUUAUUUAUAUGUGUGUAUAAGAGCAUUUUGGUAAAUACGGAAGGUUGCACUAGUACAUAUAAAUAGCGUUUUUAGAUUCGAAUAAUUAAUUAAUUGGAGCUCAAUAGAACAAAUUAGUUAAUUAGGACCCAAUGAGUUAGAUUAAGUAACCCAAACGUAAGAUGAGCUCAAGUCACUCAAGCUAAGAGGUAAGCCUAUAUAAACUCCUUAAAGGGUUUAAGACUUAGUACUUUUCAUCCAUUCAAUCUUCUAUCUUAAUAUCUUAAUAAAACCAAAAUGAGAGUGUAGAGUAUAAAAAUAAAAAUGAAAAAGAACUUCUCAUGAGAAGUGAGGUUUGCCUCAACUCUCCUUAUUCAAACCAUUAUCACAUCUUUGGAUUUGAAAUUAUAUCAAAUAAACAUUCAAAUUGUUUUUCUCAAUGGAGAACUAAAUAAGAAGAUCUAUAUAGAUCAACUGACUUGUUUUAUGGCAACUAAAUAGAAAGGCAAAGUUAACAACUACAAAGGUCCAUUUAUAACUUACAAUAAUCAUCUAAACAAUGGUAUAUUACACUAAUGGGUUUAUGAUGGUCUAAGAACACUAUUGCAUGUUUGUUAAAUGGUGUAAGGGUAGAUUCUAUAUUCUAUUUUUUGUAUACGAAUGAAAUGUUGGUUAGGGAUGAUAAUGAGAUGGUUGUCUCUAAAGUGUGGUGGUCGUCAACUUUUAAAAUGAACAACAUGCUUAAAGCAAACUAUGUGUUCAAAGUUAUGAUCCUAAUCAAUCAAUCAAGAAGACUUUUUGGUUUGUUUUACAAAUCAUACACAAUGAAUAUUCUUGAAAAAAUUCUAGAAGUAAAAUUGAAAAUCUAUUGGCAUUCAUAUAGAGAAAGAUAAGACCUUAAGCUUUAACAUGUGUCAUAAGACUUUAGAUGAAUAGGAAAAGAUCACUCAAGGUUCCUAUAUGCUAGCAUUGUUAGUAGCUUAAAGUAUCCAAUGAUGUGCACAUGAACUAAUACUUGUUAUAUAAUUAGGCUAGUAGCUUCCAAUUAGAUCUAAACCUUGUUUACGAAAAAGCAAUGAACUGGAUGAUUUCGUACCUCAAAGUCACCAUAGGCUAUAUAAUUUGCUAUUAAGGAUUGAAUUUGGACUUGAUUAGCUAUGACAAUGAUAAUUGAUGUAGCAUCAUAAAUGAACCCAAAUCCACAUAUGGUUAUAAUUUUAUAUAUGCUCUAUGAUGUUAGCAUAUAUUGGUGAAAUAGAAAACAAUCAUGUAUAACAUUGUCUAACAUGCAUGGAGUUGGGAGUACAUUACUUGUCGUUUAGGAAAGUGACUAGUUUAUGAUGUUCAUACAUAUUUUUCACAAUAUUGCUUGUUCUUUUGAGCAUACUACUAUUUAUUGUGAUAGCAUGGUAACUUUAGCCUAUGUCAAAGACCCCCCCAAGUAUCAUAGUUGAACCAAUCACAUCAAUCUUAAAUAUUAGUUUAUAUGAGACAUGGUUACAUAGGAACAUAUUUCUACUUGAUGCAUGGUUAAAAAUCCCACCCUCCCCUCCCCCCUUGUUAACUAAGCUAAUACGUAAAGAUGUUUAUUAGGGUCAAGUUGAGAGCAUUGGAUUAUGUAGAUAAUGAUUACAUAGGAGUUAAGUUAAGAGAAUUUGAUCAUGUAGAUUAUGAUUACAUAUUGUAUAUUUCAAUUAACCAUUAUACCUAUGAUUUAUUCAUUGUCCAAUCUUGUUUGAUGGUGGCAUUUAAUUAUUUGUUUUACUUUAUCGACAUGCACUUUCAUUACUUUGCGCAACUGAAACAUAAUGAGUCUAAACCACUUAGAUAGUGUGUUAGGUCAUUGAUAUUUGUAGUACUCCUUUUGUAUCCAAUAUGACUUACAUGUUAGUAGCGACCAAGUAUAGAUAGUCCUAUUGUCUACAUUUGUAAUGGAGUCAAUUGCCAAAUCUUGUUAAUGUAGUGCUUGAUUUAGUAAGCAUGUGCAAAACUUCAAUUCUUUACUUGAUGUAAUUAAACUAAGAUUUGUAUGAUAUAGAAUAUCUAAGGUACACUCAUAAUGAAGAUCUCCAUGUUAGCAUGUAUAUUCAUACUAUAUCUUCUUCGCAAUCAAACAAGAAUGAAUGAAUAUAUUCCUAGCUACUUCCUCAUCUUGUGCAUUAAUCUUAUAGGUCAUUAUAUAUGCUAACUUUUAUGCCCUUGUGAUUUUCAGUCAUAAGUUACAUAUAUGGUGUAGUUUGAAAUAUUUUUCUAAGGGGAUUAACCAUGUUUAACUCAAUGUGAAUAAAUGUGUUUAAGAUAUAACGAGACACCUUUUAGGGAUGAAUUACACUGGUUAAAAUGAAAUUUAGUUUAAUACUCUUACACCUUUCUUAUCAAUGUGUUCAAAAGUUGUACAAUCCAUUAGUCAAUAUAAACAUGGAUGGUAAUGAUAUAGUUAAGAGAAAUGCAUGAUGUUAUUUUGCCUACUGUGCAUGAGUGGGAGACAAUGGAGUUUCUAUUUCAUGAGAUACUCUUAGUAGAACUUCAUCAACUAAGAACUUGAGAGUAAGUUGCAUACUUAUCAGUUAAGAUUCCUCUUGUGGGAGGAGGUUCAUAUUAGAUUUGGUGAGAAUCUAUAAGAGUUGUUUGUCUUUUUGUAAUUCCAAUUCAACUCCUUUUGCAUGUUUUCAAUUUAGUUUGUGGCAGUUGUUAAAUACUUCUACUUUAGUUUUUAGCAAUUAUAAUUUUUUAAAGCUUGCUAUUUAGGUUUAGAUUUACUGUAUGCUUAUUAGAUAUCUUAAUUCUUAUUGUAUUCUCCUUGGUUAAUAAUCUUCCAAUUUGAUCGUGGAGUUCAAAGAUUUUAACCAAAAUAGGGAUUAGGGUUUUCAAAGUUAGGAAAAGUAUUUAAUAUAAUUAAUUUUUGAAUAAGUUUGCAAGCUAAAUCUUUCAAUUGAACCUAAUGAGUUUACAUACUAAAUCUCUUAUUUUCGGCCUUGGUUGUUUCCACUCUUUGCAAUUUAAUUAGUUUUUUUUUUCAAAUAUAUAUAUAUAUAUAUUUAUAAUUCAUUUUGUGUACCUAUAUACUCAUGUUUUUGAGUAAUUAUGAGUUGUAUUGUUAUAUUUAGUAGAAUUUGACAAACUAAAAAUACUUACCUUUGAACAAUUGAGUCCAACAACACAUUUGUGUGGAUAGUUCAUAGCUACCAACUUGAUUCUUCAUGCCUCCUCUAUUAGGUUGACUAAGAAAAUGGUUUAAUUUCACAAGAACACCUUAAGAAUAAAAAUGUCAAGAAAAAAGGAAGGAAAAUUAUGCUUCAUCUAAUUUGACUCCAAGACUUAAAGGAAAAAACAUAAUAAUAUAAUAGUUAUUAUAAUGAAUAUAAUAAAAAGAAAAUUUGUCAUGUUCUUCCCAAUACUCAUAAAACCCCUUUCAAUGAAACUUUGUAAGCUAUACUAAUACAAAAUAAUGGUCCAUAUAGUAAAAGCUCAAUAAAUGAAUGUUUGAUAAAUUAAUAAUCUUACUUAUAAAACAAAAUAUUCUAGUCUUAACUCAAGCCAAUGUACUAAAUUAGUAAUCUUGCUAAAUGCAUAAGAUAAAAAUAUUUUCAAAAAUCUUUAAGGGCUUAAGAAAUAUAAACUAAUAAUUGAUGAAGUAUAAACAAAAAAUCAUAGUAUAGCAAAUAGAACUUCAUAAUAUAGUAUUAAGUAAUUUUUUAUAACUUUUAUUUUUCUAAAUUCACUUCUUUUAGAAUUAUUACAUAUUUGAAAUAGCUUUAUCUUUUACAACAUUAAGUUUUGAUGCCACAUCUUUGUUGGGGAGUCUUUUUUUCUUUUACAAUCAAUAACUAUUUUUUUUUUCUUCAGUCUCUCAGGUUUCUAUGUAUUAACUUUUUACCACGUGUACUAUUUUUAAAUUUAUAAGUCAUACAUGUACAAAUAAUGUACAAUAACAACAUAAUACUCUUCAUCAAUUAAUAAAUAACCAUUUAUCUAUAAAUUAAUAACCUUGCUAAGAUCAUUUUUUUUCUUGGUCCUAAGAGUAUUAUUUUAUAAGAGUUUUUCUCUAUAUAGUUCCUUCAUUGUAGGAAUUUCUUUAGGUUAAUAUUACUAAAGUUGUAAUUUAGAAAAAAAAAAAUAUUAUGGAAACUAAGAGAAAUUUGAAAGCUAUAAAUUAGUGUUUUAUAUCAUUCUUUUUUCCUAUGAAUGCCAAAGCCAUUGUCAAAUAAAAAGAGUAAAUAAAGUAAUUAAUCAAGUAAUUAGUUGAAAGCGAAAUAGGUGACUUAAAACUAUUGCUUUGGUACAUGUUUGUUUGAGGUAUAGUAGAUCGUAAGAAAUAAAAUCCUCUAGCUAUGUUUAUUUGAUAGAAUAAAAAAGUGAGUGUGUGGUUGCUCUACAGGAGAAGACCACACGUUAGCCAAAGAAUAAGUAACUAGAAAGCUUACACAAGUGUUAAAUGAUCAAUUUCUCACCUAAGCACAUUAAUGAGAACUAAAUGUUGAAUUAAACCAUACUCAUGCACCCAUACUAAGACCCAUGCCUCCAUGUGGGGAGACCCUAAUUGGUCCCUAAAAGGAGAAGUUUAAUAAUGGCCACAUCCUCUAUGCCAUGUUAGUAUUCCAAAAACAUAGAAAGUUAACCUUUGAGUUGAUGCUUAUUUGUCUGGUAGUUUCCACAUUCUUCUUACUAAAUUGACAUUUGAAGGCUCUACGACCAUAAGGAGCCUAGAGUGCUCCCUUUAGGUUCCUUAUGAUUGUAAGGUCCUAACCAUCCAUUGAAGUAAGAAAGUGAACUAAGAGUUGGAAAAAUGGUGUCAUCUAUGGUGAAGAUACAAAAAUUCAGCUCACCAAAAAAUCACAAUAAAGCUACUAAAAAACACCCCACCCCUAGGCAAAGACCUUCAUUUAAGUACUCCUUGAGGUCUACCCAAAUCAAAGACCUAACGUUGAAGAAAUGAAGUCAACUAAACUUGGUUUCAUGCAUGAUAAGGUUGAAAAGCCUGCAUAAAAACCUACAGAAAGCUUGCUCCUUUAUAAGAAUAACCUGAACCUACAAGGGAAGAAGACCUAUAAAAGGAAAUCAUAAACAACAAAGAAAAAAAAGUCCCUCCCUCCUUUGAAAAAGAUUUCUUUGAAUGCAGAAACCUAUUUUUUUUGUAUCAAAAAAUUGGUGGAAUAAAAAUUUUCAAUUAUCUAUAAAGAGUUUUAGCUUCUUCAUAUGGGAAUGCAUUAAAAGCCUUGAAGACAUUGUUUAGAUCUAUAGCAAUAAUUGGGCAAUAGAAAACUAUGCAAUAGAGUUUUGGUAGGGAAAUGCAAUCAUGAUAGAAAUGAAGUGGAGCAAUGAGUGAGAACAAACCCUUCAAUAGAUGGAAGAGCUCAUUAAAAUAAGUGACUAACUCACUCAAGAAAAUGUUGCCUUUAGGGUAAGGGUAGACAAAUACCAAUGUGAUUUUGACCAAAAACUCUCAUUGGCAAGCACCAAUAAGAUGCAAGUUAAUGAAUAAUAGUUAUCGAAGCAACUAGACCAACAUCUAGAUUAAAUUGGGAGAGAAAGGUGGGAGAAACAUUAAUUAAACUAACCAAACAGACCACCUUGCCAAAGGCCCCAAUGCUCUAAGGGAUUCUUGCCACCAGAGCUACCACAAAAUGCAUAAUCUUGGUGAAUAAGGUGAUUGAGCCCAAGUCCCUUUAGAAGGAGAAUGAGGCCAUAUGAGAGUUUUCCCUCCCUAAGUUCAAUUUCUUUCAAUGAAACUAAAGACACCCUAGACUAUUCAUGCAUUUCUAUGCAUGUGAUAAUCUUAGAGAAGGGAAACGAUCGACUUUUAUGCAAAAUCUUCCCCUCCAUCCUCCAAGGACUAACUUUAUUUUGUCUUUAUCAACUUACCUUAGAGUUUGUUCCUAAUAUCGAGACCCUAAGGGUGAAGUCUACCUCUUAGUACAUGCACUUAAAAAGACAAAAUAAAAGCCUCAAAUAACCCAAGGUAGUUAUAGCUACCAUUCAUGGUGGAUCAUCUACUAGAUUUGAGCAACUAGGCAAGGUAUCAAGAUGUUACAGAAGCAUAUGGCGAUUGAAGCAAAAGUCCUCACAUCCUUGCAUGAAGCAACUACCACUUGCCCACAUGUCAUAUGCUUCUCUAAUAAAGGCUUAAGAGGAGUCCAAACCCUGCUCAAGAUCCAUUGGUUAUUACUUUAAGAAUUAUUGACUACAACAUGCACCUAUUCUUAGUUGACCUAACGAAUUUAGUUAACAUGCUAAAUAUAUUAGCCCAUCUAUGAACAAGUGAAUAUGGACGAAGGAAAACUAGUGUCAAGUCUAGGGUCAUUGGUGGGACUAGACAAAGUCCUAUGUGGCUCAACUGGGGAAGUCGCCCUAAUGGUUCCAAUUGGUUGUUGCCAUAUAAUGACACAAUUCUUUGUUAUGGAUAUCCUUUUCCCGAUAAUGCCAUUAUGGGAUGACCAUGGAUAUAAAACCUAAGAGGAACACUAUUCACAUACCAUCACACCAUUAAAUUCCUAAUACUACAAGGAAUAUGGGAAAUAUAUCAAGACUAGGUGGCAUCAUGAGUAUGCUACACCAUAGCCCUUAAAGCGGUCAUCAAGUGCAUCAACUGGGACCCUUAGGAAGUUCAUAAAUCAAAAAUCAAAUACAAAUUAGUAGGUGACCCGAGAAGGCAAUUAGAGAACCUAAGGAGUCAUUAUUCUAGAGCCCCUAAACCUAGGAGGUUCCUUCUAGCCCAUGCAAAAAAAAAAAAGAAAAAGGAUUCAGAUGGCUACUAGAAAAGAACACAUCUUUACUAGGAAACUACAAGACAUUGUGGGCAUCGAUCCCCAAGUUACAUCUCAUCGACUCAACAUAAACCCUAGUGGUUAGCUCCUUAAAGACAUUAGAUUGUGAAAAAAAGGUAUCUAGGCUCUUAUAUGCUAGAUUUGGUCAUCUAGGUCUUCUAACAACAAAUAGAAGUUAGUAUGCUAGUGUACAUUAAUAAAAUGUUAGUAACAAGUAAGAAGAGGAAUGAGUACUUGAUCGACCUCCUAAGAACAUUUCAAGCUCUUCAAAAGUAUUAAAUGAAGCUAAAUCAGUGAAGUGCACCUUUAAUGUAGGGUAUGGAAAGUUCCUUAGGUACUUGGUUAUAUACAAAGGAAUGAAAGCUAACCCAGGCCAAAUAAAAUCAACUUUGGAGAUACCAAUGACCAAAAGGGCUAGAGAAGUCCAAAAGCUAACUAACAAGAUUGGUUCUUGAAAUAGAUUUAUAUAUUGAACAACAACUAUGUGUCACCCUUUCUUCGACAUUAGCAAGAAGGGAAAAUGGACUAAAAGAACCAAAAAAUGCAACUAAGCCUAUGAAUCACUAAAGCAUUACAUGAUGCUAACCCCCAUUCUAGAUAAACCCUAGGAUAAGGAGGUCUUACAAGGUCUCGAUAGCAGUAGUAAGUGGAGUGUUAUCUCAAAAAAAGAGGAAAAGAGGAGCAACCAAUGUACUAUAUCUAACAGACCCUCUUAGAUGUGGAAACCUGAGAUAUUUAUAAAUAUUGAAAAAUUGGUGCUUGCCCUUUAGAUCACCACAUUGAAGCUUCAAUGUUACUUCCAAGCGCAUGUUAUUAAGGUAAGAACUAAGUGAUGAGAACUCAAACUUAAUACUUUAAUGGCUUUAAAGAGCCUACUUUAGUGUAUUUGAGGUACUAAAAAAUUAACCUAAGGUUUUGUUUUUUUUAUAACACCUUAGAAAAUUAUGUUUGAUGCAUUCUGUGACCGUUCUACAUGUUUUAAGGUGUUUUUUUGUUAGGAUAGAAUCCUUAAAAGCAUGACAUGAUGUAAUAAAUUUGGAAUUCAUUAUUUAUUUAAUGAUGUUCUAGUUUCACUUUUAUCUAUCCUUAUUCCAUGUAUUGUACUUUAUGAGUAUUCUUGCCUACAUAUUUUGCAUUGUACAUGACUUAGGUGCAUUAGGAGUUGCACAGAAGAUUUAAGUCAUGGGUUUCUUGCAAAUAGAUUAUUUGUUCAGAGUCGGUUCAUGAGCCUAGGCAAACCAUUAGAGGUUGUAGAGCACCACCUCCUAAUUGGAGGGAUGGUUAGUCUUGGCCAUGGGAUGAGUUUCCCAUGAUAAGUGCACUAGUGUGUAUGGUUGCACAUUGGAUGGGACCUAUGGUGAGUUAUGACUUAAGCCUAUCAAGUAGUCAUGACUCCACCGAGCUGUUUCAUUGUAUUAUCUCUCAACCUUGAGAGAAUAUUGAGUUUGUGCUAAAGUUAAUAAUGGCUUUGAUUUAUGGGUGAGGUCGUAAGUUGAUCAUAUAUUCCCUAUGGAUUAGGUCAAUGUUGAUGGAAGUCGGUAACAAUAGGUAUUCUUAAUAAAGGCACCAUGAUAUCUCUUAGGAUUGAGACAGUGUGUCCCAUUGGGUGAUCAUAAGGAGGUGUGUUCAUGGAAACUAUGGCUAUAGUAGUUCCUUAAGUGGAAUUUGACAUAGACUCUUUGAGAUUUAAGAUAUGUUAAUUGAACACACAAUAGGAAGAUUUGUAGCUCAAGGAUGGUAGAAGUAGUCUUGAAAAGCUGAUGGCUUUCACCUUGUUAGACUACGAACACCAAUUCAUGGGGAGACUAAACAUAAUGGACAGUAGGUCACGGACCCGAGCACUUAGUGUCUUCGUUGUUAGUUACAUAGGAUACCGGAGUUUAGUUGAUUCUCUAUAGUGCGAUAUUGAAUCAACUUUAAAAUUGGACUAUGAGGGAUCCAUGGUAUUCCUAUAGGUCCCAAUGGCCCCCGCUAUGAGCUUAUAUACCUUGUUGGAAUGGGUAAUGAGGGUUGGAUUGACUCUAGGUUCACUUUUGUGCAUAAGGGCAUUUUGGUAAUUAUGUAAGGUUAUAUAGGAGUAAAUGAACAAGGCCUCUAGAUUAGGCUAAUUGAUUAAUUAGUAGGUCCUAUUAGGUUAAUUAAUCAAUUAGAACCCAUUUUGGGCUAGAUUAAGUGACACAACCCAAGUGGGCUCAAGUCACUUAAGCCCACUUAGAAACCCUAUAAAUACCCCUUAGGAGUUAGGGUUUCCAUAACUUUUGUCUUCCAUCAUCCAGAGAGAUAGAGAGUCAUAGCCUUCACCCUCUUUUCCUCCUCAUUGGAAAUGUGCCAAGAUCAAGGUUCAAGUCAUCGGGCGGAAGACUUCGAGUUUACGAGACUUCUGGGAUUUCAAUUUUCAUCUUCACCAUGUGGAUUUGAUUCGAGAACACCUGAAUCUAAUGUAUAGUUUUUGUUAGCACUUUUUGAAUCCUUUUAAAGUAUAAAAAUGUUAUUUUUCCGUUGUGCAUAGGAUUUAGAAAAAACCUAAGAUAUUUAUGCAUGUUCCUAACCUGAUUCGGACUAGGGAAACAGAGAGAGAUUCAGGUUUUUCCCAUCAUUUUUGGUGCAAUAGAACCUUGUUAGGAACUCAUAGAGACAAAAAUGCCCAAGUAAGGAGGAAAUACAGAUUGCACACCCAAAAGGUGUGCAAGACUCAAUCAUGCACUUCUUUCUUUGUGUAGAGCCACAUAGUGCACCUCCCAUGUAUACCUUAAAGACUAAACAUACAAGACCUCUCUAAUGCUUUGGACCAAAUUUUAUACCCUAUUCAAGCAACUCAAUCUACAAACCUCUUAAGUGCUUUAAGCCAAGAUGUUGUGCACCCCCUCACUUGAGUCAACAGGAUGUGUAGUAGUGCAACCCCUUGAUGUCAUCUAAAUUACAAACCAUUCUUACCUCUACAAUAGCUAAGUACUUAAUAAUUCUUCUAAUGAUUGGCUCACCCACCAAAGUAGUAUGUUGUUCAUACCUCAAAGUCUUCAAUUGUACUACCAAAAUGUACUCUGACCAAAUUACAUAGAGAAAAAGGUGCAACUACCGACCAUAAGCUAACACAUCAAGAAUGAAGGUGGGUUGAUUGUAAUGACAAAGGACUUGACCCUUAGUAUAAGAAGAGACAAGUCUAGAGGAGUGGUGUCGGAGUAUUAGAAUGACCGGGAAGGGAGGGGGGGCAUUUUUUUGUAUAUAAAUGGAGGAUUGUGAAUAUACAAGUGGAAGCAAAUUAUAGAAAGUGAAAUUGUAGAUAAGUUUUUCUUCUUAUAGGAAGAGAAGUAGGAAUAAGAGUAACUUAAUGUAAUUUAAGUUUUUAGUUUUCCACUGUAAUCUUUUCUUUUCAUUAUAAACUUUCCCUAAUUUCUAGUUUAAUGAAUUUUCUAAUCUUUUUAAUUAUUCUUACAUUUCAGUUUUUCAAUUUCAACUUACAAAUUUGCAUUUUUAGUUCUUUACUUAAUUUUUAACAUGCUUAGAUAACCUUUAACACUCUAAGGGGUGAGAGGAGCUCAAGUCUCCCAUAUCUUAGUUUAGCUGUCUAUUGGUUUAUCUGUGCAUUAGUUACAAACAAUAUGAUCUCUAUCAGUAGUUAUAAUGACCAAAACAAGUAACCAUGGGGAAAAAGUCUAUGUUGCAUUGGUUGUGAGCAUUGUAAGUCAAGCAACUUUGGAAGCAUACUUAGGCAUUGUUUUAAUGAUUCUUUCAACUAAGUAUAGGCCUAUUGCCAUGAAAAGAAUCUUAUCUAAAUCAUUUGGUUGUAAGGAUAUAUAUAUAUAUAUAUAAAGAGCAAUUAGAGAGAGAUUAACCUUUUUAAGGUGGUUCUUGUUCAUUUGAAGCAGGAAACCUUUUUUGUAUAAAUCCUUGCUUUGAGCCUAAAUCUGAAAGCAUAAGUUUAAAGCCUUGUUGGUGAGUUGUAUCUGAAAGUGGUGAUCCUAGUGAAUCUCUAGGUUUGAGGUUUUCUUUCCUUUAAUUUUCUAUCUUUUAAACUUUGUGUGUGUAUGUCCUUUUUAUUUAUAAAAUCAUUUUUCUAAUCUUUUAGCUGCCAUUCACACUCCUGAAGCUAUUACCUUAGUUGCUACCAAUUUAAAGUUCCUUGUGGAGGCAACCUAACAACUAUACCACUAUUAAUUUUUUUAUUUUUUGGUUAAGGAGUUGAGAGUUUCAAUGAAUGAUCUAGUUUAAUUUCUCUUUGUAAAACUUAACUGUUAAAUAUAUUUCCAAGUUUUGAUAAAAGAAAUGAACUAGAGAAUGACAAACCAAAAAUUAGUGUCGUCACUAGGGAACUUUCAACAUUGAUGACUCUAGGUAUUUUUGUGUAUAUGCUUGUUGUUUUAGAAGCUUAACAAGUAUAUUUCACCCAUUCCCCACCUAUCUUUUAGUUGGAUUUUUUUCUUUUUUUACUUAAUUUGUUUUCUUUGGAUUUUCUUUUUAUUCUCAGUUUUCAUUUUUAGUUGUUAAAUCCAACAUUUCAAACAUUUUCUUUAAAGUGAUAUGAUGUCACUACAAGAAAAAAGAGAUAUGGUGACAUUUAUAAUGAGUCAUUAUAAACAUAGGGUGUCGCUACAACAUAGCGUCACCUUAUCCACUGACACCAUAGAGGGUACCAAUUGGUGACGUAUUUGGAAGCGACACCAAAGCAAAUAAAUGGUGACACAUUCAGAAGCGACACCAUAUAUUUUUAGUUAUACUUAAUUUAGUUAUAUAUAAGGUGUCAUAUUAAAUGCAUCACCUUUUAGUUAUGGUGUCACAUUAAAUGCAUCACCUUUGAGUUAUGGUGUCACAUCAUUGUAAAUGAUUAUGGAAGAUAUGGUUGUUUUUUAUUAAUUAGCCUGUUGAUUUUUGUAAUGCUUAUUAACAAAUAAGAUCAACUUAUGUAUAUUUUGUCCAUAAAUAUAAUAAUCAUAUCAUAUUUAACUUAUAUUUUCGUAAUGCUUAUGGAUUAACCUGUAAUACAUUACAUCAUGCAGUGAUAUUUGUAUAUCAAAUGUUUACAAAAUGAUAGUACAUCAAACCCACCGAAACUAAAAAAAAAAAAGUGAAUACAUAUUAAAAUAUGAUUUAGAAAUGUUAAGCAUUCCAACAUUCAUGUAUACCUGCAUUUCAUAUGCAUAAAACCGGCUAAUCAUAAAAUGACACAAGAGUUGCAUCCAAAAACCCAAAAUUCUCAAUACCAAAUAAAGUAACAUUGAUGUCCUAUAAUAUAUGACAUAAGAGUCACAUCUAAAAACCCAAAAUGUUGUUGUUUCUUUCUCCUUUCUUUUUAUUCUUCAUAAUGUCUUCCCAAGAGUGUAUACCUGCAUUUCAUAGUUUAAUGAGAUUUAGAGUUUUAUUGAAAAUAAAAAUUAAUUGAUGUUAUAAAAAAUAAACAAAUCUAAGUACUAAUGUUUUCUUUUUUUCUUUUUCCCAUUUUGAUAUAAAAAUAAUUUGUAAAGAAUAAGUAAUGUUAUACAAUACCAAUGGAAAAUUCAUAUAACAACUAAGAGACUCGCCAUGCAUGAUCAUGAUUUAUCAAUAUGAUUCAUAAUUAGUUAUAACACAAAAGAAGUUAAUUCUCCUCUAAUUUCAUCAAAUUCUACUUGAGAAUAUGAUAUUUUUUUUUAGUUUUUUGUUUAUCAUAAAACUGAAAUCAAAUGAGAAUAACAUUAAUAUUAUAAUAAUUAGAAGUAUGAAACUAAGUACAAUUCAUUAAAUGAGUAAAAUAUUUAAUACAAUAAUUGUAAAAUCAACAAUUAUCUCUUUAAUGAAUCUCAUAACAAAGCAGUCACAUUUGAACUCAAAUAAAAACAAUUCAAGAAAAUAAAAAAUAAAGAAAAACUAGAAAAUAAAAAAAUAAAUCUAAAAUUUUAGAAAAUAGUAAUCUUCCACUUAAAAUCUGCACUUUUUAAAUUUAUUUUUUAUAAUUCAUUGUGCUUUUAAAAAUCAUUUUUAACAUUUAAUUCUUUUUAUAUAUUUUUUUAUUUCUUGGAAGGAUUUUUUUAAUUUCAAUAUUUUUUUAAUGUUCAUUUUGUGAAAUAACAAUGUCCAUUAAAUUUCAUCUCAAUUAUAUAAAAUAAAAUUUUAGUAACAAAAUAUAAAAAUGUUUUCAACUACUAAUAUGAGAGGACAUGAUAUUAUAACAAGCUUGAAGAUUGUGUAUAUAAGACAAAAAACCUAAUUCAUUAUUAAAAAAUAUUAAGAAAAAAAUUAGUAUGAGAAAGAAUUAAAGAACCUUUCAUAAAAAUUAUUAAUUUUUCAGUCAUAACUCCAAUUAAUAUUUAUUUUUUCUAAUUAAAAUAAUUAAUAAAAAAUUUGGAUAUGAAAAAUAUGUUCAAAUAAAAAUAAUAAAAGAUUAAAAACAUCAAAGGAAAAGAUAUUCAAUAUUUUAAAUUUUACUUUUGAUAAUCUUUAGAUCAAUAAAUUAUCAAAUAUCUUUUUAGAAAAAGGAAAAAUGAAGAAAAUGAAGAGUUUUAUGGAAGGGAUUGGAAAAUUUUUUGUAAUAAAAGGAUUUUAUAGAAAUUUCCUAACCUUGAAAGGAAAAUUUCAUCAUCAAUUUCAAAUUACUCCAAAAUUUGGUCAAUGCAUAUAAACAAUAAGAAAAGAAGACAAAAAUAAAACAAAUUUUUAGAAUCCUUUUGAGGGAGAUGACAAUAUUGAGAAUAAUUUUCUCAAAAAUUAUGGAAGGAAAAUUUAUGUAAUAAAAGGAUUUUAUAGAAAUUUUUUAACCUUGAAAGAGAAAUUUCAUCAUCAAUCUCAAAUUACUCUAAAUUUUGGUGAACACAUAUAAAAACAAUAAGAAAAGAAGGUAAAAAUAAAAAUAAAAAAACAUAUUUUAAGGAUUAAGUAAAAUAUGAAUAGAACAAGAUGAGAUAUUAACCAUAAUACCAUGUAAAAGAAUUUUAAAAAAAAAAAUCAAAAUAUGAGAUUUGAUCAUUUUUAUAAUUAUAAAAAAUUUCAUUCCUAUUUAAAUUUUAAAAAACAAUUCAUUUUCAUUAAUAAAUAGAAAAUAAAAUUAAUUUCUCAUUGUUAAUUCCAACAUUCUAAACCAACUCCAACAUGAGAUGGAAACUAUUUCAUUUUUCCUUUUGUGGGAGAUGACAAUAUUGAGAAUAAUUUUCUAAAAAAUUAUUUUUCAAAUAUCACCAAUACAUAUCCUCAUCACAAUAUACUAUAAUAUUCCUAGAAAACAAACAUAAAAUCUCAUCAAAAGAAAUUUCUUAUAAGAUCAAAAGAAAAUUUCAUACUGUAAAAUGUUUAUCCCUCAUUUUGAGUAUGAAAGAUAUUAAAAAAUCAUUCAUUUAUCAUAUUUUCAUUCGUUUUGGGGUUUGUGGAUUUAACAAUGAAAUAAAAGAUAUGGUGGAAUGCUAAACCUAAUUUUUACUUUCCUGCAACUCAAUAAAAAAAACACUAUUUACACAAUCUACAUUACAAAUAUACCAAAUCAAUGAAUGUAAAUCAGUUAUGCUAAUAAAGAUUUUGGUUUUAAUAAAAAAGAAAAAGAAAAUGAUAGAUCUAAGAGAUUUUGGGUUACCUGAGAGUCCAUGAAGUAGAGAAGAGCAGUUGUGUGUGAACUAUGGGUGUGAGAAGAGAGGUAGAAGAAAGUUAUGGUUAUGGGUUAUGGAAUGAGAUUUUUUUGGAUUGUGGGAAUGUGGAAACAAUGAGUUUUUUUUAUAUACAAUCAUUAUUCUCAAAGUGGGCCCAUUUAGUUAUAAUAUUUUAAAAUUUUUAUUUUAUAUGGUGUCACUUUUUUAAAACUGACACUAAACUUAAAAUUAAUAUCAUCUAUCCUAAUUAAAAAUUUUUAUAUGAUGUGUCACCUUUAUGAAUUUUAAUUCAUAUGGUGUCAUUAUUUUAAAAGUGACACCAUAAAUAGUGACACCAUAAAUUAUUUUUGUUGUAGUGUGUAUUAGGGAAAUGAUUUUAAAGGAAGGGUACUAAGAGUGAGUUUGAGAGUGAUUCUAUGAAGUGUUUCUAACAUUUCUAACACUUGAGUGAUAAAAUGAUGAUCUUCAAGGCAUCAUCAGAGGGCUUCUCAAUAUCUCUUCUACUGAAAAAAAUUUCUUGACUGAAAGUGGCUCUUAACUAGAGGGGAGGGCAUCCCAAAAAUUUUAGGAAACCAUGAAGAAAAAUUUAUCAAAAUGGAUGCUUCCAAUCUACCUGUGGGAAGUAAAGAAAAAGUGAAGAGCCAUUGGUUAGCUAGAAGCUAGCCAAAAACUUGUAAAUAGCUUUCAUUUUUUAUUUUCUUUAUUAUUUUUGUUUUUAUUGCUUUGGCCAAUUUAGUGUGUAGGAGUACCAUCAUAAGAACUCAAGUAUAAAUUUCUCUAUACUCUAUUGGUUUUAUCAUGCUUCAGAGUAGGUGUACAUUGUUAGCACCAGGAAAGUGUAGGACAUAUAGGAAUUGCGCACUUUUGAGGUUUGCUAACCCAACUUGUAUGAUGACUUAAAUUGCGUAUCUCAAAUUGUACACUUUGAAAGCAUGACUGAAACUCCACACCCUAAGAGAUUAAUUUAAGCGCAACUAAAAACUGCACACCUUUAAGCAACCAUUGAUAUUGCCCAGCUUAAAUUACACACCAUAAGCACGCCAUCCAUAAUAAAAAUGCCUUCCCAAAUAAAACCAUAAUUGCUUAGAGACUUUUGUCCACCCCACCAUCAUAUCAAUUGAGCAUUUGAAGCCAACCAAACUAAUUAUUAUCCAAAGACAGAAAAUUAAUUAAACAGGAUUAGUAUAAAAGAAAAUAACUUGACUUAUAAACAAAAGCAAGGGAGAUGCAAUGGCAAACACAAAGCAAUUUAAAAGGGGCAAGCGAGUAAAGAAACUAACAGUGAUAUAUUAUGAGUUGCCAUAAGUUGAAGUGACUUCCACUUCGGAAAGCCCAAGGCCUUUUAGCCAAUACCGUCAAAGGGGCUUUAUCAUCAUCAGAAUAAAUAUCAUCAUCAGAAUCUUUAGCAUCACCGAAAUUGCAUGUGGCAAGGUCAGGAUAACGUUUAACCAGAUACAGUGCUACAUCUGCAUAUUAUAAAAUUGUACAUGGGAACCCGACAGUAAUUCAUAUCAAGAAAAUAGAUAGGGGAUGGUAAAUAUAGCUCACCAUGAAACCCCACCAUUAGUGCUCUGCGCAGAAGUUCGAUUCCAGGCGAAUUUGAGAAAGGAUAUGGAUCUACAUCAUCUCUGGUGACGCUAAAUAAAUAUAAAGUCAGCUCUUUAUGACCAUACCUAACAGCGCUGUGAAGAGGCGCUAAAUUGCUGUGGCUGCAGAUAUUGGGCAAGCUUGGGUUUUUGUUCACUAACAACUUGGCUGCUUUUAUAUUGCCAGCCCUUGCAGCUUUGAAAAGGGCAGUGGCGCCAUCAGAAUCUCGCAGAGCCAGUGCCUCUCUUGGGACAAACUCAACCAACUUCUCCACGAAACCCAUUCUGGCCUCUCCUAACUCAACUGCUAUGUGAAGCAUUGGGGAAUCAUCUGUUCCGAUCGGAGCGGAGAAUGAUUUUGGAUCAUCCUCCAAUAAUUUUGAAGCACUUUUCCAGUCACCAUUGAGCACAGCUUUGUGCAGUUCCAAGUAGUAGAUUAAUUCUGGUUCAUAGAAUUCUGCAGUCACAAAACCAAAAGAAGUAUAGGUCAGCCUAGAUUUCCCUGAUAUGUAUAUUUCUUCAACGUUCACAACAUCCUAAUACUAAAAUUAUUUAUAAAAAAUAAAUCAUUUCAGUUAUGUUUGGUUCUUAAAAAAUUUGACAAAAAAUAAAAGGGAAAGAAAGUAAAUUAAAAAAAUAGAAGGUAAGAAAGAGUGAAAUAAAAUAGAUCCAAAAUCAAUAAAUUAUUUAUUUUUAUAUGCUACUCAUUUCACUUAUUUUAACUAUUCAAUAUAAAAAUUAAAUAAUUUAAAAUUUCAUAAAUUUAUAAUUAAUUUAAAUUAUAUUUGAUUUUCUUAAAUAUUUUCCUCAAUACAACCAAAUAUGAGAAAAUCAUUUUCCUUGAUAUCUUUUUUUUGCUAAUUAUUUUCUUGGGCUUCUUUGUUUACCUCUAAUCAACAUCUUUAUAUCUUUCAAUAAUAGUUUGAACCUCCAAUAAGCUACACGAAUUAAAAUUUAAUUUUCUUCCAUUUUUUUUUUUAACAGCAGGUUGUAAAACACUUCUACUUGUAUACUAAUUAUGCCCAAAAGUUGCAGGAGGACCUCAAACGGAAAUGGACAUGAACAUGGUUUUCAGCAUCUUACCGGAGCUACUAGUCCUUUGCAAAGAUGAAGAUAAAACCGCUGAAACAUUUUCAUCAGUAUCCUGCGCCAUAUUGAUGCUGCUACAGUUAGGAUUGUUUGGGCUGUCAUCGAUUACCGAGAGUGGUAAUGAAGAGGAAGCCAUUACAGUGAACUCCUCAUCAUGCUCAGCAAUGUCCGUGUUACUGUUUUUAGGACUGUUUGCGCUGUUGUCAUUUCUAAGACGUAGUGAAGAAGAAGAAGCCAUUACAACAAAUUCCUUAUCGUUCUUAUAGUCAUUGCCAUGUUUAGCGAAGUUAUUCUAAUGUGUAAUAGAAAACCUAAACAAAAUCUGCAGUUGACAAAGGUCAAAAUUAACUUACCUCGCAGAUGGAUUUGUUAUCCAUGAUAGAAGAUUAUAUUUAACUAUAUCGAGGCAGGGAAGAUACUCUCAUCCAAAGAGAAACAACAGCAGCCCUUUUUCCUACUGUCUUCAAAAGAUACAGGAAAUAGGCCAGGAACCAUUGAAGCAUAACAGGUGCAAUGGUAGAGUCUUCCAAGUCAACUUUGUUUAUUUAGUUGAGUAAUUGGUAAGCACUAGAUAGCGUUGAAACGUUAUGACUGGUGGAUGAAAAUGGAAAAUAAUAGGCAUAUAUGAUUUAUUCAUAUAUAAAAUAAACAACGAAAAUUAGGGGGUAACUUCGAGCUGUUUGUUUUCACAUGAUUUCUUCUCUCCGUGUUGCUGGGCAUGGAUCUCCACUGACAUAGAAGCAACUAGGUCUUUUCUUUUGCUUUUUCUUUUUAAUUUUUCAUGUUUUAUUUUAAGAUGAUAUCCAGAAGUAGUAGGUAUGGUAUAUGAAUUUCACUUAGAAUGAUAAACAUUCAUAGAGCCAAAUGUAAAUCCGUACUAUUGGGCAUAAUAUUAUCGAGCCAUGCUUGGUUACCGAAAAUUACUCCAAGGUAUCAUACCCACCUUUUAGGCCAAUAAAAUUAAGAAACAUGGCAAGGAAAUUAAAAAAAACCAAUUCUCCAGGUUUAGCAAGGUUGCCGAGGGAAUUAAUCAUGUGCACCACACAUUGCUAUCAUCAUUUACAAUAACCAAUUAUAUAAAAUCUGUUGAAAUAUUUUAUAUAAUUAACUUUUGGAAUUUUUUUAUCAGGUAGUAAAAUAAAGAAAAUUUAGGAAAAAAUAUUUUUAUAAAAUGAUAAAGUUUGACAAAAACGAUAAAUUUUUUGUAAAGUAUUGAAAAGGAUACAAGGCUAUGAAUUCAUAAUUGUAUGAUAACCUUUUAGUAUUUCAAUCUUUGAAUUUUUUUUGGAGAUUAUUUCCAUAAAUUCUAAGGAGAAUUGUGUUUCCACCCUAGCUGGGUUGGAUAAUUGAGGUAAGGUCCUCCUAUCACCCAUAAUUAAAUUCAAAACCCAAGGAAAGAAUAGAAAUUGAGAGGAAGGAUAUCGCUUUUAAAAAAUCCCUAAAAUACCCUUAACUAUCAAAUGAAAAAGCUACCAGUCACUCUUACCUUUCUCUUUUCUUUCUUUGACUUUUUCACCAUUCUCUCACUUAUUUAUUAGUGGGAUCAAGUUAAAUGAUUUACCAAUUAUUUUUCUUCAACAAAUUGAACAUGAAAGAUAAAUAGUUAAAAAUUAUUAUUGUCAAAUGCAUUUUUGAAGUAAAUAAUUUUUAAAUACCUUAUCAAAUAUUAUUCUUUUUUUCAAACUUACAUAAUAUAUAAUAAAUAUUAUUAUUUAUUUCAAACUUAUAUUAUUUCUUAUAUAUAUUAAACAAUUUGUAAACAUCUCAUAAAAUAUUAGUAUUCUUUAUUUGUUCUAACUUGUAAAUUAGACAUCAUUAAAUUUUUUUUUUCAAACUUAUAAAAUAUAUAAUAAAUAUUUUUUAAAUACCUAAGCAAAUAUUUUUUUUGUUUCUUACUUAAAAAAUAAUAAAUAUGUUGUAUAUUAUUUCUCAUUGGUCUUAAUGGCAUAGUUUGGUAAAAAAAACAAAAAAGAGAAAAAAAAAAAACAAUCAAUAAUCGUUCUAAUGUCAAACUCAAGUUGAUUAAAAAACAUACAAAACCUAUUAGGAGUCCUGUACACCCUUGUACACUUGACAUAUUUCCCUUAUACAAUUAGUGUAAUAUCAUACAGUGGUGCAAAUUUCAUUUCCCUCCUAAUUUAUUGUCCAUGUAGGUGUAUUAAACAUAUUUUUAAUCAUUUGGUUGAGAAAAUUGUGGAUGACUUAUGGUUAAAUUUUUUUCCACCGACAUCAUUAUUGGGGAAAACAUUAGAAUUUCCAUAUGGGAAUUAAAUAAAGUGUAUGACAUGAGUAUACAAUUCUUGGGCGACAAGGAAAAUAAAGGAGUAAUUCAUAAUCGAUUGAAAUUUUUCACAAAUACUAGUUUUGUACAUCCUUGUACACUUAAUAUAUUUCUCUUAUAUAAUUAGUGUAAUGAGUAUACAAUUCUUGGGUGACAAGGAAAAUAAAGGAGUAAUUCAUAAUUGAUUGAAAAUUUUCACAAAUGCUAGCAUUGUACAUCCUUGUACACUUAAUAUAUUUCUCUUGUACAAUUAGUGUAGUACCCUUGUACAGUUAAUGUAACACCCUUGUACAGUGGUACAAAUUUCAUAUUCUUCCUAAAUUAUGUAUCCACGUAGGUGUGUUAACCAUGUUUCUAAUUGUUUGGUUGAGAAAAUAUUGGAUGACUCUGGGUCAAAUUUUUUUCCCUAAACAUCAUUGCUAGGGAAAGUAUUGAAAUUUUUAUGUGAGAGUUAAAUAAAGUGUAUGACAUGAGUGUACAAUAUGUUGGCAACAAGGAAAGUAAAAUGGAGUGGUUCAAAAUCGAUUGAAAUCUUUCACAAAAGGUAACCUUAUACACCCUUGUACACUUAGUACAUUUUCAUUGUACAGUUAGUGUAAUACCCUUGUACAAUGACACAAAUUUCAUAUCUCUCUAAGUUAUGUGUUCACAUAGGUGUAUUAAUCAUAUUUUCAAUGGUUUGAUUGAGAAAAUGGUGAAUGACUUAGGGUCAAAUUUUUUUCUCCAAACAUCAUUACCGUAGAAAGUAUUGAAAUUUCCAUGUAGAAGUUAAAUAAAGCGUAUGACUUAGGAUUAAACUCUUUUAAGUCUUUUUAUUAUUUUCAUAUGAAAAAAUAGUAUUAAACAAGGUUUUGAAUUUUCAUUUUUAAAAAUAGUUUUCAUUUUUUAAUUAAACAUAUUUUCUAAAAGAGACCAUAUAGAAAAUAAAAAUUAUUUAAAAAAUAAUAAAAAAUAAAAAAUAGAAAAAUAUUUUUAAACCAAACUCAAACACAAUCUAUAUAAUUUUUAUUUUUAUUUAUCUGAAAUGAGUAAAUAUACCUUUUAACCCUUUUAUUUAAGAAAAAUUUAAUAUCUACUAUAUAUAGUUAUAAUUCACUUCUAAAAUUAAGUCAUACAAAAACAUUUUAAUUGUAUAUUUAAAAUAAAAACUCUUCAUCCAUCCUAUUUCUCUCUUUUACUCUUUUUUUUUGGAUAAAUUUUCAAUUAAUUCAAAUCAUUAAAAAAAAAUCUUUAUUAAACAAAUUUACAACAUUUCAUAUAACUUAUUACUAAAAGUCAUGUUCAAAAAGUUAUUAAAACAAGAAAGAAAGAAUUUUUUUAAAAAUAAAAAAGUAAAAAAUUGAACCUUUUAGUUUAUAAUAGGAAAAAGAAAAUUUUAAAAUACUUUUUAGUAUAAAAGAAAAGAAAAUAGUGAAUGUAUUUAUUUUAAAUAGUGUUUUAAUCAUUAAAUUAUUUACUUCUAAAAUAUAAAAGAUAAUUUUUAUUUAUUUAAAUUAACAUUUUUUAGAAAACAUUUUUCAAAAUAGUUUUUAAAUCAUCAAUAUAAUUUUUGUUUAUUUAUAAUUUAAAAAUAUAAAAUAAUGUUAAUUUUUCAAUUAUUUAUAAAAAAGUUUAAAAAAACCAAUGAAAAAUAAAAAAAUGGUUAAAGAAGAGAGAAUGUGUUAAUAGUGGCAUGUAAAGAGUGGUAGAAUAAAGACAAAAAUGAGUAAAGGGGUAUUUGUGUCCAUUAUCAUCUCAUCUCCUUGUAAUCAAUUAUGAGUGAUAGGAGGACUUUAGCUUAAUUAUCCACCCCAACUGGGGUGAAAACACAAUUCUCCCUAAAUUCUAUAUUCCAAAAACAAUGAUAAUAUUUACACAAUAUUAUUGUCAUUCAAAGUGGGAAAAAAAUAUACAAAUAAAAAUUUCAAAAAAAAUUAGAGAUUACAAAGAAUAUAAGGAUACGAUGAAUGUGAGGAUUGUCAUAUUUUUCAUACCCUCCUCACAUUCUUCAUGCCCCAACUCAUUUGAAUAUUUUAAUCUUUUAAUUUUUCCAAACAUUAUUUACUUCAAUUGCAAGUGUAAUUAGUGUUUUUACACAAUAUUAUUGUCAAAUGAAGUAAAAAAAAAAUUCAAAAUUAAAAUUUUUAAAACAUUUAGAGGGUACAAAAAUGUGAAGAGGGUACAAAGAAUGUGAAGAGCCUCGCAUUUCUUGUACCCUCCUCACAUUCUUCAUACCUAUUGCAAUUUUAAAAUUUUUUAAUCUUUCAAUUUUUUCGAACAUUAUUUGCUUCAAUUUCAAGUGUAAUUAAGAUUUUUACCCAAUAUUAUCAUCUAGUGAUGUGAAGAAAAACUUAAAAUUAAAAAAUUUUAGAGGGUGCAAAAAAUGUGAGAAUAGUAUGAUGAAUGUGAGGAGGGUGCAAGGAAUGUAAAAAGGGUAUGAGAAAUGUGAGGGUACAAGAAAUGAAUAUAUAUAUAUAUAUCAUACUCUCCUCACUUUAUUUGUACCCCUACAAAUUUUUUAAUAUUUUAAUCUUUUAAUUUUUUUGAACAUUAUUUGCUUCAAUUUCAAGUGUAAUUAGUCUUUUUACAAUAUAUUAUUGUCAAGUUACUUAAAAAUAAAAAUUUAAAACAAUUUAGAGGGUACAACAAAUGUGAGGAGGGUGCGAGAAAUGUGAAGAGGGUACAAGAAAUGAAAAAACAAUAAAAAAUAAAUUUCUUGUACUCUCCUCACAUUCUUUGUAUUCCCACCAAUUUUUGAAUAUUUUAAUUUUUUUCGAAUAUUAUUUGCUUCAAUUUCAACAAAAUUCUUGUACCCUCCUCACAUUUUUCAUACCCCACCAAUUUUGUAAAAUUUCAAUAUUUUAAAUUUUUUUUAACAUUAUUUAUUUCAAUUUCAAGUGUAUUGAGUCUUUUUACACAAUAUUAUUGUUGAGUGAAGUGAAAAAAAACAUAAAAUUAAAAUUUUCAAAAAAUUUAAACAAAAAAUGUCAAAAGGGUAUGAAGAAUGUGAAUAUGGUACAUGAAAUGUGAGGGUAUAAGAAAUGAAAAAACUAAAUUCUCAUACCCUUUUCACAUUUCUCGUACCUUCCUCACAUUCUUUGUAACUUCACAAACUUUUGAAUACUUUAAUCUUUUAAUUUUAACUCAUCUAACCCUUAUAAACAGUGUCAUCAAGGAAUAUGAGCUCAAAAUAAGAACCAUUGGGAUCCAUAGGAGUACUAGCUCUCUUAGAAUAAUAUUUUGAAAUUGAUUCAACAUCUCACUACAAAGAGUCAACUGCACUUUAAUACCCUAUGUAUAUUACAACAAGACACCAAGUACUUGGAUAUGUGAUCUACUAUCUAUUGCAUGCAAACUCUCUAUAAACCGGUGUCUGUAAUCUAAUAAGGUAGUGUUGUCACCUAUCAAAAUUACCCCUCAAAUCCUUUAGUUACAGAUCUCACUUAUUAUGUGAUCAAAUGACAUUCUACCUCCAAAGAGCAUAUGUUAAAUUCCACUAAAGGAAUUACUAUGGCCACAUAUUUCAUUAUCACAUGUCCUCUGGAUCACCCCAGGGGACAUAUUGUCUCAAUCCCAUGAGAUAUCAUGGUGCCUCUAUUGAGAAUACCUAUUGUCAUCAACCUCCAUAAACAGUGACCCAAUUCAUAGGGAUAUAUGACCACUUUAGGGUUUCACUCAUAGGUUAAAGUCUUCUAUUAAUUUUGGCACAAACUCAAUAUCCUCUAAGGUUGAGAGUCUAUGCAUUAUAGUAGCUUGGUGAAUCAUGACAAUUGAUAGUCUUGCAUCAUGAUUCACCGUAGGUCCUAUCUAGUGUGUAUCACAUACACUAGUACACUCAUCAUAGGAAACCCAUCCCAAUGACCAAGACCAGUCAUCCCUCCAAUUAGGAGGUAAUGCACUAUAGUCUUUCCACUUUGGAAAGCCCAAGGCCUUUUAGCCUAUACCAUCAAAGGGGCAAAAUCAUCAUUAGAAAGCAUCAUCGUGGCAAGCGGAAUCGAAAUUGCAUGUGGCAAGGUCAGGAUAACAUUUAACCAAAUACAGUGCUACAUCUACAUAUUGUAAAAUUGUACAUGGGAACACAACAAUAAUUCAUAUCAAGAAAGUAGAUAGGGGAUAGUAAAUAUAGCUCACCAUGAAAUCUCACCAUUAGAGCUAUGUACAGAAGUUUGAAUCCAGGCAAGUCUGGGGGAAGGACUUGGAUCUACAUAUCUUUGGUGACGCUUAAUAAAUAUAAAGUUAGAUCUUCAUGACCAUAGCUAACAGCGGAGUGAAGUGGCGUUUAAUUGUUGCAUUGGCAAAUAUUGGGCAAGCUUGGCUUUUUGUUCACUAACAACUUGGCUGUUUUAUAUUGCCAGCCCUCAGAAUGUUGAAAAAGGCAAUGGCGUUAUCAGAGUCCUGCAAAUCCAGUGCCUCACUUGGCAUGAACUCAACCAACUUCUCCACAAAACCCAUGUUGGCCACUCCUAACUCAAUUGCUAAGUGAAGCACUGGGGCACCAUCUGUUCCAAUCAGGGCAGAGAUUGAAUUUGAAUAAUGCCUCAAGAAUAUUGAAGCACUUUUCCAAUCACCAUUGAGUACAGCUUGGUAUAGUUCCAAAAAAAAGGUUAAAUCUUUUUUAAAUAAUUUUGCAGUCACAAAACCAAAAGAUGUAUAGGUCAGCAUAGAUUUCCCUGAUAUGUAUCUUUAUUUCUUCAACAUUCACAACCUCCUAAUACUAAAAUUAUCUUUUAAAAAAAUAAAUCAUUUAAGUUAUGUUUCCUUCUCAAAAAAUUUGAGAAAAAAUACAAAAAAAAAAAUAAACAAAAAAAAUAGAAAGAAGGAAAAAGUGAAAAAUAAAAAUAAAAAAUAGACUUAAAAUCAAUAAAUUAAUUAUUUUUAUAUGUUAUUUUAAACUCAUUUUCCUUGAUAUCUCUUCUUUCCUAAGUAUUUUCUUGGAACCAAACAUAAAAGUUUUAUCUAAAUUUACCUCUAAUCAAAAUCUUCAUAUCUUUCAAUAAUAGUUUGAACCUUUAAUAAACUGCACCAAUUAAAAUUUAAUUUAAUUUAGUUUCUUUUUUUUGCUUUUUUUUAAUAGUGGGUUUUAAAACACUUCAACUUACAUAAUAAAUAUGCCCAAAAGUUGCAGGAGGACCUCAAACGGAAAUGGACAUGAACAUGGUUUUCAGCAUUUUACCGGAGUUGCUAGAGGAAACCACUUAAACAUAUUCAUCGGUAAGGUGAGCAAUUUCGAUGACCUUAUUUCUUUCCGAUGAUGAAGGGGAAGAGACUGAAGCAUAUUCAUCAGCAUUAUGCACCAUAUUGAUGCUACUACAGUUAAGAUUGUUUGGACUUGUAGGAAGAGUGUAAAAAAAAUUUUAUUCUAUUUUAUUCGAUUAGUCUUAUUUUUUGGGAAGAAUCCUGUUGGGAAUUAUAUUUAUUUUAUUUUAUUCUAUUAGUCUUAUAUUUAUGGGAAAAGUCCUAUUGGGAUUGUGCUAGUGGAGUCUCACUUCUUUCAUAAGUAGAAUCCCCUUCCACUUUGAGUCAUGUUCUGAUUACAAGUGUUAGUGGCCUAUAAAAGAAGGUCACCUCUCACUCUCUAAAUAUGAAUACCAAUUUUUUAGAGAGUCUUUUCAUACAUCUAUCUGGAUGAAUAUUUUCAAAACUCGAGUUGUACACAUCUCGCUUACUGAGUACACCCAAGGCGAGAUAUGGUUGUUGAAUCCUGGAGGUAGACCACUGGUACCUUAUAGCAUCGAGUUCGUCUUUGAAGAAGGUGGAUCUAUUUCAAGGACGGUGUUUGUCAUGCCUCAGUCGAUAAGUUUUUCUUCUUAUUAAUUCUAUUCUUUGUUUGUGUCUUUUGGGCUAGUCAUUUGUUUCCAUACCCUUAAAUCCAAUAAUCUUGAAAUAUAUCCAAACGGAAGCUUCUCUAGUUCACACCUAUCCUGACACCUCUAAAAUUGAUCCCUUCAAUGGGACAUUCUUUAAGAAAUGGCAGGAAAGGGUUUUAUCUACGAUUGAUGUAGAGAACUUGGGACACAUUUUGACUUACCCAAAACCAGAAUAUGGUUCUCAUCUGUUACCAACUUGGGAAACUGGAAAUAAACAAGUUAGUCAUGCUAUUCAGAGUACCCUUUCUAAUGAACUUUUUUAUAUUUAUCGUUAAUUUAAAGUUGCAAAAGAAAUUUGGGAUGCAAUGAAUAAAAAAUAUAUUUUGGAAGAUGCAGGAACUCAGAAAUAUGCCAUAAGGAAUUUUAGAAAUUUCCAAAUGACCGAGGAUAGAGAUGUAUCAUCUCAAAUCCAUGACUAUCACUUGUUGAUUAAUGACUUAGCUAUUGAAGACAUUAAAUUACCCGAACCUUUUGUGGCUGGUUAUUUAGUAGAGACUCUUCUAGAGUCUUGGAAAGACUAUAAAAAUAACAUGAAACAUAAAAUGAAACACAUGUCCCUAGAGGAUGUCAUAAUCCAUAUUAGGAUUGAGGAAGAAAACCGAAAUAGGGACAAUGUUAAGAAAGUUAAGGAAUUGUCUUCUAAGCCUAAUGUAGUAGAAGGAAAACCUAAACCCAAAAACAAUAGGUCCAGGAAACAAAACUCUAGGACCAAACCCUAUGCAUCAAACAAGGUCCAGAACUCAACUAUUAAAAAAUGGGGUAAUUGCUUUGUCUGUGGCAAGUCUGACACCAUGCAGUUCAAUGUCGCCACAGGAAGAGAACUAAGAAGUCCCAUUCAAAGGCAAAUCUGGCAGAGACAGGGGUGAUCAUAGUAGUAAUGUCCUCUAAGGUGAGCAUGGUCACCAAUAUGAAGGACCGGGUGGUAGACUCUAGGGCUACCAGGCACAUCUAUGGGAAUAGAAGUGCAUUUACUUCCUAUACCACUAUAAAGGAAGGAGACGAACAAGUGUUCAUGGGUGAUUCUAGAUCUACUACAAUGAUUGGCAAAGGGAAAGUUCUCGUUAAGCUAACCUCUGGAAAAGUGCUUGCCCUUAGUGAUGUUCUUCAUGUGCCAGAUAUCCGCUAGAACUUGGUGUCAGUAUCUCUGCUUGGGAAAGCAGGAGUGAGGAUCUUGUUUGACUUUGAUAAAAUAGUUUUAACCAAGAAUAAUGCAUUUAUGGGAAAGGGCUAUUGUAAUCAAGGUUUAUUUAUGUUGAAUGUUUCUAAUAUUAUCAAUAAUAAUGCAUCUUCUUCUUCUGCUUACAUAGUUGAUUCUUGUGAUAUUUGGCAUGGUAGACUAGGACAUGUGAACUUUUCAUAUAUGAAGAAAAUGGUUGAAUUGAGUUUAAUCCCUAAACUAUCAUUAGAAAACCAUGGAAAAUAUGAAUCUUGUGUAGAAUCUAGAACCACAAAGAAAUCUUGUAAAUCAGUUGAAAGAGAAUCAGAUCUACUAAGUUUAAUACAUAGUGACUUAGGAGACCUAAAAAAAUACAAUGACUAGAGGUGGUAAACGGUUCUACAUAACUUUCCUAGAUGACUACUCAAGGUAUAUAAGGGUAUAUCUUUUGAGAAACAAAGAUGAAGUAAGAGAUGCUUUCAUAAAGUACAAAAAUGAAGUGGAAAAUCAACUAAGCAAGAAAAUUAAAAGGCUUAGAACAUAUAGGGGAGGAGAGUAUGAGUCCAACCCCUUUAAUUCUUUUUGUGAAGAUCAUGUGAUCAUUCAUGAAACUACUCCUCCUUAUUCCCUUGAGUCUAAUGAAGUAGCAGAAAGGAAAAAUAGGACCUUAAAAGAAAUUAUGAAUGCAAUGUUGGUAAGUUCAGGAGCACCUUUGAACUUGUGGGGGGAAGUUAUCCUAUCCACAUGUCAUAUUCAAAAUAGAAUAUCUUACAAGAAAACUGGUAAAACUCCUUAUGAGUUGUGGAAGGGUUAUGCACCUAAUAUAGCAUACCUGAAAGUGUGGGGGUGUUUAGCUAAAUUUCUUCUCCCUGAACGUAAAAACGAAAACUAGGUCCUAAAACCUUUGAUGCAAUGUUCAUUGGCCAUGCUGAGAAUAGUACGAUAUAUAGGUUUCUUGUUACUAAGUUAGAUAACAGCCUUGUAGAUGUCAAUACUAUAAUAGAAACAAAGAAUGCAAGUUUCUUUGAAAACAUCUUUCCUAUGAAACUAAAUGGUGAACAACAAGUUUAGAAAACAAGUAGAGACAAGUCUAUUGAACCUUCUGAAUUUGAACUUAGAAUGAGUAAAAGAGAUAGGAAAUAAAAAAACCUUGGAGAUGGUUUCUACUCCUUCCUAAAAGAUGAGGACCCUAGAUCCUAUAAAGAAACUAUAACUUCUCUUGAUACACCAUUCUGAAAGGAGGCCAUUAACAGUGAAAUCGAAUCAAUCAUGUACAACCAUACAUGGGAGUUAGUAGAUUUACCUCCUUGUGAAAAGACUAUUUGUUGUAAGUGGAUCUUUAAAUGAAAGUUAAAACAAGAUGGGUCCAUAGAGAAGUAUAAAGUUUGUUAAUUUGCCAAAGGCUUUAAACAAAGGAAUGAUGUAGAUUACUUUGACACCUUUGCCCUAAUGACUAGAAUAGCGUCAAUUAGUGUAUUGAUCAAUCUAGCUUCCAUUCAUAAUUUGGUGAUACACCAAAUGGAUGUCAAAAAUGCAUUCUUGAAUGGGGAUCUAGAAGAGGAAAUUUAUAUGGAACAACCUGAGGGUUGUGUAGUUCCAGGGAAGGAGAAAAAGGUGUGUAAGUUGGUUAAAUCAUUAGAUGGAUUAAAACAAGUUCCCAAACAAUGGCACAACAAGUUUGAUCAUGUGUUAAUAACUAAUGGAUAUUCCAUUAAUGAUGCUGAUAAGUGUAUCUACAGCAAGUAUGAGAAUAACACAUGUGUAAUCAUCUGCCUUUAUGUUGAUGACAUGUUGAUCUUUGGAACUAGCCUAGAGGUUGUGCGUGAGACCAAGAAAUUCCUAGGUUCUAAGUUUGAUAUGAAAGACCUAGAAGAGGCAGAGGUGAUUCUAGGAAUUAAAAUAACUAAAACACCUAAUGGGCUUAAACUUUCUCAAGAGCACUAUGUUGAAAAGAUCCUAAGGAAGUUUGAACACUUUGAUUGUAAACCAGUGUCAACUCUUUAUGAUCCCAGCUCACAGCUGAAGAAAAAUAGAGAACAUAGUGUUGCCCAAAUAGAGUAUGCUCAGAUCAUAGGGAUCUUAAUGUACUUAAUGAAUUGUACCAGACCUGACAUUGCUUAUGCAGUAGGUAGAUUGAGUCGGUACACCCAAAGUCCUAAUAAGGACCAUUGGACUGUUGUUCGUAGAGUCCUUAAGUAUUUGAGAGGCACCAUUAACUAUGGUUUGUGCUUAGUGGAUUUCCAAUUGUCCUUAAAGGAUUUAGUGAUGCAAAUUGGAUCUUAGAUUCAAAUGAGAUGAAAUCCACUAGUGGAUAUGUUUUCAUCCUUGGUGGAAGUGCAGUUUCUUGGAAGUCUGCCAAGCAAACUUGCAUUACUCGGUCUACUAUGGAGGUUGAGUUUAUGGCCUUAGAAAAGGCAAGUUUUGAGGUUAAGUGGCUUAGAAACCUCUUAACAGAUAUCUCUUUUUGGACGAGACCGGACCUGUCUAUGUCUAUACAUUGUGAUAGUCAAGCUGCAAUCGCUAAGAGUAAAAUAUUUAAUGGGAAUAACAAACAUAUACGCCUAAGGCACAAUAUUAUGUGGUAACUGCUUGAAAUAGGGGUUAUAUCCCUAGAAUUUGUGAGGUCAGAGUUGAAUUUGGAUGAUCCUUUGACCAAACCACUAAAUAAAAAACUAGUGGAAGAAACAUCGAAGGGGAUGGGGCUUAUGCCUAUUACAGAAGUCAAGAGUGGUGGUAACCCAACCUAUUAAAAUGGAAAUUCCAUGAAGUAGGUUCAUGUGGAUAAUAACAAAUCACUUGUUGACUUGAGGCACUUUAUUAACUCUAAUUGUAUGAGAGUCUAUCCCUAUGGUGUAGAUAGAGCGUAUUCAACAUUGAUUAAGGUUGAGUGUUUACUCUUAAUGAAUACCAUAUUCCUUAUGGAUGGUAUGUUUAAAUGCAUAACAUACUAGAUAGAUUCACCUAUAUGAGAGUGGAGGUGGGGUCGCUUCCUAUGAGAACUUAGGCAGGUUCUCUAGAGCUCUCAUGAAUAUCCAGGUAGGGUGCAUGACCUAUUUGUGCCAACCCGUUUGUACAGCUCGUAGUGUAGUUGAGAAAACCAAUGUGGAUAAAAGUCCCUUGAGUUACAUCGAGAAACAGUGGUUCAUAGAAAUUUAUUUUCACCGUGUUUUGUGAUUCAAUACUUAUUUGUCCUAAGAAUGGUUCAUAGCCUUUGGGCAAUAGUACUAAUGGAUUGGAUUCUUUUUUCCUCCAAAAAAAGAAAAAAAAAAUCACAUUUACACUAUGUGGGGGAUUGUAUGAAGUGUGUAAAUAAUUUUUUUUUUGAUUUUAUUCUAUUAGUCUUAUAUUUUUGGGAAGAAUCCUAUUGGGAAUUAUUUUUAUUUUAUUAGUCUUAUAUUUUUAGGAAGGGUCCUAUUGGGAUUGUGCUAGUGGAGUCCCAUACCUUUUAUAAAUAGAAUCCCCUUUCACUUUGAGUCAUGUUAUAAUUACAAGUAGAGUCCCAUUGGGACUGUGUUAGUGGCCUAUAAAAGAAGGUCACCCCUCACUCUCUAAAUAUGAAUACCAAUGUUUCAGAGAUUUUUUCAAAGAAUUUUUCAAAGUCUUUUCAUACAUCUAUCUGGAUGAAUUUUUUCAAAACCUGAGUUGUACACAUCUCGCUUAUAGAGUACACCAAAGGUGAGAUUUGGCUGUUGAAUCCUGGAGGUAGACCACUAAUACCCUACUGCACCGAGUUCGUCUUCGAGGAGGUUGGAUCUAUUUCAAGGACAGUGUUUGUCACACCUUAGCCGAUAAGUUUUUCUUCUCAUUAAUUAUGUUCUUUGUUUGUGUCUUUUGGGCUAGUCAUUUGUUUCCAUAUCCUUAAAUCCAACAGGACUGUCAUCGAUUAUGAGAGUGGUAAUGAAGAGGAAGCCAUUACAUCAAAUUCCUCCUCAUGCUCAGCAAUGUCGAUUUUACUGUUGUUAGGACUAUUUGCGCUGUUGUCAUCUUUAGGAUGUGGUGAAGAAGAAGAAGCCAUUAUAUCAAAUUCCUUAUCAUGUUGAUAGCCAUUCCCAUGUUUAGUGAAGUUAUUAUAAUGUGUAACAGAAAACCUAAACAAAAUCUGAAGUUGACAGAGGUCAACAUUAACUAACUUACCUCGCAGAUGGAUUUGUUAUCCACGAUGGAAGAAAUAUUUAACUAUACCAAGGCAAAGAAGAUACUCUUAUCCAAAGAUAAACAACAACAACCCAUUUUUCCCACUAUCCUCAAAAGAUACAUAAAAUCGACCAAGGACCAUUGAAGCAUAAGAGGUGAAAUGGUGAAGUCUUCCAAGUCAACUUUGUUUAUUAAUUAGUUGAGUAUUUUCUAAGAAGUAGAUAGUGUUGAAACGUUGACCGGUGGAUGACAAUUGAAAAUAAUAAGCAUAUAUGAUUUAUCCAUUUUUUAAUGGUAGGAUUUCCCUCAAGCUAUUGUCAAAUAUAGAUAUAACCCCCUUGGUGCCCUGUUUGCAUCACAUCAUUAGUUUUGAUUUUUCUUUUUUUAUAGAAAUUAUGCCUAAUUGACAAAACUCUUAAUUAUAUAUUUAUAUAUAUAUAUAUAUGAAAAUUUCACCGAAAUAUCGCAUUUUAGUUGUUGUAGAAAUGAAAUAGGGUUGCAAAAUAUCGGAGGGGUGAAAUUAAAAAAAAAAAAUCAGCAUGUUUUGUCGAUAUUUUGGAUUUUUACCUAUUUAUCAACAAUUUUGCCGAUUUUUCAAUUUGGUCAAUGCGCAGGUGGUCUGGUCAAUGCGUAGUGAAAUGGUCAAACCCUUAAAAAUCUUAAAAUGUGACUUGUUGUAGGCACUAGGACUCUAAUCCAAACCCAAAACAAACAAACAUAGCCUUGGUCGACCAGUAGGCUAACUUGCCUAUUUAUUAAAGUAAAGGCACCAUAUAAAUAUAUCAUAAAACCGUCAUAAAAAAGAUAUUAAAAGAAUAUUUUAAUAAACAAAUUAUUUCUAAUUAUUUUAUUUUAAAUUUCAUUUAAUUGAUCACUAAAAAUAUAAAAAAUGUAGCUAUAAUUUUCUUAACAGAUUUUUUUUAUAUCAUUUAUAUAUUAAUUAAAUAUAAAAAUAUGAAUAUUAAAAAAAUUAUGCAUAUAUGAUCAUUUAUUUUAUAUCAUCUAAUACAAUUGAAAUUAAAUGGAUUAUAAUUUUAAAAUUAGAUAUACUAUAAUCAAAUAUUACAACAUUAUUGUUGAAUAAUAUUUAAUAUAAUUUAAUAAUAAAUAUAUAUUUAUAAAAUUCAUAUUUUUUUAUCAACCAUAUGAAAUUAUUAUCAAAUAUGAUUAACUAUAUCAUAUACAUAUACCAUUUUCUUUUUAUAAAAUAACUUUAAAAUAUCAAUUAUUGCUUAUUAUAUCGUUUUUAUAGUUUUCUUAUCAAUUUUGGGCUUACUGAUAUUUUGUGUCAAAAUAUCUAUCGAUAUAUCUAAUAUAUCCAUAAAAUCAAAGUACCGAUCUAUCUAUGAUUAUCGAUAUUUUUAUCUUUAUAUAUAUGCCUUUUAAGUAUGGUAAUAGCUAGAAAAAUAAAGUACGAUGUCAAAAUUACUAAGAAGGUUACUUGACCAAUUGACAAGGUAAAAUGUCAAGAAUACUUAAAUAUGAGUAAUCAUGGUAAAAAUACAAUAAACUUACUGGAAAUAAAUUCUUUUCAUUCAAUGUAUAACAACAUUUGUGAUUGAGGAAUAGGGUUACUAGAAGUUAGGAGUUGCAGGAUGACCUCAAGUGACCCAUAUAAGGCAUUUUUACUCAUUACACAUGGUUUAUAUAUAUAAGACCUACAAUUAGGUCUAUAGAAGAUGAAUUGAAAAGAUAAUUUAGACAUUUCAUCAUGUUUUGUCUUCGUACAUAGAAAUUUUCAGACUUACUCAACCUUUGCGCAAUUACAUUUAGGUUUUAUUCCUUAAACAAUAUAUUUUUUUAAAUUAAACUAGAAAAAUUGGAUGAAAAUGAAAUUCAUGCUUUUGGACAUAAACAACAUGCAAUUGUAUGCAUUAAUAGAAAUUUUGCAUUUAACAAUCUUUGUAGUAGUUACUUUUUUAGGCGUUAUGAACUCUUAAACAUAAUUUUCCUUUUCUUUUUCUUAUUAAAACUAGAAGUCUUAGAUAAAAAUAUGGCUUCUUGCUUAUGAGAUUCUCUUCAAUCUCUAAGAGAUAUUUGGUGAUAUGGGUAGAUCAACUAGUCAAGUUGCUCUUAAAACUAUUAUGAAUACCAAGAUGACAGAAGGAACUCUCAUUAGAAAUUAUAUGACUCAUAUAACUAGACUCUUUAACAAGAUGGGGAUUCUUAGAGCUAAAAUCAAUGGUGAGACCAAGGUCAAUAUGAUCUUAGAGACCUUAUUGGAUUCCUUCAAACAGUUAAAGCUCAACUAUUCCAUGGAUAAGAUGUUGAUGAACUAGCCAGAGUUGAUGAGGGAACUCUAAAUGGUUGAGGGGAUUUUCAAAGAACAAAGGGUUGUUCAUAUGGUAGUUAGAGGUUCUUUAGGUUUUUCUAACAAUAAAAAGAAGAAAUAGAAAAACACUAAAUAGGGAAUGUCCAAGGUUAGGAAAGGAAAUAACAAAGGAAAGGGCAAGUGCUUCCUUUGUGGCAAAAAGGUCAUUAGAGAAAAAAUCACUUCACUACCUAAACAAAAAAAAAAAAAGGAACAUUUCAUUCACUUUUAGUUGAAUCUUGCUUAGUGGUGGAUUCUACCAUUUCAUGGUAGAUAGAUUUUAGGGCUACUGACCAUAUUUGUAAUUAACUAUUCCAUGAAUAAGAUAUUGAUGAACUAGCCAUAGUUGAAGAGGGAACUCUAAAUGGUUGAGGGGAUUUUCAAAGAACAAAGGGUUGUUCAUAUGGCAGUUAGAGGUUCUUCAAGUUUUUCUAAUGAUAAAAAGAAGAAGAAUAAGAACAAUUUCAAAAAAACAUUGAAUAGGGAAAGUCCAAGGUUAGGAAAGGAAAGGGAAAGUGCUUCCUUUAUGGCAAAAAGGGUCAUUUGAAAAAAAUAUGACUUAACUUCCUAAAGAAAAAAAAUUACAUUUCGUUCACUUUUAGUUGAAUCUUGCUCAAUAGUGGAAUCCACCAAUUCACGAUAGAUAGAUUUUGGGGCCAUUGACCAUAUUUGUAAUUCUUUACAAGGAUUCUAACUAAGGAGAACAUUGAAUGAAAGCAACAUAUACUUGAUUCUAGCUUCUUAUGCAAGAAUAGUAGUGUAGGCGCUAAGAGAUGUUACCCUAGUAUUAGGCAUAAAUUUUAAAAGGUGUGAUUUAGGCGUGCCUAGGUGCAAGGCAGCACAACGCGAAGCUCUAGCACCUUGCCUUACUCUAAGCACAACUCACUAAGGAAGGCACUACUUAAGGGUGUAAGACCCUCGCCUUCAGUUAGGUGUAAAGCUCUGGAGACGUGUGCUUCUUCCAUUUUUUUUCUUCUAGAGAGGUGUGUCUUCCAUUCUUUUCAUCCAUUCUUCUUCUUAUUCUUUUCUUUAUCACGAUCUAUUAGGGCCUUUUUUUUUUUUUUUUAUUUCACCUCAAAACACAACAUUUUUAGUUGAACAAUUUUAUUUAUUUUUUAAAUAUCUAAGCUAUAAUCGGAUUGUGACAAAGAAAAGAAGAAGAAGAACUGAAGAAAAAGAGAUGAGAAAAAAUAUAUAUAUGUAUUGCUCCAAGUUUUAUGAGCUUUCUCAAUUAGAUUUUUUUCUUUUUCUUUUUGGAUAAUAUUUGAUGAAAUAUGUGCUUAGGACAAAUAAAUGGUUAUUAAUUUUAAUUAUAUUAUAUGUGAAUUAUGGUGCACCUCACUUCACUACAAUUUGCACCUUAGGUUGCACCUUACACCUAGGCUCCAUGAGGACAUUAUGCCUUAGAUGUGUCUUGCACCUUUUAGAACUAUGGUAUUAGAUAAUAAAGGUCAUCUUAAACUUAAGCAUUAUAUUUACUUACUUGAGUCUAGAAAGAAUCUUAUUUUUAGUUUUUGACUAAGUAAACACAAUUACUUGGUUUAUUUUAAUGAAAAGGUUUUUAUUAGAAAAAAAAAUUCAUUUAUUUGUUCAGGCCCAUUUGGAUGACGAUCUAUAUCAUAUCACUUCAUCUCAUUUAUGAUUGUGUUGAGAAAAUCAAAUCUCAUUAAAGAGGAAAGUACCUAGCAUUAAUCAAACCUUGUUAUGACAUCUUAACCUAGGUCAUAUUAAUCUAAAUAAGAUCCAAAGAUUAGCUAAGUUUGGAACAUUGCACUUUUUUGUUCUAGAGGAUCUUCUAGUAUAUGAAUCCUGUAUAGAAUGUAAAAUGAUUGACAAACCCUUUAUAACUAAAAGACUUAGAGACAAAGAUUAUUUGGAAGUAAUGCAUGCUAAUGUGUAUAGACCUUUUAAUGUCCAUGUACAUGGAGGACAUGAAUAUUUCAUUACCUUUAUUGAUGAUUACUCUAGGUAUGGUUAUUUUUAUCUUAUGCAUAUGAAAUUUGAUGUCUUGGAUAAGUUCAAGAAGUUCAAGGUGGAAUUGAAAAAGUAUUUGUUGGGAACUUCAAAUUACUCCAUUCCCUGGCCUCGAACCACAUAGGGUGCAUGCAUCUAUCCUAGGCUUUUCUCAAUCUAAUGUAGUGGGAAUAUAUAGUAUCAAGAACUAUAUUAAGAUCUAGAUCUAGAGGUUAAAGUAUCACACCUACAAUCUGGAUGUUCCAAGAUCAAUGCAUGUUUGAUGCAAAUUCUAAAACUGCGGUAGUCAUCGUAGAAUUUGUCUACCCAAGAGUCUUCUAUUUGAUCUCUCCCUCCAUGGGUCUAAGCAUAAGAGAAGGGUAGGCUUCUCUCUCUCCCAUGAGGGUAGCUAGGGUUUCUCUUUGGAGGCUUUCUCUCUAGAGGCUUUCUACUUCAAAAUGAUAGGCAAAAGUUUGAAACCCUAAACCUUAAAAGGGUAUUUAUUGGGCGCCUUGUGGGUUUCAAUUACUUGAUCUCAAAUUAGGCUUAAGUCACUAAUCUAGCCUACCUAGGUCCUACUUAAUUAAUUAGGCCUAUUAGUUGUCUCUUCAUUCCAUCGAUUACUGGUAUUGUGUGUGAUACCAGACACACCGACAACCAAUUAGUUGCAUUUUGCAUAAUUUCCUUACAAACAAUCCUAGGAGUGAUAUUGCCCAUGAUAAGAUCGAACUACACAUUUUUAUUAUGGUGGCAUUACUACACGGAAUAAACCAAAAGGGAGUUUGGUUCCUUAGUGAAAUUUUUUAGUACAUUAUUUCCCUACCACAACAACGACAAUCAAUUCUACCCACCAGAAUUAUUUUCCACAGUUAACCGCCAAAUUCAAUUUUGUCACCAUUUGGCAUAUGAUUAAAAGGUUGUAUGUUUUGGUAGAGUGGGGUCACAUCAUAUUUCAAAAUAAGUCUAAAAGUGUGUUUGACAAUAAUUUUAGGAAGUGUUUUUAAUCUUUCUAAUAUUUAAAAUUUUUUAUCUUUCAAGUAUUAAAAAUAUUAGAAACACUUCUUAUAAUCAUUGUCAAACGCACUUUAAGUAUAGGAUACACAGUUUUUUCCCCAUUAUAGACAAAAUAAAUAAAUAAAUCUAAAUGUCACUCCAUCUCAUUUAACUUAGAUAGUCAAAGUAUGUCUGUGUGUUUUUAUAAAUUUUUUGUGGCCAUUUUUAGCAAGGAUAUAUUCAUGAAAAAAAUUACUGAAUAAAAAAAGUAAUUGAUUUAUGAUUCAAUAUUCAAAUCCAUAGUUGAACUGUAAUGUGACAAAUAUAUAAUUUAUAUAUAUAUAUAUAUAUAAAUUAAAAAAAUAUAUAAAAAUUAAAUUAUGUACAAAUAAUUAAAUAUUUUCCUUAAUAUUAGAAUAGUAUAUCAUAAUCAUCAUAAAAUAUAAAUGUGCUAAUAUUUUUAUUUUAUUAAAUAGUAAUAUUAUAGUAUUUAAUUAUAAAAAUAUUAUAUAUAAAUAUUUAAUACAUUUAUUAUUAAUAACUAACAAUGUACUACUACAUUCAAAUCAUUUGCCUAGAGGCCAUUUAUUCCUGAUGUGAAUCUUUUUUUAGCAGAAAAAUGUGUGAUAUUUGAAGAUGAAAAAGUCGAGAAAAAGUGUGACAUACUAUGUGGGGCACUAAUAGACAACCAUUGAUGUGAGCUGAUAUGCUGUAUCUACACUUUUAUCUUCAAAUAUCACACAUUUUUUGUUUUCAAUGCUAGAGAUUAGAAUUACAAGGUUUUAAUCAUGUAAAUAUUGUUUAUUUUAAGUCCAAAGGACAUGUUCAUAAAAUUUAAAAAACUCAUAUAUAUAAGAUAUCAAUAACUUUUUCCUUUUGUUGGAUGUGGGAUAUUACAAUCAUCUUCUAAGAUGUGUUUCCAUAGGAUUGUAGUACUAAACAAAGAGACAUCCCUCACGAUAUCAAAGAAACUUAGUUAUGAAUUGAUUCUAGUAUCAUUUAUAAUGAUCAAGGAAAAAAGUUUCUUAAAUUAUAUAUUAAUGAACUCCUCUCAACCUUGUAAACAUAUUUUAAGGUUAUUAGAAUCCCUUAAGCCUAAAGUGGAUAUUAUUAAUUUACAUAAUUAAUUAAGAGUGAGUUGCUAUUAGAAAUUGUUUACACAAUUCCAUACUCUAUGCAUUGUUGACGAUUUAUACGUAUUUUUAUGGCAUGUCCAACUUAUUGGUAUUAAUUACCAACGGUCCCGCAUGUUUGAAAAAUAUUGAUAUGAUAGAACCAUCUUUAAAUUAUUAAAUUAUUAGUCAUAAAUAUAUAUUAAUGUACCACCAACCACCUGUGUAGCUUGCUGUGCUAAAUUAUUCUCAUAUCCUUUUCAACAUCAAAUAAGUGGAUAUAUGAGCACCGACAUGCUAUGUGAUUCUAAGCUAUUCCCAUUUCUUUUUCAAUGCAGAAUCUUAUUUAAUGUAAGCUUGAAUUUUAUCUCUUCCACAUGCUAAAUUAUUUAAUGCAAAAUAAGUGGAUAAAAUAUUCAUUUUUUUAAAUUAGCCGAUGAAGGAUCUCAAACCAAUCAAAGUGGAAAUUUUAGAGUCAAUUAUAGUGAAGGACUACAACUGAAAUACUAUUUUGUUUCAAUGCUACUUAAAAAUUGUGUUGUUUUUUUGGCUUAGCAAAAUUGUAGUUUAAAAUAUAUGGAGAAACAAACUUUUAAUUAACAUUUUAUAUUAGAUAUGAUAACGUUUAAUACAAAUGGACAAGAGAAAAUCAACAUCUAUGCAAUUGAUACAACUUUAUUGGUAUGAUUGAAGAUUAAGAGUAUGCCUACUGGUGUAAUUUAAAAAUUGUUUUUUAUUUUUAAAAUAGGAAAUUGUCUUUAAAAAUUCAUAACAUUAUUUAACCAUUGUUUCUUAUUUCCACUCUUCAAGAACAAAGGAAAAUGGAAAAUAAAUUUUAAAAAACCAGUAAAAAUUCUUUUCAUCAAUUUUUAAAAAGGAAAACAUAAAGAAAAACCAUAAAUAGAAAAUAAAAUUAAAUCUAAUAUCUUUCUUUUUCGAUCCUCAUUACCCAAUAUCAAUACCAAAAAUUUUCAAAAUGAUAUUUCUUUGAAUUUCAUGUGUUUUUCUAAAUUUCCUUCAACUUCUCUAAAAUUUUUCAUCAAGUAAAUGAAUUCAAAAUCAUAUUGUAAUUUAUUUAUAUUGAAAAAUUAUUUCAAACUUAAAAACCAAAUUAGUACUAUAAAGUUAUAAAACUCAAUAACAUUAAAAAAUUAUAGACCAAAAUUCAUUUGAAUGACUCGGCUAGUUUAUUUUUUUUGUAUAUAAUCAUAUUUUUGUAAAUUUUUAUACAAGCCAAGUCUAGCACUUUUUAAAAAUAAUUUUAAACUCAAAUUGUGACUCAAUUAAAUUUAUGGAUAAAAAAUAGUUUACUUUAUUAUUUCUUUUCUACUCAUAAUUACAUUUUUAUAGACUUUCUCACCAAAGAAAUGAACUUCAAAUCAUGAGACAAUUUGUAUUAAGUUUAUUAAUAAGUUUAAUAAUUUGUAAAAAUAAUUUUAAAAUAAAAAAAUUGAUGAAAUUAAUUGUAGAUUAAAUCAAAACAUUACAUAAUAUUCCUUUAUGCAUGUACUGUGUAAAACUUCACUCAUUUAUAUAUUAAAAUUUCAAAUUUUAUUUUGUAUAAUUUCAUUUGAAAUAAAAUAUUAUUAAUAACUAGUUUUAAAUUAUUAUUAUUUAUUUUUUACAAAAAAAUCAAUUAUGCUUUCAUAAAGAUGUUAAUAUCCAGAUUUUUAUAGUAUACACAAAAAUAGUAUAUUCUUUUAUAAUAAAAAAAUUAAUUUAUAGCUUUAUUAUAAUAUUACUAUUUGUAUUUUACCAAAACAAUCAUUUUAAAAAAAACUAUUUGCAAUUAAAAAAAUAUUUUCAUUUUUAGUAAAACAUGAAUUAAAUUUAAUUGAUAUUAUAUAAAUUCAAUUUAUAAUAUUUUUAUGAAAUCAAAAUGGAAAAUUAUUUUUAAAGUAAUUUAUUCAAACAAGGUUUUUAAUUUUUUUUUUUUUGAAACAAUUUGUCAAAGAUCCUUAUUUUUGUAAAAUAUUUAAAAACCGUUUUUUGUUACUUGUUUUAAAAAUAAUUUUUGAAAACAAGCAUAACAAAAUGACUGAAGGACCCCAAUCUUCUCAAUUCUCUUAGUUAAAAGAAUAAAUGGGCAAAAGAAAAAAAAAGGGUUGAAAUAAAUGAUAAACUUCUGCUUUGAUUCAAACUCUAAAUUUUACUCUAAUUCAAACUAAUAAUAAAUAUAUAAAUACUAAUAAUUAAAUUAAAGGCAAACAGAUAAAUUAUUUAUUUUCUCUAUUAGAAGUAUCUCCAAUCAAUCAAAGUAAAAGUUUUAGAGUCAAGGUGCACCAAAGUGAAGGACCCUGCCAAAAAGAAGAUUGUAUGGAUUUUUGUAGUUUAUUCAACAUGUUAACACCAAUGGUCCAAUAUGUUUUGAAAAACAUUGAUGUGCACAUUCACCCAAAAAUUAAGAGAUCAUAAUAUGCCUACUUUUUAUUUUUAUUUUAUAAUACGAGGAACAAGUGCCCACUCACCCAAAAAAAACAUGUUUCACAUGCACGAACCGGAUAAUUCUACACUACUGGAAUAUUGAUAUCAUAAUAUGCCUUCUUUUAAAUUUUAUCUAGUAAAGUCGUCAAACCCAUGCUUGGGCUAAUAUCUAGGAAUGCAGCCUUUAUUCAUAAUUUAAAACAUCCAGAUCAACACAACCAAUCAAAUCUAUUGAUAUGUGGAAGAUAAUCUUCUGAAUUCUCUUAGUUCAAAGAGUAAAUUAGAGGAUGAAAGAUCUCCAACUAAUCAAAGUGGAAAUUAUAGAGUGAAGUGGAUCUAUGAAGGACCACAUUUGAAACAUAAAAGGUUUGUCUUUCAGCAUUUUUUCAUCCACUGCUUUAGGAAAAAGGUUGCCAGCACAACCACUAAAAAGAACUUUGUGCGAAUUUUUGUGGCUUGUCCAAUAUCCAUAUCAUAUAUCAUAUGCUAUAUAUAAAAUUACUUUUGAUAAAGUAUGAGAUACCUAUAUAAAUAGAUACCAUAUAAAAUAUUUGUAUAAAUAUCUAUAUGAUAUUUAUAUAGAUAUUUUGGGGACAAAAAAUGUGAUUAUUUUGGGGACUCGGCUUUUUCUAUGUUCCUUUUUCUUUAUAAUUUAUGUAUGUUAUGGUGACUUUUUUUUUCUUUUUUUUCUUUUUUUUUCCUUUCCAUCCAUGGAGCCUAAUUCACGUUAAAAGGUGCUGAAAUAAUACAACCAAACAAUCAUACACAAAAGAAAUGGUUAAGAGAAUGGAUUAAAUUAACAAAAUAGAAACUCCUAAUAACAAAAUAUAUAAAUAUUUUUAAGUUGUGAUGCUCAAACGUAAAUAUUAAAAUUGAUCACUCAAAUUUAAAAUUAUUUUAAUUUUCUUUUAAAAAUUAAAAAAAAAAUUAUAAUUGAAACUUCUCAAGAUUAAAGCUUAUUUUUUGAUAAAAUAAAAUAAAAUAAAAUAAUAAUAAUGUAACCAAUGGGUGGAUCUAUUUAUGUCUUUGCUACCGCAUCACUAGCAACCAAACAUAGUGGGAAAAAAAAAAUGAUGCACUGUAAAUGAUGAAACCGAAAAUCUAGAGGGCUAAUGUAGACCCUCCAUUCUAUCCCCUUAACGCAUGCCCUAUUAGGUGUUCUUUCAAUACUUCACAGUGGUUCCCUGGCGACCCUUUGCGGCUCAUAUAGCCAACCUUUUUUAGCCACCUUGGAGAUUUUGGUUGAGCAAUUUAUUUGGCCCCUCAUUAUGACUCUUAGCAUAAUCAAGUUAGAUCUAGGAUUUUUUAUUUUUUCUUUUCUUUUUAGGAUAACUCCUUUAAGUGAACCUUUAGGAUAGAAUACAUAAGCACCCUUUUUCGAUCACCUUGGCCCAUUUAGACAUUUUUGCCCCAUUUAGGAUCACCCAGGCCCAAUUAGGCACAUUCAACCCAUUUAGGAUCACCAGAACCCAUUUAGACACAUCCGACCCAUUUAGGAUCACCUUGGCCCAUUUAGACACAUUUGAUUCAUUUAGGAUCACUCUGGCCCAUUUAGGCACAUUCGACCCAUUUAGGUUACUUUGGCCCAUUUAGACACAUCCAAACCCAUUUAGGUCACUUAGGCCUAUUUAGGCACAUCUGACCCAUUUAGAAUUACCCUAACCUAUUUAGAUACAUCCAACCUAUUUAGGAUCACCUUAGCCCAUUUAGAGUCACCUAGGCUCAUUUAGGCACAUUCGACACAUUUAGGUCACCUUGACCCAUUUAGACACACCCAGACCCAUUUAAGUCACCCUGACUCAUUUAGACACACCUAUAAUCAUUUCAAUCACAUAGGCCCGUUUAGGCACAUUAAGGCCUAUUUGACCCAUUUAGGCACAUUUGACUCAUUUACACACAUCUAGGCCCAUUUAGGUCACUUAAGCUUGUUAAGGCACAUUUAGUCCAUCUAGACACUUUUGGCCCAUUUAGGAUCACCUAGGCCCAUUUAGACACAUCCGGCCCAAUUAGGAUCACCCUAGCCCAUUUAGACACAUUUGACCCAUUAUAGUACAUUUGGCCCAUUUAUGAUCACUCUAGCACAUUAGGCCCAUUAAGUGUCACUUAGGCCCAUCUAGGCACACCCUAGGUCCAUUUAGGAACAUAUUGUCCCACUUAUGUCACCCGUUGACUUUCUUUUUUUUUUUUUGCAUGGUUUGCAUUGCAUGGCUAAAACUUCUUUGUAUGGCUUGCAUGACACCUUUUUUUUGUUAUUAUUAAUUACUUAUUUAUUUUUAUUUAUUAUCUUGUUAUUUAUUUAUUUAUUAUUUACUUAUUUAUCUAUUAUUAUUUCAUCAUUUUCUAUUUUUUCUAAUUAUUAUUCAUUUGUUCAAUCUAUUUUUAUUUCUGUGUUUUUGUAGGGAACUUUACCAAAGAGAGCCAACGGAGAUGGAAAGCAAGAAUCACCAAAAUGAAAAAGGAAGAUAAAAGUAAGAGAGAGUAAAACUUACCAAGAUGAGAGGGGAUGGUGAGCUGCAUUAUGAAAGUAUGGAGAACAUGUUUUGGGAAGUUUAUCAAAGAGAGAGUCAACAGAGAUGGAAAGCAAGAAUCACCAAAAUGAAAAAGGAAGAUGAAGCAAGAGAGAGCAAAAAUUGCCAAGAGAAUAGGGGAUUGAGGGUUGCAUUAUGAAAGUAUGGAGAACACGUUUUGGUAAGUGAGAAAUUCAGCACGUGGGAAAGGUUUUGGAGUAAGGAAAGGAGGGACUUGGUUAAGUUGGAAUUUGGAGAUUCAAUAUGUUUUUUAGGAGAAAGAGGGGAUAACAUUUUAAGACAAAAAGAAAUUCAAUGUGGUAGGAAGGAAUGUUUAGCAUAUUAAGGAAAAACAUGAGGGGAUUUGAUAAACCACGAAGAUCUCAGCGUGUUUCUCGACCAAAUCAGAAAUAUUUGAACUGAGUCUUGAGCUGCAAAGCUUGGAGAAGAAGCUUGUUUGUGUUAAGAGUCUUUGUUUCAGUUGGAGUCCUAUUAUUCUGCAAGAAGUCCUAUUCUUCUGCUAGUUUGUUAUUUUUGCUUCCAUGAUUUAGUUUCUGUUUGUGCACAAUAGUUGUGGCCGUAAGUUUAGGAAGAGUGGUUAGAAAAUAUAUGUAUUUAAACUCUUUCAAUGAAUAAAAAGAAUAUCAGAAAAUUGUUCCAAACAAUGUGGAAUGUUCUCACCUGAAGAGUACACUUUAUCUUUAUUUCAGGACUUUUGGCUGGGACUUAACAUUGGUAUUAGAGCUCGGUUACAAUGGCAACCAACAAAGAGAGGAUUGAAGCCUUGGAGGCUGGACUCGGUGGUGUUCAAGAUGGAAUGCAAUGACUUGAGGACACUGUCAACAGGCUGUCUGAAAUUUUGCUUUCAACUAGGGAAAGCUCCAACAAUCACAACAAUGGGCGAGAAGGAAUUGUCCGGCCACAUCGAGAAGAGAACGACGACGGCAGACAAAUUUUUUUUUUUCCAAAAUGGCAAAAACGAACAUGUUUGAGAAGUUUAAGAUGAUGCUUGGUGUGAUUGACUUUACAAUUCAGAUUAAGGGAGACUGUUGAAAUCAUAAUCCAACUUAAAUUCAAAUUAGAAUAAGUUUAGGAAUUGGAUAAAUAUUAGGAAUUGUUAUUUAUUUAAGCUUCAUAUGUUAAUUAGGACUUUUAGUCUAAUAGGAAUUAAAGUCCUAUUACAAGUAUGGUUAGCUUAUUAUAAAUAGGCUUAUUAUUAUGUUAAAAAGCAUAAUGCAAUAAAUUUAUUUUUUUAGUAAAAUAUUAUUAAUACUGAAAUGUGUGGGUUCCAACAUAAGUAUGAGAACUUAAACAAAACUAAUCAAGCCUAAAAUAGAACAAAUAGUAAAUUUAACUAAAAAAACUAGAACCCAAACUUGUUUGAUAAAAGGGAAAAGCACUUACAAGGCAAGAUAGGCAUUGGGCACCUAAAAUGUGAAAUGCACUCUUACCACCAGGCACUGAUGGACACUCAAAGAAUAAAUAGUAGAAUUGGAUUCGAACCCAAACCUCCUUUAAAAAAAAAGAGAAUGUAAAGAUGAUUAUGAAAAAUUAGGUGUGGAUUUUUUUUUUCCUAAAUUUUUUUUAUAUAUAGAAAAUAGCUUAUUUUUAGAUUUCAGAUAGUUUGUUUUUGUACUUUUUGUUAAUAUAUAACUUAUUUCUUAAAUUUUUUAUUAAAAAGAAAAAAAUCAAAAUAUUUUACUUUUUCUGAUUACUAAAAUUAAUUUAUGGGCUUUAACACUAUUAAACACUUUUUAGUUUUAAGUUCCGAAUAAAAUUAAGUCAAAAAAAGUAACACCACCUUAGAAUUAAAUUUGGUUGAAAAAAUAAAACUCUUAUAUUUUAACUCCUACCCAUAAGUGACUUUGUGUCGGCAUACAAAGAAGAAAUGUGGGCCUAAUGGGGGAUUUUUGAUAUUUUCCUUUUUUUUUUUUUUUUGUAAUACAAUAUUUGUAAAAAAAAAAUGUAGUUAUAUAAAUAAUUUUAAACAAUGUUGUUCCCUAAGGAGACCUCCUUCGGUACAAAAAAUGCAUGUGGUAUUCUUCCAAUUAUUAAAUUGUAUCUAGCGAAAAGGUCCAACGCAUAUUUGAAAAAAGGAGAAUUCCCAUUUAGAGUAGGCUACCAGUGAUAAUGACCUAAAAGGAUCAUCAUAUUUGCAAAUUCUUAUCAAGUCCUUUGAAAAAUUAAUCAUUUUAGAUACCAUUUUUAUUUUUUUUUGUCCUUUUCUUCUUUUUCUCAUUUAAUUUUACCUUUUUUUAUUGUUUUCCUUUUAUACUUUUGAUUCGACUCAUGGUAGCUUAGCUUUAAAGGCGUAUCAACAAAAUUUAUACCUUGAAUACUAUUACUAAAGUAGCCAAGCUACUAUAGCAUAGUGGUUCUAGGAUCGUUCACUGGGAAGGGUUUUCGCAAACACAAGUGAUAUUCAAAUUAGAAAUAGGUGAUUUUCUUAUGGAUGUUAGCUUUAAAAGAAGAUGUAAAUGUUUUAGAAAGAUUUAAACUAAUCUAAGCUAACAUUAAAGACUAAAAUGAAAGGGUGUAAAAACAAGUUUCUCAAAGAUAGGAUAGCUAUGCUCUGGCUCUUAUGCAAAUUGGAAAUCUCAGGAUAGGCUCCUCGCGUUGGGGUUGCAACUAUGGUGAUGCUUGCUUCCCGAACCGGUAUGGAUUUAGCAAAUCAAGUUUUAAUCCUUUAAAAUGGCAAAACAGAUGGUAGUGAAUUUCAUCAAUGGUUAUUCACCUUAGACUUCCUUUGAAUGGCUCGUAAGAGAUAACUAAUGGUCUAAAGCCAAAAGCUUACCAAAUAUUGGCAACUCAAAGUUAUUCCAGGUGAUAAACUCACCUUUCAAUGGCCAUUGAAAUUGGUUCUAACGGAUUAAUGCAAAACUUGGAAUUGAAAACCUCACCUUCCAAUAGCUCGUAGGAGAUAACUAAUGGAUAGAAAUCCAAAAGCUUAUCAAGUAUUGGCCGUUGGAAGUUGUCAAAAGGAAAUAAAAACCAAACUUUGCAUUAAUGAACCAUUAAUGAAAAACGACUACCUUACCUUCCGGGUGCGAGAAAUUUCCAUGGGAUUGCAUCCAAGUCAUCACAUAACAUCCAUACUUUGAGAAACUAAAAGUUUUAGCCAAUCAUCCUCUGAGGAAAAGCCCUCAGAGGCUGUUUGGCUACUAAGAAAAUAGAAAUGGGGAAGAACAGGAGAAAAGAGAAAAAACAGAGCAAGGCUCUGUAUAUUCUAUAUAUUGAUCGAUAUUUUUUACAAUGGAUGCAAGGGAAUAUAUAUAGAGAAGUUUUUCCAACCUUCCUAGCUAAGAAAUUACAUGAGUGGUGGAUUACAAGGAGAAGAAUGGAAAUUUAUACAAAAAUAUCCAAAAGAAAAGAUCUCGUGUGGAGUCGGCAGAAACAGGGGAAAAUUCGCACCAUGCAAGGGGGUGUGCGAAUUCGGAAGGUGUUGUGCGAAAAUUUCGCACACCCCUGGAGCAGUUGUCUUCCGAAGGCCAUAUCUUCCUCAUUUCAGCUCCAAAUCGUACACAGUUUGAAGCGUUGGAUUCUUGACUUCCUGAGCUUUGAAAUGGUAUAUAGCAUGUAGAAAAUGGACUUCGGGAAGUGCUCCAAAAGUUCCAAAGAAGACUGCAGCUGCUGUCCUCUGUUUUCCUCUUUGCUUCUUUUUGCUUCUCUUUGCUUCUCUUCUUUUGUUGGCUUGCUUUGAUGUAGCUAAAAGCUUGCUUUAACUUGUCCAAGUAGCUCCUCCAUCAUUUGGCAUGCUUGAAUUGAUUCAUAAGCUGAUAAAAACAUGUAAACUUGCCACAAAAUGGUUAAAACCAAUUACUAAGGACCUUAAUGAAUUAAUUGGGUUAAAUGAAUAUGAUUACUACUCAAAGGUGCUUAAAACCAUUAUAAUUAGGUCUACAAAAUAGCACUUUUUGGUAGUAAUCAACUUUUUUACACAUUAUUAUUAGGGAGAAUUAUCUUUUGGGGUUAGAUGGGCUUCCAAAUUAACAAAAGGUCCGUAUAACUCUUCAAAUUGAGUUGAAGGAUAUGAAAUAGUAACAGACAAAUAUACCCUUUAAGAACACAUAUAAAAUAUUUUAUAAAAUUAAGUUAAAUAAUUUUUUUUAAUAAUUUUUUUUUCAAAAAUGCUAAAUUAAAUAAAAAUAGUUUUCAAAAAUAUUAAAUUAAAUAAUUUUUUUUUCAAAAAUAUUAAAUUAAAUUAAAGUAUUUAAAAAAAAUAUUAAAUAAAUUUAUUUUUUAAAAAUAUUAAAUUAAAUAAAUUUAUUUUUACAAAAUAUUAAAUUAAAUAAAUUUAUUUUUACAAAAUAUUAAAUUAAAUAAAAGUAUUUUAAAAAAUAUUAAAUUACAUAAAAGUAUUUUUUUUAAAUAUUAAAUUAAAUAAAAGUAUUUUUCAAAAAUAUUAAUUUUUUUUCUCAAAAUCAACAAAGGGCAUUUUUGGAAAUACUGAAGGAUGAUAUCCUUCAACUCAAUUUCCAUACUUUCAUUAGGUCUUGGACUCAAUUUGAAGAGUUAUAUGGACCUUUUAUUAAUUUGGAGGCCCAUCUACCCCCAAAACAUAAUUCUCCCUUAUUAUUAACUAUUAAUAUUAUUAUUUAUAAUAUUAAUAUUUUGAAUUAUUCAUGUUAUUUAUUAAAAUCAUUCUUAUUAAUAUUAUCUAUUUUUAUGAUUAUUAUUCAUAUUUUUAAAAUAAUAAUUAGAAGAAAAAAUAAAACAAAGAAAAGACAAAAUAGAAAAAAGAUAAAGUAGGGAUAUGUUUAACUUUAAAGUGAAACGUAUAAAGGUAUAUUUGAAUUUUUAUAUUUUGAGAUAUUUUGAAGAACUAUCAAAGUUGAUGACCCUUUAGGAUCAUUAUCAUUCAUAGCCCACCCUAUAUGAUAAUUCUCCCUUUCAAAAAUUGUAAAUGGAAUAACGGGCCAAACAAUAGUAUUAUGGUAUCGAAAACAACUUUUUCGUGUCAUACCUCCAAUGACCACAAGUGAGAUUGUGAUCAAUCAAGACAAUUACAAUAAAAUUUAACAACCGAUUACUUUCAAUUUUUUGAUAAUAUUUAUUUUAUUGAUUAAGAAUUAUAAUUUAAUAAAAAAUGGGGUUGUUAUUCACAACAUCCCUUUUGCUAAACAUAACACUUUUUUGUCAUAUUUUUUUUCACAUAUACCCUUUUAAAUAAAGAACUCUCUCUAACCUUCUCUCAACAUAUUGAACCUAAAUUCUAGUUGGUUAAGGUUGCGAAUCACAUACGAAAUACAACGAAUGAUGAAAUUUAAUCAUCUGAUGAAAAUUUUCAGAUAAGAUUUAUAAUUUUCAUUUUUUAUAAAGAAAUAUAUAUAUUUAUCUAUAUAUAUAUAUAUAUAUAUAUAUUUAUCAAAAAAAAAAAAAAUUGGCAACCUGGGUGGGGCUCCGGUGUCCUAGGAGGCAGCAGCAACAACAACGAUUAUGGUUUGGAGUAGGUAUGGAAGUCGGCGACCAUCGACAACAGUGGUUGGGCUAAAUUUUUUGCUUAUAAUAAUUAUAAAAAUCGAAUUUUUAUUAUUAUUUAUAAUAGUUACUAAAUUACUUUUCGUUUAUAAUAGUUAGAAAAUUCUUCAUGACAUAAAUUUUUGCUUAUAAUAAUUAUAAAAUUCUAAUUCUUUUAUUUGUUUAUAAUAUUUACUAAAUUAUUAAUUUUUUGUAAGAAAACAUUAUAGUAGCCACAUAAAUUAUUAAUUUAAACAAGAUUUGUUUUUGCCAAUUUUCACCAAUUUUACUAAUUUCAAUGUUUUAAUUUCUUUUUUUGAAAAUUUUAACUAAUUGCUUCAUGUUUUAAUUUUUUAAAUGCUUUAACUUUGUCAUGUACAUUCUCAUAUAAUUUGAAUAAUGUUAUUGUCUUCAUGAUAUAAAUAGAAUUUUUUAUCUAUUUUGUAGGAUGAAUAUUUUGUGGAGGAAUUUCCAUCACAAUUGAUAGAUUAUGGCAAACAUUUCACUAUACAUAAAAGAUUCAAAGAUCGAGAAGAGUUUAUUGAAGAGGUUAAACAAAUUGGAGAACAACAAAAUAUAUUUGUGAUUAUUUGUCGUUCCACUAAAGCUGAUGGUUCAGGAAGUGGCAAAGUAUGGAUAGGCUGCGAGAGAUUCGAAGGCCAUAGACCGCAACAAAACAGAAAAACCGAUGUGGUGCCUAGAAAUCGAACUAGGAUGAAGAAGUGUCGUUGUCCCUUUAUGUUGAAGGGUAUUGAACAUGAUGAUGGAUAUUGGACUUUAGUCAUCAUUAAUGGCAACCACAAUCACUACCUUGGAAAGUAUCCUCACGGUCAUUCAUCGGUUGGUAAAUUAAAGGAAGCAGAGUUCAAGAUAGUAGCUACAAUGACCGAAAGUCAUGUUAAGCCACAACUUAUUUUAAAUCACCUCAAACAGGAGAAUCCAAGCAACUUGAGUUGUGGGAAACAUGUCUACAAUGCCAGGCAAAAGCUUAAAGAUUAGAAAAAGAAUGGUCGUUCAGUGAUGCAACAACUACCCAAAUUGCUAAUUGAUCAUGGUUAUAUCACCACUGGUAUAGAGAAGAUGCAGAAACUAACACAGUGAGUGAUAUAUUAUUUGCUCAUCCAAAAUCUAUUCACUUGUUGAAUGUUUAUCCAUAUAUUUUGAUUAUGGAUAGUACUUGCAAGACUAACCGAUACUUGAUGCCCUUAUUUGAAGUUGUUGGGGUUGCGCCAAUAGGGAAAAUUUUUACUGUUGCAUUUGUAUUUCUCAAAAAUGAGAAAGAGGAUAGCUACACAUGGGAACUUGAGCAUUUGAAGCUUUUAAUUGAUUCAGAUGAUUUCCCUAAAGUUAUAGUUACUGACAGGGAAUUGGCUUUAGUCAAUGCAUUGAAAAACAUAUUCCACAAUUCUUAUCAUAUUUUAUGCAGACGUCAUAUCGGGAAAGAUGUGGAAAAAUAUUUUACUAACUUGGUAAAGAAUAAGGACAUUGGAACUUCUUUUUCCCAAGGACGUUGGCAUAAGGUGGUUGAAGCUCAAACCCAACAGGAAUAUGAGGAUCGACUAGGGGAGAUGAAUGAGGCUUAUUCACAUAUGUCCGGUUUGUUGAAAUAUGUGCAUGAGACAUGGCUUGGACCUUUCAAAGAGAGAUUUGUUCGUGCAUGGACGAAUUGUGCAUUACAUAUGGGUCAUCUAACAACUAACAGGUAUUUUAUCUUUUUAAUUUGUAAUGUUUAUUGAUUAAUUUCUAUUGUCAAUAAUAGGGUGCAGGGAGAGUGCACAUUCAGAGUUAAAGAGCUAUUUAGGAUCAUCCAUAGCAAGAUUUGACUUGAUAUGGCUCAAAAUUGACUCAAUGAUAAAUCUGCAGCUUGAGGAAAUUAAAAGAGAGUUGGAAAGGGCUCGAACUGUCUCUCUUCAUAUUAUAGUGUUGCACUUAUUUCGGAGGUUGAAUGGCAAUGUUACCCACAAAGCAAUCCAAUUGCUAGAUGAAGAAUGUUAACGAGCAGAAAAGGUGCGCAGUGAUACCUUAGAUUGCGGGUGUUAUUUGAGGAAAACACAUGGCCUUCCAUGUGCGCAUGAACUUUUUGCACUUAUGCAGGAUGGUAAAAGUAUUGAGUUGUAAGAUAUUCACCCCUUUUGGAAAACACUUGAUAUGGAAGUUGUAAAAGAUAGUGCUCCUGAUUCUGAUGAGGAAAAUAAGUUGUUGCGGUCAUUAUUUGAUAGAAUGAUCCAACAACCUCGUAAUGUCAAGAGAAGAUAUAUUGAAGAGUUGGGAAAAAUUGUUCACCCUGAGUGGACAAAUCUCAAGGAACCACUUGUACGACAAACUAAAGGUCGACCGAAAAAAAUGCCACGAAGCGGGAUCAAUCUGCUUGGGAAUAUGCGGAAAAGAAGUAUCCUGGAAAAUCAUGCAAGAAAAGGUCGUCAUCUGGAUCAUUGCAUGGUCGUCGACAAUCAAGGUCAAUUUCAAGCCAUGUUAGAAAAUUCCCAUUCGUAAAUGCAGUUCCAAAAUUUGUUCUUCCAUUUAUUAAUCAUUACUACAAUGUUAAGGCGGAUGGAAAUUGCGGGUACAGAUCAAUUGCUUAUUUUAUCUAUUCUGAUGAGGAGAAAUGACGGCCCACUGUGAGAAGAGAUUUGUUAAAUGAGAUGAAUGGUUGAUUAGGGUUAUAUGCAAAUAUAUUCGGAGGGGAAGAUCGUGCACAAUCUAGUAUUGUUUCACUUCAACAUUGGGAAGGUGAUGCAAAUGAAUCCAAAUGAAUGGAUGUGACGGAUACGUCAUGGGUCAUUGCCAACACAUAAUGCUGUAUGUGUUUCUUUUUCUGCGUCACAAAAUUUGACAUACUUACCUUUGAACGCAACCAAAGAUGUACAAGGUCUUACGAGAGUCAUUACAAUUGUUUAUUUGGAGUCAGCUCGACACUUCAUAGCGGUAUAAUUCUUUUAUUUAUUCUUAUAUUUACACACACGCAAAUACAUCCUAAUUGUUGAUAUUGUAAUUGUUGUGUUUUUUUAUAGGUAAAUAUGGUUUCAGAUUUUCCAUUGCCAAGAAUUCAUCUCAGUUGGUAUUCGUUUCAUGAUGUAAGUGUAUUCAAUUGGGAUGAGCAAUUUAAGCUGAGGUUAGAGGAGUGGCGUAAACAAUUUGGAACAAUUAUAGUAGAUUAUGUCGACCUUGAUUGAGUUCAUGAUUCAACACAUUGAGAAGGUAUUUAGUUGAUUAUAUUUAUUGACUUUUGAACAUAUGUAGGAUUUAAGUCCUAUUAUGUUUUGACCUUUUUUUAGGCUCUUUGAUUACAUACUUUGUUUUAUGAGUCUUUACUUCGCAUACACAAUAAUUAUUACAUUGUUCAUAUUCUUAAUCAAUCUCUAAUUAUAUGCAAUAUUUUUGUUUGGGUUACAAAAAAAAUCAUAUUGAACACAAUAAAAAAUAUUUUUUUAAAAAAAACCAUUCCAAUUAAAUAUUGUUUAUUUUAAAAUUUUAAUAAUAAUUUUUAUUUUAAAAAAAAUGAGUUAUGAAUUUCACAUUAAAACAUUGAAUAUAAUAAAAUCAUUUUACAUAAUAUACUUUUGGUGAAAAAAAUCAUUUUAUAAUUUAUUAUUUAAAGAAAUUAUUUUGUUUUAAAAUAUAAGAAGAAUAUGAAAAACAAUUGAGUGUGAAAAAAUAAAAGAAAUGAAAAGAAAAAAAAAACAAAGUUUAUGUGGGGUGGGGGGUUGGGUGGGUAGAGAUGAAAAGGAAGAUAAAAAUAAAAAUAAAUAAAAAAAAGAAUGCUAAAAUGUGGGGUGGAAAAAUAAAUAAAUAAAAGGGUGCAAUUGGAACGUGAGGUUGGGAAGGAGAGAGGGGGAAAGAAUAAGGGAGGGUAGUUUAGGAAUGUAAAAUGUUGUAUUAGUAAAAAUGGUGUUGUGAUUAGCAAUUGGGAUAUAACCAUAAAAAUAAAAAUGGAAAAUCAUCUAUAAAUAAAUCAAAACAAAAUAUAAAAAGAAAAUAAUAUUUUCAUGGUUGAUUAAUUCCAUGAGUUGGAUGAUAAAAGCAUUAAUAUCGAGUUGGAGGCAAAACCAAUAACCAUCAGAAAAUAUUCUUCCAUUGCUACCACACAAUGCUGUAGAAUUUUCCUAAGAGAGGUCAGUGGAAAAGAGACAUGCAAGACGUGCAAGAAUUUUCCUAGGAACUUCUUCUAUUGCUUCCACACAGUGGAAAUGAGACUUUGACUCACCAGUCGUUGGGCCUCAAGUCUGCCACAACCUGUUUUGGAUGGCCAUAAGAUUAUUGAUGGGCUGCUUAAACGUUGCUUUGAGUUAUGGUUAACAUGAAAAUAUCAACCAGAAGGUGGUCUGCUAAUCUUGUUUUCUUGCUUAUUUAUUCAGGUUUUCACUGGCAAUUUGUUAAUGCAUUUACAAAUACAAUCUUACAAGGUCAAUCGUUCACAAACUCUCUGAUAAGGGAGAAUAAUUUGAUUCUCCAUAAGAUUUGCUAUAUCCCAAUUCGGUUCCAUAAAAUCCGAAAGUAUAGUUGUAAAUAUAUGUAGAUAUGUUUUCAAUAUUUGUAUUUCAAACCUUUCCUAUUUUAUAGGAUCACAUUGUUGUUAUUUAUUCUAUAUAUAUUUGAUGUUAUCUCCUGCACACGACAAGGAGGAUUUCAGUCAUUAUACAUUGUUUCUUAAACAUCUUUAUGGUAUUAGAGCAAAGUUUUUUUUCUUUACCAUGGCUGAUUUGACUUCUUUAUCUCCUUCUCUUCCGCUUAACACAGUGGUGCAUAUGCUCACCAUUAAACUGACUUCCUCAAAUUACUUAUUGUGGAAAAAUCAAUUUGUUCCACUAUUAGCCAGUCAAGAUUUGUUUGGCUAUUUGGAUGGUAGCAUCGGGGCUCCCUCCGCCACAAUUCUUACCGCUGAUGGCACCACCAAGUCAAAUCCAACGUACGCUUCUUGGCUACAUACUGAUCUGACGUUUCUUAGUUUACUCUAUUCUUCUCUUACCGAGGAGUCUAUGAGUGAAGUAUUGGGUUUACGUCAUUCUCAUGAGGCUUGCUGCGCUCUUGAAGUCUCAUUCUUACAUCGGUCGAAGACUUGUGAAUUGCAACUCAAGGAUGAACUCCAACUGAUGCAACGCGGCUCUCAGUCCAUUGUCGAGUUUUCCCAUACCUUCAAAGGUCUUUGUGAUCAAUUGGCUGUGAUCGGUCGUCCCAUUGACGACACAGAUAAAGUUCACUGGUAUUUGCGAGCAUUAGGGCCCGACUACAAGAUCUUCUCCACCACCAUGAUGUCACAGCUUCCGCUACCCUCAUUUACCGAGAUUGUUUCAAAAACUUUGAGUCAUGAGAUUUUUGAAAGGUUGGUUUCCCACUCGUCUUCUAACUCUACUUAUUAUGUGCAGCAAACUUCCAAAUCUGUAGGGGCUAAGAAAUGGAAGAAUGGGCCUCCCCCUUCAUCUAGAUCUUUUGCACAUUCGAAGUCAUCAUCCACCGUUCACUGCCAGUUGUGUGACAAUGAUGGACACCGAGCCAAACGUUGCUGGAGCUUCUUAAAACUCAAGAAGAAGCAGUCAGCUAAUAUUGCUGAAGUUUUUUCAACCUACUCGAUUCAAGACCUUAAUGACUCUGAAUGGUUUCUUGAUUCUGGUGCAACGUCCCAUAUGAUAAGUGACACUGAGGUUGUGGAUCAACCAGCUCUCUACUCUAGUAAUGAACAUGUCAUGGUUGGAAAUGGUCAGUCUUUAGCAAUUUCUCAUACUAGUUCCAUUUCAUCUAUUAUUCCGUCUAGUUCUCUUCUUUUAUCAAAUGUCUUAGUUGUUCCUAGCAUUAAGAAAAAUCUUAUUUUGAUUAGUCAACUUACUACAGACAAUAAUUGUCUUGUUACCUUCUCUUCCUCUGGUUUUAUCAUAUAGGAUCAGGUCACAAGAAUCGUACUGGGAGUCGAAAGAUGUGAAAAUGGUUUCUAUGUGUUGGAUCGUUGUCAUCAUGCCCUUAUGUCCACCACUUCUCCUUCACCGCGAGCCUCUGUUCGUUUAUGGCAUGCUCGCCUUGGUCAUCCCAAUUAUCGUACUGUCUCUUCUCUUUCUAGAUUAGGAUAUAUUUCUUGUAGUAAUAAAUUGGUGAUCAUUGAUUCUGAAAUUUGUGUUGGUUGUAGACUUAGCAAAAGCCAUUGUUUACCUUUUUCUCUAAAUGAUGAACGUUGUGCCAUGCCUUUUGAUCGCUUACACUAUGAUUUAUGGGGUCUGUCACCAGUUCUCUCUUUUACUGGAUAUAGAUACUAUGUGGUAUUCAUUGAUGAUUGUACUAGAUUUAGUUGGAUAUUCCCUUUAAAACAAAAAUCUGAUUAUUUUGAUACCUUCAUCCAUUUACAACGUUAUAUUGAGACUCAAUUUUCAUCCAAAAUAAAAUCCUUUCAAUGUGAUGGUGGAAUCGAAUUUACAAAUAAUAAAUUUCGAUCUCACUUGCAAUCUUGUGGCAUUGUUCUCCGUUUGGCAUGCCCCUACACUCCUAGUCAAAACGGCAUUACCAAACGUAAGCAUCACUAUGUCACAUAAAUGGGUCUUACCCUUAUGUUCCAUGCACGUGUGCCGCUCUCUUUGUGAGUUGAGGCCUUCCCAACUGCUGUCUUUCUCAUUAAUCGACUCCCGUCACCAUUACUUGAUGGCAAAACUCCUUAUGAGCUCUUGUUUAGUAAGCAACCAGAUUACUCUAUGCUUCGGACUUUUGGGUGUGUUUGCUUCCCUUAUUUGAAAGAUUACUCACCAAAUAAAUUGUCUCCAAAAUCUACUUCUUGUAUCUUUUUAGGUUACAGUACACUUCAUAAAGGAUUUUGAUGCCUUGAUCAAACGACACAUCGUGUCUAUGUUUCUCGACAUGUGCAGGCUUGUGAAAAUACUUUUCCUUAUCAUGGUGAUUCUAUACAAAAUUUACAAACCAACAUUGACUAUACCCAUUUUUCUGAAUGUUCAGACUAUGUGUCUAGUUUUUCUCAUUCAUUUUUUAGUUCACCAUGUUUGCCUUGCAGUGAUUCUCCACACCUGUCCUCAUAUCCUCCCCCUGAUCUGCAAGGUCCUAUUUCUGUGGAACCCCUCUCGGAUUCUACAGCUUUAGACUCAACUUUCCCACUACCAGUGUCUUCCAUUCCUCGUGUGACCACUUCCAGCCACCCGAUGAUUACCAAUGGAAAAGACGGUAUAUUCAAACCACGAUUAUAUCAUGCUAUGAAUGUUUUGUCUUCUUUUCAAACUUUUCAAGCACUUCUUGCUCUCAAAGAACCUCGGGGUUUUAAGUCUGCUACAAAACACCCUGAAUGGCUCUUGGCUAUGGAUGAUGAGAUUCAAGAUUUGAAGACAAAUGAUACAUGGGUUCUUGUACCUCGUCCUAACAAUCACAAUGUAGUAGGCUGUCGCUGGAUUUUUGAAACCAAACUUCGAUCAGAUGGGUCCAUUGAGCGUCACAAGGCACGUCUCGUGGCUCAAGGAUUUUCUCAGAUUCAUAGUCUUGAAUUUGGUGACACAUUUAUUCCUGUAGUGCGCCCUGCUAUAGUUAGAAUUAUUUUGUCAUUGGCUGUUACUUCUGGAUGGCGUUUACAUCAGCUAGAUGUAAAAAAUGCCUUUCUACAUGGUUUUCUCAAUGAAGAGGUGUAUAUGGAACAACCGCCUGGUUACAUAGAUCCACAGUUCCCUCAGCAUGUUUGUCGCCUAAAGAGGGCUCUUUAUGGGUUGAAACAAGCCCCUCGAGCUUGGUUUCAUCAUUUUAGCUCUUUUUUGCUCAAACUUGGAUUUCUUUCCGGUCAGGUUGAUUCUUCAUUAUUUGUCUAUCACUCCUCAGUUGGAACUGUUUAUUUACUUCUUUAUGUUGAUGACAUGGUCAUGACUAGAAGUAAUUCUUCUAUGGUUCAAACCCUCAUUACUUGACUUUCCAAGGAAUUCUCCAUAGGGAUUUGGGUGAUCUUCAUUAUUUCCUCAACGUUGAAGUGCAAGCUAAUGAGAAGGGUUUGUUUUUCACAACAUGCUUUUUUCUGCGUAUACAUUUGUAAUCAUGCAGUUAUUAAAUGAAUUGUUAUAAUAAUGAAUCUAGUGGCUAUAUGUCCCCAGAGUAUGUUUUGUGAGGUCUCUUUUCAACUAAAUCUAAUGUUUUUAGCUUCGGGGUCUUGUUACUAGAGAUUCUAAGUGGCAAGAAGAUUACCAAAUUUUAUCAUAGUGACUCACUCAAUCUUCUUGGAUAUGUAAGUAACACAAUUUUCCUCUUAUGUACCUAAAGUUAUCAUGUUUACUACUAUAUUUCAAGCUUGAAGUUAGAUCCUUGAAUGCAAUUGACCAAAUUAGGACUAUAUAUCUUUCUUUUUUUGGGGAAUUGUUCAUCAAAGUAUAAUUUUUUUUCCUUUAGGCACGAGACCUGUGGAAAAACAACAGAGGACAAGAGUUGAUUGAUCCAGUACUAAAUGAGAUAUCUUGAAGACAUAUUCUGUUAAGGUACAUCAAUGUAGCCCUUCUUUGUGUUCAAGAAAGUACAAAUGAUAGGCCCACCAUGUCCGAUGUUGUCUCCAUGCUUGGCAAGGAAAAUGUACUUUUAUCUUCUCCAAAUGAGCUGGCCUUCUCAAAUCUAUCGAGUAUGAAACGACAUGCAUCUCAAGAUAGGCUUGAAAUUUGUUCCUUAAAUGAUGUAACACUUUCAAGCGUGGGAGCAUGAUAAGUGUUCUAAAUUUCAGAUUGCAUAUGCUUAAAUGUCUUCAGCAUAUUGUCUAGUAUUAUAUCGGCCAUCAAGUUGAUUGUUGAUGUACUGAACGUGUGAACUUUUGUAUGUAUUUUUCUUUCAAUGUAAUUCAAUAAUGUGCUUAAUUUUACUCAAUCCUCAAGGAUUCAAACCUGUAUCUCAUCUUCCCAUCUGUAAUUGCUACUGAAUUUGCUUUUAUGCAUUUCCAAUCCAGAGUGUACAGUCGUUAGAGCUCAUUGCAAAUAUUCAACUAGUACUAGGAAAGAUGAGCUUUUGCGCAUGCUACAGCUAAGCAUAAGUACUAAUUAACAUAUAGGCAAAAGGGAAAGUGAGGAAGGAAAGCAGCUAUAGAUUUCUUUGCCUUUUAAGCUGUGAUAUCAUCUAACAUUUUUUUAAGGGAAGAAAUAUUAUAAUUGAAGGUUUACGUUGAGUACUCGUAAAACCUUCUUUUCUUAUUGGACAUGGUUUCAAUAAAAUCCAUUUGGUUGUCAAGAAAUCUGAGGGAGUUGAGGAUGUGGAUGAGGAAUUUGAAGUCUACCCUCGUCCCUAUAGCUUAAAAUGAAAAGGCAUAGUUACAAACUAAGCUUACAUCGUGGCAGAAACGUUUAUAUUCCUUAGUGGGGCUUGUAGUAGGAGAUCGACCCAGAAGCCAACCAGAAAAGACAUGCAUCUAUCGUUCAAAUGAUUUUCUAAACUUAUUAAAUUGAUUUUCAAGAACUUGAUAAAUACCUCAUUUCUAUAAUAAGGUGAUUUCAAACGUUAGAAAACAGUGAAGGAAAAUGUGAAAUCACUCUACCACCAAGCAUAGAUGGACACUCAAGAAUAAAUAGUAGAGUUGGAUUUUAACACAAACCUCUUUUAAAGAAGAGAAUGUAAAGAUGAUUAUGAAAAAUUAGGUGUUGUUUGUUUUUAAAAAAUUUUUUAUAGAAAAAAUAUUUUUGUUUUAGAUUUCAAAUAGUUUGUUAUUGUACAUUUUGUUAAUAUAUUACUUAUUUCUUAAAUUUUUUAUUAUAAAAAAAGAUAUUUGACUUUUUCUGGAUGCUAAAAGUAAUUUAUAGGUUUUUUUUACUUCUUAAAUAUUUAAUAAAAAUAAAAUAUUUUAAAAAAUAACUUAAUAGUUAACAUUAUUAAAUACUAUUUAGUUUUAAAUUCAAAUUAAAUUAAGGAAAAAAAAAGUAAAACCACCUUAAUAUUAAAUUUGGUUGAAAAAAUAAAUCUCUUAUGUUUUUCCUCCACCCAUAAGUGACUUUGUGCUAGCGUACAAAGAAGUAAUGUGGGCCUAAUGGGGGAUUUUUGAUAUUUUCCUUUUUUUUUAAUAAGAUAUUUGUAAAAAAGUUGUAGUUAUAUAAAUGAUUUUAAACAAUGUUGUAUCCUAAGGGGACCUCCUUCCAUACAAAAAAUGCAUGUGGUAUUCUUCAAAUUAUUAAAUUGUAUCUAGCGAAAAGGUCGAAUGUGAAUUUGAAAAAAAGGAGAAUUCCCAUUUAGGGUGAGCUAACACUGAUAAUGACCCAAAAGGGUCACCAUGUUUACAAAUUCCUAUCAAGACCUUUGAAAAGUUGAUAAUUUCAUAAUUCUAAUUUUACCUUUUUUUUUCUUUUUUUUUUUUUCAUUUUUCCUAUUAUUCUCAUUUAAUUUUACCUUUUUUAUUGUUUUUCUUUUAUACUUCUUUACACAUUAUUAUUAUUAAUGUUAAUAUUAUUAUUUAUAAUAUUAAUAUUUUGAAUUAUUCAUGUUAUUUAUUAAUAUCAUUCUUACUAAUAUUAUUUAUUUUUAUGAUUAUUAUUCAUAUUUUAAAAAUAAUAAUUAAAAAAAUAAAAUAAAAUAAAGAAAAGACAAAAUAGGGAAAAGGCAAAGUAAGGAUAUGUUUGACUUUAAAAUAAAGGACCUAAGGGUAUGUUUGAGUUUUUAUAUUUUGAAGCACAUGAAAGAUUAUCAAGUUGAUGACUCAUUAUCAAUAGAGCCCACCAUCUUUGGUGAUUCUCCUUUUGAAAAAUGAUAAAUGAACAAACAGGUCAAACAUUAGUAGUAUGGAGCCCACCAUCUUUGCUAAUUCUCCGUUUGAAAAAUGGUAAAUGAACAAACGGGUCAAACAUUAAUACCGAGAACAACUCUUCCGUGUCAUACCUCUCCAAUUAUAAUAAAGUAGCAUCCGGUCAAUUUCAAUUUUUUGACCAUAUUUAUUUUAUUGAAUUAGAAUUAUAAUUUAAUAAAAAUGAUAAGAAUUAUAACAACCAAUUCUAUUAUUUAAAGAUAAAUUGUCUAAAUAAGAUUAAAAAUUAAAAAUUAAUCCAUCUAACAACAAAUUUAAAAUGGAUUUAUAUAUCAUAAAAUAUCAUGACCGAAGAAACCAAUAACCAUAAAAAUAAAAGUAGAAAAAUCAUCUAUAAACAAAUCAAAGAAAAAAAAAGAAAACAAAAUUUUUAUGUUUGAUUAACUCUGAGUUGGAUAUCUUCCACGACAGCUGCAAUGAUGAAUGUAAAGAGAAAGAAUGGAAGAAGAGAGACAAAAUGAAGUAUCAAGGAAAGUGAGGGCCGGUUAUAUAUAUAUAUAUAUAUAUUUUCAAUUUUAAGAUGCAUGGUGAAGAUCUCAUCUUGCACAUCCAUUGGCGCAAGAUAUUCAUCAAUUGCUACACAGUGCUGUAGAAUUUUCCUAAGGGAGGCCAGUGUAAAGGAGACCUGCAAGAUGUUCUUCUAUUGCUACCACACAGUGGAGUAGAAUUGAUAUUCUUCGAUUGCUACCACACAGUGGUGUAGAAUUUUCCUAGAAGAAAUAUUGAAAAGGAGGUCAGUGGAAAGGAGAUUUCGACUCAUCAGUCGCUGGGCCACAGGUCUGCCACUGCCUGUUUUGGAUGGCCAUAAGAUUAUUGAUGGGCUGCUUAAACGCUGCUUAUGAGUUAUGGGUAACAUGAAAAUUUCAACAAGAAGGUGGUCUGCUAAUCUCGUUUUCUUGAUUAUUUCUUCAGGUUUUCACUGGAAAUUUGUUGAUGCCUUUACAGAUACAAUCUUACAAGGUCAAUCACUCACAACCUCUCAGACCAUUAUAUCUGCUGCUGGUAACUUUGAAUUAGGAUUCUUUUCUCCUGGAAAGUCCACAAAAUAUUAUGUGGGGAUAUGGUACAAGAAAUUCUCAGAGCAAACCAUUGUGUGGGUAGCUAACCGAGAUUAUUCAUUCAUAAAUCCAUCCGUGGUUCUUACUGUCAGCACAGAUGGCAACCUCGAGAUUUUGGAGGGGAAGAUUUCGUACAAGGUGACAAGCAUAUCAUCAAACAGCAACACUAGUGCCACCCUGUUGGAUUCUGGAAAUCUUGUUUUGAGAAAUAAGAGUCAGAUGUCUUAUGGGAGAGCUUUGACUAUCCAUCGGACACGCUCCUGCCCGGAAUGAAACUUGGAUAUGACAAAAGGGCUGGAAAAACAUGGUCAUUGGUGUCAUGGAAGAGCAGAGAAGAUCCCAGUCCAGGAGCUUUCUCCAUAGAACACGACGCGAAUGAAAGUAGCCAGAUUUUUAACCUGCAAGGACCCAAAAUGUAUUGGACUAGUGGGGUGUGGGAUGGGCAGAUUUUCAGCCAGGUUCCUGAGAUGCGUUUCAUCUACAUGUACAAGUACAAUACAUCCUUUAAUGAGAAUGAAAGCUAUUUUUCUUACUCUCUUCAUAAUCCCUCCAUUCUGAGCAGAGUGGUGCUAGAUGUGUCAGGCCAGGUUAGGCGUCUGAAUUGUCAUGAAGGCACACAUGAAUGGGAUUUAUAUUGGCUUCAACCAAAAACACAGUGUGAGGUUUAUGCUUACUGUGGGCCUUUCGGAACCUGCACUCGGGAUUCUGUUGAAUUUUGUGAAUGCUUGCCAGGUUUUGAACCUCGCUUCCCUGAAGACUGGAAUCUGCAAGACAGAUCUGGAGGGUGUGUGAGGAAAGCAGAUUUGCAGUGUGUCAAUGAAAGCCAUGCUAAUGGGGAGCGAGACCAGUUUCGUUUGGUGUCUAACGUGAGACUGCCCAAGUAUCCAGUAACAAUACAAGCAAGGAGUGCUAUGGAGUGCGAAUCAAUUUGCCUGAAUAGCUGCCCUUGCUCCGCUUAUGCUUAUGAGGGAGAGGAGUGUAGAAUAUGGGGUGGAGAUCUUGUAAACGUGGAGCAGCUACCAGAUGGUGACAGUAAUGGUAGAAGUUUCUAUAUCAAACUUGCUGCCUCUGAGCUAAAUAAGAGAGGUAAGAAAACAGAGUCAUAGUUGUUAUUGUAGGAGGACAUAAAGCAUAUGGGUCUUGUUUUAUUUUCAAUAUAAAAUGGCCAUCGAUUCAACUAAAUUUAAUAUGAUAUAUUUCGUUCUACAGUUUCAAGCAGCGAGUGGAAGGUAUGGCUAAUUGUUACACUGGCCAUAUCUUUAACUUCAGCCUUUGUCAUUUAUGGGAUAUGGGGAAGGUUCCGAAGAAAAGGUCAGUAUUUCUCAUGGACAUACAGAUGGCCAAGCAAUUCAACAAUUUUUAGUUUCCAUCUACAAAUACAAAACCAGUUCUUUUCUGAAAUGAGUUCAUUACCACUGUUAUUAAAUAAUUAAGGUAACAUUAGGAUUUCAUGUUCUGAUUACAUGUGAGUGUGUAUGUGGAAUCCAAUGUGAGAAAUAAUUUAUUCCCAUGCCAGAAUUCCUACAUUCUUAUGAUAUUUAAUGUCUGUUUGUUAUUUACCAAGCAGGGGAAGAUUUGUUACUAUUUGAUUUCGGUAACAGCUCAGAAGAUACCAGCUGCUAUGAGCUUGGCGAGACAAAUAGACUUUGGAGGGGCGAGAAGAAGGAAGUUGAUUUGCCCAUGUUCAGUUUUGCGAGUGUAUCUGCUUCUACAAAUAACUUCUGUAAUGAAAAUAAACUAGGAGAGGGCGGUUUUGGAUCUGUUUACAAGGUGAGAUUACAACCCCUGACAAUAAUGUUCUACAAUCUAUCUUGGAAUGUAAAGGCCCACUUGAUAUAUACCAAAUUUCUUUUACUUGGUGUAAUUGUACUCAGUUGAAAUUCCCAUGACAGGGAAAGUCACAAAGAAGAUAUGAAGUAGCUGUGAAAAGGCUCUCAAAAAGAUCUAAACAGGGAUGGGAGGAGUUAAAAAAUGAAGCCAUGCUUAUAGCCAAGCUGCAACACAAGAAUCUUGUGAAAGUUUUGGGAUACUGCAUCGAGCGGGAUGAGAAGAUAUUGAUUUACGAGUAUAUGUCCAACAAAAGCUUGGAUUUCUUCCUCUUUGGUUUGUAACUUCCACAUACAUAUACUUCCGACUACUGUAUAUUCAAUGAGAAAACUUUACACAUUCAUCAUUCUUCACCACUUAUUUGCUAACAUCUAUUUAUUUGGUGUAAAAUGGAGAUAGAUCCUACAAAACAUGGGAUUCUGAAUUGGAAGACAUGGGUUCACAUCAUUGAAGGGGUUGCUCAGGGACUUCUUUAUCUGCAUCAGUACUCCAGAAUGAGGAUUAUUCAUCGAGAUUUGAAGGCUAGCAACAUUCUUCUAGAUAAGGAUAUGAAUCCUAAAAUAUCAGAUUUUGGAAUGGCAAGAAUAUUUGGAGGCAACGAACCAAAAGCAACAAAUCAUAUAGUUGGGACUUAGUAAGUGAAACCUGACAAAUUAUAAAAUAUGUGAAUGUUCAUACAACAUUUGAAAUCAUGCAGCUACUGAAUGAUUUUUCUCAUUAAUAAUCAAAUCCAGUGGCUAUAUGUCUCCUGAGUAUGCUUUGGAAGGUCUUUUCUCCACUAAAUCUGAUGUCUUUAGCUUUGGGGUCUUGUUAAUGGAGAUUUUGAGUGGCAAGAAGAAUACUGGAUUUUACCAAACCGACUCGCUCAAUCUUCUUGGAUAUGUGAGUAACACAAUAUUUAUUCACUUACAUAACUAUUUAUGAUGUUUUGAUAUGCUAAUUCCUAGUUUUCAAUUCCCUUGUCAUAUUACCUAUCCGGUUGUCUUGGGAUACUGGUAAAUUUUCACAUUUAUGUCUUCAACUCAGUUUCAAGGCUUAUUUUAUAUUGUUGGCUGAUAUAAAAAGGACUUUAUUAUCUUUUACUUUUUAGGAAUUUGCAUCAAUGGAUAAUUUUCUUCAUUUAGGCAUGGGAUCUGUGGAAAGACAGCAGGGGGCAGGAGUUGAUGGAUCCAGGGUUGGAAGAGACUUCGCCAACACACAUUUUGUUGAGGUACAUCAAUGUAGGCCUUCUUUGUGUUCAAGAAAGUGCAGAUGACAGGCCUACCAUGUCUGAUGUUGUCUCAAUGCUUGGCAAUGAAAGUGUACGUUUACCUUCUCCAAAACAACCGGCAUUUUCAAAUCUGAGAAGUGGGGUGGAACCACAUAUAUCCCAAAACAGGCCUGGAAUUUAUUCCUUAAAUGGUGUGACACUUUCAGUUAUGGAAGCACGAUAAUGGUUCAGAACUUAAUAAAUAAUAUGCUUAAAUUUCAGCAUAUUGUCUUGUAUUGUUCUGGGUGAAUUCAUAGCUCAUAUACUAAAAUGGACAAGUGACCUUAUGUGUGAAUUUUUCUUCCAAAACAGUUUAAUAAUCAUCUUGUACUCAAUCCCUAUGGAUUCAGACUUGUGUCUCAUCUUUCAAUCUGGAAUUGCUACUAAAUUUGACUUUAUCCGGUCAAAUUUGGAUUUAAUUUGAAAAUGAUCUGUUCCAUUGUUGAUCCAAAGAGUAAAAUACAACUUUUUUCAUUGCUUAGUAGCUAAGAAAAGGUGCCACUGGGGCCAAUCCAACUAUAGAGAAUCAACCACCCACCUUCCACUUCCUCUCUUAUGGAUGUUUCUGAAUGCCCUGGCAUAUGUAUAUCAUUUCCAUAUAAACCACCAAUUUGGUCUAGGAUCAGUUUCAUCGAGUAUUUCAGGAGACAACAUAAAACAAGUCAAAAAGUAGAUAAUUACGAACUAAUUGGCCAUCCAGCACAGAAAAUCCAUCUCCCAAUGGGGCCUUAAAGCACUUGAAUUUACUGUUCUUUCCAUCAUUAUUUUCAUUCUGGGCAUGGCCUAGAUUGAAGAAAGGUCCGAUACAAAUUGGAAAAGUCAUAGAAGGAAAUAUAUCUAGGAGGGAAUCCUAACAAAAGGUCUUUCAAAAUUGCUACACCUUGCUUUGAAUGGUACCUGGUAUCUUCAUUGAAUGAGUGUUUUUCCUAUGUCCCACCAUUAAAAUGAAUGGGAGUCUCCAAAUUACAUAGAUUUUUUUUUAUAAUGUAUUAUUUUAUAAAUUUCAUAGAAUUAUCAAUUUAGUAUUUUAGCCCCAAAGUCUGUAAAAAACAUGAUUUGCUUAAGGUUAUCAUAUUAUCAUGCAUUAAUUUAUUUAAAUUCUACUAUUUUUUCCUUAAUUAAAAAGUAAAUUUUUAAUUUUUUUUAAAAAAGGUCACUUUUCUCUCUUUUUUCUUUGAAGUCUCUAACUCUAUAACACUCGAACUCAUUUUCUCAUACAAAAUAAAAUUAAUCAAAUUCAAAUUUGAAACAUUGAAAAUUAAUCAAUAACAUAAAAAUCAAUUGAAAAAUGAAUUUAUGUAAUCAAAAACCUUAAUUACUAUCAAAUUACUAACUUUCUAACUAUUUACAUGAUUAAUCAUUAUAAGAUUUUUAUUAUGACAAUAGAUUUUGGUAUUGAUGAUCUAGAACCCUGAUCUGUAAACACACAAGUCCCUGUCAUCAAACCCUGAUCUAGAACAGUAUUUGACAUCAUGGAAAUGCACUGAUGAUUCAUCCACUAGAAACUUCACUUGGAGAUUAGAUAUUCCCAGGCUGCCUCAACUGGCUGUUGGCAUGGGAUCAGUCAAAAAGUACCGCACAGGGCCAUGGAAUGGAGUUUGAUUUAAUGGUGUACCAGUGUUUCCCAAUGAGGAGGUCUAUUUACCAUUAAUGAUUUUUAAUGAGGAGAAUGUAUAUAACUUGUCUCAGGCUGGCAGCUACUCUGCUACUCUGAGAGUCACCAUCAAUCAUUUAGGCUUGCUGCAAUGGAAUACAUUGAAUGAAAGCAAUGACGAGUGGACUACUAUGUACACAGUACCAUAUGACCCAUGUGACAACUAUGGACAGUGUCGUGCUAAUGGCAUUUGCAGGCUUUCCAGCAUGCCAGUCUGUGAGAGUUUGAAGGGGUUCACCCCCAACUCAAAAGGAGAAUGGGAAAUGCUUGAUUGGUCUAGUGAAUGCGAAAGGGCAGGGUCCUUGGAUUGCAAGAGCAAAGAUGACCUUAUGAAGGUCUUAGGGGUGAAAUUGACUGACUUGUUGGAGUUUCGGUUGAACAAGAGUAUGAGCCUCAAGGAAUGUGAGGCAGAGUGCUUGAAGAACUGCUCCUGUGUGGCGUAUGCGAAUUCAAACAUUAAAGGUGGAAGCAGUGGUUGUUUGACCUGGUAUGGAGAUCUGAUUGAUAUUAGAGGGUUCACAGAUGGGAAAAGUGGGCAAGACCUUUAUACCAGAUGUCCAGCUGGGGAACUAGGUAAGAGUAUUUGACACUCUUUUCACUACCAAGCUCUUUUAUUGUUCAUCCAUGAAGGUUUAACAAGCAUUGCAAUCUGGAUUGCAUGGUUGCUUAUUUUCUCUAGGUGAGUUAGGAUCUUUUUCAUUUUUGGGAUAUGAAAGAAAGUUAGGAUUGUUUGUCAUAUAUCAUAGUGGGACAUUUUGACAUGGAAUAGCUAGUAUCCUCAGUAAUGGUUUUUAUCUUUUAACUAAAGCCACAAAAACAAUUGAUGGCCAACUCUCUCUGCAGUAAGGUGCAGACAAGACUGAAGCGAGGAUUUGAUAACAAAAGUUUUUAGCAAAAUGAUUAAAUUUCUUCCCAUCUCCUGUUUCAGGGUCAAUCCAUGGUUCGCAUAAGAAGAAAAAACUGGUUGUUGUCCUAGUUGCAUUGACCAUUUCUGGAAUGCUAAUCUUGGGCUUGGUGUUCUGGUGCAUAAAAAGGAAAAAAAUUGAGGUAAUCCUAAUUAUUGGUCCAUUCAGUGUUUCAACUUUCAUCAUUGAAAAUCUAUAUCAUACAACUGGAUCCUGAGUACAGUAAUGAAGUAGGCACUAUCUCAUCAAUAGGCCUCGAAAGUGAGACGGAAGAUUUGGAGUUACCUUUAUUUGAUUUGGCUACCAUUAAUACUGCUACUAACAACUUCUGUGUCAUAAAUAGAAUUGGCACAGGCUGCUUUGGUCCUGUUUUCAAGGUAACAUUUGAUUGUAAGAAAAAGUGUGUUUCCUAUUAGACAGUAUGCAGGGCAGUUUGUCAAUAGGAUAAGAAGUAGCAGUGAAGAGGUUGUCAAAGAAUUCAGGACAGGGUCUUCAAGAGUUUAAGAAUGAGAUUUUUUUAAUUGCCAAACUCCAACACAAGAAUCUAGUGAAGCUUUUAGGCUGCUGCAUUCAGGGACGAGAAAGGAUAUUACUCUAUGAAUAUAUGCCCAACAAGAGUUUGGAUUAUUUUAGUUCCAUUUGAAAUUCUCAACCCUUUAGAUCUCUUUGGACUGGUUUGGGUACAUGAUCAUCCAUACCAUGCUCAUGCAUCUAUAGAGUUCAAAUAGUUAUAAUCGCAAAAUUUACAAGGGUUGAAAUGAUGUGCAGAUUAAAACAGAAGAGCGUUAUUGCCAUGGAAAAAGCGCUUUGACAUUGUUAUGGGGAUCGUGCAAGGACUUGUUUAUCUCCACCAAGAUUCUAGACUUCAAAUCAUUCAUAGGGAUCUCAAGGCAAGCAAUAUACUGAUAGAUGAAAACCUGAACCCCAAAAUUUCAGACUAUGGCUUGGCAAUAAUUUUUGGAGGGGGAUGAAAUGGAAGCAAAAACAGAGUAAUUGGAACAUAGUAAGUUCUGUGCUUCUACUUUAGAAAUGAUGUGCUUUUCCUUGAAAUAACUUAUAUUUGAAAUCUUCAUGCAGUGGCUACACAUCCCCAGAGUAUGUGAUUGAUUGCAAAUUUUCUGUUAAAUUUGAUAUCUUUAGUUUUGGUGUGCUUCUGCUGGAGAUUGUGGCUGGUAUAAAGAACAGGGGGUUCUAUCAUUCAAACUACCACCAUAAUCUUCUGGGACAUGCAAGUAGAAAGAAUGAAAAUCCACCUCUGUCACACACACACAUCAAAGACGCAUGCCCUCUCUUGCUUUUCUGACAAAGUAUAUGGCUUCCAAUUGCUUUAGACAUGGUUGCUUUGGAAACAAGACAAGGCCUUGGAAGUAAUGGAUGCAUGUUUGGAGGACUCAUGUAUUGAAUCCCAGCUACUAAGAUGCAUACAAGUCGGUUUAUUAUGUGUUGAAAACCUCCCAGCAGAUAGACCAGCUAUGUCAUCUGUUUUUUUCACGUUGGGUAAUGAGGGAGCAACACUUCCUUAACCUAAACAUCCUGGUUUCUUCCCAGAAAUAAGUAAGAUCGAUAUAGAUGCAACAACAGGACGUGAAGAGUUACCUUCAGAAAAUGUAGUAACCAUCUCAGUGCCAGAAGGUAGAUAAAGGAUUCAAGCACUGUGUCAGCAUGUGCAGGGUGCAUCCAAGGUUUAAUUCAUGUAGGAUAUAGCACUAGGCUCUUCAAUGGAUGGACACCAAUUUCCUUAAGGUUGCAAAACUAGAUUACAGCUUGGCCCCAAGGAGGCCAAGGUGUUGGAUUUACUGCACUAGAACCAUAUCUGCUGAGCUUCAUAAUCCUCUAAAUGUAUGAAUAAAAUGUGCUAGAGCGUGUCCUCUAUGGCAGCUCAGGGCAGUGUGACUUGUAACUUAAAACUCACUAGUACAACUUUUGAAAUUCAUAUUUUCACAGGAUCAAGUUGGGUAUAUGCACAAGAAUGUGGAUUCUGCAGUCAACUUGGCUGCUUCACUUUCUUUUCCUCAGAGUUCACAUUUAUAGGGCUUAUAUAGAUGCUGAGCUAUACAAAAAAUCUUGAUUUGAAAUCUCAAGAAUUUCUAGAGGUGUUCAAAAUCCUUUGAAAUGUCCUUGGGAAGUGCAAUGAGCUUGCAACAAAUUGGAGUGAAUGGAGAUAAACAAAUUGAAAAUCAAAUGAGAGGAUUUGAAGCUUAAACAAAUAAACACCUUCACAUAAUAAGGUGUGAAUCUCUACUGUCUCUCUCAAGUUAAGACAUCUUUUAACUUCUUUUCAUCUUCCCAGAAGCUUCAAAAUUUUUUGCAAAACAUUAACUUGAAUACUGUACAGUGGCAAACCUUAGAGGGAGCUUUCAAAUUAUUUAGGAGAAAGAAUUCAAGAACUAUGUAACAGAUGAUUCACAUAGGUAACAGGGGUGAAAUUGCCCGACUUAAUAGAUUUUCAUGUGAUUAUGAGUGUGAGCCUUGGGGAGUGGUGUAAGGCGUUGUGCUUGAACAACUGUUCUUGUACAGCAUAUGCCUACUCAAAUCUUAAUGGAAGCAGUGGCUGUUUGAUGUGGUCCGGGAACCUGAUUGAUAUCAGAGAGUUAAGUACAGAAACAAAUAAGGAGGACAUCUAUAUCCGCGGGCACACUUCUGAGCCAGGUAAGACACUUGAUUUUUUGUAACUCACUUUUUUCUUUUAAGCUAUCGGGGUUCUCUCCAAUAGCCUCAGCCCUGAGUUAUCCUGGUAAUCAAGACGCAGAAUAACUUAUUUUCCAGAGGACAGAGAUUCAACUUCACAAGAAAAUUAUAAUCUAGUUAAAAAUAAUACCCUUAUAUUAUGCUCCUGAAGAACCAUAGUUCUUAGGAUCCAGGUUAACUAAUGAUGAACUGACUUGUAAUAAUCCUAACAAGCAGAAAGCAAAUAUCUGAUUCAUUUUCUGAAGAAGCAGGGAAAUCUGGGGAAAUAGAUACUUCAUUCCUGUCACCGUCUGUUCCAGAGUCAUACACUAAUCAGAAGACCAAAAAAAUAGUGAUCAUCCUUGUUAUAUCCAACUAUUUUGGAAUCCUCACCUUGGGCUUAGCAGUAUGGUUUCUAUUUCUGAAGAAGAGAACAAUGGGAACAGGUAUGCAUACUUAUCCACCUUGAUGAUUUUGUUGAAAGAAAACCAUGUGGCAGUGCUUUAAAAGUUACUUCUAAGUUAUUAUCCCUUUUAACAGACCAGGAAAGCAAGAAGGAGAACUUAGAGUUACCUUUGUUUGACUUGCCUACCGUUGCAACUGCUACUAACAACUUCUCCAACACCAAUAUGAUUGGAGCAGGUGGCUUUGGGCCUGUGUACAAGGUAAUAUGCGCCAUCUAAUGCAUCUCGGUAACCCAAAAAUGAUCUCGAAACAAAGAAGAGAAAAAUAUUUGCAUCUUACACAUCAUAUUUUGCAGGGCAAUCUGCCAGAAGGAGUAGCAGUAGCAGUGAAGAGAUUGUCCAAGAAUUCAGCACAGGGUGUGCAAGAGUUCAAUAAUGAAGUUGUUUUGAUGGCGAAACUUCAGCACAAGAAUCUUGUCAGGCUUUUGGGCUGCUGCGUUCAAGGAGAAGAAAGAAUUUUACUCUACGAAUCUAUGCCCAACAAAAGCUUGGAUUAUUUUAUUUUCGGUUUGAGCUCCGUAUCCUUAUCUGUUUGGAUUAGUUUCACUUUUUGAUCACCCAUCUUAUGCUCAGUCGUGUUCAGCUCAAUUCACACAUCUAAGUAAUGAAUUAGGCCUAAUAAAAAAUUUUAUGAAGGCGGAUGUAUUGUGCAGAUCAAAACAGAAGAGCAUUAUUGGCAUGGGAUAAGCGCUGCGAGAUUGUUAUGGGAUAGCACGAGGGCUUCUCUACCUCCAUCAAGACUCUAGAUUUCAAAUUAUUCACAAGGAUCUCAAGACGAGCAAUAUUUUACUGGACGACAAUCUCAACCCUAAAAUUUCAGACUUUGGCUUGGCAAGAAUUUUUGGAGAGAAUGAAAUGGAAACGAGAACAAAGAGAAUUAUUGGGACUCAGUAAGUUAUAAACCUUUAUAAUUUUAUAAAAUGGAAUUUAUCCCUUCAAAUAACUCGUACUUAAAAAUGUUGGUGCAGUGGCUAUAUGUCCCCUGAGUAUGUGAUUGAGGGGCACUUUUCUGUCAAAUCAGAUGUUCUUUAGCUUUGGUGUUCUUUUACUAGAGAUUGUGAGUGGUAAAAAACCAGAGGGUUCUCUCAUCCAUAUCACCACCACAACCUUCUGGGACAUGUAACUAGAAAGAAUGCAAUGGUGUUUCCUCUCUCUCUCUCUCUCUCAAUUUGUCUCUACUCUCUACCUUUUUCUGGGUUUUGUGGAAGACAAUAAAUAUGAUUUUUGCUCUAGGCAUGGCUGCUGUGGGAACAAAACAAGGCCUUGGAAUCAAUGGAUGCAUGUUUGGAAGAUUCAUGUGUUGCAUCGCAGGUAUUACGAUGCAUACAAGUAGGUUUACUAUGUGUUCAGAACCUUCCAGCAGACAGACCAGCAAUGUCAUCAAUGAUUUUCAUGUUGGGUAAUGAGGGAGCAACAUUGCCUCAACCUAAACAUCCUGGUUUCUUCACGGAAAGAUGUUCAGUGGAUACAGAUACAAUGUCAGGAAAGAUAAGAGUUACAUUCAGAAAAUGAAGUAACCAUCUCAAAGCUAAAAGGUAGAUGAAGAAUUCAAACAUCUGCUUAGUGAAUUAGUUAUGCAGGUGCCAGCUUCUGUGACUGAAACGGUUUGCAAAGGUUCCUCUGUUGCAGCUCAGGGCACUGAAAUCUGCAACUUAAGACUCACUAGUAGAAUUUCUAAGUUCAGAUUCCCUCUGGAUCUGGUUGGUAGUAAGCAGAAGAACAUGUAUUCUGCACUCACUUUAUAUGUUACAGUCACUUUAUCUUCCACUUGUUGUAGAAGCCCAAUAGGGGCUACACCCAAACACCCGUUAAAAGCCCAAACCAAUUGAGCCUAGAGGAUGAGUGCCAAAGCCCAAUGAAAUCUCAAGGCAAGGUGUUUGUACCUUGCAUUUGAUCCACUGAGCUUUAAAAGCAAAGGUGAGGCCAUUGAGCUAUAUGUCAUGCUAAAGUAAUAGCGUUGUAAAAUUAAAUACAUAGCAAGAUUAAUGGUUUUUCUUCAAAAAAAUUUUAUGUGAAUAUUUACGUUCAUGCUUAUUUUUAUAAUAAUAAUUAUCAAAUUAAUAUAAUAAUUUUAAAAUAAUAAAAUACAAAAAAUAAAGAGAUAAAAUUAAAUACUAUGAUUUUUUUUAUCUUAAACAUAUCUUUAUGUUUAAAUAUUAUACAUGUUCUAUUUAAUAAGGUUUAAAAUAUUAAUAUAUUUAUAUUUAUCUUUAUAAUUUAAUUUGGUAUGUGUAAUAUAAAAUUGAAAUAUUAUUAAAAUUUGUAAUUAUAUAUUUUAAAUUUCUUAUAAAUUUUUUUUGUACAAUAUAUAAAUUAUAUAAUUAUUACUUUACCGGUUUGAUCAUGGUUGAACCACUGAUCUGACCAGUGAAUCGUGAAUGUAACAACCUACAUCCAAUCUCAAAGAGGCUCUCACAACUUUAAAACAUAUCUACAAAUUAAGAACUCAUACAUAUAUAGCAUCAAGAUAGCAUCAAGAUAGGGGAGAAAGUUCUUAACACUAUAUAAGUAUAAACUCUUCUUAACAGCGAAGCUUUAAAAAUUUUUGCGAAACAUUAACUUGAAUGCUAGACAGUGGCAAACCUUAGUGGGAGCUUUCAAAAUUUUUAAGAGAGAGAAUCAUGGUUUAAAUAUUGGUAAAUAUGGAAUAUUUGUACCUACAUUUUACGGAUAUAUUGGAAAUAUCGAUGAAUAUUUUGACAAAAAUAUUGGUAAGACAAAAAUUAUUCAAAAUUUAUAAAAAUAUUUAGAAAAAUUUUAAAAAUGAUAAAAUAAAUAAAAAUACAUAUGUUAAAGUUUUUUUCUAAAAAUAAUUGACAUAGAUAUGAUCAAAUAGAAAAAUAUCGAUAAGUAAGGAUAAAUCAAUCUUAAUAAUUUAUUAUUUAUCCAAUCAAAUUAAUUUUAAUUUAUAAAAUAUUAGAAUUUCAUUAUUUUUGAAUAAAUUUAUAUUUUUAAUAUUUUAAACACAUGCGAAAAUAUCAUCAAUGGAUACUUUUUAAAUAACAAUGAAAAGUUCUUACAAAAAAUAUAUCUUAAUAAUAAAAUAUCAAAGACAUACAUAUUAUUUGGGAAAAGAAAUUUAAAACACUUUCCAACAUAUAAAGUGCUUUAUUCAACCAAUAGUAACAAAGACAAGCUUUGACUUGGAUUGAAAGCCUGGCCAAGUCAAAAAUUGAAACCUUAUCCUCUUGAUGCUGUGUCUUGGACAAAUUCUAGGAAAAACCUACAUUAGAGCAAUUUUAGUAUUUUUUUAAACUUGUGUAUAGAAGUCUUCCUUUCAUCUGUCAGAAGCGUCAAUGGAGACCCAUCUUUUCUUUGCCUUCUUUUGUGCCUGGAUUUGUCUCUCAGUUCCCUUGGAGUCUUGUAUUGCAGCUAAUUCCAUAAGGAUUGACCAACCCAUAGGCGAUGGUGAGUCUUUAGUUUCCUCAGGCCAAAGCUUUGAACUAGGCUUCUUCUCUCCUGGCAGCUCCAAAAACAGGUACUUAGGAAUAUGGUACAAGAAUACACCCCGGACAGUUGUAUGGGUUGCAAACAGAAACAACCCGAUCGCAGAUUUGUAUGGAGUUUUAACCAUCUUCAACAAUGGCACACUUGUUCUUCUCAACUAGUCAAAGAGUGUAAUCUGGUUGAUUUGUUCCCAAUUUGUGUCUCAGUUGACUCAUGUCCUCUCAAUGGUCCCUGACAGUGGUGCCAUUUGAUUCGUGUCCAGGUGGUGUCCCUUGAUUGUGGUCCUCAGAAGGGAGUAAUCAACAAAAUUUAUAACCUAUUACACCAUGUACUAGGAUAGCCUUAGCUAGCAUAGCAUAGUGGCUCUAGGGUCGUUCACUGGGAUGGGUUUUCACUUCACAAUUGAUAUUAAUUCAAAGUUGAAUUGGUGCCUUUUCAUUUCAAGGUUAGCUUUAAAAGAAAACAUAAAGAUGUUUAAAUGAAAAAGGUUUGGUUUUAAACUAACCAAAAAUAGUAACUGAUUUUACUUACAAAGAAAAGUGUUUCUUGGAGUUUAGAUCACUAGGUUCAGGUUCCUCAUACAAAAAGGAGAGUUCCGGUUACUUGUUUCUUUUCCUCGCAUUAGAGAAUUAACAUAUAGUUAAUUCUCUAACCGGUGUGGUACAGAUGCUUCCCUUUAAUGGGUUCAAACACUAAAUCCCUCUCACUGAUGCACCUUGCAAUGGCUCGUGCCUCUCACCUAGCAUUUGCCAUUCAAGGUGAUCCUUAACCUUGGAUUAUCCGUCAAAAGCUCGCAAGAGAUAACUAAUGGAUGUCUCCUUGGAGUCCAAAAGCUUACCAAGUGUUGGCUAUUCUAGAAAAUCCUACCUCUAAACCACCUCCCAAAGGCUCGCAAGAGAUAAACAAGUGCAUCUCAAUGAACGGAGACCACUUGCCUUAUCAAGUGUUGGCCCAGGUGAGUUAAAGGCGUUUUAAGUUAACUAAAAAGAUAAAAACCAUUAACGAGUCACACUUUCUCUUCAUUAAAAACUAAAACAACAAAACUUCCAAUUUCUGCAUGAGGAAACUUACCCGACUUUCUUCACUCCAAGAGACGAAGAGCCUAGCCUCUCAUCAUUUGAGAAAAAAUCCUCAGAGUUUGAUUGGCUAGAAAGAAAACUAACGAGAAAACAAAAAUAUGAAGGAAAAACAGAGCAAGUGCCCUGUUCGUCGAUUCCAUAUAUAUGAUAUAUAUAUUAUAUAUUUUCUUUAUAUUGGUUCAAAGAUAUAUAUAGAGAAUAUAUUUUCUAAGAAAUAUCCCAAUAAUAUCUUUGACUGAUUACAAGGAGAAAAUAGAAAUUUACACAAAAUAUCUUGAGAGAAAAAAUCUAACUUAGUCAGUGGCAAAUAUCAAGAAGCUUCAGGAGAACACCACGGCACUGUAUACUGAGAGAAAAACUCUCCGGGUAAGCGCUAUCAGAGGAUCCGGAUAUGUCUGACUGGAGAAGUUGAAACGUCUUCCUCUCCCAUCCAGCGUCAGGCUCCGGAUGUGAAAUAUCCCGCGCCGCAAGGCUAUCCGGAUCAACUCCAUCAGGAUUCCCCCGGGUGGAAGGAGCUAUGUCGCAAGGGGGACCGUCUGCGUGUGCAAGGUGUAGGGACCCCUCUCCCAGAUGACACGGAGCACGCAAGGCUAUCCGGAUCAACUCCAUCCGGAUUCCCCAAGAGGACAUGUGGCGCGCUUCCCUAUUCGGACUCCCUCAGGGAGAAGCACAUGACACUCGUGAACAUCACACCCGGACGAUAGCAUAUCCUAUCCGGAUGUGUUGUCCAGAUCAUUGACUUAAUGUGAGCAAGCCUUGCUACGUCAUUCAAAUAGCCUGCCACAGACCAUGUUCUGUCGCCAUCCUGUCCGGACACCCUGUCCGGACAUCUUUACCAUGGAUUUCAAAGAACUCUCCUUAAUCUCGGAUUGCUUUGGUGAUCAAAAAGCUAUCAAAACACCAAAACUUAACACAAUUUGAUUAGAAUUGAUUGCAAGGGUCCUUAAUAUGUUAAUUGGGUUAAAAGGUGAUAACUACUACUCAAAAGUGUUUAAAAGAGUUAAUUACAAGCUAUGAAAUAACACUUUUUGAGUAGUAAUCACUGGUCUCUCAAUUUGUCAAAGGUACCAGAAAAUCCAGUUGCACAGCUCCUGGAGACUGGAAAUCUUGUUCUUAGGGAUAGUGGUAAAGAAAGUUUUGAAACCUAUAUAUGGCAGAGCUUUGAUGAUCCAUCAGACACAAUGUUGCCAGGCAUGAAGGUGGGAUGGAACUUAAAGACUGGUCUACAACGAAAAUUGACAUCAUGGAAAAGUGCUGAUGACCCAUCUCCUGGAGGCUUCUCUUAUAGAAUUGAUAUUAAUGUGCUGCCUUACAUGGUUCUUGGUGUGGGAGUAGGCAAAAAAGUCCGUUCCGGGCCAUGGAAUGGACUUGAAUUCAAUGGUUUGAAUGCGUUGGAUAACUCGGUUUACAAAGCAGUUUUUGUUGCCAACAACGAUGAGGUAUAUGCCCUCUAUGAGUCUAACAACAAUAAGAUCAUUUCAAGACUAACAUUGAACCAUUCAGGUUUCCUCCAGCGUCUGGUAUUAAAAAAAGGGAGCUCUGAAUGGGAUGAAUUGUACUCAAUUCCCAGUGAACUUUGUGAAAAUUAUGGCCAUUGUGGUGCUAAUGGUAUCUACAGAAUUGGCAAGCUGCAGAUUUGUGAGUGUUUGACAGGUUUCACAAUAUCAUGUUAUGCCAUUUGGUCUUUGUAAUGCCCCAUCCACUUUUCAAGCCAUCAUGAAUUCCAUAUUUCGCCCUCACCUCUGACAAUUCAUUCUAGUAUUCUUUGAUGAUAUUUUAAUUUAUAGCCCCAAUUGGAACAUGCAACUUGAACAUGUUAAGCAAGCUUUUGAAAUUUUGAGGCAUCACACAUUUUUUUUAAAACUCAAAAAACGUGCCUUUAGCCAACAAGAAUUAGAAUACUUGGGGCAUAUUGUCACUGCUCAUGGGGUCAAAGUGGACCAAAAUAAAAUAUAGGCCAUGCUUGAUUGGCCUCAUCCUACUAAUGUUUCAAAGUUACGUGGGUUCUUAGGCCUUACAAGUUACUAUCGGAAGUUUGUUCGCAAUUAUGGCAUCUUGGCUGGCCCACUCACUAAUCACUUGAAGAAAGGCCAAUUUGGGUGGACUGCAGAAGCUAAGACCUCCUUCAAGCUCCUUCAACAAGCUAUGACUACCACUCCCACCCUUGCCAUGCCAAAUUUUCAGGAACCAUUCACUAUUGAAUCUAACGUUUCCGGGGAUGGGAUUGACACUAUACUCACCUAACAAGACAAGACCAUUGCCUUCAUGAGUCGAGCCUUAGGAGUCUCCAAAUUAUCCUGGUCUACAUAUGCCAAAGAGAUGCUUGCCAUCAUUCACGCCUUGGCACCCUUAUCUUCUCGGGUAGAAAUUCUACAUCCAAACUGACCAGUGGAGCCUCAAGUACUUACUUGAGCAGCGUGUGGUAACACCAGAGUAGAAGAAAUGGGUUGCAAAGCUACUUGGCUAUGAUUACGAGAUACUAUAUAAACUUGGCCGCGAAAACUCAACCGCCGAUGCCCUUUCCAGUGUGCCAGGCUCCCCAACUCUUAAUGCUUUAUUUGUUUUGCAGGUUAAAAUAUGGGAGGAAAUCAAAACAGCCUUGGCAGACAAUGCUUACAUGGCCUGCAUUAGCAAGCUCACUACUAUCAAACCUGGCCUUUCCUACACCAACCGUCACGGGUUGAUCUUCUACAAAAAUCGAGUGGUGGUGUCCCCUCAAUCCCAUAUCCCGAAUCAGUUACUACAUGAGUUCCAUGACUCUCCUUUUGGUGGCCACUUCGGAGUGCUGCGCACAUAUAAACGUAUCACUCAACAGUUUUAUUGGCCCUCAAUGUAUCGCAUGGUGAAUGAGUAUGUCUCCUCUUGUGAUGUUUGUCAACGAGCUAAGGCAUCCACCUUGUCCCAUACUGGUCUCUUACAGCCGUUGCCCAUUCCUUGUCAAGUAUGGGACGACAUCACCAUGGAUUUCAUCAAAGGACUGCCUCCAUCCCAAGGCAAGAACACAAUAUUUGUGGUCGUCGAUCACCUUAGCAAAUCAGCUCACUUCUUGGCCUUAACUUGCCCUUUUUCUACCAAGAUGGUAGUAGAAAAAUUUGUUGAGGGUGUCUUAAAAUUACACGGCAUGCCUAGAUCAAUCAUCAGUGACCGUGAUCCAAUUUUCAUAAGCAACUUUUGGCGUGAAUUCUUUAAAUUGUCCAACACACAAUUAAAGAUGAGCUCUGCAUACCAUCUCCAAACUAACGGGCAGAUCGAAGUCAUCAAUCGCUAUGUCAAGCAAUAUCUAUGCUGUCUGGUUCACCAGCAACCACAAAAAGGGUACUCCCUUCUUCCUUGGGCAGAGUUUUAGUACAAUACGACUUACCAUGUUUCAAUCGGCAUGUCACCUUUUCAAGCUUUGUAUGGUUGCCCUCCCCCCAUGAUUCCACACUAUUAGUUGGGUUCUUCUCCAGUUAAUGAGGUCGACCAAAACUUGGCCUCACGCAAUGAUCUUCUCAAUCAGCUCAAACUCAACUUACAUCAAGCUUCCAAUUGGAUGAAACAAAUCGCCGAUUCAAAAAGGCGGGACAUCGAAUUCAAUGAAGGUGGCCUUGUUUUCCUUAAACUGCAUCCUUAUCGCCGACAAAUAGUGUUCAAAAGAGCAUCUUAGAAACUUGCUCACCGGUUUUAUGGGCCCUUUCCAAUUGAGAAACGCAUUGGCAAGGUAGCAUAUCAACUCCAACUUCCUGCGGGGUCUUGCAUCAAUAUGGUAUUCCAUGUUUCUUUGUUAAAAAAGAAGAUUGGUGAUUCAAGUGCAAGUUGUCCUACUUUGCCACCUCUCACCGAUGAUGGUACCCUCAUCAUCGAACCUGCAGAAAUCAUAGACACUCGUUGGCUUAAAAAAAGGGGGAAAUUUUUUGAAGAGUGCUUGGUCAAAUGGAAACACCUUUUCGUUGAAGAUGCUACUUGGGAGAAUGCAGCAGAGUUGCAAGAUUGGUUCCAUGACUUGAACCUUAGGGACAAGGUUCCAAUAAAAGUGGGGGGUUGUGGACCCGCAUUUAUCACGUGCGCUCCCACUCGAUCGGCGAUACUCGCUUUUUAUUCGUGAAAAUUUAAUUUUAGAAAAGUUGGAGUCGCCACUUAUUUUAUUUUAUUUUAAAAGGGAAAAUAAAACAAGAAAGAAAACCCUAAAAAGUGACUCCAUAAUUUUUGGAAAAAAGGCAUGCCUUUGAAAACCUGAGUCUAGGUCCGGGGAUCAGGUUACCUAUUAGGAAGGUACCUUUAAAAGGUAGCACCCCUCUAAGCCCUAUAGAGGUCUCUACUAACUAAGUUGAGGGAAAUGUGGCAAUUAAUCGAUUAAUUAUAGAUACCUAAGUAAGCUUGGUGAUUUUAAAAUAACAUGUUAACAAGAAAAUCAAUCACAAUCAUAUAGAAGAUUCAGGGUGCGUACCUGAACCACUUCUUAAGCGCUAUCAUAAAACAUCAAUUGUUAGUUUAGAUAAUAUAUCACUCAGCAUGCAUUUUAUCAUGAAUGAUCAAACAACAUAACAAAUAUCAAGACAUCCCAAGCAUUCUCAAACAUAGGUGUAAUUUACAAUGACAAUCAUAUUUAUAGAAUUUAGAAAGUAUGUGACAGGGGACGUACCUGGAUAACAUAGAUAACUUACAAUGCGCUUCCAUAAGACAUGAGGGGUUAGAUAAUAAAUAAUAAAAUAUAGAAAUCCUAGCAUGCUCGUUAUCUAAUUAGCAUAGCAGAAAUUAUCAAAGUAUAUGAAAACACUAAUUAUCACACUCAUCUUGUAUACAAUUCCUAAAAAAAGAUAGACAUAAUUUCAACAAGUGACAAAAGUGGCAACAAAAAUAAUUUUUGAAAAGAUUUUCUUAUGUAGGGGUUUCACCAAUUCCCCAAUUGAUAUACACGAAUUUAGCCUAGAAUUAUCCCAUUUAUUUGGGACCACAAGCUUUGAUUCGUGUUUUAUUCAAAACUGCAAUUUUUUUUUUUUUUUGAAAUUCGAGGAAGAUGUGAACCGAUCAAAACAUGGUUGCACAUUAUUUAAGAAAAUGAGAUUUUGAUUUUAAGAAUCCUAAAGGAAUUAUUGAAAUGAAUUUUUAAAGGGAAUGAGAUUUUGAUUCUGAGAACUCUAAAUGAAUUUUUGAAAUGGUUUUUUAAGGAAAUGAGAUUUUGAGAAUAUUGUUAUGUUUUAAAGAUAAAAGAAGUUAAUUUGAAAACAAUAAAAUGUAUGAAUCAAAAUACCAAGCAAAGGAAAAAAGAACAAAAUCACAAAGUAGAAUUUUUGACAACCGAUAAAAUUGAAGUGGUGGGAAUGGAGGCCAAUCUUCACUAUUUUCUGAUAGCCUCUAAAAAUUGAUUUUGACAAAGGAUGACCAAAGUGAUAAACCAAAACCUUAGAUCUUACAAGCACUGAAACUUUAAAAACAUUUAAUCUUAAGAUAAACUUAAUCAAGCACUAAAUAUUAAGUGACCUUUAAAACAGUACAAGCGAUACGUAUUAACUAAUAUUGACAAUUUUGAGUCAUAAAUCUAAUCGGCUAACUAAACAAUUGAAUAAAAGAAAACAAACACAUAAAAUAAAUAAAAUUAGUCAAAAACUGAAAUGAACUAUUUUUAAACACAAAAUGACAACAUGGGAAUAGAUUAAACUAAUAGCCUACAAUUCGAAAGCAUAGAAUUAAUGGAAAAAUGGAAUAAAAAAAAUCUUAACAUAAACUAAACAAUAUGAAACCAACCAAAUUAAUUAAAACUCUAAAAAAAUAUCAACUAAAACAGGAUCAAUCAAAACUAAAAUAACUAUUUAUUUUUAUUUAUUUAUUUUAUUUUUUAUUUUUUUAAAAUUUUAAAACAUGAAUAUAUCAACGCGGAAUGAAAUAAAUUAACCAACUUAAAUUCUAAAACUAAUAAACUAAAAGGAUGAAUCAUGAAUUAAAUUUAACAACCUUUAGAUAUGAAAAGAGUGACAUGGAAGCAAUUGAACUAAUAAACUGAAUUUUAAUAACAUUUAAACUAAAAGAUAAAUUAAAACUAAACUAAAAGAAAUUAUGAAUUUCCUAAUUGAGAACAAAAAUAAUGCCAAUCAAAAUUCUAAAUUUUUAACCAUUAUCACACAUUAUCCAAACUCUAAAAAAUCCUAACUUUUCCAUUAUCAACAAAAUUGCCCAAACCAAUACUUAAAAAUAAUAAUAAUAACAAUAAUAAUAAUAAUAAUAAUAAUAAUAAUAAUAAUAAUAAUAAUAAUAAUAAGUAAAUAAAAAAAUCUAAUUUGUCGAACUAAGAAAAUAAAUUGUAACUACAUUAAACAUAAAUCAUAAUUUUCAAGCAAGAAUAAUAAAUCAGUAAUAAUUAAUUUAGUUAGUUAAGAAAAAUUAAAAAUUAACAUCUAAGCUAAAUAUGAAUUUACAAUAAAAUAAAAAUUUUAAAUGCAUAGGCCGAAUGGGAAUAAUACAAAACUAACUUUAACAAAUUAAAAACAUGAAUACAUUGACAUUGGGAAUGAGUAACUAAAUAUAUAAAAUUCUGAAAUAAUUACGAAUGGCAUUGAAUAGUCAUGAAUCAAAAUUCAAAUAGGAAGAAUUAAUUUACCUUUCUCAAAGACGCGUGGGCUACUCUCCAACAAAAGUGACAGUAUGAUUUUUUUUAUUUAAGAAAGUCAAUUCUAUGAUGCAUGGUGUGAUAGUUAUGGAUCAAUCAAGACUAAAAGAACUAAUAAUUUAAGGAACAAAAUAAAUUAAUAUGGAUAUUCAAAAUUAAUAACAAAUAAUUUUAUGAAGUGCACACACCGGGUAAUCUAAAUUAAUAAUAAUAAUAAUAAUAAUAAUAAAAUAAAAUAAAAUAAAGACCUCAAAAAUCUUAAAUUAAACAGAAACAAAUUUAAUGGCUUGCAAACAUGCAUAUAUUCACGUAAGAUUAAUUAAACUAGAAAAUAAAAAGAACUCAAAAGACAUAACGGGAAUAAUACAAAACUAAAUUUAACAAAUUAAAAAUGUGAAUAUAUUGAUAUUGGAAAUAAAUAACUAAAUAAAUAAAAUUCUGAAAUAAAUUGAGUUGAAUAGUCAUGAAUCCAAAUUAAAACAGGAAGAAUUAAUUUACCUUGGUCAAAGACGCGUGGGCUACUUUUGUUAGUGACAGUAGGAUUUUUAAAAUCAAUUCCACCUGGUGUGGUGGAUACCAUGCACUGCAAAUACUUGCAGUCACCAAAACAAUGCGUAUUAGUGGAGAGAAAUCUUCCUUGACAGUGUGUUGCCCUUGAGAGAAUCUGGUGGUCUCCUUUAUGUCCUCCAAGCAGCAACCCCUUAAAUUGAAUGACAUUUUCUAUGGCCACGUGAUCCCCUUUGGUGCAGCCCGCGCAUGGAGUCCUUCUUGGUGGCUGGUUUCUGGGCAAAAUCUGGCGAGCUCCUUUCAAAGUCCAGAAUGCGUGGAUGUUCUCGAUGAGAAACCCACGUUUGGUGAAGACGAAGGUAAUCCGCGUCUUGACCGGAGAGAAGACUUCUUGGACGAUAUAUUUUUUUUAAAACGAUAGCUCCUAAUAGUUCACGAAAACACGAUCUGAUCCGGCUGCUAUCGCGCCCUUCAAGGUACAGUCGUGCUUCUCCGAAGCUUUUCCAGUGCGGCUGCCUCCUUUCCCUUCCUUCUCAAUGGUGCUCCUCCUCUAAAAAACUAGCCCCACUUCAUCACCCAAUAUGCUAUCUUUCCUUGCACAGCCUAACCUUCCAAAAACCAGCCUUCCCCAUACCUUUUCCAUGCACGUUCAGAAUUUUCCUUUUUUUUAGACCUAGCCCUCAUUUCGUCCACGUACAUGCUAAGUCUUUUCUUUUUCCUUUUCACUUGCCAAAACCACUUUGGUAAUUUUCCCUACAACCGGCUUCAUUCAUCCACCAAUCCGUGUGUCAUUCUCAUUCCUUUCUAAAAAAUUCUGAUCCUUCUUUGUAUCUUCCCCUAAAAACCAUCCUUAUUCAUCCAUUAUUUAUAUUCCGCUUCCACGCCCCGAAUCCACCUUUCCAAAAAACAGUGUGGUCCCUUUCCAUGAGCAUCUUUUGCACACCUUCCCAUUGACUCCACCUACAUGGAAGAAUAACAAGAAAAAAAUUCCAGAAAAGAAAGCAAGAAUCCAUGAAGUCAAAACCAUUCCCGUCAUUCAAAUUCAACAUUCCUUUCAUUAAAAUUUCAAGAAGUCCUUAAAUCCCAAAUAGGAAAAUAUCAAUACAUAGAUAAGAGGAUACAUACCUAAAAAUAAAUAAAUAAAUAAAUAAAUAAAUGUUAGAUAUAUUUAAUAAUAAUAAUAAAAAGAAUUAAACUAAUGCAACAUAUAAUAAUAGUCGAAGUGUCAAACUCAAGCCACCAAUAAUAAUAAUAAUAAUAAUAAUAAUAAUAAUAAUAAUAAUAAUAAUAAUACUAAUAAUAAUAAUAAAAACUCAUUUCAUGCAAUUAUAAAAUAAAAUAAUUAACAAAAAAAAUACAAAUAAUAAUAAUGAUGAAAUAAUAUAAAUAUAUCAAAACUCACUUAAUCCUAAAAGCAAUCAAUAAAAUAAAUAAAUAAAUGAAAACAAAUCUAAGUGAAACUAAACCUUGAAAAGUGUUUAAGUGGGCCUAAGGCAGUGCCUAAUGGGCCAAGUGCGUUUAAUGGGCCUAAGGUGCACUAAGUGAACCUAAGGUGUCUAAAUGGGCCUAGGGUGAUGUCUAAUGGGCCAAGUGUCUAAGUGAGCCUAAGGUGCCUAAGUGGGCCUAAAGUGUCUAAAUGGACCUAGGGCGAUGCCUAAUGGGCCAAGUGUGGUGCCUAAAUGGGCCCAAGGUGCCUAAGGUGGCUAUGUGAGCCUAAGUCUAAAUUAGGGCUGCCAAGAGUCACAACGGGGUUAAAUGAACCCCUCAACCAAAGUCCCCAAGGUGGCUUAGAAAAGAUGGGCUACACGAGUAUUCAUGGGCCACCAGGGAAUUGCUAUAAACGACAUGUGCGAGGAAGACAAAAUAGAGGGUCUACAGGGGUAUUGAUAAACCACGAAGAUCUCAGCGUGUUUCUUGGCCAAAUCAGAAAUAUUUGGAUUGAGUCUUGAGCUGCAACGCUUGGAGAAGAAGUUUGGUUGUGUUAGAGUCUUUCUUUCAGUUGGAGUCCUAUUAUUCUGCUAGUCUGUUAUUUCUGCUUCCAUGAUUUAGUUUCUAUUUGUGCACAACAGUUGUGGCUGUAAGUUUAGGAAGAGUGGUUAGAAAAUAUAUGUAUUUAAACUCUUUCAAUGAAUAAAAAGGAUAUUGAGCAUAUGCUAAAAUCAACAGAAGGCUUUGACCUAUGAGAGAGACCCUAAAGUGGUCAUAUAUCCUUAUGGAUUAGGUCACCGUUAAUGGAGGCUAGUAACAAUAGGUAUUCUUAAUAGAGGCACCAUGAUAUCUCAUGGGAUUGAGACAGUGUGUCCCUUUGGGUGAUCCAAAGGACAUGUGAUUAUGAAAUUUAUGGCCACAACAAUUUCUUUUGUGGAAUUUAACUUAUGCUCCUUAGAGUUGGAGCUAGAGCAUGUUAGUUAAUCAUAUAAUAAGUGGGAUCUAUAACUCAAGGAUUGGAGAUGUAAUCUUGAUCGGUGAUAACACUACCUUGUUAGAUAAUGAACACCAGUUCAUGGGGAGUUUAUAUGCAAUGGAUAAUAGGAUGUCGUGGACCUGAACUUUGUCUCAUUGUUAUGUACAUAUGGUAUUGGAGUGUAGUUGAUUCUCUUUAAUGGAACGUUGAAUCAACUUUAAAAUUGGAUUUUGAUAGAGCAAAUACUCCAAUGGGUCCUAGUGGUUCUCACUUUAAGCUAAUAUACUAUGUGACACAUUUUAUGAGGGUUGGAUUGACUCUAGGUUGAUUCUUGUGCAUAAGAGCAUUUUGGUAAUUACACAAGGUUGCAUAGGGGAUAAUGAACAAGGUAUUUGGUUUGGGCUAAUUGAUCAAUUAGAUGACCCUAUGUAGUUAAUUAAUCAAUUAUGAGCCAUUUUGGGCUAGACUAAGUGACCCAAGCCUUGAUGGGCUUAAGUCACUUAAGCAUAAUCGACAAGCCUAUAAAUACCCCUUUAUAGGUUAGCGUUUCCUAAUGAAUUUCAAUGAGAGUUGUUUUCCACCUCUAGAGAAAGACAGAGAGAAAAUAAUAGCCUCAUCCAUUUUGUUGCCCAUACUUUAGAGUGCCAAGAUUGUGGUUCAAGUCAUCGGGUGGAGGAUCUUAGGUGUACGAGACCUCCUUAGAUGAGAGGCUACAACACUUGGACAUGCGUAGGGCACGUGCACAAGACGUGCAUAGACCAUGUGAAUAGGAAUUGCACGAGACAUGCACAUGGGUAGUAGCAUGAGGAGAGAGACUCUCCAGUUUUUCCAAGUAUGUUCUUCAUCGGAUGGAUUUUGAUCUAGGAACAUCUAAAUCACAUGUUUGAGUUUCAAAUCUCUAGAUCUAUAGUUAUUAAUGGUUUUCAUUGCUAAUUUAUUCCAUUGUGAUAGAUUUACAAAUGCCUAGGGAUAGAUGCAUUCACCCUAUGAGAUCCAAGGCAUAGGAACGAAGUAUUAAUCUAGGGUUCCCAAGUGAUGACAAUAGUAAGAUAUCAAGAUUGAACCUAACACUAAUUAAACAUCUGGUAUUUAGACCUAGGUCAUAUUAAUCUAAAUAGGAUCCAAAGAUUGUAAAGUCUGGACUCUUUGAUUCCGAAAGAUCUUCUAGUUUAUGAAUCCUAUAUAGAUGGUAAAAUGAUCAAGAGGACUAGAGGUAAGGAAUAUUUGGAGUUAGUGCAUACUAAUAUGUAUGGAACUUUUAGUGUCUAUGCAUGGAGAGGGUAUGGGUAUUUCAUCACUUUUAGUAAUGAUUACUUUAGGUUUGGAUAUGUACAUAGGAAAUCUGAUGUCUUGGAUACAUUCAUUGAAUUUAAGGCGAGAUCAAAUAACCUAUUGGGUAUACAUACCAAGUCAUUUCAAUUAUAUCAAGUUGAUAUGUUUGGUAAGUUUGAUUCUUUUUGUUAGAGCAUAAGAUUAUUUUCUAGUUAUGUUCAUCAAGGUCUCUAUUGCAAAAUGAAUAAGUGGAAAGAAGAUAUCAAACUUGGAUGGACAUAGUAAGAUUGUGGAUAGGUUUUUCAUAUUUUCUCAAAUUCUUUUGGGGAUAUGUCUUAUAGAUUGUGUAAUUACUUUUUUUUUUUCCUAAGAGGUGUAUUAGUUUAUAGGAUAUCUAAGAGGAUUUUUGGGUUAUCACCUUUAUAGUCAAUCAUUAAAAGAUAUUUGUUAACAUAAAUGUCCCAUUUUUCAUGAAGAUUAUAUGAUAAGGAAGAAGGCAUAAAGUGAUAUAGAUUGCAGGAUAUAUUAGAAGAUAGUCCCACAUUGCAUAGGAUACUACGGAUCCAAAGGGUUAAAGACAUACCAUUCCUAUGAUUUCUAGUACACCAGUACCUCAUCAUAGUGGGAAGUUUAUAUCCCACAGAUAAUGAUGAAGCGGUGAGCAAUGUUUAUGCUCACUUAAGGCAAGGACGUGUGAUCAUGAAAUCUAUGAGCCCAUAGUAAUUCCUUUAGUGAAAUUUGAGAUAUGCUCUUUGUGAGUUAGAGUAUGUUAUUUAAUCACAAAAUAAGAUGAUCUAUGACUCAAAGAUUGUAGAGGUAGUCUUGAAAGGCUGAUAACUUUCACCUUGUUAGACUAUGAACAACCAAUUCAUGGGAAGGCUGUAUACAAUAGAUAGCAAGUCACGAACUUGAGCACUUGGUGUCUCGCUGUAAUAUACAUAGAGUUCCAAAGUACAAUUAACUCUCUAUAGUAGGAUAUUGGAUUCUAAGGGAUCUAGUAUUGUCCUAUGGGUUCCAUUGGUCUCUACUAAAAGCUCAUCUUCCUUGAUAGCAUGGUUUAUGAGAGUUGGAUGGGUUUUUAGUUCACUUGUGUGCAUAAAGGCAUUUUGGUAAUUGCGCAAGGUUACACAGAGGUAACUGUGCAGUAUCUUGGAACUUGGCUAAUUGAUUAAUUGGAGCCUUAUUUUGUUAAUUAAUCAAUUAGCAACCUUUUUGGGCUAAAUUAAGUGACCCACACCCAUAAUGGGCCCAAGUCACUUAAGCAUAGUAGGAAACCUAUAAAUACCUUUCGCAAGGGUUUGGGUUUCUAAUUCAAUCUUGUCAUUCUCUCCCUAUAGUCCAAAGAGAGAACCCUAGUCUUCAACCUUGAGAUUUCCACCAUCUUAGUGCCUAGACUCAAGAAGGAGUCAUCGAGUGGAUGAUUAUGGGUUUAUAAGAUCUUUCUUAAAUUUGGAGCUUUCUACAUUAACAAGAAUUGAUUUGGGAACAUCCAAAUAAUAUGUAUAACACUUUUCUCUAGAUCUAUGACAUGUUUUUGUUUUUUAAAUACCAAAGUUUUCAACUAUGCUUAGAUCUAGAAAGCAUAAGAUAGGAUUACAUGCACCCUAAUAAUCCAAGGCCUAGGAAUAGAGUGAUCUAAGGUUUCCUAACAAAUAUAACCCAAUAAGUAAGAAUGAUUUAUAGGAACUAAAAUUUCUUUCAAAAAGAAAAGAAGUUUAUUGGAGUAAGAUAGGUAUACAAGAGAAGGAAAAAUGCAAAAUGAGUAGAAAAAUACAAAGCAACAUUGGUGCAAAGGAUUAUAAGCAAGAAUAAUGCACCAAUAAGAUGAGGGUAUUUGGUCUCAUUGCUCUUUUAGUAACUAUGAGAUUAAUAAUCUCUUUAAUAGCUCAAAAUAGUUGAAAAUUUUCAAAUGGAUGUGAAAUCCAAUUUUUUGAAUUGACAUCUUGAAGAAGAAGUGUAUGUAGAACAAACCAUAGUUGGUAUAUAUAUAUAUAUGGGCAUGAGAAUAAAGUUCCAAAAUUGAAAAUAACCUUGUAUGGAAUAAAACAAACACAAAGAGCAUGGAAUAAUAGAAUUGACCAAUAUUUUCACGAUAAUAAUUUUGUUUGAUACCUUUAUGAACAUGCUCUCUGCAUAAAAGUGAAUGAAAAAAGUGAUAUAUUACUUGUUUGUUUGGAUGUGAAUUGUUUGAUCUUUAUUGGAACAAAUCCAAUCAUGUUUAGUGAGUUCAAAGAAGUAAUAGGAUAAAAGUUUGAGAUGAUUGGAUUAGUCUCAUAUCAUACUCUCUUGGCAUAGACUUGAAGCAAAUUGAAAAGAGUACUUUUCAUUUCUCAAGAAGACCAUGCAAAAUAAAUUUUUAGAAAGUUUAACUUGAAUAUGUGUAAUAUGGUAAACACAAUAAUAUAAUGCAAAGCUAAAUUAUCAAAGACAUGUAGAAGGAGAAAAAGUGGAUUCAACAUAACAUAAAAUCUUAGUUGGAACCGUACACUAUUUGACUCAUACAAGUUCAAACAUUCUCUUUGGAGUUGGAUUUGUCCAUCAUUAUAUGGAAGCACUAAUGGUUAUUUACACUAAGACCUCCUAGUGAAUUUUUCACUACAUCAACGACACAUUUGAUUAUGACUUAUAUUAUUCACCUUUAACAAUUUUAGACUUGUUGGAUAUAAUGAUAGUAAUUAAGGUGGAGACUUGGAUGAUAUAGAGAGAACCAAUAGCUUUAUAUUCCUCAUGGGAGAGACACCAUGUUCGCUUGGACUUCAAAGAAGCAACCUAUUGUGAAACUUUCAACCUAUGAAGUGGAAUUUGUGAAAAUGUUUACAAAAUCUCAUAAUCAAAUUGUGAAAAUGUUUACAAAGUCUCUCAAGUUUAAUGAUUUUAGAAUGCUAAGGAUGCUACUUUUACAAAUCAAGUUGAAGGCAUGAGUGAAAAUGUUGACAAAGUUUAAAAUUUUUAGAAAACUAAGGAUGCUAUUUUUACAAACCAAGUUGAAGGGAGGAUGUUAGUUAAACUGGAUUUAGGAAGUUUCUAAAAAAUUAGAAUUUGAGUUAGAUUCUAAAAUGCUUGAUUUAGUUUGUAUAUUUUGUUAUUACAAGAUUUUAUAUUUUACCAUUAUGAGUAUCUAUUUUUUUUUAGGUGUUAAUAUCUAUAAAUAAGAUGUUACGUAAUAGUUGAACAAGAGUGGUGGAAGACAAUAAAUUUUUUCUUAGUCAUCUCAAUUAUUUAAAUAUCUCCCUUUACAUAUGUAAUUACUUGUGUAUUUUUUUCAACCAUAUUACUGCAACAUAUGUGAAUCUGCUGGUUGGUCUAUGAAAAUUUAUAUCAGUUGUUCAACCUGUUAAAUUCUGUUAGGUUUGUGUAACGGUAUUUAGAUCAUAGCAUCUUUCCCUAAGCCCGCAUUUUUCUAAAUAUAUAAUUAAAAUUGUUGUGCUUGCAAUUUUAAUGAAAUCUAGCAUUGGAUACUUAACUACAUCCCACAAAACGACAAAAUCACCUGCCUUUAGCCAAGUUGUGUUUCAACAGUAAAGUAAUUAUCUCAAUCAAAACACAAAAUUCAGUUUUCUAAACAAUUAUUGUUAUUGGAAAACAUGCACGGAACUUAAGCAUCAUAAGGUACUUAAGCAAUCCUAGUUGGACGUUCAGUAUCCAGAUCUUUUCAUUAAUUGGUUUUUCUCUUUUUGUGCCAACAUCUGCUCUCUCUCUCCAGCAUGCAAGCGUAAGUGGUAAGCACCUCUUUUGUGCUUUAAAUUAAUUGGAUACUUGAUCUUAUUCCGCCAUUCUUUUGGGUCUAACCCAAAAAUACAUUUACCAUGCCUUCUUUUCAUGUCCUCAACUUACUCAAAAGCUCAUAAGUCCCAUUGGAUAUGAUGUACUGAGUUUCAGAUUUUUUAAGUAAAAUUAUCAACAUCGUCUAGCAUAUAUACUAAUAAGUUAUACUCUUUUCAACAGUUUAAAUUGUUUUUGUUUAUAGAUUAUAUGGAUGUUUUAACACUCAGAGAAAUUGAAAUGCAGCCAAAUAUGCAGAAAAAAGAAAUGGUUGUGACCAAUAGUUAUAUUUAUUCUCUUUUAUUUCUAUUGAUACUCAAAUUUUUAGGGAUAGAGCGUCAACAAUCCUUGUGAUGAGUUAAUAAUGUUGAGAAAAGUCAAUGACUACACAAUGUAGCUUAAAACCAAAUAUGUCAUCAAAGAAGACAUCAAUAAUCACCCCCACACAAUGAUAUGUUGUAUAAUUCAUUACUUGUAUCAAACACAAAUUUGCUUCAAUGUGUGUCUAUGAAUAAAAGAGAGUUCUUGGUUUACAUUCGAAAUACAUGCUAUAUAGGCCAUGCUAAUAGCAAUUGAUAACAAGAAUCUCAACACUGAAGUCCACGUAGAAUCAGGUGUGCACCAUAUUGGGGUUGCAUAGUUAGGAUACUAAAAGGAGCAUGAGCAUAGGAUGGCGAAAGUUCAAAUGAGAAGUGUUGUAAGAUCAUUGCCAAAGCUAUUUUUGCCUCCAUCAUUGCAAAAUUUUGUCCAAUGCAUACCCGAGGACCCCAACCAAAUGGGAAAAAUGAAACUUGGUUUUUUGUUGCCUUCAAAACUCCUUCUGCAAACCUCUCUGGAUUAAACUCCUUUGCAUCAUCCCCCCAAAUUUCAUGAUCAUGGUGAACUAGGAUGGUGGGCAACACGACCUGCACUCCAGCUGGAAAACACAUGUCUCCCACUUGAGUAUCCUUAUAAACAGCUCUAGCAAGCAUUGCUACUGGUGGGUAUAACCUAAGAACCUCAUGAAAAAUCAUGGUAACCUGUGGUAGAGAAACUUUAGAAGUUGUUGCAUGAGAAUUCUUACUAAAAUACAUUCUAAAUCAUUAUGAAGGACACUGAAGAAUAAAGCAAUUUCUUAAAAUAGUGAUGCAGAAGACAAAAUGUUCUAAAUCAUGCAUGACAAAAUAUCAAGUAUGCAAAGGACAUUGCAUAUCCCAUGGAUAUAAUAACUUAAGAACCUCAUGAAAAAUCAUCAUAAUCUAGCAGAGAAAUUUGAAAUCAUGGCAUGAGAACCCGUUCCUGAGCUACUAAGUGAAAGCAAAUGUUUAGUACAAGAUAUAAAAACUUAAAGAGAAAUGUGUUUUCAAUUUGACUCCAAUUAUGGGGGAAAAAACAAAGUACUAUACGAUUUUAGUGAGAAUCAUUAAACUGAAGAUUGGACUAGUACUCACAAUUUUUAGGUGAUUUAAUCCAGCAGCUUCUGGUUUUUUAUUCCCAAAAACCUGUAAAACCUCUUCUCUUGCACGAGCUUGCCAGUUUGGAUGCUCGCUUAGCAGGACCAUUGUCCAUACAAGCAAAACUGAGGUUGUCUCUUGGCCAGCAAGAUAGAAUAGCUUACACUCUUCAAUGACAUCUUUGACACUCAUUCUAAUCUUCUUGUUAUUUUGAUGUUCUUGAAUUUCUCUAAAAUUGGAUUCCAUUAGUAUACCUAAUAAGUCACUAUUAGCAGUUUCGCCAGCCUUCAUUGCCUUCUCCCUUUUGUUAAUGAUACCCCUCAACAAUGCAUAUACUUCUUUGCUUAUUUGCUUCAUCCUCCUGUUCGUCUUUGUGGGUAAAAACCUGCCUGCAUGUUAGUAAUUCUAGUAAAUAAAACAUCACAUGAAACACAGACAUUAAUUCUUAUUUUCAUCCAUGCCUUCUACUUCUCCAUUAAUUUUUUGAAACUUGUAUAAGGCUUCAAAGGUAGAAGCUAUCAAGACAAUAACUAAUGGUUUCAUCUACACAUGUGUUGCAGUGGUAUCUCAUCAUCUUGACACAAUAUCCUGCAAACAUAAGCUAGAUUGAGGAUACUAAACAUCAAUUAGUGAAACAUACUACUUUCUAAACGUUAUACAAAAGAAGUAAUUGACUAAAAGGGGAUGAAAUGAUCUCAGAGUUGUAAAUCUAAUAUCUCUUAUGCUUGACCUUGAAAAGUAAUCCAUUUUUAACAUAAAUUCUCUUCGAACAUAAAUUCCCUUCAACCUUGUUAACCAAACACACACUUGAGCAUUGUGAAACUUUCAACCUAUGAAGCAAAAUUUAUGUUGGCAUCAUUUGUAGGUCAUGAAAUUUGUUCAAGAAACUUAAUUUACCACACAAGAGACUGAUAAAGAUCUAUAUGGAUAUAAAAUCAACAAUUACAUUAUGAGAAAAAUCUAGUUCUCCAUGAUGGUGUUGAAUUUUGAAUUUUGCCUUAGUAUCUGUUGGAAUUUGAAUUUUGAAGUUAAAUUUUGUAGUUGGAGUCUUGCACAAAAUCUGCAACAUCCAAAUAUUUUCUUGUUUUUAUUUGGUCAAGAUUUGGUUUCUAUUUUAUAGGAACUAAUUGUUCAUCAUCUAGUAGCUUGAUUUUCUGUUAUUCUAAUGUCAUUUUAGUUACAAGCUUAUGUAUAAAUUCAAUACUCUUCAUCAAUAAAAUGUGUGUUCCAGUAGUCCAAAAAUAUAUAUUCUGCAUAAGUGUUUUAAUCUAAGAUCAACAGAUGGAAGCCAGUAUAUUGAUACAAAAUAUCAUUGAUUAGAGAGUACAUUAUGAAAUAUGAAGUGCAAUUAAAAUUUACAAAAUCUCAUGAUCAAAUUGUGAAAACAUUAACCAAGUCCCUCAAGUUUAAAGAUUUUAGAAAGCUAAGGAUGUUAGUUAAACUAGAUUUAGAAAGUUUCUAAAAAUUAGAUUUUGAGUUAGGUUUUAAAAGUUAAUUAAAAUAUUUUAUAGAAAAUUCUUGAUUUAGUUUGUAUAUUUUGUUACUGCAAGAUUUUAUAUUUUACUAUUGUGAGUAUUUUUUUUAGGUGUUAGGUGUUACUAUUGUGAGUAUACAAUAAAUUUUUUUUUAAUCAUCUCAAUUAUUUAUAUAUGUAAUUGCUUGUGUUUUUUCAACCACAUUGCUGCAACAUAGGUGAAUCCGCUGGUUGGUCUAUGAAAAUUCAUAUCAGUUGUUCAACCUUUUAAAUUCUGUAACGUAUGUAGAUUAUAUAGCCUCUUUCCCUAAGCCUGCAUUUUUCUUUCAUUUCAUGGUGUCAACACUUCAGGAAAGCAAAAUUUCCUAAAAUGGAAUAUGGUGUGCAAGGACAAAGAGACUUGUUAGGCAUCUAAACUCUAGGGAAAUGUAAGACUGAUUUGAAACCAAAAUUUGAGCCAACUAAAUCUGCUGAAACACUGCUGCAAAAAGAAAACAAGCCCCAAAUAACUCUUUGAUCUUUUGUACCAAGCAGACUCGUGUCUGAAUAGUUUCAGAAAAAUAAGCUGUAUAUUUCUUGAAAUAUUUUUAUGCAUACCUCCAUCCCGGGAUAUAAACUGACAUUGUAACCUGGAUUGCAAGAUGUGUUUGUUCUUUCUGGAGCUGGAAUAUCCUUCUUCCUUCUUCAUAGCUACUACCAAAUGCUGUCCGAGAAAUCACAUCCCCUGUCAAAUUUUCAAGAUAGGGCCAAACAUCCAACUCACAUGAUCCCCCCACUGAAAGCAUUUUCCAUUUGGUCACCAUGUCGCUACAACUCAAAUGAAAUGCCGGCAACAUAUUCUAUAACAAAUUCAACCACAAAAUAAAUUAAUAAAGACCAAAACAGUCCAGUAUCCAGUUUCAAAUUCAAUAUACAGCCAUUUAUCACUGACCUGCGAAAUAACAAUUUAACUAGUUUAUAAAGCAUGUACUGCUUAAAGUCAUCAUAUGUUAGGAAGAGUCAUAUGGGUGAUGGGUGGAGGAUGAGGAAUAUUCAGUUUUACCAUGGAGGCACUGACUAAAGAAAUCAUAGAAAAAAAAUGUGCAUAUUCAUGAAAAGUUAGAUGUACUGGUAAUGUUAAUGAAAAGUUAGAUGUAUGGGUAAUAAGCAAGCAAGAUAAGAAAGUUGUUAAGAUCUUACUGUCAUAUGUAUCAAGUAUUUUAAACUAGGAACAGACAAUCAAGCAUAUUUUGAUCCUUAUGGUUCAAAUUACCUAUGGUUUACAUUGGUAAAUAAAACUUCUGAAAAUUUCUAUUGGAGACUGGAAAAAGACUUUAGAUGAGUAAGAAAAAAAAACAAGGAAAAGGUAGGACACAUUAGGUAUGUGAAAAUACUUCAUUAAACUGAUUGAAAUAUUUGGGAAUUUCGAUAAUUAUCUUUAUGGUAGCUGAAAAAGGUAUUUUAAAAUAUAUGAUAAUUUUUCAAAUACUAAUAUAAAAUUAUCUUUGGAAGACACAAUUUUAAUGCAGUUUUCAAGUGUUAAAUUUACUUUUUUAAAAAGACAACUUUAUAAAAUUCAGUUCUUUUAACUUUUAAAUGAUAACUUUCAAAUUAGUAUCUAGCAAUCUUUUAAAUGAUAAUUUAAAUGAUAACUUUUAAAUUAUAAAAUAAAUUUUCAACUACCAUAUUUUAGAAGGUUAUAUAUCAAUCUAAGAUACAUGAGAUGAGAAAUGGGUAUUCAUAACCUCCAAAUCUUAUAUAUAUUAUCACUUAAAUUUUUUUUUCCACUGCAUUCACAUGCUCAAUCUCUUUUCCAACAGUGAGAGGGCUAUGCAGAGAAGUUAAACUAGGGAAAAAAUCCAAGUCUGUAAUAUGUCACAAUUGAAGCAGUUUCAAUCAUGGAACUGUUUGUUCACUUUCAGAGUUUGUGAAAAGAUUUAAAAAAAAUACAUGAAAAUAAGGUAAAAUAUUCUGGUUUGGAAGCUGGGCAUUGAAAAUUACCUUCAACUUUUCUAGAUGGAAAGCUGGGUUGAUGAUCUUUCUACGUUUAGCCCAUCGUUCGCCUUCCAAGGUCACCAGACCAGAAACCAGCAACUUGCCAAGUGGGUGUGGGGGUGGCUUUUGAAAGACAUUGGACUUUAACAAAACAUCCCUUAUUAGCUCAGGCUCCAUAAUGUUUACCAUUGGAUUUGGACCGAACCAUGCAAAGAAAUUUUUACGUGCACGUUUAUGCCAUUAUUGGAUAGUGUUAGCCUCAGAUUGCUUUUAGUUUGGACUUCACACAAAUUCAACUUUGGGUAUUAAAAUUCAGUUGAACCCAACUUGGACCAUGAAAACAAUGAAAACUUCAACCAUAGUUUCUAUGCUGAGUUAUUAUAAAUGGACUAAAUCAUUUUUUCAGAAUUGUCUCAAUGUCAAUUGAUAUUAAGGAAUGAACUCUAUUCAUUGUAGCCUUGAGAUUAAAUAAUGAAAUCAGAAGUUAUUCACAGCUCCCAGAAAUUAAACAAUUGAAAACUAAAAACAGUACUUUUCAAAGUGGAAGUAUAUUAAUUUCUUGAUAAAAGAAAUUGCAAUACAGUUAGCAAAGAUUAAGAACUACCACUGAAGUCUAAACCUUUGGUGUAAUUUAAGAAAGAGGAAAAUAAACAAAACAGAAAGGAAAAGAAAAAUAGUUAGGAAGAGAAGAGCAGAUAACAAACAACUGCUUUAGGGCAGUAUAAAAAAGUUGGCCAUAAUUUGUAGAGAUCAGCAAACUUUAAUACUAUGAUGAAAAGUAAUCAGUCAUAUCGGUACCGUAUUUCUUAAUGAAAUGACAAUGGAAGGGCAGGACACGCGGAGCAAUUUCAUCGGAGAGGCUGAUUGGUCUUGAAUAUGCUUCUUUUAACAUCAUGGACAUCUCUUUGAAGUCCCCAUGUAAAAGCCUAUAAGAAUUCCCAGCCAGGCCUUGCUCUCUAAGGCAUCUUUCUAACCUCUUUGGCCUCAACCACACCCAAUUCAGUAGCCUCCAUAAACAGCUUAUGAGCACAGUAAGGAAUCCAAAAGAAAUUGCAACUGAGCUAUGCUUCAUUUCCAGUUUGAGGGACUUCUAUCAGGAGACGUGUGUUAAAUCACUUCAGAGUGAGAGAAUGACUUUAUGCUGCCGAUGUGUAUAAAUUGGCCCCUCUUCUAUUCCCUCGUGCCGGCAAACAUAGAAGAUUUCGUCAAUGCCUAAUGGGGAGAAGAACGUCUAGUAUUUUAAAAUCUAUAAAUUAUCUAUUUUAAUUGUCUCUAUCAAUAUGGAUUUUAAACUUGUCAAUGAAUUAUUAAUUUAUUCUAUUUGAUACAUUUCAAAGUUUGUGCAAUCAUCACUGCUUAUUAAAAACUAUAUAUGCCAUGAAUGUAGAAGGCAAAAUUUGAGCAUACGGAAUAUGGAAUUCUAUUUGAUGGACCAGCUUUCACUUGUGAGUAGAUGGAGCAUGUGGAUGCUCACUUUCAGAGCCUCGAGGGACAGCUCGCAUCCCUCACAUCUUGGCAGAUGUCGCAGGGUGCUUCCAGCUCUACAACUCCAUCUGAUCUGGACUUUUUGAUACUUCAUGUUUUUUUUUUCGUUUUUUCGUUUUUUUUUUGUUUUUUGUUUUUUUUUUUUUUUGUUUUUUUGUGGAUAAGUUUAUUUUGUACACCUAACCAUCUUGGCUCAGUCUAUCAUAUAUUUUGUUUGUCUAGAUGUACUUUUAUUUUCUUAUCUCUUGUAUCCAGAACCUUUUUUACCAGAUAUGUCCAUGUGUUUGCUUUUCUUUUCUCCUUUUCGUAUGCUUACUGCUUUAUCAUGCUCUUUGUCAUUUUUUGCAACAAAAGGGGGAGAUGGAUUGUUGAUUUGAUUGAGUGUUUUGAUAUUCAUAUUUUUUUGACAUCUGUUUCAUGACUUGCAUCCCCUUACUCGUUUACCUGAUUUGAUAAAAUUGAUCAAUUAUCUUUCUUCCCACACACUACUUUACCUGGGUAUGUUGUUUAGUGUGUGCAAGUUAUAGGUACUAGGGUAUUGCUCAUUUUUUGGAUGUGGCUUCUAGUCCUUUGCACGUUAGAUGAUGAAUUGGUUUAGACAAGAGGUAUUGAGAGAUUUGUAAACUCCAUUUGAGAGUAUUGAGGGGUUUAUGCAAUUUGUAUUUUAUCACAAAAUUGCCAAAGGGAGAGAUUGUUCGUACAUUAGGUGAUGUAGUUUAAAAUUGUCAAUUUUGUUCUAUUCAUUUUGGUUUAGGAUCUUUCUAGAUUGUGUCUCACUCCCCAUUGAAGACUCAAGGUUAUUAAUUGAUCAACCAAGAUUACAUAGGUAAGUGUAAAAAGAUUUGGGAAAGGCAAGUUAGUGUUUGGUAUGACAUGGCAUGGAUUGAGUGGUUUGAAAUUGAGCAAAAUGAUUUUCUAACUGGGUUUAAAAAAUGCCUAAAGCGCUCAAGCACUCUAAGAGCAUUUGAGCCCUAGCAACAAAAUUCUCUAGAAUUUUGGAGAUUUGUCUUUCUAUUUUUAAAGGAUUUAUUUUAAGGAACUUUUUAGAAUUAGUCCACUAGGUUCCUAGGCUUAUAUAUACAUUGCCUAAAAAGGUUUUUGGUUUGAUGCUUUUGAGUUUAAAAACCUAGUUUGUCUUCCUUUUUCCAAAAUUCUAAAAGAAACAUUCAUAUUUACUUCUGCCUAGUUGAAAAGGAGAUUUGUAUCCCCCUCAAGUGCUGAAGUGAGAUCCUCUAUGAGCACAUGAGAUGUUGCAUUGUGGACGCAAAACAUAGUGUAGGUGUUAGGUAGUAAGUCUUAGUAGUAGCUUUCAUCAAGUAAAAUUGAGUACAUACCCCAUUAUAUAUGAUGGAGACUUCCUCUAAUGCAUAUCCUAGAAUCGAAAUCAAUUGAUACUAAAUUAACACCCAACCCAUAUUUCAAACAAAAUCUUGCAAUUUCACAUUUUGAGCACCAAUCCAUGAAAAUGGUGUUUUUGGGGAGCAAUUUCAAUUGAUUUAGGAGAGCAGAUUAGAUCUUACCCUUCCCCUCUUGAGACUUGAAACUUAGGAGUAACCUGUUUUCAGAUAGAUUCAAUAUCACUAAUUGAUUAAUUUCUAUGUACAAUAUGUUUUUCUAAAUUUUAAACUCAUUCAAAUUCCAUCCUUUUAAUUCUAUUAGAAUAACGUAAAUCAUAUGGAAGUUAGAUUCUAAAUCUCAAGUCUUCACAUCAUCAAGUAUCAACUAUAAGAACUCAAACUCAACACUUUAGUGGCUCUAAAGAGUCUAUUUUAGUGCAUUUGAGGUAUUUAAAAAUGACAUAAUGCUUGCUUUUUUUUUUUUUUUUGUUAUUAAUGCCUUAGCCAUUUGUUUUUUAUAUUUUUUGUGAGUAUUUUUAGAACUUUAAGGUAUUUUGAAAAUGAAGUAGACUUUGUGGAGGAUUCUCAAAGAAUAAAAUGCCUAAGUAGAGAGCAAAAACAAAUUUUGUACCUUUUAAGUACACAGGAGUCUAUUGUGCAUCUCUCAAGUGUGCCACCAAACUAGAUUGCACACUCCCUCUAGCAAUUUAAGUUGAGCACCUUCCCCAUGAUUCAAAGGUUGCAUACCCCCUCAACAAUUGAACCCAACAAGAGCACUCAAGUUGUGCAUGUCCGUAACAUCUUAAUUGCACUUUUCCCUACCACUACAAUAGCGUAUCCCUAAGGCCACUCACCAUGCACUGUCACACCCCAAAGCCCACUCCAAGGGCAUGAUGAUCUUUUCACACCUAGCUCAAGCCCAAGGGCUCAAAGUGGAAACGACACAAACAUUUGUAUUGUAACUGGAAAUUUACCAAUUACCAAAUUCCUGGAUCAAACUUUUUCAAUUAUGCUUGCAAAUAGGAGAUAUAACAUAUACUUAUUUUCAUAAAAACUUUUGAGUUCAAAAUGCUAAUACAUUCAAACUUUUCUACAAAACUUUCUCAUAUCCAUUUCAAAAAAAUUUCUCAUCAAACCAAAUCAAAUACAUUCAAAAUAUCUUUACUCUGGUUAUCGUAUGACAAAUGGUGCCCAAUUAGGUGGGACUUUGCAAUUGAGUAACUAGUUUCAAAUUUGUUCAAUUUAAGGUGAACAAAACCAAAUGUCAACAAUUAUAACUCAUUGACUAGGGUCAUAAGGUCAACCAUUAUAACCCAUUGACUAAGGUCAUAUAACAUCAACUAUUAUAACCCGUUGACUAAGGCCAAAAAUGUCAACUAUUAUGACCCGUUGACUAAGGCCAUAUAAUCCAGAGUCAAAUACUUUAUUUCAUUAAUUCAAACUUGCAAAACAAAACAUCAUAUCUCCUCAAUUUUUCAUUUUUCAUAAACAAAGAAAAUACUCAAAUAUACUUUCAAUAAAAAACAUAUAUUUGAUCCACGCUUAAAGAUAAAAAUAAUAUUUUUACAGAUUUCAAAAUACAAUAUAAAAAGAAAAUUAUUUUUUUUUACAAAAAUCUGCAUUAAUUUCAUUUACCUUGAAGAAGCACUCAAAAUCUUAAAGUAUUUAGCUUUGAAGAAUUUCCUCCUCACCUAACUUAAUAUCAUACACAAUAUUGAUUAUUGAUUAUUUAUCUAAAUAUAUAAAUUUGACAAUCCUAAAAAUAUUUUAUUUAGUAUUAGGGAUCCUAAUUAAUUUCUCAUGUUAAUAUUAUUACCAUCCAAUAUUAUUUUCAACUUCCUAAACAAUAAUAUAUUUCUCUUUUCUAACUUAUCUAAAUUAAAUCUUUUAAGAAUAUUUGUUUGCAUUAAAAAUUAUUACUAUUAUUUAAAUCUCCUACUAAAACUUAACAAAUACCCCAUGCAAUUCUUUUUUUUUUUCCCAGUAACUCCACACCAACUCCAUUCAUUAUUAUUAUUUCUUUUAUUAUUAUUAUUAUUAUUAUUAUUAUUAUUAUUAUUAUUAUUAUUAAUUUCAAUACCUAACAACACCUUAACCUAUUUCUCUUCCAAGCCAUCAAUGUCCUUUUCUUCCUCAUCGUUUACCAAAAUACUAUUUACUUCCUUUCCUAGGUCAACGUGCAUUAUUAUUAUUAUUAUUAUUAUUAAUUUCAAUACCCAACAACACCUUAACCUAUUUCUCUUCCAAGCCAUCAACAUCCUUUUCUUCCUCAUCGUUUACCAAAAUACUAUUUACUUCCCUUCCUAGGUCAACGUGCAUUAUUAUUAUUAAUUUCAAUACCCAACAACACCUUAACCUAUUUCUCUUCCAAGCCAUCAACGUCUUUUUCUUCCUCAUCAUUUACCAAAAUACUAUUUACUUCCUUUCCUAGGUCAACGUGCUGACCAUUUCUUAGUUCACUACUACAAAAUAAUUUAUGGUGUCACUAUUUAUGGUGCCACUUUUAAAAUAAUGACACCAUAGGGUUUAUAACUAAUAAAGGUGACACAUUAGAUAAAAAAUCUUCAAUUGAGGUGGUUAGAUGAUAUUAGUUUUAUAUUUAUAGUGUCAUUUUUUGGGAAGUGACAUCAUAUAAAAUAAAUUUUUUUAAGUAUUAUAACUUAAUGAGCCCACUUGAGCUCACUUUUAGAAUUAAUAAUGAGAGACCUAGGAGUUUUAAAUAUGAAAAGACCGUUUUACCCUUAUUAAAUUACUUAAUUAAUUAUUAAUUUCUAAAUUAUGAUUUUACCCCUAAAUUGGGUUUAGGGCAUUACAUGCACACUGUUCCCACUCUUGCAAAGGUUGCGCACUUGAGAAAACUCCUUCCAAUGAUUUUACACUCACCAAAGUAAUGCAAGCAUCUAAGCCUUAAGUCAUCAUCUAUACUAUCAAUUCUCCCAUACUGAUUGCAUUGAAAGCCAAGUGCAACCACCAACUCCAAGCUGACAAGUCAAGUUCAAGAAAGAUGGCUAGGUUACUACAUUGACACAUGAUCUGAUCCCCAACAUGGGUAAGAGGCAGUUCUAGGAGAAUAGUUUGAGCAAUAAGAAUGGAUUACCUAAAGGGAAACCCAUCUAUAAAUAGAGGAUUGUCUGGGGGCGCGUGCACACACACACAUAUAAAUAUGUAUGUAUGUAUGGGGAGAAGAAAAGAAAAAAAAAAAAGGAAUGUUGAAGAGCUUGAAUCUUUAAUGGAGAUGAUAUUAACCUUUUUAGGAUUUAGUUAGGAAUUGAUUUUGGUAAUUAAAAUGACAAUUAAUUAUUUGGAUAGGAUUUGUUAGGUAGUUUCCUAUUUCUUUCUAUAUAUUUUCCUUAUUUUUGUAGGUUUCCUACAGAUAUAUAAAUAGAUGACAUUUUCUCUUUUUUCUCUAUGAAUGAAUAUAUGACUAGAUGAUUCGUCCCCAUUGCAGUCAUUCCAUUUGAUUCCGGCUCAGACGGGUGUUAUCAACAAAAUUUAUAAAACCUAAAUCACCUCACACUAGGGUAGCAUAGCUAACAUAGUAUAGUGGCUCUAGGAUCGUCCACACGGAUGGGUUUUCAUCGUAUAGUUGACUUAAAUGAAGGAAAUAAAAUGAUGCUUUUUCUUAUGAAAGUUAGCUUGUAAAGAAAAUUGGAAUUAUGGUUGCAAAGAUUGAUUUUAAGUUAAGCAAAAACAAUAAGUGAAAUUAACUACAAAAAAAAGGGUCUCUUGGAGCUUCAAGUCACUAGGAUCGAGUUUCUUAGGCAAAGGUGGAGAUUCCAGAUCUUCUCCUCGCGUUGGGGAUAAUAACAUAAAGGAUGGUUAUCUUCCGAACCGGUUUUAUAUUUAGCAAUUAAGAUUUGAUCCAAAAGUUUUAUGAGAAAUGGUAAUUGUUUCCCAUUAAUGGCUUCAAACCAAUGUUUUAAAAACUGGACCGGACCGGCCGGUCCAACCGGUUCAACCGUCGACCGGUCACAAUUUCGGUCCGAUCUGCUUAUUGAACCGUUUAAGAUUUAAACCGGCCACGAACCGCCGAAACCGGCGGUUGGACCGGUGACUCGGUCGAACCGGAUGGUUCUAAUCGAACCGAACGGUUCAAUUUGAACCUCCAUUUUAAAGGCUCCCUUGCAUAAAAAAGUUUUGGCAAAUGCCCAUUCUGGGCCUUGUCUCAUCAAGACAAAGCCCAAACCCCACUCAACCAUAUUGUGGGCCUAGUCUUGAGCCCACCCAAUGAGGCAAUGCAUUGGCCUUCAAUGUGGAUAGAAUUUAUAGGCACCCUUGGCAUCCUCAUUUCUCUUUGAAUCCGAUGUGGGAUUCCUAACCAACCAAAUGAAUGAAAAAAAUAAUAACAAGUCCCCCCAGCCAAGAGGAAUUGAACCUUGGACCCCAGAUUCGGGGGGCAUCCAAGGCACCACUCGGCUACACAGCUUUUGUUAGUUAAUAUGCUAAACAAAAUAAUAUAUAUUAGAUUUAAAUUUUUUUUUGUAAUGUUAAAUAAAAAUAAUAUAAUAUUUUUAAAAAUGAUAAAAUUAGUUUAAAUUUUCAUUUUUAAUAUAUUCAUAUUUAAAUAUUUUACAUAUUUCAUUUAACAAAAUUAAAAAUAUUAAUAUGAUUUAAUUUGAUAAUAUUAUUGAUUUUUAAUUUAUUCAUAUAUAUUUUAAAAUUUUUAUAAUUAUUUUUAAUUUUAAUAAUAUAUAAAUUAUAUAUUUAUGACGUCACUGGUUCAAUAGCGGUUCGACCGCCGGUCCGACCAGUGAACCGUGAACCGGUAACUUUUCCGGUUUGAUCACCGGUCCAGUUUUGAAAACAUUGCUUCAAACACUAAAGACUUUCACCUUGAACCACCUUCCAAUGGCUCGUAAAUGAUAACUAAUAGACAUCCAUGGAUCUAGCAAUAAGCAUCCAUGGAAUUCGAAAAGCUUAGCAAGUAUUGGCCAUUCAAGGUGCUUUUAAGGGGUUUAAAACUAAACCUUGAAAUAAAAACCAUUGAUGGUUAAUAACUACUGUCAUUUAAAGCUAGGAUAACUUUCACCUUUGCAUUCAGGUCCUUCACCUAACUUCCAUCAAUCCGAGAAACGUAAAACCUAGCCACUCAUCCCCUAAGAAAUCAUCCUCAGAGGUUGUUUGGCUAGCAAGAAAAGUGAAAACAAAAUGAGAAGGAAAGGCAGAGCAAAAGCUCUAUAUAUUUCUUAGUAUGAGAAUUUACAAGUGUUUUAUGAAAAACAUACAUAAUUUUUCAUCCCUCUGUCUCUCUCCUUAUAUAUAAACUACCUAAAAGAUAUAUAAAAGAAAAUAUCUAGGUUGGUUACAAGGAGAAACUAGGAAAUUACACAAAAUAUCUGAAGAUAAAAAUCUAACGGAGUCAGUGCAUAGGAAGAUUUCGCAUACCAUGCGAAAUUUGGCAUGGUGUGCGAAAUCCUUUGGCUGCCUCAAGUGGUUUCGCAUGGUGUGCGAAAUUUUGCACAGCCAUGCGAAACUGCUUGUUGUUGGAUUUCUUCCUUUGGUUUUCUUCCUUGCAUCUCUGAUUGGCUUGGCAAAGGGCUAUGAAGUGCUCCAAAGCUUGGCUUCUUCAUGUAUUUGAUUUAUCUUGCAUUGCCAUGGAUUUCACCAUAUUCUCCCUUAUUCUUGGCUUGUUUCAAUGAUAAAAAAGCUACCAAAAACAUCAAAACUUGCCAAAAACUGAUUAGUAACCCUUGCUAGGUUCAUUAAUGUGCCAAUUGAGUUAAAAGGUAUUAACUACUACUCAAAAAUGUUUAAAACAGUUAGUUUCAAACUAAAAAAGAGUACUUUUUGAGUAGUAAUCACUCCCCCCAACCGACAUAUUGCUAGUUCCUUAGCAAUAAAGGAGAGAUAAAGAAGAAUAGACAGUAAAAUAAUUUACAACAUCAUGCUAAUCACUCCAAAAAAAUUUCAAGUGGCAUGAUGCAGAUUAUACUCUCUCACUGGAAUAUCAAAGAGGCAAAACCCAACCUUCAACAAGAGUCAUCAAAUCUCCUGCCUAAUUACAAUUUAUAAUGAGUAGGAAUUAUGAAAAUUUAAGCAUUAAAAGAAUUUCCACUCCCAGAGGUCUAAUCCUUAUUUUUCUACAAAAAUCCCAGUGUGUUAAGCUUAUUAGUUUGCAAUUAUAGUAUGUCGAACUAUUCUCUCCCCCAACCUAGUUCUUCCUCAAACUUUAGCAAACUGACCAACCUCCAAUAGGCUAAGAACGCACAUAUUUUAUUUCACAAUAUUUUUUCAUUGUAGGAGUGCAAUGCUAAAGGUAUUGUUUCCUAAAGUGUCCAUGUAACGGGGAUCCAUCGAUGACUCCCAACCAAUCAAAGUUUAGGGCAUCAAGAUUUAAGGAUCUUUUGACCACUAAACUCCUCAGAUUUUUUCCCGGACUUUUGAGAUUGAAAUUCAAUACCCAAGCACCUACAAUAUGUUAAACUCCACCUAUUCACCCUUGUAACGAGCAUUGAGGUCAGUGACUCCCAACCAAUCAAGGCUUAGGGCACCGGGUUUUAAAGACUUUCGCCGUAUACCCCUCAGACCUUGCUCGGGUUUUAAGGCAAGUGAAACACUUUGUUAUUUCUUUUUUUUUUAAAGGCUCAUUGUCCUUUUAUAAGGUGUCCCAACACUAUUAAAACGAGGUCAAAGGUACCAAGUCGAAAUUUUCCUAAGUUCAGGGGGUGAGAUAGUUUUUCAUCUUAUAACCGGAACCUAAUGUGAACAAUGUGUGGUAAGAUUAAAGUGCAAGAAAUAAGAUUGAAUUCCAUAGGAGUUUCAAUACUUCAUCAACUUCAAUAAGCAUAAUACAAACUCUAAGAUUCAAGUAAAAAUGCAAGAACUCAUUUCCUCCCAUUUCAUUUUGAGAAUUUUUCCUUAAUAACCAUGGAAAGUAAAGUGAAAACUUUUAAAAUUAAGCCAAAAAGUAACUAGAUUAACAAAUUAACCUAGCAUUAUUAACAAAACUUCCUUCCUCAACUCUCCCCCCCAACCGAGAUCAACAUUGUCCUCAAUGUGUCAAGAGCAAUUGAAAAUAAAGGGAGGAAGUGGUACCUCCUGUAUCAAAUGGAGCCUGAGUCGUAUAGGAGAAACCACAUGAGUCAAAAAACAAAAGGGUAAUGAGUAGAGGAAAUAGAAAAAUGCUAAGUAUAAUAAAAAACAUGAUGAUCUAUAUAUUAAUAUGAGAAAGUACAAUUUGAGAUAUGAUUCGGUAAUACAUCCAAUCCCAGUUUAUAAAGCAUCAAAACAAGGACAAAUCUCCACUAAUAUAAUAUAUAAAUACAAUAAGAUAAAGAGAUGUCCUAUGAUCAAGUAGUGGGAGCCUCGGGUGGAGAUGAUGCCUGCUCAGGCGUAGUUGUGACUACGGGAGGUUCAUUCUUAGGUGGUGGAAUCCGGACCUCUGCUGGUGUAGUGUCGUCAGUUGGAGCUAUAGGCGCUGAGGAUGCGGGAAGGUCAGGCUGAGGCGGAGGCAGGAGUCCCAUGUGCUGCUGAAUCUGGUGGAGAAUAACAGUCUGUUGGUCUUGAUGGGCACGUAUCUCAGCCAUCUGCUAGAAGAUAGCAAAAUGGGUGGUGGUGAGUGUAUGAAAGGUAUGCACCAGGGCGCGAAACUCCGAAGCCGAUAUGGUGAUCGAAGGCUCGGAUGUAGUCGGCACGACUGGUGGAACAGUAGGAGUUGUAGGUGGAGCAGUAGAAGUAGCCUUAGGUGUGGGCACUAGUGGUGUCGUCUCUGUUGAGAGCUCGCCCUGCUCUAGCCGUGGGUGCACUGGUGGUGCUACCAUGGGAGGGACUCCUGGCGGUACAGAAUAGCCUACCAACUGAUUCCAUUUGUCAAGAGUGGAUCGUUCUCGACAAAGGCGGGGGCGCUCAAGCCGAGGCUCAGUAGGAAAGCCCAAAUACUCUAGGAUCUGGCACAGCAACCUCGGGAAUAGUAGUGGAAUGGUGUCGACCCUUUGAAGCUUCUUCCUAUGGACCUUCUCCUCAAAGUGGAUGAGAGAGGCCAUAAUCAAGUGGUGUGGGCCAAAGUAGAAGCCCUCGGAUAUAUGGAACAAUGCAUCCAAAAUAACUCAUCUCCUCUAUACUGAAUGUUGUAAUGGAAAGAGGUUGGAGCGCAACACCACGUCUAAGAGGAGCAUCCCAAGCAGAAGCUCCUUUCGUAGAAGGACCGAAUCAGUAGAGGUCCCCUUGGAUAAUAUGUGGACCAUGUCCCUGUGAGAUACGAGGGACUACUGGCGGAAAACAGAACGAUCCUCUGGCUCGAACGAAAUAUGUAGAGCCUCUGCAAUCUGUCUGGCCUUGAGUACACCAUAGACUAGUAAAAGUCUAGUGCUACUCUGGGAUAAAAAAACUCAUGUGGAGUCAUGAGGUGCUCAAGGUGAUACCUUUGGAGUAAGGCAUAGGAGUCUUGAAGCUCAAGCUGCUGUCGCAUGACCUUCUGAUCAAAAUAUAGCUCCGAGUGGAAGGGUCGCGCUUUACAAUCUGAGUUGCCCUCAAUGGGCAGUGUUGUGACCAUCGGAUGUCUGAUAAUCGACUUUGGUGACAUGUCAGAAGGUAACUCAGAAUCUGCUGGAGGCUCAGAAGCUUUGGAUGACUCUCUCGGGCUUGAAGUCCUGGCCUUCUUGGCUGGAAGGAGCCGUACUGAACUCUCGGGGCAUGAAGUAGUCGCCCCUAGGGUAGUAGGUGGUCUCCUCAUCUCGUACCUAUGCUGAGGAGCAAGUGAGGAAGGUCCAGUGACUUCUCCACCUUCGGAAGGUGGAAUCCGUGGGGCCUCCGCGGCCUAAGAUGGGGAAUCGCUAGGUACCUGAGCCGAGGAGGCUCUCUGCCUUGUAGUACGUCUUGGUGAAGGGGUGGGAAGGGCUCCUCGGGUUUGUGCCAUGUUAGAAAUGAAAGGCGAGCCUCGAGUAUGUUCUCUGAGGGGGCGCGGAGUGCGUUUCUUCAAAGUGAGAUGCGCGCGAGGCUAGGAAUCGAAUGGAUAGGGGUGAGGUCGCAAGGUGGCAGAGGAAAUUCGCAAUGAUAGGAGUGCUUGUGAAAUGAGGAACUGAAGAAGCUAGGGGUCGGGGGUUUAAAAAGAGAUAGGCAGGUGUCGUUUGGUUUUUGCAGGCAUCUUUUGGUUUUUGCAUAUUGUACGAAAUGGCUUUGGGGCUACGAAAUGGUUUCCCAGACCCCUUAGGGUUUCACACAAUGUGUGAAAUGGGUUUGAAUGUGCGAAAUUUUUUGCAUGGUCUGCGAAAAUUUUGCACAGUGAUCGAAAUGAUUUCGCAAGGAUUGGCUUAUUUUCCCUGGGUGUGCGAAUUUGGUUCGCAGGGUGUGCGAAAUUUUGCACCCCAUGCGAAAUGAGUGAUUGAUUUCGCAUGCCCUGUGAAAAUUUUGCAAGGUGUGCGAAUUGUUUUGAUUACUCUGUUUGAAAUCCUCCUGCAGUCGAUCAUAAAAAAAAUCUAAGUUAAGUCAAACCAAAAUAAAAUUAAAACGAGAAAUCAAAAUAAAAACAAGUAAUAAUACAGGAAAACUCUUAAAUUAGAAAUAAAAUAAAAAGAUAUGGACUCGAUUAGUAUUUAAAAAGACUAAGUCCAUCAAAAAGUUGGUCUUGUCAAGCUUGAUGUGGAUCAAGGAUGAUGAAUUCCUACUUAUCGUGAGAAAAAGGCUCCACAAAGGGCUUGAGACGGUGGCCAUUCACUUUGAAGCUCCUUGUGCUGUUGGAGUUGAGUAGUUCCACUACUCCAUUUGAAUGCACUUGGUGAAUGGUAAAAGACCCUAUCCACCUUGAUUUCAGCUUGCCCGAAAAGAUGUGGAGCUUAGAGUCAUAGAGCAAGACUCUUUGUCCCUUUCAAAAAUCCUUACGGGAAAUCAACUGAUCAUGCCACCUCUUCAAUUUCUCUUUUGCAAUUUUUGAAUUGAUGUAGGCAUCAUUUCUCAAUUCCUCCAUCUCAUUAAGGUUUAAGAACCUCUUUAACCUAGCUCUGCUCAGAUCCAUAUUGAGUUUCUUGAUUACCCACCAAGUUUUGUAUUCCAAUUCCACAGGGAGAUAGCAUGCUUUGCCAUAGACUAGGCAAUAAGGAGACAUCCCGAGAAUGGUCUUGUAAGCUGUUCGAUAUGCCCAUACUGAAUCAAGGAGCUUAAUUGACCAAUCUUUUCUAUUUGUGUUCACCACCUUCAUCAAUAUGUUUUUAAUCUUCCUGUUUGCUAAUUACUCAACUUGCCCACUAAUUUGAGGGUGGUAAGGUGUAGCUACCUUAUGCUUCACCCCAUACUUGGCUAGGAGAGUUUCAAAAGGCUUGUUGCAAAAAUGAGUACCUCCAUCACUAAUUAUUGCUUUGGACACCCCAAAUCUUGAGAAGAUGUUCUCCUUGAGAAACUUGAGAACCACUCUAUGGUCAUUGUGCUUACAUGGGACUACCUUAACCCACUUAGAAACAUAAUCUACUCCCACCAAGAUGUAAGAGUAGCCAAAAUACAUAGGAAAUGGUCCCAUGAAAUCAAUGCCCCAAACGUAAAAAAGAUCAACUAUCAAAAUGGGGUUCAAAGGCAUCAUGUUCUUGUGUGUCAACUUCCCAAGCCUCUGACAUUGAUCACAACUCUUGAACAUGGUGUGGGCAUCUUUGAAAAGUGAUGACCAACAGAAGCCCGAUUGCAACACCCUCAUGGCUGCCUUAUGAGAAGCAAAGUGGCCUCCACAUGCAUUUUCAUGGCAAUGACCGAGGAUCCCCUUUUGCUCUUCUUUAGAAAUGCACUUCCUUAUUAUCUGAUCCGCACAAUACUUGAAUAGAAAUGGAUCUUCCCAAUAGUAGGCCUAAAUUUUUGCAAAGAAGUGCUUCUUAUUUUGUGCUUUCCACUCACUUGGAAUUUCUCCUGUGACUAGGUAGUUAGCAAUGUGAGCGUACCAAGGGGCAACUUCCCCCAACAUAAGAGACUCGUCUGGAAAAUCGUCAUUAAUGGGCAUUCCAUGGGAAUUAUGUGCGAUAGCUAGCCUUGAAAGGUGGUCUGCUACCACAUUCUCCACUCAUUUCUUAUCUUUGAUAUGGAGAUUGAACUCUUGAAGCAAGAGAAUCCAUCUAAUCAGCCUUGCUUUAGCAUCUUGCUUAGUCAAAAGAUACUUCAAAGCAAAGUGAUCAGUGAAAACCACAAUGAAAGACCCCACCAAGUAAGCACAAAACUUAUCCAAGGAAAAAACUACAGUUAACAAUUCUUUCUUGGUAGUUGUGUAGUUUCUUUGCACCUCAUUCAACGUCUUGCUCGUGUAGUAGAUCACAUAGGGUUUUCCAUCUUCUCUUUGCCCAAGAAUAGCUUCUAUAAAAAAGUCACUGGCAUCACACAUUACCUUAAAGGGUAGUUGCCAGUUAGAAGCCCUCACUAUUGGUGCAGUUGUCAAAAAUAGCUUCAAUACUUCAAAACUCUUUUGGCAUCUAUCAUCCCAUAUGAAUUUAGCAUCUUUGACCAAUAGUUCACAAAGAGGCCUUGCAAGCUUAGAGAAAUCCUUGAUAAACCUCCUAUAGAACCUGGCAUGGCCAAGGAUUUGCCUUACUCCUUUGACAUUUGUUGGGGAUGGCUACUUAACAAUGAGUUCAACCUUUGCUUUGUCAACUUCAAUGCCUUUCUUGGAGAUGAUAUGUCCAAGGACAAUCCCUUGGUGUACCAUGAAAUGGCACUUCUCCCAUUUAAGCACUAAGUCUUUCUCAAUGCAUCGGUUCAGAACAACUUCUAAGUUGAUCAAGCAUUCAUCAAAUGUACUUCCAUAUAUGGUGAUAUCAUCCAUAAAGACUUCCAUAAUACCCUCCACCAUAUCAUUGAAAAUGCUUAACAUGCAUCUUUGGAAAGUUACGGGUGCAUUGCAUAAGUUGAAAGGCAUUCUCUUAUAUGCAUAGGUUUCAAAUGGGCACAUGAAAGUGGUAUUUUCUUAGUCUUCAACAUCAAUUUCUAUCUGAAAGUACCCGGAGUAGCCAUCCAAGAAACAAUAGAAAGGAUGCCUAGAGACCCUCUCAAGAACCUGAUCAAUAAAGGGCAACAGGAAAUGGUCUUUCCUUGUCACCGCAUUCAACCUUCUGUAAUCGAUACACACCCUCCAACCUGUAGUGAGGCAUGUAGAGACCUCUUCUCCCUUAUCAUUUUUCACCACCGUGAUCACAGACUUCUUUGGCAUAACUUGACUAGGACUCACCCAUGGGCUAUCUGAUAUGGGGUAAAUAAUACCGGCCUGAAGUAGCUUAAGAACUUCAGCUCGCACCACCUCUUGCAUGUGAGGGUUCAACCUUCUCUGAGGUUGAUGAACUGGCUUAGCUUCAUCCUCCAUGUAAAUGUGAUGAGUGUAGACUAAAGGGCUGAUCCCUUUCAAAUAAGAAAUUUGCCACCCUAUUGCCUUCUUACAUCUUCUAAGGACUUCAAGUAGACAAUCCUCCUGAUGAAUGGUAAGAGUUGAAGAUAUAACAAUAGGGCACUGCUUGUCUUCUUCCAAGUAUGCAUACUUCAACUCUAUGGGUAGUGGCUUAAUAAUAAGCUUUGGGGGUUCCUCCUUAACAGGUCUUUGCGUCUCCUCCUCAUUGAAUAAGGGUAGAAUUUCUUCUCUCCUCCUCCAUGGGAGCAGGGUAGCAAGCAAAUCUGAGGGUUCAAGUAACCCUUCAUCAAGAUCCCCAAAACUCUCAAUCAAAUCUUCUUGCAUUCUUUAAUCACAAUCCUCCUCCACUAAAGUGUCAAUCAUGCACACUUCCUCUAGGCCUUCUUCUUCUUCCGAAUGGAUAUGGUUCUUGUACAAAUGGAAGAUGUUGAGCUCCAAUGUCAUGUUGCUAAAUGUGAGUUGCAUGAAUCCAUUCCUACAAUUGAUGAUUGCAUUUGAUGUAGGUAGGAAUGGUCUUCCAAGUAUGAUAAGAACAUAAUUAGUUCCUAUGACAACUGGAUCCGUAUCAAGAACAACAAAAUCCACUGGAUAGUAGAAUUUGUCAACUUGAACCAAGAUAUCUUCGAUCAUCCUUCUUGGAAUCUUCAGUGAUCUAUCUACCAGAGAUACAGUGAUGGAUGUUGGCUUCAACUCUUUAAGUCCCAACUGCUUGUAGACACAGUAAGGUAGCAAAUUCACACUUGCUCCCAAGUCCAACAAAGCUUUCUCUACACAAGUCCCUCCAAUACUCAAUGAGAUGGUAGGGCAGCCCGGAUAUUUGUACUUCACUGGAGAUUUGCAUUGUAUUAUGGCACUCACUUGCUUAGUCAAGAAGGCUUUCUUGUUCACAUUCAACCCUCUCUUUACAGUGACAAGUCCUUCAAGAAUUUUGCAUAUGUCGGCACUUGUUUGAUCAUGUCUAGGAAAGGGAUAUUGACCUUCACUUGCCUUAACACUUCAAAAAUUUCUGAUGCAUUAUUAGUUCCCUUUUGCCAUGCAAAGCUUAGGGCAAAGGUGGAGGCAUGUGUUUCUUCAUCAUAUCUUCCUUGAUCACAUUCCUAUCGGGUUCUUCAUCCACACUAGACUUAUGGUCAUCUUUCUUUGUACUUUUCUUUUUUCUCUUUCCUUUCAUUUCCUCUCUUUUUUCUUUUUAUGCUACACUCUCUUCAUCAUGCUUUGGCUUGGAUGUGGGUUGAUUAACCUCUUUGAUUCGUGCCCAAUUGGUGUCUCAGCUGAUUUGUGUCCAGCUGGUGCUCCUUGAUUGAGGGAGUAAUCAACAAAAUUUAUAACCUAUAACACCAUAUACUAGGGUAGCAAAGAAAAAGCUACUAUAGUAUAGUGGCUCUAGGAUCGUCCACUGGGAAAGAUUAACAAGCUCUCAAUGAUACCAAUUCCAAGUGAAUUGGCCUUGUUUCAUUUCAAGGUUAGCUUAAGAAGUAAAACACAAACUUUAAUUGGUAAAGGUUUAGACUUAAACUAACUAACAUAACAGAAGUUUGGAAUAAUUUAGGAAGAAAAGCAUUCCCUGGAGAGUUCAGUUCACUGGGGUGGUUCCUCAUGCAAAAGACAUAGCUCCGGUCAGAUGGUUCAUUUCCUCGUGUUAGAGAUUCAACACAUAGUCAAUUCUCUAACCGGUGUUGUACAGAGACUCCUUCAAUUAGAUUUCACUUUAAUUCUCUCACUGAUGCAACUUGCAAUGGUUUAAGCCUCUCACUAAGCCUUAACCAUUCAAGGUGAUCUUUAACCUUGGAUUACCCGUCAAAAGCUCGCAAGAGAUAACUAAUGGAUGUCUCCUUGGAUUCCAAAAGCUUAUCAAGUGUUGGCUAUUCUAGAAAAUCCUACCUUGAAGUCACCUCCCAGAGGCUCGCAAGGGGUAAACUAGUGCAUUUCCAUGGUUGGAAAUCACUUGCCUUACCAAGUGUUAGCCCAGGUGACUCUAAGGUGUUUUAAGUUAACUAAAAACAUAGAAAUCAUUAAAGGAUUUCACUUCCUCUUCAUUAAUAGCUAAAACCACAGAGCUUUGCAUUCUUGCACUUGGAACCUUCCCCGGCAACCUUAGCUCCAAGGAACUACAGGUUUAGUUACUCAUUCUCUGGGGAAAACUCCUCAGAGAGUUCAUAACUUAGUAAGAAAAUGAAAAUACAAAGUGAGAAGGUAAGGUAGUAGAAAGAAAAUAAACUUACUUUCUUACCCAAAAUUUUACAGAAGGAACUCCUCCCUGAGAACAGGCUCCCGAGAGGUAUAUAUAUGUACAUAAUAUAAAACUAAUUAUUACAUAGAUAUUUAGUCUUUUUACUAACUUAAAAGCUAAGGAAUCAUGUAAUUGGUGGUUUACAAGGAGUAUUUUGGGAUUUAGACAACAAAAAUCUAAUGGAAAAUAUCUCCCAAUGUCGGUAGAAAAUAUCGGGAGGCUUCAGGAACCAUUUUGCAGGAGAAAAAUGGUGUCUGCGAGAUUUCGCAGACACUCAAGAGGGUUGCGAAAUAAUUUCGCAAUACCAAGCUAUCUUCACAGGGCUACGAAGAUGGCUUCCACCUUGAGGCUCCCAGCUUCCUUCUCGCGGCAUAAAUCGGGCAUCGUCAGAAGGAGAAACAUUACACUGUUCAAAAAGGCUGCGAAAUCACUUCGCAACAAAAGGGUGAUUUUGCAACACUUUGCAAAAUGCUUCCUUCAACUCGGAGUGAUUGGCUUGUAAUGGCUACAACUUCUUCGUUUCAACUCCGAAUUGCACACCGUUUGAAGCAUUGUAUUUUUGACUUCCUGAGCUUUGAAAUGGUAUAUAGCAUGCAUCAUUUGGACUUCAGAAAGUGCUCCAAAAGUGGCUUCUACGACUGUCAUCAAGAAUAUGCUUUAUGGCAGAUUCUCUUUGCUUUUUCUCCUUGCAAUCCGGAUUUACUCUUGGCAAAUGACUUCUAAGCUUUGCCCAAGAUUCCUCAUAGCUCUCCUCAGUCUGGACUUGCUUUGGUAAUCAAAAUACUAACAAAAACAUCAAAACUUACACAAAGUGAUCAAAAUUGCUUUCAAGGGUCCUUAACAUGCCAAUUGAGUUAAAAGGCCAAAACUACUACUCAAAAGUGUUUAAAAGGAUUAAUUAUAAGCUAUCAAAUAGCACUUUUUGAGUAGUAAUCACUCCCACCAACCGACAUAUUGCUAGUCCCUUAGCAAUAUAGGAGAGAAAAAUUGAAAAUAAAAAGCAGACUAAUCUAAAAUUUACAACAUCAUGCUGAAAGAAAGUUAUUCUCAAGUGGCAUGAUGAUCUAAUUCUCACAUGAAGCAUUAAAGAAAUACAAACCCAAAUCUCAACAAGAGUCAUAACAAACUAUGCUAAACACUGUCAAUCAAGGGAGUGCAUUAUGCAAACUGAAGUUUUAAAAUCAUUUCCACUUUCUAAGAACCAAACUUUAAUCUUCCACAAAAAUCUAUGUGUAUUGGUUCCUUAGCUUCCGAGAAUAAUAUGUUAAACUAAUCUCUCCCCCCAACCUAUCUCUUUUCAACACUUAGCAAACUGACCAAAAUCAAUAAGAAAAGAACACACCUUCUCUUUUUUUUUUUUUUUUUUUUUUUUUUUUUUUUUUUUAAGGUAGCUUUAUGGGGUACUCUUUCUGACUUGUCCAUGUAAUGGGGGUCCAUCAAUGACUCCCAACCAAUUAAGGUUUAGGGCACCAAGCUUUAAGGAUCUUUCAACCACUAACUCCUCGGAUUUUUCCCCGGACUUUUAAGAAUGAAUUUCUAAUACCCAAGCAUCUACCAUAUGCUAACUCUACCUAUUCACCCUUGUAACGAGCAUUGAGGUCGAUGACUCCUAACCAAUUAAGGCUUAGGGCACCAGGCUUUAAAGGCUUUCACCAUAUACCCCUCAGACCUUGCUCGGGUUUCAAGGCAAGCAAACAACUUUCUUUAUUUCAAAGGCUCAUUAGCCUUUUGCAGGGUGUUUCAAUUUUAUCAAAUGAGGUCAAAUGUACCAAGUCCCAAAAUUAUCCUAAGUCAAGAGGGAAAUAGCUUUUCAUCUUAUAAUCGGAAUCUAAUGUGCACAGUGUGUGAAUAGCUUAAAAUGGAAGAACUAAAUUCAAUUUCACUAGAAGCUUCAACAAUUGAACCACUUUAGUGAGCAUAAUCCAUACUCUAAGUUAAGUGAAAAACAACAGUUCAAUUUCUCUUGGUUUAAUUUGAAAAUUUUUCCUCAAAAUUCAUGGAGAAUAGAGUAACAAGAGUAAAAAGUAAAAACUACAACUAAUUAACCAAUAUAAUUGUAUUAUAAAAAAGAUUUAGCAUACUUCCUUCCUCAUUCCCCCCAACCGAACUGAGCAUUGUCCUCAAUGUGAUAUGAGUGACUGUAUUUAAAGAGAGGAAGUGGUACCUCCUUGCUGAUAUCAAAUUCGAAUAUUGAUUGGGGAAAACCACAUGUUUCAAAAAGAAUAGAAUAUGUGAGAAAAGGAAAUAAGAAUAACUUAAUGCUAACUGUUAACAAGAAAUAUUCAACUUGUAUUACUUUCAAUUCAUUCGAGUACAAUAUAAAAGACAAGUAACGCAAGUAAUCCCAAAUAUAGUACCAAAAUACUGGGAUUUCUUUUCAACUAAAAAAAAACAAAUACAUAAAAAUAUUAGAUAUAUAUAAUAGUUUGAUGAGUGGGGUGGUGGUGCUAGGCAGAUGGGUCUGCCUUUUCAGUAGGUGCAUCAGCUGGGGCUUGGGGCUCUGGAGGAUGAGACUCUGAAGGAUGAGAGUGUGGCUCUGCUGGUGUAUCAGUGGAGGGCUCUACAGCUUGUGGCAGAUCGAAAUGGACUUGGAGCUGCCUUAAGAUGGCAGCUUGUUGAGCCUGAGUGGCCAACAUCUGCUCUUGGCAUGCUCUGAUGGCUACCAUCUCCUGAGCAAGACUGCUCUAAGAAGCUGUAAGAGUCUCCAAUGCAUGACAUAACUCUCUAUAUUUAGAUAUAGGAAUGGCCAUCCUCGGCUCAGCUGAUGUGGAUGGCUGAGAUGAAGCUGAUGUAGCUGGUGGAGCUCUAGGAAUGGCAGGAGCAGCAACUGUUAUACCCUCAGGUAUAUGUCUUGGGGAUGCUCUCCUUGUAGCUGGCUGAGGCUGCUCAGGCUGAUCAACUUUGUAGGCCGUCAUAUUGUUCCAUUUAUCAAGAGUGAAUGGCUCACGGCAAAUUCGCUUUUUCUCCAGCUGAGGCUUAGAAGGGUAUCCCAGAUGCUCCAAAAUUUGGCAUAGCAGCUUUGGAAAGAGGAGUGGAAUGCAAUCAGCUCUCUGAAGCUUCUUUUUGUGAACCUUCUCUUCAAAAUAGAGAAGGGCUGCCAUGAUCAGAUGAUGAGGCCCAAAGAAAAAUCCUUCUGACAUCUUGUAAAGAGCUUCCAGGAGGACUCCCCUUCUUUGGGUCCAAUGCUGCAAUGGAUAGAUAUUAUGACACAAAAAGGCAUCAAUCAAAAACAUAACUGGAGGAAGCUCCCCCCUCAGCAGAUGUGAUCGAUUUGCAGCUCCUCUGGAAAGGGUGCGCACCAUCUCCAGCUCAGUAGGAUUUGCCCAAGCUCUAAAAUUAUCGAAUUGGGUUGGCUCAAAGGGAAUUUGCAGGGCUUCAGCAAUAUGUCGUGCUCCCAAUAUGCCAUGUCUCCCAUCGAUAGUGAAAUGAAUCAAGGUUGGAUUCCUAACCUCUUUGGUUGUCAUGGAUUGAUAGAAAUAUGUGGCUAUCCGGGGAUAGAAAAAGUCUCUUGGAGUCAGCAAGUGCUCCAUGUGAUACCUCCUCAGCAGCUGGAAUGAUUGGGCAAGCUCCGACCUCACUCUGAAUGCCGGUAAGUCGAAGCAUAGCUCGGAAUGGAAUGGCCGUGUUCUACAAUCCAAGUUUCCCUCAAUUGGGGGCUGAGGUAGCAUUGGCCUCCGGAUUACUUCUUCCAGAGCUAUUUCGGAUGGAAUUUGGGGCUCAGGAAGUGGCGUUGGAGGCUCCUGAGAUUUUUCUUGCAGCGCCGGAGAUGGUACCGGCGACGGAACUGGCAUGGGAAUCGGCGAGGGAACUGGAGACGACACUGGAGUUGGAACCGGUGAUGGAAUUGGUGAAGGCUCUAGAGAUUGCUCAGUCAAAUCGAUGGGUUUUGAGCUCUCCACCCUGGGCUUCUUUUGCAGCGGCCGACCUCCUGACCUGGUAAGGUAUCGUUUUGCCGGAGGCUUUGGUGGCGCUGGCUUCACCGGGGGAGGAAUUGCUUUCGGCUGCGAAGGCUCUGGAGCAGAAUCUGGAACUGGCUCCUUUCGCAGACUCUUCUUGCGAUUCGAAGGAGAUGAAGAUUUAGCCCCUCGUGUUCGCGCCAUUUCAGGAUACCGAACUUUGGUCGACGUUGCUAAUCGGAGGAGAUGACUGGAGGCUUGGACGGCGUGGCUCACUGAAGAAGACGAACCGCUUGCGAGAAUGGCGCUCUAAUUUUUGAAACCCUUUUCGCAGCUCAAAUGACCGGUAUAAAUAGGAAAAACGGAAGCCUAAGGGUCAGUUUAAGUUUCGCAACAAAACGCCAAUUUCGCAGCAAAAUGCCAUUUUCACAGCAACUUCGCAGUGCGUUUCGCAGCUGCGAAAUGAGAGUUCCUGUGUUGCGAAGUGGCACUCGUGUGCCAAAACCACUUUCGCAAUUGCGAAAUACCCUGCGGAAUGGGACUUUUGGUGCGAAAUCACGCUUUUCCACUUCGCAAUGCGUUUCGCAGCUGCCAAAUGGAUGCUACUGUACUGCGAAGUGGCACUCGUGUGCCAAAUUUGCUUUCGCAGCUGCAAAAUACCCUCACAGAGACUUCUACAGUGUUGCGGAAUGGUUUGGCAACAAAAUGGUCAUUUCGCAGAAGCUUUCUUUAGAUCUUCCACCUGGGAUCAUUUAAAACGAUUAAAACACACCUAAAAACAUGAUUUAAGAUAAAAAACUAAGAUCAAAAGUAUGGAAACAACUUGAAAAUUUACAAAAUUUACAAAAAUUUUGGACUGUGGUAAACCAUGUCCAGCAAACCCUUUUUUGCUUAGGUUUUUUGAGGCUCAAGGAGGUUGAUCUCCUCCUUUUCUGGUUUGAAUGGCUCCAUGAAUGGCUUGAGACGAUAUCCAUUGACUUUGAAGCUAUCCUUGCCAUUGGAAUUCAAUAAUUCCACCACUCCAUUGGAAUAUACUCGGUGAAUAAUGAACGGGCCUAUCCACCUUGACUUGAGCUUCCCAGGAAAGAUAUGGAGUCUUGUGUCAUACAGUAAAACUCUUUGCCCUUCCUGAAAUUCCUUGUUGGAGAUGAGUUGAUCAUGCCACUUCUUCAUCCUCUGUUUUGCAACUUUGGAAUUGAUAUAAGCAUUAUUUCUUAAUUCCUCCAUCUCAUUAAGGUCUAGAUAUCUCUUUUCUCCUGCCUUGAUCAAGUCCAUAUUCAGCUUCUUUAUUGCCCACCAAGCUUUGUAUUCAACUUCCACAGGGAGAUGGCAUGCUUUGCCAUAGACAAGACGAUAGGGAGACAUGCCAAGAAUAGUCUUAUAAGUUGUUCUAUAUGCCCACAAUGAAUCAUGAAGCCUAAUAGACCAAUCCUUUCUGUUGGAAUUCACCACUUUCAUCAAGAUGUUCUUUAUUUCCCUGUUAGCUAGCUCAACUUGCCCGGAAGUUUGAGGAUGAUAAGGUGUGGCCACCUUAUGCUUCACUCCAUACUUGGAUAAUAGAGCUUCAAAAGGUUUGUUGCAAAAAUGAGCACCUCCAUCACUGAUUAUGGCUUUGGGCACCCCAAAUCUUGAGAAUAUGUUCUCUUUAAGAAACUUGAGAACCACCCUGUGAUCAUUUUGUUUACAGGGGAUUGCCUCAACCCACUUAGAAACAUAAUCCACCCCCACCAAGAUGUAAGAAUUACCAAAAGACAUUGGGAAAGGUCCCAUGAAGUCAAUGCCCCAAACAUCAAAUAACUCAACUAUUAGAAUGGGGUUCAUAGGCGUUUGAUUUCUUUUUGUUAGCUUUCCAAGCCUUUGGCAUCUGUCACAACUCCUACACAUGAUGUGGGCAUCCUUAAAAAGAGAUGGCCAAGUAAACCCUGAUUGCAACACCUUCAUGGCUGUUUUCUGAGAGGCAAAGUGGCCUCCACAUGCAUUCUCAUGACAAUGAGAUAGAAUCCCUUGCUGCUCAUCUUCAGGGACACACUUCCUAAUAAUCUGAUUUGCACAAUACUUAAAGAGAAAGGGCUCUUCCCAAUAAUAAGAAUGAAUUUUGGCAAAGAAGUGCUUCCUAUCCUGUGCAUUCCACUCACUUGGAAUUUCACUAGUUACUAAAUAAUUAGCAAUAUGAGCAUACCAAGGAGUUUUCACUAGGAACAUGAGUGAUUCUUCAGGAAAAUCAUCAUUAAUAGGCAAGGGAUGGGAAUUAUGUGCUAUAACUAACCUUGAAAGGUGGUCAGCUACCACAUUCUCCACUCCUUUCUUAUCUUUGAUUUGAAGAUCGAAUUCUUGUAACAAAAGAAUCCAUCUAAUCAACCUUGCUUUUGCAUCUUGCUUUGUCAAUAAAUACUUCAAGGCUGAAUGGUCAGUAAAGACAAUGAUGAAAGACCCCACUAAAUAAGCACGAAAUUUGUCCAAAGCAAAUACCACAGCUAACAAUUAUUUCUCUGUAGUUGUGUAGUUCCUUUGAGCUUCAUUUAGUGUUUUACUUGCAUAGUAAAUCACAUAGGGCUUCCCAUCUUCUCUUUGGCCAAGCACAGCUCCUAUAGCAAAGUCACUGGCAUCACACAUCAGUUCAAAAGGUAAUUGCCAGUUAGGGGCUCUCACUAUUGGAGUUGUUGUUAAAAAUUUCUUCAGUUGAUCAAAGCUAUGCUGACACCUUUCAUCCCAUAUAAACUUAGCAUCCUUAGCUAACAGCUCACAAAGAGGUUUUGAAAGACUUGAAAAACCUUUUAUAAACCUCCUAUAGAACCCUGCAUGGCCAAGGAACUGCCUUACUCCUUUUACAGUUGUUGGAGAUGGUAAUUUGACAAUAAGCUCCACCUUUGCUUUAUCAACUUCAAUGCCUUUUUCAGAGAUGAUAUGGCCAAGGACAAUUCCUUGACGUACCAUAAAAUGGCAUUUCUCCCAGUUGAGCACCAGAUUUUUUUCAAUGCAUCUAUGAAGAACUGCUUCCAAAUUAACCAAGCAUUCCUAAAAUGUACCUCCAUAUACGGUGAUGUCAUCCAUGAAAACCUCCAUAAUUCACUCCACCAUAUCACUGAAAAUACUCAACAUACAUCUUUGAAAUGUAGUAGGUGCAUUGCAUAAACCAAAAGGCAUUCUCCUGUAAGCAUAUGUUCCAAAUGGACAUGUAAAAGUGGUCUUUUCCUGAUCUGCCAAAUCAAUUUCAAUUUGAAAAUACCCUGAAUACCCAUCCAAGAAACAAUAAAAUGGAUGUCCAAAGACUCUCUCCAGCACUUGGUCAAUAAAUGGCAAUGGAAAAUGAUCUUUCCUGGUUACAGCAUUCAGCUUUCUAUAAUCAAUACACACCCUCCAACCUGAAGUGAGGCGUGUAGUAACUUCUUUUCCUUUUUCAUUUUGAACCACUGUGAUCCCUGACUUCUUUGGUACCACUUGAGUAGGACUCACCCAAGGGCUAUCAGAUAUAGGGUAAAUGAUUCCUGCUUGAAGUAGCUUCAGCACUUCAGCUCGCACCACCUCUUGUAGAUGAGGAUUCAACCUUCUUUGAAAUUGACGAAUUGGCUUUGCUUCCUCCUCCAUAUAUAUAUGAUGAGUACAAACUAAAGGACUAAUGCCUUUCAAGUCAGAUAUUUGCCAUCCUAUUGCCUUCUUUCACCUCUUGAGAACUUCCAUUAAACAAUUCUCUUGAUGACUGGUCAGAGAUGAAGAUAUCACAACAGGACAUUGAUUAUUUUCUUCAAGAUAUGUAUAUUUCAGCUCCUAAGGUAAAGGCUUCAGAUUGAGUUUUGGAAUUUCUUUUUCAACAGCUGCCUCCUCUUCUUUAUUGAACAAAGGUAGAAUUUCUUCUAUCUUUCUCCAACUUUGUAGAGUAGCAAGCCCAAUAGGAGAUUCAUACAAACCUUCCUCAAAAUUCACAAGACUUUUAUUCAACUUGUCUUGCAUAUUUUGAUUACAGUGUUCCUCCACCAAAGUAUCAAUAAUGCACAGCUCUUUUGGACCCUCUUCUUCUUCCGGAGUGAUUUGCUUUUUAGACAUAUAGAAAUAUUGAGAUCCAGUGUCAUGUUACCAAAAGUGAGUUGCAUAAGCCCAUUCCUGCAGUUGAUGAUUGCAUUUGAAGUAGCAAGAAAUGGCUUUCCAAGGAUGAUAGGAACUAAAUUAGCUUUCUUUACGGUAGGAUCUGUAUCAAGAACAAUAAAAUCUACUGGAUAGUAGAAAUUAUCCACUUGAACCAAUACAUCCUCAAUUACCCCUCUUGGAAUUUUCACUGAUCUAUCUACCAGAGAUAGAGUGAUUGUUGUUGGCUUCAACUCUCCAAGUCCCAAUUGCUUGUAGACGGAAUAUGGAAGCAAAUUCACACUUGCUCCCAAAUCUAGCAAGGCUUUCUCCACUACCUUUCCUCCAAUCAUGACUGAAAUGGUAGGACUUCCAGGGUCUUUGUACUUCAAAGGGGACUUACAUUGUAAGAUUGCACUUACUUGCUCAGUCAAGAAGGCUAUCUUGUUUACAGUCAACCCUCUCUUGAUAGUACACAAGUCCUUUAGGAAUUUUGCAUACGUUGGAACUUGUUUGAUCAUAUCCAGCAGUGGAAUAUUGACUUUUACUUGUCUCAAUACUUCAAGGAUUUCAGCUGCAUUUCUAACCCCCUUUUUCCCAUGUAAUGCUUGAGGAAAAGGUGGAGAGGUUGAUUUCUUCAGCAUUUCUUUCUUCAUAAGUUCCUUCUCUGGAAUUACAUUCAUUGUUGAAUCAGAGUCCUUUUCUUCACUGAUCUCACUGUCUUUAUCUUCCAUUUCCUUCCCUUUCUUUAUCUCUUCUUCUUUCUCAACAUGUGGCUUGCGUGUUGGCUGCUCAAUUUUUUUACCACUCCUUAGAGUGAUCAAGGCUUUGACAUCUUUCAUCUGUGAUGAUUCUCCCUCUUGGCUUUCCAGUUCAUGGACACCUUUGGGAUUUUGGUGAGGUUGAGAAGGAAAUCUUCCCUUUUCUUUCAGUGUAUUCAAAUUUGUAAGCCUUGAAAUUGAAUAUUGGAUGUUAUCAAACUUUUAGUUCAUAUCAUUUUGCAUUCCAUCCAUCCUUUUAUUCAACAUACUCUCCAUUCUAUCCAUUCUUUGAUCGACUCGAGCAUUGGUGGCGUCUUGCUUUCCAAAAAAAUCUCCCACUACCUUAGUGAGAUUGGCUACUGCUUGUUCAAUACUUGAAGAUUGUUGAGAUGGUGGAUCCGGCUGUUGGUACUGAGUUGCUCUGGCCUUCCAUGAGAAAUUUGGAUGAUUCCUCCAACUUGAGUUGUAGGUAUUUCCAUAAGGCGCAUUGUUAUUGGGCCUGAAUUGUCCAACAACAUUUGCUUGAUCUCUAUACAUUUCCUUUUCAGCUGAAAUUGCAGGGCAUUCCUCCACCAAAUGUUCAUAUGAUUGACAAUUGGGACACAACUUCACUUGCACUGGUGCUUCAGCAACAGCUUGCACUUCAUGUAUUCUUUUCAGCUCCAGCUCCUCCAAUCUUCUUGUCAUAGCUGCCAACUUUGCUUUCAUAUCAUCAUCUUCUUUUAAGGUAUACAUCCCAGCCUUUGCAUUGUAAGCAUUCAACUGAGACUUCAUCUUUCCCACUUCUCCUUUAGUUGGUUCAUCCCAUCCCCUUGAAACAUCAGCUACAUAGUUCAAGAAAUCCAUAGCUUCCUCUGGAUUUUUGCUCAUGAAAUCUCCUCCACACAUUGUCUCGAGGAGUUGCUUCAUUGAGGAGGACAUACCAUCAUAAAAAUAGCUCACCAAUAGCCAAGUAUCAAAGCCAUGGUGAGGGCAAGCAUUUAUAGCUUCCAUGUAUCUCUCCCAACACUCAUAGAAUUUCUCAUUCUCUUUAGCUGAGAAGUUUGAAAUUUGCCUUUUCAAGCCAUUUGUUCUAUGAGUAGGAAAAAAUUUCUUGAGGAAUUCAGCUUGUAAAUCAGUCCAAGAACGGAUACUCCUUGGCCUUAAAGAAUUAAGCCAAAUUUUGGCCUUAUCCUUUAAAGUAAAAGGAAAUAACUUAAGCCUCAUCAAAUCAAUUGAAGCUCCUCCCUCUUGAAAUGUAUUACAAACAUCUUCAAAUUCCUUGAUGUGUGCAUACAGAUUCUCACUUUCCAUCCCAUGGAAAGUUGGUAGAAGUGGAACAAGAUACGGUCUGAUCACUAGCUGCUCUGUAGGGGGCACUAUACAUGAUGGUGCACUCAUACGAGGUGGAUGCAUGCAGUCCCUCAUUGAUCUGAAUUCAUUGAGAUUAUCUUGACGACCUUGGUGACUAUGCUGAUCUUCAGGUGUAGCUUCCAUGAUAUUCAAGAUCACUUCGAAUUCUUUUCUCUGAGGUGUAUCACACUUAACAAGCCUUCCUCCACUAUCUCGUAUCCACUUUGGCAUACACAACUAGUAUCUAUCUGCAACUAAAAAUGAAAACAAAAGACAACAAAAGAAACAGGGCUACAACAAUAAAAUUAAACUAGGCUAAAUUUUAAAAGAUAAACUUAGAUUAUGAAUAAAUAAAGAAAGAAUGAGAAUUAGUAAAGUGAAAGAAACUUUACCAACUUGUGAUGAAAAUCACAAGUGCUCAAAAAUGGUAUCAAUAUAAACUUGACAUAUUCCCCGGCAACGGCGUCAUUUGAUUCGUCCCUAGCAGCGGCAGUGGCAAUGGCACCAUUUGAUUCGGGGUUCGAUCCCCGGCAACGGCGCCAUUUGAUUCGUGCCCAAUUGGUAUCUCAGCUGAUUUGUGUCCAGCUGGUGCUCCUUGAUUGAGGGAGUAAUCAACAAAAUUUAUAACCUAUAACACCAUAUACUAGGGUAGCAAAGAAAAAGCUACUAUAGUAUAGUGGCUCUAGGAUCGUCCACUGGGAAAGAUUAACAAGCUCUCAUUGAUACCAAUUCCAAGUGAAUUGGCCUUGUUUCAUUUCAAGGUUAGCUUAAGAAGUAAAACACAAACUUUAAUUGGUAAAGGUUUAGACUUAAACUAACUAACAUAACAGAAGUUUGGAAUAAUUUAGGAAGAANNNNNNNNNNNNNNNNNNNNNNNNNNNNNNNNNNNNNNNNNNNNNNNNNNNNNNNNNNNNNNNNNNNNNNNNNNNNNNNNNNNNNNNNNNNNNNNNNNNNUUGAUUCGGGGUUCGAUCCCCGGCAACGGCGCCAUUUGAUUCGUGCCCAAUUGGUAUCUCAGCUGAUUUGUGUCCAGCUGGUGCUCCUUGAUUGAGGGAGUAAUCAACAAAAUUUAUAACCUAUAACACCAUAUACUAGGGUAGCAAAGAAAAAGCUACUAUAGUAUAGUGGCUCUAGGAUCGUCCACUGGGAAAGAUUAACAAGCUCUCAUUGAUACCAAUUCCAAGUGAAUUGGCCUUGUUUCAUUUCAAGGUUAGCUUAAGAAGUAAAACACAAACUUUAAUUGGUAAAGGUUUAGACUUAAACUAACUAACAUAACAGAAGUUUGGAAUAAUUUAGGAAGAAAAGCAUUCCCUGGAGAGUUAGGUUCACUGGGGUGGUUCCUCAUGCAAAAGACAUAGCUCCGGUCAGAUGAUUCAUUUCCUCGUGUUAGAGAUUCAACAUAUAGUCAAUUCUCUAACCGGUGUUGUACAGAGACUCCUUCAAUUAGAUUUCACUUUAAUUCUCUCACUGAUGCAACUUGCAAUGGUUUAAGCCUCUCACUAAGCCUUAACCAUUCAAGGUGAUCUUUAACCUUGGAUUACCCGUCAAAAGCUCGCAAGAGAUAACUAAUGGAUGUCUCCUUGGAUUCCAAAAGCUUAUCAAGUGUUGGCUAUUCUAGAAAAUCCUACCUUGAAGUCACCUCCCAGAGGCUCGCAAGGGGUAAACUAGUGCAUUUCCAUGGUUGGAAAUCACUUGCCUUACCAAGUGUUGGCCCAGGUGACUCUAAGGUGUUUUAAGUUAACUAAAAACAUAGAAAUCAUUAAAGGAUUUCACUUCCUCUUCAUUAAUAGCUAAAACCACAGAGCUUUGCAUUCUUGCACUUGGAACAUUCCCCGGCAACCUUAGCUCCAAGGAACUAGAGGUUUAAUUACUCAUUCUAUGGGGAAAACUCCCCAGAGAGUUCAUAACUUAGUAAGAAAAUGAAAAUACAAAGUGAGAAGGUAAGGCAGUAGAAAGAAAAUAAACUUUACUUGCUUACCCAAACUUUUACAGAAGGAACUCCUCCCUGAGAACAGGCUCCCGAGAGGUAUAUAUAUGUACAUAAUAUAAAACUAAUUAUUACAUAGAUAUUUAGUCUUUUUACUAACUUAAAAGCUAAGGAAUCAUGUAAUUGGUGAUUUACAAGGAGUAUUUUGGGAUUUAGACAACAAAAAUCUAAUGGAAAAUAUCUCCCAAUGUCAGUAGCAAAUAUCGGGAGGCUUCAGGAACCAUUUCGCAGGAGAAAAAUGGUGUCUACGAGAUUUCGCAGACACUUAAGAGGGCUGCGAAAUAAUUUCGCAAUACCAAGCUAUCUUCACAAGGCUGCGAAGAUGGCUUCCACCUUGAGGUUCCCAGCUUCCUUCUCGCAGCAUAAAUCGGGCAUCGUCAGAAGGAGAAACAUUACACUGUUCAAAAAGGCUGCGAAAUCACUUCGCAACAAAAGGGUGAUUUCGCAACACUUUGCAAAAUGCUUCCUUCAGCUCGGAGUGAUUGGCUUGUAAUGGCUGUAACUUCUUCGUUUCAACUCCGAAUUGCACACCGUUUGAAGCAUUGGAUUUUUGACUUCCUGAGCUUUGAAAUGGUAUAUAGUAUGCAUCAUUUGGACUUCAGAAAGUGCUCCAAAAGUGGCUGCUAUGACUGUCAUCAAGAAUAUGCUUUAUGGCAGAUUCUCUUUGCUUUUUCUCCUUGCAAUCCGGAUUUACUCUUGGAAAAUGACUUCUAAGCUUUGCCCAAGAUUCCUCAUAGCUCUCCUCAGUCUUGACUUGCUUUGGUAAUCAAAAUACUAAUAAAAACACCAAAACUUACACAAAGUGAUCAAAAUUGCUUUCAAGGGUCCUUAACAUGCCAAUUGAGUUAAAAGGCCAAAACUACUACUCAAAAGUGUUUAAAAGGAUUAAUUAUAAGCUAUCAAAUAGCACUUUUUGAGUAGUAAUCACUCUUUACCACUCCUCAAAGUGAUAACUGCUUUAACUUCCCUCACCUUUGAAGAUUCUCCCUCUUGAGUCUCCACUUCAUGGAUACCCUUGGGAUUUUGAUGAGGUUGAGAAGGAAGCUUUCCUUUCUCUUGCACUGUGUUGAGGUUGGUAAGCCUUGAGAUUGCGUAUUGGACAUUGUCUAUCUUUUGAGACAGAUCAUUUUGCAUCCCAUUCAUCCUUUUAUUCAAUGUACUCUCCACACUAUCAAUUCUUUGAUUCAAUUGAGCAUUAAUGGACUUCUGAUCUCCCACAAAGUCUCCCACAACCUUACUAAGGUUCACAAUAGCUUGUUUAAGAUUCGAGGCUUGCUGAGGUGCUUGAGCAAGUUGUGUUUACUGAGGUGGCUUUGGUUUCUAAGAGAAAUUUGGAUGAUUCCUCCAAUUUGAAUUGUAGGUGUUGCCAUAGGAAGCAUUGUUAUUGGGUUUGAAUUGACCAAUAACAUUUGCUUGAUCACCAAACAUCUCUCUCACUGUUGGAAUUGUAGGGCACUCCUCUACCAAGUGCUCAUAACAUUGACAAAUGGAACAAGGCAUAGCUUGCAAUGGUGUCUCAGAAAUGGCUUGAACUUCUUGUAUCUUCUUCAUUUCUAGCUCUUCCAAUCUCCUUGCUUUAGCUACAACCUUUGCCUUCAUGUCAAUGUCUUCCUUCAAAACAUACAUCCCACCCUUAGCAUUAGGUUAAGACUUCAUUCUUCCCACCUCUCUAGCAUUUGGUUCAUCCCAUCCUCUUGAAACUUCAACCACAUAAUUCAAAAAGUCCAUAGCUUCCUCCGGAUUCUUAUUCAUGAAGUCUCCUCCACACAUAGUUUCUAGGAGUUGCUUCAUUGAAGAAGACAUACCAUCGUAAAAAUAGCUCACUAAGAGCCAUGUGUCAAAGCCAUGGUGAGGACAAGCAUUAAUAGCUUCCAUGUAUCUCUCCCAAUACUCAUAGAAUUUCUCAUUCUCUUUAGCUGAGAAGUUUGAAAUUUGUCUUUUCAAACGAUUGGUCCUAUUAGUAGGGAAGAACUUCUUGAGAAACUCGCCUUGCAAAUCAGUCCAAGUAUUGAUACUCCUUGGCCUUAAAGAAUUAAGCCAAAUAUUGGCCUUAUCCUUCAAAGUGAAAGGAAAUAGUUUGAGCCUCAUCAAGUCAAUUGAAGCUCCUCUUUCUUGGAAUGUAUUACAAACCUCCUCGAAUUCCUUAAUAUACGAGUAGGGAUUCUCACUUUCCAUCCCAUGGAAAGUAUAUAGGAGUGGCACAAUGUGAGGUCGGAUUAGUAGCUGCUCAGUGGGAGGCACUAUGCAUGAUGGUGCACUCAUACGAGGUGGAUGCAUGCUGUCCCUCAUGGAUCGAUAUGCAUUGAAAUUAUCCUCUUAACCAUGUUGGCUAUUCUGAUCUUCAGGUGGAACAUCCAUGAUGUUUAAGCACACUUCCAACUCAGUUUCUCGAGGAGUUUCAAUCUUCACAAGUCUUCCCUCAAUAUCUCUUAUCCAAUAGGGCAUGCACAACUAGAGAUCACUGAAACAAAAACAAAGAAAAAAAAAAAGAAAUACAAUGUUGGCAAAAAAUUAAGGUUAACUAAAAACUAAAUAAAAGAUAAGGUAAAAUAUAGACAAAGAAAAAGAAUUAGUAAAAAUAAAAAUCACCAAACUUGUGAUGAAGACCACAAGUAUUCACCAAAAGUCAUGUCAAUGUAUUGUGGCACCAUCUCUGGCAAUGGCGCCAUUUGAUUCGUCCCCAUUGCAGUCAUGCCAUUUGAUUAUGGCUCAGACGGGUGUUAUCAACAAAAUUUAUGAAACCUAAAUCACCUCACACUAGGGUAGCAUAGCUAACAUAGUAUAGUGGCUCUAGGAUCGUCCACAGGGAUGGGUUUUCAUCAUACAAUUUACUUAAAUGAAGGAAAUAAAAUGGUGUUUUUUCUUAUGAAAGUUAGCUUUUAAAGAAAAUUGGAAUUAUGGUUGCAAAGAUUGAUUUUAAGUUAAGAAAAAACAAUAAGUGAAAUUAACUACAAAGAAAAGGGUCUCUUGGAGCUUCAGGUCACUAGGAUCGGGUUUCUUAGGCAAAGAAGGAGAUUCCGGAUCUUCUCCUCGUGUUGGGGAUAAUAACAUAAAAGAUGGUUAUCACCCGAACUGGUUUUAUAUUUAGCAAUUAAGAUUUGAUCCAAAGGUUUCAUGAGAAAUGGUAAUUGUUUCCCAUUAAUGGCUUCAAACACUAAAGACUUUCACCUUAAACCACCUUCCAAUAGCUCGUAAAUGAUAACUAAUAGACAUCCAUGGUUUUAAGAAUAAGCAUCCAUGGAAUCCGAAAAGCUUACCAAGUAUUGGCCAUUCAAGGUGCUUUUAAGGGAUUUAAAACUAAACCUUGAAAUAAAAACCAUUGAUGGUUAACAACUACUGUCAUUUCAAGCAAGGAUAACUCCCACCUUUGCAUUCAGGUCCUUCACCUAACUUUCAUCACUCCAAGAAACGGAAAACCUAACCACUCAUCCCCUGAGAAAUCAUCCUCAGAGGUUGUUUGGCUAGCAAGAAAAGUGAAAACAAAAUGAGAAUGAAAGGCAGAGCAAAAACUCUGUAUAUUUCUUAGUACGGGAAUUUACAAGUGUUUUAUGAAAAGCAUACAUAAUUUUUCAUCCCUCUAUCUCUCUCCUUAUAUAUAAGCUACCUAAAAGAUAUAAAAGAAAAUAUCUAGGUUGGUUACAAGGAGAAACUAGGAAAUUACACAAAAUAUCUGAAGAUAAAAAUCUAAUGGAGUCGGUGCAUAGGAAGAUUUCGCAUACCAUGCGAAAUUUGGCAUGGUGUACGAAAUUUCGCACAGCCAUGCGAAACUGCUUGUUGUUGGAUUUCUUCCUCUGGUUUUCUUCCUCGCAUCUCUAAUUGGCUUGGCAAAGGGCUAUGAAGUGCUCCAAAGCUUGGAUUCUUCAUGUAUUUGAGCUUUAUCUUGCAUUGCCAUGGAUUUCACCAUAUUCUCCCUCAUUCUUGGCUUGUUUCAAUGAUAAAAAAGCUACCAAAAGCACCAAAACUUGCCAAAAAUUGAUUAGUAACCCUUGCUAGGUUCCUUCAUGUGUCAAUUGAGUUAAAAGGUAUUAACUACUACUCAAAAGUGUUUAAAACAGUUAGUUUCAAGCUAUAAAAGAGUUCUUUUUGAAUAGUAAUCACUAGGUAAAAUUAAGCUACAGGUUUCUUAAUGGUAUCAAAUCCAACGUCUAAUUACUAGGAAUAAUGGUUAAAAUAACAAUGAUAGGUGCUUCCAAUUAUGAUAACAACUUGAAGGAGGCAGAUAGAAAACCUAUCCCUCAUUAGAAUUUUGUGACCAAUGGUCAUGGUCACUCUUCUUAGCUAAUUAUUUCUCAGAAAUUAACUUAAUGGAGAAAAUUAUCUUUAAUGGUCUCAAUUUGUCAAACCUUUCAUUCAUGGGCAUGGAAAAAUUGAAUAUUUUAUUAGAGCAACAUCAACACCACAAGGAACAAUUCUCAUCGAGACAUAGGAAGUAGAUAAUGCCAUAUUAUGUCAUGGCUGAUCAACUCAAUGGAACUCAAGAUUAGGAAGACAAACAUGUUCAUGGCCAUAACUAGAGAAAUCUAGGAGGCUACCAAGGAAACCUAUUACAACUUGGUAAUUUGCUUAGGUCCAUAAGAUAGGCAUACAAAUAAAAAAUACUAAGCAAGGUAAUAUGAAUGUAAUUCAGUACUAUAAUACACUUAAAACUCUUUGGUAAGAACUUAAUUUGUUCUAUGAUUAUGAAUAACAUUGUGCAUAAGAUAGUGAAAUGUUCUAAAAGAUGACGAGAAUGAUCGAGUAUUUGCAUUCCUAGUGGGGUUUAAAUAAUAAAUUAGAUGAGGUUUACCUCUUUACUUAAUAUUACCCUAGUUAUAAAAAACCAGUAAGCUUCAUAUUUUGCCCAAUGAUCCAAAAUUCAAAAGAAUUCAUGGAAGGCCUUAGUGUGACCAUCAUUUCCUCUAAAUGCUUCCAGAAUUCAAAAUAUUCAUUGACAAGUGAUUAACCAUCAUCUUUUCGAAAUGCAUCUUUAGAUGUCAAUACCCAAAGGUGUUCAAUUUCAUAAGAUAUUGACCAAGUCUAGAUAUUAAGAAGGUAUAUCAUCCUCUACCAUUAGAAAGAAGAAGAUACAUUAUCCUCACUUGUGAAAGCACAUAUGUCAUCAUCUCAACAAAUCAAACAUGCGUGCAAAUUUUUCUUCUUGGUCUUCUAAUUGUGGUCAAGCAAGUAUUAAUGAAGUACUUAAUUUGAAGCAUCUGUUUAUCAUCUAUAGUGGUUGUAGUUGCUAAUCCAAUAAUUACACUCCUUUGAAAGUGGUACAAAUUAUUCUUCCUUAUUCCUUGUAUCACCACAAGUUUACUUGGCAUAACUUUCAAAAUCCCAGAUUUUAUAGUAACAAUAUUGAACCCUAUGGGUUCUAAUACUCCAAUUGAGAUGAGAAACUUAUUCAUACUAGGAACAUACCAAACAUCACUCAAAAUUUUAGUUGAUUCAUCAUGAGUCUUCAAUUGGAUGGUAUCUAUUAUUGUUAUCUCACAAGCAUUAUCAUUCCCCAUGUAAACAACUACAUCUUGUAGUUCUUCAAAGCAAGAAAACCACUCCUUGUAAGAAUGCAUGUGAAGGUGGACUCAAUAUCCAAAAUCCAUUCAUCUAAGUUAUAAAACAAGGAUAAGCAAACCAAAGCAAAGUUUGACCCAUCUUCUCCAAACUUAGCCACACAAGCAUCGAAUACUAUUUAUUCUUUAUUCUUAUUAUGUAGCUUAGGACAAUCAUUAUUCUGACACUACCAAAACUUAAGUAUGGCUGACCCAUUUAUAUUUACUUUUCGGACAUAUUUAAGUUGACGCAAAUUUCUAACACACCUAUUCCAUCGCAAAUUGAAUUGUCCAUCGCUUAUAUGUAACUAUUUAUCAACAGUAAUUGCAACAACAAAUACCUGUCGACAAAAAUAUCAUUGCAAUGGAUUUAAACCAUUGCAAAUGUUCAACUAAUAUACUUUGUUACAAAAGCAAUUUACCUAUAAAAUAGGAAAAAAAAAGUGAACUUUCAAAAAUAAUUUUUUCUAUGAAAAUUACUACUCACUAAAAUAGUUUUAUUAUAGUGGAUAAUAAUACCACUCAUAAUUUGUUCCAAAAAUAAUUAUAGUCAUAUGAAUAUAAAAUCUUUUCACCAUAGUUGUAUGAUAAAUACGAUCUAGCUAGUGACAAAACAAUUUUAUGAUUAUUUUUUUAGGUUCAUACAAUAUUUACAUUUUUUUUAAUCAUAAUAGUUUUAACAUUGUAAUAUUUUUUAACUACUUUUUAUUGUCCAUUUUAGAAAGAAAUAAAUUAAAAAUUAUUGAUAUAUAUAUAUAUAUAUAUAUAUAUAUAUAUAUAUAUAUAUAUAUAUAUGUAUGUAUGUAUGUAUGAUAUAAUUUAUGAUAUCGAAUAAUAAUAUUGAAAAUUUAAAAAUACAUUUUAUAGAGAUUUAUCUAAUUGAAUGUAUUCAAUAACAUAAAAAAAAUGAUAGUACAUGUAUAAGUAUUUUUAUUUUAAAAUGUUGAUAAUUUUAUUUAUAAAUUUAUAUUUAUUUUAUAUUUAAUUAUUAUACAAAAUACACAAGAAUCAAAAUUAAUUAAUUUAUAAUAAUUUUAUUUUAAUUUAUUUAUAUAUAUAUAUAUAUAUUAACUCAUGCAUGUAUAAUUUAUAUAUAAUAUGUAUUUAUAUAUAGAUAAUAUUUAUAAUAUAAAUGCAUAAGUAUAUAAUAUUUACAUUUAUGAAUCUUAUAUACAUUCUUUAUAUUACACAUAACAAAGUUGACUUGAUGGCACAGUUGCUUCCUUUCAAACUUGAGGUCAAGGGUUCAAUCUCAAGAAACAACAUCCAAGCCAAUAUCCAAAACUAGCAAGGAGAGGAGUGUACAAGAUGCUCCAUGUGAAUGUAAUGAAAUCGAAAUUUCAUGACAACCUAAAAUCUUUUAUUAUUUAUAUUUCUCAACCAACUUAAUUUGUUGGUAAUAGUGAUGGUCUAAAUCCAUUGGAUAGUUUGUUGCUAAAUAUUUUUUAUUGGCAACGGAAAAUUCCCAUCAAUAGACUUUUGCCAACACACCUUUCCUCUCCUACCAUGCGAUGGGAUUAUCGAUUGGUAAAUGUUUAUUUCGACUAUGUAUAUUAGCCAAGAAAAGUCAAAUUUCUUGUAAUGCGAUGACCCUUGUCAUGAAAAAAAACAUAUUCAUCUUUUGCAAGUAUACAUUUAAAUUAAGAAUUGUCUUAUUUUCUAGGUUUUCAACUUUGAGAUUAGUCAUUAACUGUUAAAGCUUCCAAUGAUAUAUCUCUAUGAUCGCUUUGGUCCUUCUUCCUUUAUUUAGAGCUUAGAAAAGUGGAACACACAACAUCGAAAGUAAUCUUAUCCUUACCAGAAAGUAAGGUGAUGGUAAGAUUUUCAUACACAUCAAGAAACAAAUUCAAUAACAAUAAGGCCUUAUUCUCAUCUUCAAUGAUCUCAUCUAAAUUCAACAAAUUUGCUAUGAUUCUAUCAAAUGCAUGCAUAUGAUCAUUCAGAGACAUAUCUAGUUGAUACUAGAAGCAAAAAAGUUUUUUCUUCAAAUAUAGUUGAUUUUCUAGACCUUUUUUCAUAUACUUGUCUUCCAAUGACUUCCAUAAAUGUUUUUGUGGAUAUCUCUUUCAUAAUGGAAUAAUUUUAAGCUUUAACAAGAUAUAUUGGAUGGAACUAUAAAAUUGACUAUUGAUCCCUUACCCAUUUUUUAUCAUUCAUGUUUUCAAGUUUUUCUUCCAAAACAAUAUCCAAAUCCUAUUGACAUAUCUAAUUAAUGCCUCUUACUACCACAUUCCAAAAGUACUAGUCCUAUCAAAUUUCUCUAUUACAAAUUUCGCAUUAGUAACCAUAGUUUUAACUAACGAAGUUUUUACCUUUUCUUUUAACUAGUGCAAUAACAAAUAACCUUGAACUAACCUUGAAACCAACCUUGGAUAGGACUAAUGCUCUUAUACCAUUUUGUUGUGCUUUAACCUAAUCCCACAAGACUUCCAAAAGUACCAAAUAAAAUACAAACUAAACUAGUCCAUAAUAUAAAGAGAAAUAUCAAGAGAAAUAAAAAUAAAGGAGGGUACACAAUAUUUAUGAGGUUUAGUAAGGACAUCUUACCUAUAUCAUUGGACAAUGAUGAUCAAUCCACUAAUCUUCAAAUCAAAAUUACAAAAUCAAGUUGGGAAAGAUUGUCUCACAAAGUGGCUGCAAUUACAAAGAUUGACUGAAGCUACUCUAACAACUUUCCUAAAGUCAUUCUCUCACUACUAUGAUGAAAAGACUUAAGACUCAUUUAUAGAACCUAAAUAAGUCCCCGAUCCUUGACAAAACUAAUUCAUAAUUCCUAUGGGACAAGGACUCAUAACAUAUAACAAAUUAUGAAAUCAUAAUCCUUAUAGGAUAAAGAUCCCUAAAAUAUAUUAAGCUCUUAAUUGAGCUAAAAGGCAAUACCUAAUAUAGAACCCAUAUCAUAUUUUCCAUAACUAUACUAAAUAGAUGGUUGUUAAGCAGAAUUAUCACUUUCAAAAGUUAAAUAAUCAUUUAUUUUUCCUUCCCUUUCCAUUUUUCUUAUCAUCCAAACAACAACAAUAAAAAAUUGAUGCGACUCAUGGUAGCUUAGCUUUAAAGGCGUAUCAACAAAAUUUAUACCUUAAAUACUAUUACUAAAGUAGCCAAGCUACUAUAGCAUAGUGGUUCUAGGAUCGUUCACUGGGAAGGGUUUUCGCGAACACAAGUGAUAUUCAAAUUAGGAAAAUAGGUGAUUUUCUUAUGGAUGUUAGCUUUAAAAGAAGAUGUAAAUGUUUUAGAAAGAUUUAAACUAAUCUAAGCUAACAUUAAAGACUAAAAUGAAAGGGUGUAAAAACAAGUUUCUCAAAGAUAGGAUAGCUAUGCUCUGGCUCUUAUGCAAAUUGGAAAUCUCAGGAUAGGCUCUUCGCUUUGGGGUUGCAACUAUGGUGAUGCUUGCUUCCCGAACCGGUAUGGAUUUAGCAAAUCAAGUUUUAAUCCUUUAAAAUGGCAAAACAGAUGGUAGUGAAUUUCAUCAAUGGUUAUUCACCUUAGACUUCCUUUGAAUGGCUCGUAAGAGAUAACUAAUGGUCUAAAGCCAAAAGCUUACCAAAUAUUGGCAACUCAAAGUCAUUCCAGGUGAUAAACUCACCUUUCAAUGACCAUUGAAAUUGGUUCUUAACGGAUUAAUGCAAAACUUGGAAUUGAAAACCUCACCUUCCAAUAGCUCGUAGGAGAUAACUAAUGGAUAGAAAUCCAAAAGCUUAUCAAGUAUUGGCCGUUGGAAGUUGUCCAAAGGAAAUAAAAACCAAACUUUGCAUUAUUGAACCAUUAAUGAAAAACGACUACCUUACCUUCCAAGUGCGAGAAAUUUCCAUGGGAUUGCAUCCAAGCCAUCACAUAACAUCCAUACUUUGAGAAACUAAAAGUUUUAGCCAAUCAUCCUCUGAGGAAAAGUCCUUAGAGGCUAUUUGGCUACUAAGAAAAUAAAAAUGGGGAAAAACAGGAGAAGAGAGAAAAACAGAGCUUUAUAUAUUUCUAAGUUAAUGUACAGAGAAUCGAUCCCCCCAAUCUCCAAUCUUUUGGAGGCGUUGUGCACCUCUAUAUAUAGCAAAAUAACAAGAUAAAGCCUUAUGUCAGCUGAAUACAAGGUUACAAAAGGAAUUUACACGAGAAAAUAUCAAGGCUAAAAAUAUCUGGGAAGUCGGUGGUGCGUGCAUGGAGAAACAAAGGAUUUCAAAGGCAUUUCGUAAGGUGCCUAAAUCCACCUUGCGAAAUUUCGCAAGGUUCUUUCUUCAUGGUGCGAAAUGGCCAAAUUUCGCACCAUGAAGAAAAUCUCCUUGCGAAAUUUUCGCAAGAUGAAAUUCACCUUGCGAAAUGGUGUUCCCAUGGCUUGAUGCAGUUGUCUUCCGAAGGCCAUAUCUUCCUCAUUUCAGCUCCAAAUCGUACACGGUUUAAAGCGUUGGAUUCUUGACUUCCUGAGAUUUGAAAUGGUAUAUAACAUGUAGAAAAUGAACUUCGGGAAGUGCUCCAAAAGUGCGAAAGGAGAUUGCAGCUGCUGUCCUCUAUUUUCUUCACUCUGUUUUCCUCUUCUCCAUUGUUCUUUCCUUGCAUACUUUGAACGACUUUGGCAAAGGGCUAUGGAGCUCCAAAGCUUGGUUUGUUUGUGCUCGUGUUUCCACUUGAAAUUUAAGCCUGUAAACUUCCAAAAUCCUUGCUUUAACUUGUCUAAGUAGCUCCUCCAUCAUUUGGCAUGCUUGAAUCGAUUCAUAAGCUGAUAAAAACAUGUAAACUUGCCACAAAAUGGUUAAAACCAAUUACUAAGGACCUUAAUGAAUUAAUUGGGUUAAAUGAAUAUGAUUACUACUCAAAGGUGCUUAAAACCAUUAUAAUUAGGUCUACAAAAUAGCACUUUUUGGUAGUAAUAAAAAAUGUAGUGUAACUUUUGUUACUUUGCUACUUGUUCUCUCAAGUUACUUGCCUGCUUGUGAAUGAUCUCUAUAAUCAAAGUAAAUGGAGAAAUAAUGUGGAGUUCCAAGAUAUAGGUAGAAAAGAGUGGAUAAAAACCCUAGUUCUACAAAAUAGUUUGCAAUUUUGUCUUUAGAUCUCUCAUUUUCGUGGUAAUGGCCAUUGAAGAUGUCAUCACUGACAAUAUCACAAAGUGAAGAAGGCAUGACUGAGGGUUGGUAGAGUAGAGAGUUAAGGUAGAAAAUAGCAAAGAUAUGAUUUUGACUUUUUUAGAAUUUGUAAAUAAAAAAUAAAUACAAUCGAAAAAUCACUUUCAGAACAUUAGGUUGAAUUAAGGCACAAGAAAUGGCUACCACAUGUAUGCUAAGUGAAAUAUUAGAGUGUUUUUUUUUUUUUGUCAAGGUUAAGGAUUUGAGUAACUAAAGCCUCAAUAAAGUCUUUGAGGUAUCCACUAAGGAGCACAAGAAGUGCUGCAUGGGGGCGUGGAAGAAGAAUGUAAGUUACGUGUAUUUUGUAUUUAUAUUUAGUUGAUUGUUUGUGGUUGACAAACUAUUCAUGUAAUGACUUGCUCCCAACCAUGUAGAUAUUGUCCACUUUGGACCCAAAGGGGCCCUCACAACUUUAAAAUGCCUCUACAGAGUUAAGAAAAGUCCAUACUUAUAUAGCGCUAAGAACUUUCCCUCCUAUCAGAUGUGGGAUGUCAGAAACACCCUCUUCCCCAUGUAGACACAAUGUCCUCGUUGUGUCCCACGGGAUUGCAGGGCCAAACAAAUGAACACCCUUAUGGGGCUAAACAAAACCCGAACCGAGGUCGAAGAAUGACUUUGAUACCAUUUGUAAUGACCCGUUCCCAACCGUGUAGAUAUUGUCCGCUUUAGACCCAAAGGGGCCCUCACGGCUUUAAAACACAUCUACUGAGUUAAGAGAAGUCCAUACUUAUAUAGCGCUAAGAACUUUCCCCCCUAUCCAAUGUGGGAUGUCACAAACACCCCCAUCCCCCACCCCAUUAUAUAAAUGUAUAUUAUUAUUAUUAUUAUUAUUAUUACUUUCAAAAGACCCUACAACACCAUUACUCCAAGCCACCAACUACACCCAUUAUUUUUUGUUAUAAUAAUUUUUUUUUCUUUUGUUUCUUUCUUCUUGGACGUCCACACGCAUCCUUUAUUUUAUUUUAUUUUUUCUGCUUUUUCUAUGACAUCUCAUAUCGGAUAGGAGGAAGUUCCUGGCAUUGUAUAAGUAUGGACUCCUCGUAACCCUGUAGACGCGUUUUAAAGCCAUGAGGGCUUCUUUGGAUCCAAAACGAACAAUAUCUACACGGUUGGGAGCGGGUCGUUACAAAUGGUAUCAAAGCCAAUCCCCAACCUCGGUGUGGGGUUUGUUUGGCCCCGUAAGGGUGUUUGUUUGUUUGAACCCACAAUCCCGUGAGACACAACGAGGACGUUGUGUCUGCAUGAGGGUUGUUUGUGACAUCCCACAUCAAAUAGGGGGGAAAGUUCUUGGUGCUAUAUAAGUAUGGACUCCUUGUAACACUGUAGACGCAUUUUAAAACUAUGAGGGCCCUUUUGGGUCCAUAGAGGACAAUAUCUACACGGUUGGGAGUGGAUCAUUACAAAUGGUAUCAAAGCCGAUCCCUAAUCAUGGUGUGAGGUUUGUUUGGCCCCGUAAGGGUGUUUGUCUGUUUGACCCCACAAUCCCGUGGGACACAACGAGGUCGUUGUGUCUGCAUGGGGGUGGGGUGUUUGUAACAUCCCACAUCGGAUAUGGGGAAAAUUUCUUGGUGCUAUAUAAGUAUGGACUUCUCAUAACCUUGUAGAUGCAUUUUAAAGCUGUGAGGGCCCCUUUGGGUCUAAAGCAGACAAUAUUUACAUGGUUGGGAGCGGGUCGUUACAAUUCAUGGAUUUUACACCCCAAAAGGUUUUAAGUGGUUUUUUCAUGUUACAUUUUGUGUCAUAUGUUUGAUUGAUUAUUCCUAUUCAAAGAAUUGAUGAAAACUUAAUUAUAAUUGAUAUAGCUAGGUGUUUAGGAAUGUUUCUGUUUAAAGUGCUUUUAAUUUAAUUGUUUUUUUUAGAAGCAUUUUUUUAAAGAAUCACCUCUCAAGAGCUUCUCCAAAAAGCAUUACAAGUGAUUUUUAACUUUUUAAAGAAUGUUUUCUAAGUUUUUCCAAGUGUAUAGUUUUUCUCUAAAAGCAUUUUUUUUUUAAUACCAAAAGCAUUUUCUAAAAGUACUACUAAAUGGACUCUUAACUUUUGAGGAUAUUUCACUUAGACAACCCAUUCACCCCGCUCACUAUAUAGUUUUAUGUCUCAAGAUAAAAGUUCUCUCCUUUAUUUUAACAUAAUCUUUGUUUGAAGAAUUGUUCUAAUUUUUACUUGACUUUUGUUUUUAAUAUGUCUUCCUAAGCUUUUAAUGAUCCCAUAAAUUGGUCAAUGGCUAUAGAAUCCAAAUAUUUAGGCUUUUCAAUAACAAAAAAAUAAAAGAUGAAAACUUUUUUUUUUAAGUUACACAAAUAUCAUUAAACUUUCACCAUUUAUUUUUACUUAAUUUACAUAUGUCAAUAUUUUUGAAAAAUAAUCAAAGAUUAUCUUAUAUUUAAACUUUAAAAUUCACUUUUAAAAGUAUGAAAUUGAACUUUUAAAAAAAACACUUAUCAACACUUUUAUAUUUUUUUGUAAUAUUUUUCAUGUUUCCUUUGACAUGGUUGCACUUAAAAUCAUUUCAAAGGUGUCUACAUCUAUUUCUUAAUAAAUGAGGUUAAAAGCCUUCUUGUCUUUCUUUCUUAUAUCUUCGAAAAUUCUAUUUAAUUUUGGGAUAGAUUGGUUUUAUCCUAUAGCUCCUUGUAGUUUUUCUCUACAAUCUCUUAUAUAUCUUGCAACCAAAUAAAACCUUUGUCUUGACAUUCAAAUCGUCAAAAUUGUUAAAACUGUCUUUAUUGAGUUAAGCAACCUAAUUGAAUUACACGUCUUUUGAAAAAUAAAAUAAAAUAAGAAUCCUAUUAUACGCCUAAAUUUCGUGAAAGUCUUGCAACAUAUAAGGGGUAGGCCUUGAAGUUACAGUGACAAUUUAUUCCACUCAAAAUUUUGAUCUCUACAUUGAUAUCAUGUUUUUUUUUUUUUUUGGGGAGGGGGGGGGGGGGAGUAAUAGGGAUAAAUACACAAAUAAUAGUACUAUUAAAAGAGAUAAAUAGAGGAGGAAAUUAAAAGAAAUUUAUUGUGUUUUUAAUACUUUAAUUGAAGUAUUAUAUACACAACUCUAACUACAAUAUGUUUUAAUUCACUUUUAAAAACUAAAUCAAAUGUAAUUUUUGAAAAUUUCUUGAAACUCAAAUUUAGAUUUCAACGUGUGAUUGAAUGAUAGGGAUGAUAAAAAAUAGGUAAAUAAAACAUAUGUAAUAUUAUUGUAUAGUAUUAAUUGCUUCCAUACCAUUAGCAUAUCAAUGGCAUAUUGCCAUAUUCACAUGAACUGACUUUUUGUUUGGAGUAGUGUUUUAGUAGAGUAUUCGUAGUACACCUAGAUAUAGCCUAUGGGUUGCAUUAAUUAAUGGUUUUGGCCCAACUUAACAAAAUUCUAUGCUAUCAUAAAGUAGCUGAAUGCCCAUGAUUGCGCAAUGCCAUCAUAAAGGAACUGAAUGCCCAACACACAUACAUGUGAGGUACCAUAUUUUUUAAGAAAGACAAGUCGGUUUGCAAUUGAUGUUAAUAUCUUUCCAAGGCAGAAACAUCAUUUUGUAGGUAUAAUUGAAUUAGUUAAACUUAAACCCCAAUUGACAUUCUUUCAAGUAAAAUCAUUUUUAAUCUAUAAUACUCAACACUUUUAUGAGAACAAUAAAAGUAUCAGAAUCAUAGAGAAUUAUUGAAAGUGAUUUUGUAGUGUUGUUGAUAAUAUGUACCAUGACUAUAAAAAUGCUUUUAAUAUUAGUAAAUUAUCAAAAAGGACAUCAAAUUUAAUUACAAGGAAAUAUUAUAAUAAACUAAUACUUUUUCAUGAUAAAAGAAUAUAUAAACAUUUAUAGUAAAAUAAUAUAUAAACAUCUAUAUUACUAACGAAAACUAAAAAAUAAUAGUUGUUGUGAUUACAAGAAAAUUUUAGAAAAUAUUUGCAACAUGAUUUGGAUUAAUAAACAAACAUCAAUCAUAAUAUAAUAAUUUUUAAAACAAAAAAAAAAUCAUUUGAUUAUUUAUUCACUUAAAAAUAAUGAUUUUUUAUUACUACAAAAUUUUGAAAAAUACUUACAAAAAAUCUAGAUUAAUAAUGAAAAAUUGAAUAAAAACAUAUUAGUUUAGUUUCUAAAAAAAAUUAGUAAUUAAAAGCAAAUGAGAAGACAAAUUUUCUCAUAGUAAAAAAAGGAGAAAAUUAUUUAUUUUUUUCAUAUUAGUGUUAAAAUAAAACAUCAACAAGAUAUAUAACGACUAGCAAUUCGAUCACAUUCUUCAUACAUCUCUCUUGCAUGAUAGAACUGUCUUUCUCAACUCAUGAAUCCACUCUACUCUGUUUUUUAUUAAAGCAGAUGUAACCCUUGAUUAUCAUUAUAAGGUUUAAAUUUCAUAUCUAUCCUAGCAUUAAUCAUUAUUAAGUUGUAAAAACCAUCAAAGUAAUAACAAUGUUGACUUAUUUUUCAAGAGGAAAACUAUGCAUUUCUCAUAUUGUUCCACAUCUAUUCUUCAAAAAGGCAAAUGUUCAAUUGUUCUCCUCAAAGAUGUCUAUGGUUAAAUAUUUCCUUCUUACCUCUUGGUAAACUACUCCAUUGAAAUCUAGAAGAUGGUAACACUCGCCCUUUAAGGGCCUAAUUAUAUAUCCACUCAUGUAAGGAUAACCAACAUUGAGUAAAUAAUAUUUACCUACAAAACGAAAAAAAAAAAUUAUGUAAGAUUAUGAAAAUCUAAUCACAAAAGUAACUUUCAUAUUUUUAGUCACAAAUCUCUAGAAGGAUGAGGAAAACCCAAUGCUAGCAUUUUUUUAAUGCCUAUGAAAAGACUCAUGCAUCAUGAGCAAAACCUUCCCAUCUAGCCAAUGCGAAUGUGAAAUACAUAUUGAAAUAAUAUAUGACCAUAAUAUUUUAGGUAGUUAUGCUUUUUGUAUCAAUAUAUGAUAUUUGCCUAUAUCUAAAAACCAUAAUGGGCAUAUGAGUUCCAUCAAUUACCCCUAUACAAUUCUUAAAAUAUGGUCAAUAACGUCCAACAUUUCUUAUUUUAUCAAGGAUCUCCCUAAACUAUGAAUCACUUGGUUUUAUAAUAUCCAUAGCUAUAAGACAAACAACAUCUAAUAUAAUCUCAAACCAUCUAGAAAUAAAUUCAUUGGAGUGCUAAAAUCAUUCUUAGGUCGUCAUGUUGCCAAGUCUAUGACCCAUUGUAGUGAGAAACAUUGCUAAAGCCUCUAUUAAGGGCAUAUUUAAACCUUCUCUUAGACCAUGCCUUUUAAUAAGAGUUUCUAAUAAUUAAUGCAUACAUGUUUUUCCAUUCUAAAUUGCUCAACUCUAAUUUUGAAAAAGUACUACAAGGUUUUUAUUUUUUGUAGUUAGUAAGUGUUAUAGGUACAACACAUCCAACCAACACCAAUUGAUAAAAAUCAUUUCACCAUUGCUUUCAUCUUUAAUAUUGUGAUUGCAACUAUUAUUAUAACUAGAAAACAUAUAUACAAAAAAUAAAAAUAAGAAAUACAUUAAAAAAAACUAAUAAUGUAUAUUUUAUGUUAAUAUAGCUUAAACUAGUUCAUGUUUACUAAAAUAAAAGGAUUUUUUAUUUAAAAAUUUAUUUGAACAUGCAAAUUCAAGAGUAGUAGUAGUAUGCAAAAUAAUAGCACUGAAAAGUAGUAAGAGUAGAAAUACAUGUAAUCAUAUAAUUCUAUUUUUCCAUAAUAAUAAUAAUAAUAAUAAUAAUAAUCUAGCUCAUGUGGGUCACCCUAGAAUAGGACUCCUCCCAUAACACCCCUAUUUUCAAUCCAUUUCUAUUCUUAAUAGUUUGACUAAGCAAAAUUUUAAAUUCAAAAGUGUUGUGUUGAGAAAUCAAAUACAUUACAAAGCUCAUCUAAUUAGGAACUUGACUGAGACAAAAUUUUAUAUUCAAAAGUGUUGUGUUGUGAAAUCAAAUACAUUAUAAAGCUCAUCUAAUACUUACAACUUUUAGAGAAAGAAACAAUUAAAUAUACCAUGUGAUAGACAUAUAUGUAUUCCUCACUCAAAAAGUUUACUCAAUACCAACAUACAAAUCUAAUUUAAAACAAUAUUAGGUAGCAAAUUAUGUUUCAACAAUAGAAUAAGAAAUAACUCAAAUAGUGAAACAUAUUUCUGCUUAUUUCAUGCAAUUUGAUCAAUUGAGUUUUCUAAUGCUAGAAACAUCUCCUUAUUUCCCUUGACAACUUGAAUAACUAUGACUUUCAUGUACAACUUAAGGUCAUUCUUCACUUCAAGCAUGCCACAUAUAACUUUUAUUACUUUAGCAAUGCUAUAACCAAGCUUAUCUACUCUAGAUGUAACUUUAAAAAUGGCCUCUAACUGCAUAGUAAAAACACAAGAUUUGGUUCCAUCUCUUAUCUUCUUUCUUCUUCUCUCAUUUUGCUGUGAAAUUUAUUUCCUUGGGGUUCUCCUACAAAAGUAUUCAAUUUAUUAUAUUUCACGACCAAAAUAUAAAUUAAGUAAAUAAACUUAGUAAAUAAAUUAAAAUGUAUCUUCAAUUUAUUAUUCCCCCCAUUCAUUUUUAGCAUUAGUGGUUUGCCUCAUAGGAUCCCACCCAAGGCCAAUCUUUUUUUGAAUCAAGGCAUUCCAAAUUUGUCAAUCUUUUUUAAUAGAACUUAAUAUAUUCUUAGGUUUCUUAUAUUGGUAGGUUCUUCUAGGUAGAUUGUUGAAUACCUUUAUCACUUUUUUUCCAUCCAAUUUACUAAAGUGACUAUUUGGUCUAUUUUUAGCCAAAAUCUUAGCAACACAAACUGUGAGAUAUGCAUUAACAACAAUAUCAUUCAAUAUACUUUGCUUUAUUGAUCAUUUUCUUUACCACUUGUUUGUUGUAGUGGUUGAACUAUAUUGCUAGACAUCUAAUAACAAAGUAAAGAACAAAGAAGUAUUAAAAGCAAAUGUUGUCAAUGUACUUUUAUAUUUUAUAGUUUAGACAUCUAAUGAGACCCAUAAAAAAGUGAACCUUAAAGAAAUGGGUCAACUAGAGGAAAAUGAAUCUCGGAAUACUGAAUAGGAAAGACUCACAUUGAUGGAAUAAAUUAAUAUACUAUAUUGUAAUUUUAUUAAUUCUUUUCAUUAGGUUGCUAAAAGUUGAAAAAGAAUUUCUCAUGAAACGGAUUAAAUAAUUUCCUAAUGAAAGAAUCCAAUCAUGGCCUCUUUAUGAAGUACUGAAUUAACUCGAUGAACUUAAAUAUCAUCUAAUAAAUUCUUUCAUGGUUUGUUUUUAUAACUUUAAUGUUACCAAUAUAGAAAGAAAUGAAACAUGUUUUAAAUAAUCUAAGAAACUAUGGUAGAAAAGUGGAAAGAUUUAAGGAUAAGAGGCUUUAUAUGAACUUUAAUAUUGUUAGUAACAGAGAGGCAAAUGAGAUAUCUCAAUAUUAAAUUAUGCAUAAUUAGUAUAAUUUUUUUAAAAUAAAUGAAAGAGAAUUUAGGAGCAAAAUAAGUAAUUAGAGUAUGAGAUAACAUGAAUGGUUAAAAUUGUCAAUCAUUUAAUUUAAGAUAAUUGUUAAUAUUUCACUACAUUUUCAACUCCAUGAAUUAAAGCAAAUGGAGGAAAUGAGUUGGAUUUCUUAAUAGUAUUAAGUUUUGGAUUGACACAAAAGUAGGGUGCUAGUGGACACUUGAAAUGAGGACCAAGUAACAAUUUCAGAUAGCAUUUUACUCAUCCAACAUAGUUAAAAUUUGCAAAACCCACUUCUGAUUUCGUACUUUUAUUGAAUAUAUGGGUAUAGUUUAACUUCAAAUCUAAUAUGAGUGUACUUUGAAUUUCCUAAAGCUUACAUAUUUAUUCACAUAUUAAAUCAAAGAGAAAAUAUUAACGUUUUUUACAAUUACAAUUUAUCAGGACUCAAGGUUUAAUUCCUAAACUUUUAAAGUGGGAAAAAAAGGUGUAAGGGAGAAAAAAGGAAAAGGAAAAUAAAGGAAAAAAAGAAAAAAGAAAAAAGAAAAAACUAUUAAAAGGCAUUACAAGCCUAAGAUGGGCAUAUCCAUGAUUGAGGUGCAAAUGGGGGUGACAAUUCAUGUUAGUGGAUAGUGUUUGUGUUGUGUCAAAGCCUAGGUAUUCUACUACAUAGCUCAACCCAACCCCAACACUACUAAUAAUCAUAUAAAAAAUAUAAACCUAAAUACUAUCUAAUUAUUAAACAAGUAACACAUUGUACAACCCGCUUAAUCUAUUUAAUAUUCAGGUUCUGCUAUUUAAUAAUCAGAUUAAGUUAGGUCUUCCAUAUGUCUAUAUGAUUAAUAUCUCAAGAAAAGAUGUUUUUGGCUCAAUUGACCUAUCUAUUUAGAAAUAAAUUUAAAAUGAGUCAAAUAUGGGUCAAACGUCUUAAAAAUAUAAUUAAGUUAAUAGCGAGAUUAUUAAAUAGGUUAAUUCGAGUCAAAUUUGUGUUAUGCAAGUUGACCAAAAAAGUACUUAUUUAUUAAAUGAGUUAUGUAAGUCGACACAAAUUUUUUCUAAUCUCAUUUAUACUUGACCCAAACCCAUGAAAAGCAUGUUAGGUUUGUGUCAUGCCGAGAAGUAUCAAACUUUGUCAUCCCUAGGUGCAAACAACUCUAAGACCCUAUUUUUAAGGAGAAUAUAUAUACUUGAGAUUGCUACAUUAUUUAGACUAAUCCACACCUACUUAUUAAGGGGGAAAAAUAAAAGAGGAGAAAGAUAGGGCACAGGAUGAUGGGACAAGGCACAAAAUGACAAGACGUAGGAUGGUAGGACGUAGGAUGAUAAGAAUCCACUUCAAUUAAUAUUUCCAUAAAUCAAGAGUAAUCAAAUAUUAAAAUAUUUUAUUCUCCUAAUUUAGGAUAUAAUAUUUAUUCUAAAUAAAUAAAGAGCAAUCAAAUAUUAAUAAUAUUUGAUUCUCUUAAUUUAAGAAAUAAUAUUUAUUUUCCUUAAUUUUAGGAUGUUUAUUAUUUAUUUCUUCUAUAAUUCACAAUGCAUUCUUGUAUAAAUUUAUGAAAAGAAAUAAUAAAAAUUCAUCGCUUCUAUUUUCAAAUUAUCAAAUUCUUCUUGGUAUUAGAGUUAGAGGAGGAGACUCAAACUUGGGUUUUCUCCAAAGGUGGUUGAAUACCCUAAAAGACUUGACCUAUCCACACAAACAAUGUCUUCCUCUUCAUUCAUUCAUUCAAAAAUAAAAUAAAAUAAAAUAAAAUCCUUAGUGCUCUAGCUUUCCAUCAACAUUUUUUCUAAUUUGAUUUCAAUCAAGCUAAACACAACAAAUUUUCUACUAUGGGAAAAUCAAAUCAUCCUCUUAGUUUGUGGCUUCGGUGUUCGAACCUUUCAUCAGUGUUUUACCCUUUCAUUCGUGUUAUUUCUAGUUUGAUUUCAAUCAAGUUAAACACCAUAAAUUUUCUACUGUGGCAAAAUCAAAUCAUCCUCUUAGUUCAUGGUGUGUUCUCCAACAUCUCUUAGGUGGAGAAAGACCCGCUAAAGAAUUAAAGAUGACGAGGAAAGAAAAAGUUUUAUCCUACAAUACUAGUAAUCAAUUAAUAAUAACAUAUUUGUCACUUCAUGAGUUCUCAAAACCAUGACAAAAGACAUUUUCAUUAUGAUCCUUGGGGCUAACAAGAUAUAUAAGGUAUAAACUUCUCUUAAGGAGUAAUUGCUUCCUAUUAUAGUUGAAAAAAAAAAUGAUCUCUUCAAGAAUAUUUAAGAGAUUUCAAAAAUAUAUAUGAUAAUCUCAUGACAAUCAAAAGCUAAUUUUAGACCAAGACAAAGUUUGUUGAUUCACUCAUGGUUUAGGAUAAUGGAAUGAUUUUUUUUUUUUUUUAACCUACUAUGCUUUUCUAACCAAUUCAUGGCAACUCUUUAGGGACAUAAGCAAUUACUCACCACCAAAAGGAUGGAAAGAAAAUUUUUAUAGAGUAUGCACAAGUUUUUAUUUGGACAACAUAGUUAUGGUCAUAAUGGUUGAAAAGGCAUAAAUUUUAAUUUGAGGGGAAGAAUCUUUACACUUUCUAUGUGUUACAAUUCUUUUAAAAAAAUAUACUUUUAUGAUUUUAUCAAGCCCUUGUCAAAGGAUAUCUUCAUCAUGUUUUGAGAUAAGUUGGGUGUGCAUAUUCUUUCCCACUCCAAUUUGAGCUUGCAUAUUAAGGGAAAGAAUAAAAUAAGACAAAAAGCACAUAGGAUGGCAACACGUAGGAUGAUAAAAAUCCACUUCAAUUAAUAUUUCCAUAAAUCAAGAGUAAUGAAAUAUUAAAAUAUUUCAUUCUCCUAAUUUAGGAUAUAAUAUUUAUUUUAAAUAAAUAAUGAACAAUCAAAUAUUAACAAUAUUUUAUUCUCUUAAUUUAGGAAAUAAUAUUUAUUUUCCUUAAUUUUAGGAUACUUGUUAUUUCUUUCUUUGUAUAAUUCACAAUGCAUUCUUGUAUAAAUUUUCUAAAAGAAACAAUAAAAUUCAUCAUUUUCAUUGCCAAAUUAUCAAAUCCUUUACUAAUGGCCUUAUGAUUAAAAUUGUUGUGAACUGAGGAAGCUUAAGAAUCUGUUAAGAAGGUUGCUGAGGUGUGAAGAGAGGCUGAAAUUGAGGCUGCAACCAUAAAACAACUUAGUCAAUGAAGCUAAUAGAGUUUCAUGGAGCUAUUACGUUGUUGUUGCUAUUUUAUAGGAAAUAGUUGUUAGUUCUAACUAUUUUUGCUGUUUUUCUAUUGUUUUCUAUUGCAAACUUGUGUAUAAAUGUUGCAUUGAUCAUUCAAUAAGAGUAGACAUUUUCGUUGUCUCAAAUACAACUUUUGGUAGUUGCUUCCAACACUUCUAGAUUCUAAAACCUACAGAUUGGUAUCCGAGCCUUCUAUCAUGAGAGACCUGUGAGGAUUGAGUGAAGCUAAAAUACCUUCACACAUACUGAACUCCAAAGCCAACAUAAACACACAACCUUUAACAGCUUGUAACUAUCAUUCCGCAGUAAAUGGAUGGAGAUACAAGCUUUCUGUCAGUACUAGUUUUCAAUGGUGAUAAUUAUCAGGCGUGGGCUAUUAGAAUGACAGUCCACCUUGAAGCUUUGGAUCUUUGGGAGGUAGUAGAAGAAGGUUAUGAAGUACCACCACUUGGAGACAAUCCAAGUAUCAAUCAAAUGAAGAUUCACAGGGAAAGAAAAACAAGGAAAGCCAAAGCCAAGGCUUGCCUCUUCUCUGCAGUUUCACUUUCCAUUCUCACCAGAAUCAUGCAAAUGGAGUCUGUUGUAGCAAUCUGGGAGUAUCUAAAAAAAUGAGUAUCAAGGGAAUGAAAGGGUGUAGAAUAUGCAAGUAAUGAAUUUAAUAUGAGAAUUUGGAAUGAGCAGAAUGAAAGAGUCUUAAACUAUCAAAUAUUAUGCUAAACAACUACUUAGCAUAGCAAACAAGGUAAGAUUGUAUGGUAAGGAAUUUUCUAAUGAAAGAAUUGUUCAGAAAAUCUUAGGAACUCUGCCUAAAAAAUAUCAAGCCACAAUCUCUUCCUUGGAAAACUCUAAAGAUUUGUCAAGUAUAUCUUUGGCAGAAAUUGUUAAUGCUUUGCAGGCCUUGGAACAAAGGAGAAUGAUGAGACAAAAAUGAUAUGUUGGGAACAUUCCAAGCCAAAUCACAAAACAAUGAUUCCAGCAAAGAAAGAAAGAAAAACAAGAAGAACAACAAGUCAAGCCUUAACAAAAAGAAUCAGAAAGGAGCCCAUCCACCUUGCCCUCAUUGCAAAAAAACGAAUCAUCCUCCACAAAAGUGCUGGUGGAGGCCAGAUGUCAAGAGCAACAAUUAUGGUCAAUUAGGCCAUAUGGAGAAGAUAUGCAAAACAAAAUAAGAAGGAGAGAUCAAGACUGCAACUACUGAUCAAUAUCAUGAAGAACAGUUGUUUGUUGCCACUUGUUUUGCUAGAAAAAACACAUCUGAAAGUUGGCUCAUAGAUAGUGGUUGCACAAACCACUUGACUUACGAGCAAGGACUUUUCAGGGAACUCAACAAAAUAAUCAUUUCCGAAGUAAGAAUUGGAAAUAGGGAAUACAUCUCAGCAAGGGGCAAAAGGACUGUUGCCAUUGAAAGUCUCUCAAGUUUGAAACUUAUCCCUGAUGCUUUGUUUGUUCCUAAUAUUGAUCAAAAUCUCUUAAGUGUUGGGCAACUACUUGAGAAAGGUUUCAAGGUGCUAUUUGAGGACAAGUUCUAUAUGAUCAAGGAUGCAAAUGGAAAAAAUGUGUUCAAGAUCAAGAUGAGAGGUAAAAGCUUUGCCUUGAAUUUUCUUGAGAAAUAGCAGGCUGUUGUUUCUCAAGAAAAUAAUAUCACAACUUUAUGGCACAAGAGAUUGGGGCACUUUCAUCAUAAUGGAGUGCUCUACAUGAAGAAGAAUCAACUUGCAGUAGGUCUACCUAACCUGAACCAAAAUCUUCCUACUUGCAUAGCCUAUCAGUAUGGAAAAUAAUCCAGACUUCCUUUCCCACAGAAAUCUACAUGGAGAUCAUCACACAAGCUGCAACUUGUACACAUUGAUGUUGGAGGACCUCAGAGAACACCAUCUUUAAAGGACAGUAAGUACUAUAUUGCCUUUAUAGAUGAUUAUACCAGAUAUUGUUGGAUUUUUUCCUAAAUUUUAAAUCUGAGGUUGUUGAUGUAUUUUGGAAGUAUAAGACCCUAGUAGAAAACCAAAGUGGUGCCAUCAUGAAGGUUAUAAGGACAGAUAAUGGCACUAAAUAUACUUCUGAAAGAUUCAACAAUUUCUAUUAAGAAGCAAGCAUAGAGCACCAACUGACUGCACCUUACAUACCACAACAGAAUGGAGUGGAAGAGAUGAAGAAUAGGACUAUAAUGGAGAUGACAAGAUGCCUUUUGCAUGAGAAAGGGCUACAAAAAAAGUUCUAGGUUGAAGUUGCAAACACUGCAGUGUUUCUACUAAAUAGACUCCCAACCAAAGCUUUGCAAAAAAAGACUCCUUUUGAGGCUUGGUUUGGAUAUAAACCUCUGUUAUUAAAAUUAAAAACAUUUGGUUGCCUUUGUUUUAGUUAUGUGCCUUAGGUGAAACAAGACAAGUUGGAUAAAAAGGUACUCAUGCUGACAAAUUCAUUGUUAGCAUAGAUGUCAAAUUCAUGGAGGAUGAUAAAUGGAGUUGGGAUGCUACAAAAAAUCAGAAUUUUGAGUUCCUUGAUGAAAAUAUUGAUGACAUUCCUGUAAGAAGCACCAAAUCACUUUUUGAUAUUUAUCAAAUGUGUAAUAUGGUUGUGUUUAAGCCUGCAGAGUUUAAUGAAGUUGUUGAGGAUAAAAAAAAGAAGGGUUGUAAUGCGGGAGGAGCUCAACAUGAUAGAGAAAAACAACACUUGGGAGUUAGUUGACAAACCAAUACAUAAAAAGGCCAUUGGUGUCAAGUGGGUUUAUAGAACCAAACUCAAUUAUGAUGGUUCUAUAAACAAACAUAAAGCCAGGCUGGUUGUCAAAGGUUAUGCUCAAAUGUUCGGUGUGGAUUUUUCAGAAACCUUUGCACCUGUAGCUAGGUUGGAUACAAUAAGGAUGCUGCUAGCUUUGGCUGCUCAAAAAGGUUGGAAAAUCUAUCAGCUAGAUGUAAAAUUAGCUUUUCUAAAUGGCUACCUUGAGGAGGAAAUCUUUGUGGAGCAACCUAAAGGAUUUGCAGUAAAAGGCAAAGAAGACAAGGUUCUUCAACUAAAGAAAGCCUUGUAUGGCUUGAAGCAAGCCCUUAGAGCUUGGUACAAUAGGAUUAAUGCACAUCUACUUGGUUUGGGGUUUAAAAAAAGUCAGAGUGAAUCCACACUUUAUAUUAGAAAAAUUAAUGUUGACAUACUUAUUAUUUCAUUAUACGUUGAUGAUUUGCUUGUAAUAGGAAGCAAUCAAUGUUUAAUGGAUAAAUUCAAAGCUGAAAUGGAGAAGGUCUUUGAGAUGACAGAUCUUGGAGACAUGUCUUAUUUCCUGAGAAUGGAAGUGCAUCAGAAUCAGCAUGAGAUAUUCAUCUGUCAGCAGAAGUAUGCAAAGGAAAUUCUAAAAAAGUUCAAGAUGGAGAAAUGCAAGCCCAUAGCCACACCUAUGAAUCAAAAAGAAAAGUUUUGCAAAGAAAAUGGUGUUGAAAAAGUAAAUGAAGAGUUAUAUAGAAGCAUGAUUGGAUGCUUGAUGUAUUUGACUACAACAAGGCCAGAUAUAGUACAUGUUGUAAGUUUACUCUCAAGAUACAUGCAUUGUGCUAGUGAAAUUCACUUGUAGGCAGCAAAAUGUAUUGUGAGAUAUAUAAAAAGCACUAUUGACUUUGGCAUCAAGUUCAAGUAGGUACAGAAUUUUCAUUUUCAUGGAUUUUCUGAUAGUGAUUGGACUGGCUGCGUUGAUGAUAUGAGAAGCACAUCAGGUUCUUGCUUUAGUUUUGGUUCAAGUUUUUUCUCUUGGUGCUCUAAAAAAGAGGAUAUCGUGGCACAAUCCACAGUUGAAGCAAAGUACAUUGUUGCUGCUGCUGCUGCAAAUCAUGCACUUUAGAUAAGAAAGCUGCUAACAGACUUAAACAUGGAGCAAACUGGGAGCACACAAGUCAUUGAUGACAAUCAAGCUGCAAUUUUAAUUGCAAGUAAUCCAGUAUUCCAUGGUAGGACAAAGCACUUCAAAAUCAAGUUUUAUUUCUUAAGGGAAAUACAACAUGAUGGAGAAGUAACUUUGGUACAUUAUAAAACAGAAGUACAAAAUGUUGAUAUUCUAACAAAAGCUCUACCAAGAACUAGGUUUGAAUUUCUCAGAAAAAGACUUAGAGUUUGUAGCUCCCAAGUCAAGGAGGAGUGUUGAGAAAAAUGCCUUAGUAGCUACAAUCAUGCUGGAAGACGUGUGAAAGUUGCUGUGAACUGAGGAAGCUUAAGAAUCUGUUAAGAAGGUUGCUUAGGUGUGAAGAGAUGUUGAAAUUGAGGUUGCAACCAUAAAACAACUUAGUCAACGAAGCUGAUAGAGUUUCAUGAAGCUAUUAUGCUGUUGUUGUUAUUUUAUAGGAAAUAGUUGUUAGUUCCAACUAUUUUUGUUGUUUUUCUAUUGUUUUUUGUUGCAAACUUUUGUAUAAAUGUUGCAUUGAUCAUUCAAUAAGAGUAGACAUUUUUGUUGUCUCAAAUACAACUUUUGGUUGUUGCUUCCAGCACUUCUAGAUUCUAAAACCUAUAGAUUCUAUGAAUUUUAAUGAUAUUCCAUCAUUUCUAGGCCUCUCAAACCUUCAAAUUAGUAGGGUUACAAAACAUAAUUUCUCAAACAACAUUCUUUCCAUAGUCAUAUCUCUAGCAUUGCUAUAACCCAGGAUCAUCAAGGACCAAGACAAAACAUUCUUGUUUGCCAUCUUCUCAAACAACUCAAAUGUUGUAUUUAUCUUUCCUACCUUAACAUACCCAUCAAAUAUUAUAUUCCAACUAAUAACAUCUCUAUUUGGCAUUUCAUCAAAAGCCUUCCUCACAUUUUCUUGAUCCACAUGGGCAUAAAUCACUCUCAACUAUUAACACAAACAACAUAGAUUUUAGCUAAUUACAAACCAAAUUGAUAUAUCACCCCUAGUAGUUGUAAUUUCCUUCAUUAAUUACCCUCCCAUUUCCACAUCUCUUUUUUUAUGCAACUCAUAAAAAAAUUUCAUGAAAUUUGAGUGUAGGUAGGAGAAAGCACGAAUCUCAGUGCACAAAAAUUUGAUUUCAAUCAUUCAAAAAAAAAUUAAUUUUAUGGAAAAACAUUAUAAUAGUAAAAUAACAAAUUGAGAAGGACUUUCUAAGAAAAUAUAAUCAAAGGAAAACAAGGUAAUCAAAAGACUCAUAUAAUGUUUUACUUCCAUUUUCUAAGUAACUAAAUAGAAAUGUGGAAAGGAAAGUACCUCCAACUAUGGAUGUAAAGAGUCAUUGUUAAUGAGAAAAUGGUGAGAAUUGGAAUCAUGAAAAGUGUAGAAGAAGACUGCUUGGACUAUGGAGAGUGAAGGAGAAAGAUAAUGCUUGUUGAAAGGGAAAUAGUGGGUUAUUGGGCAACACUUAGGGUUAUUUUAGGUAUAUUUGAAAAUUUUAAAAGUAUUUUUUAAAUAAUCACCUCUCAAGUGCUUUUCUAAAAAUUACUUCAAGUGAUUUUUUUCUUUUGAAGGUUCUUAAAAGUGUUUUUGAAAUCUUGCCAAACAUCUACUUUUCAUCCAAAAAAACUCUUUUAAUUAUUAAAAAUGCUACACUCUUCUUAAAAAUACUACUAAACAAGUUCUUAAUAGGAUUUUAUUUAUUAUCACAUGUUUCUUAGUCUUUAACCAAGGACAUGUCUAUACUAUAUAAUAAAAGCAGAGAUACAACUUUAUUCUAACUAUUUUUCAACCUUACUUUCUUUAAAUACCUACUGAAAUGUAAUUUUAUUAUUAUUCAUUAAUUAAACCAUUAAGAAUGGGAUUACUAUGAUUUCACCCCAACUCCAACUCCCUUUUCUACAAAAAGUAAAACUAAUUUUUUGGGAAUACGUAUGCAAAGUAAUGGCAUAGAUGAAGUUGUAAAUGGAGAUUAAUGGAAAUGAUAGAAGCGGGAUUUUGCUAGGGUUUUAGAGCCAAAGAGGAUGGGUUGGUUAUGGUGGGUCUUAAGGGAAGUGAUAGAGAAGUUGGGAAUUGAGGUUAGAUUUAAUGUUAAGGUUAGGGCUAGGGUUUCAUCAAUGGAUGGUGAUGAAGAUGAAGAUAUGGACAUCCCUUGCAAAAUCUACCAAUAUAAUUAGUUUAUACUAUAUAAUCAACUAAAAUUUGAAUCAAUUCUCCUUCUCAAACUAUGAUAAUAUGAUUUUAGAUGAUUUUUGAUAAUGAUUUCUUUUCCUCUCAAUGAAGCUGUAGAUCAAUUCUAUGUUUCAACUUGAAUAAGGGAUCCUUAGAAUCUCUCAAUAUUUAGUUUCUAUUUAGAUUAGGGAAUAAAGGAUCCCUAAGAUCUUUCAAUCUUUAAUAUCUAUUUAGUUUCCUAUAUAAAAUAAGAAGAGUGUAAUGGGGAAAGAAACGAAAAAAUAAUCUCAAUAAGAAAAAUUUGUUCUCUCAAUUUUGCAUCUUCUCCUUGAGUCAUAAGAAUUGGUGUUAGAACACGGUCUUGGCACCAAUCAUGGAUGAAGGGACUAGAGUGUAAGAACAACAUAGACUUGAAGAUACUAUUAAACAGUUGAAAGAAUCAUUGGAUAAACAAGCGACUACCUUAUUAGAACUAUCAAAGAUGGUUGCAACCAUAAACUUGAAAUUCAAACACAUGAAUUUAAGAAUAGAGAAGUCAAGUAAUGGGUACAGUGCCUCAAUCAAUAGAAGCAAGACAAACUAUCACUCACAUGGGAUAAACUCCAUUCAAACUAGUUUUCCAAACUCAAUUUUCAAAAUUUUGAAGGUGAGAAUUGGGAAUCAGGAAAAGAUAGGAUUGGCUUCCUUACAUUUAAAAGGAAGGGCCUUAGAAAGGUUUCAAGGGUACAAGGUUAGUAACAAGGAAAUCAAAUGGACACAAUUUUAUAUAGAUGUUGUUUCUAGGUUUAGGCCUAAUGUUUAUGAUAGCCUUAUGGGGUAAAUAACCAAUUUGAAAUAGGUUUCUACGGUUAUGGCAUACAAAAAUUAGUUUAAAGUAUUGAUGAUCAAAACUAGUGGGUUAUUGAAGGAAUUUUUUGUCUAGUGUUUCAUUAGUAUCUUGAAAGAGGCAAUUAAAAAUCAAGUCACCAUGUUUCAACCGAUCACAUUAGCCCAAACCAUCGAGUUAGUCUUGUUGCAAAAAUAAAUAGUGGAAGUAAUUCUCAAGGAAGUCAAGGACUCUAACGAAAGUAGGGAUAGUACAAUGAACUUUACAAGAAUCAUUAUGAAUCAUAAUAACAAAUUGCCACCCCUUAAGAAGAUUUCAGUUGUAGAAGUGCAAGAGAGAAGAAAAAAAGUUUUUUUUAUUAUUGUGAUGAAAAGUAUGAGUCUGGCUAUAAAUAUAAAAUGAGACAAUUUUUUCUAUUAAAUGGUCAUAAAAGUGAAGGGAAAGUGUGGACCCGCAUUUUUCACGUGUGUUCCCACUCGAUCGGCGAGACUCGCUUUUUAUUUGUGAAAAAUUGAUUUUUGAAAAAAAGUUGGAGUCGCCACCUAUUUUAUUUUUAUUUUAAAGGGAAAAUAAAACAAGAAAGAAAAACCCUAAAAAGUGACUCCAUAGUUUUGGAAAAAGCAUGUCUUUGAGAAACCCGAGUCUAGGUCCGGGGAUUAGGUUACUUAUUGGGAAGGUACCUCUAGGAGAUAGCACCCCUCUAAGCCCUAAAGAGGUCCCUACUGACUAAGUUAAGGGAAGUGUGGCCAUUAAUCAGUUAAUUAUGGAUACCUAAGUAGGUUAGGUGAUUUUAAAGUGUGGCAUGUCAAACGCAAUCAAAUUGCAAUAAAGAAGAGUUAGGGUGCGUACCUGAACCGUUCUUCAAGCGCUAUCAUAAAACAUAAAAGUUAGUGUAGAAAUGUAGCACACAACAUUUGUUUUAUUUAAGCAAAUCAAGCAUAUAUCAAGACAUCCAAGAAUCACGUCAAAUAUGGAUAUGGUCAUCAAUGACAUACAAGUCCAUAGAGUUCUUAAAAAAAUAGAUGAGAAGAGAGCGUACCUGGAUAGCAAGCUAGUACUCCUCUAUGGGAAACAGGAGUAUUUCGAUAAUAAAUACAAAACAAAUUCAUGUAUAUCAUCAAGAAGAAUCAAGGAUCAACACAUCAAACAAACAAUAUGGAAGAGAAAAUCAUGAAUGUAGGGCCCCCACCAAAGCCCUAAUUAAUUUUGCAUGAGUUGGUUCCAUAAAUUCCAUGAUUUGGAAUUAUGAAGUUUAUUCAUGCUUGUUGAAAAUCAAGAAGAUCAAUUGAAAAUCAAAUAAAAUAGUGAAAAUGCGUGCCGGAAGGAAAAUGGCAGCCAAGAAUUUAUUAAAGGUCUAGAUUUAAAUGUCUAUGAACUCCUAAGGAUGAAAUUUUAAAGGAAAUAAGAGUUAUUCAAUGGAAAAUAUAUUGAAAUCCAAAUUUAAAAUGAAUGUGUAAAUUCACAAGGGAACGGAAGGAGCAUCAAGAGGACAAGUGAAUCAAGCCAGCCAUGUUGGAGAGGGCCCUGUGACUAUGCUACUUAAUCUCUGUUUGUGCCUGGACAAUUGAACCUUUCCUAUAGUUUCUUCUUCUGUCUUUCGAAAUUCUCUGUAUUGAAGCAUGCCUCAAGAUGAAUUAGAAUUGUCCUGUUUGACGAAAACUCCCUUAAUAGAAACGGGAAGAAGAUCUGUAUCCCCAUUAAAAGCUCUACUAAUUCCAUAACAGUUCCAGAAUUCUGCAUCAAUUGGCCUCUUAGCUGAACAAACAAACAAAGUCUGUAUGUGCUUCCUAUUUAUCCAUCAAGGGCAAAUUGAAGAUUUCCCUGAUGUCACAUCGCGAGCUUCGUUCCAUCCAAAUCCUUCAUCAUUCAUCAGUAAUUAUAUCAAUUCUAGAAUAGCAGGGGUAGGGUGUGUAUUUUUCAAUUGCGCUGCUACCUUACUGGGAAAUUCAGACCAUUGCCACGAGUCCUCAUCUAUCCUCUCCAUGAAUCUGAAAAUAAUGUCUUGAAGUGGGGCAUUGCAUAGGAAAAAUUAUUGUUUUAGUAGUGAGAGCUUCCCAAUUUCGAUGUAGAGAAGUCAGUUGCAUCCUCCCAAUCAUCUGGCUUGGCCUUAGGCUGAUCAUCUUUAUAUUCUUUUGGAGGGUCAACACACUCGACAUUGCCAUCAUCAUAACUGCUGUUCUGACCUAAUGUGGCAUUCUCAUACCUAUUGCAAUCACCUUCUCCAUUCUCAGUUGAGAGCUUCAAUGCUACAACAUCUAAACAGGUGAGCAACCUCCUCCCCUGAGCCAGUGUUUUUUAGUCCCUCGAAUCAUGAAAAAUAGAAACUGACCAAGCAAAAUCAAGUAAACCAGUAAAACCCAAGCUUUGUCUAAGGCCAAGGCUAACUAAAGUCUCCAAAGUUUCAGGAUCUGAGAACUUGUCAAGGGGGAAGAAAACUUCUCUGUGAAGCAUGUCUUGCAAUUCGGGAACUCGAGGAUCAUAUAGCCUGGAUGGUUGUUGCCAUGACCCAUUGGCAGCCAAAACAAAGGGUGUGAUGGAAAGUGUAAGUUUAAUUGAGGUAUCUUCUUCAAUCAAAAGUUUCACAUCAUGUAAAAUGGCUGAAAGUGCUCCCUGCUAUGAAAGAAAUUCUGGCAUGCAAGUGACUACAUAAUCUUUGUAGAAUUCUGCCCUUGAAGGUUCCUUAACCUCUAAAUACCUUCUUAGGAUGAUUCUUUCUUUUUCUGAAUCCGUGCGUACAAAGUCAUCAUUCAAAAGAUCUUCAGACACACCAUUUGGUUUAAGCAAUUUAGUGGGUUUACUCAAACAUACUAGUUUUCUACUUCUGAACGAUUCAAACAUGGGAAGGUGUUUGAUGACAUCAAUAUGUGUGUCAUCCAUCUGACAUUCAGAGAACCACUUUGACUGAAGAAUAAAACUCCUGAGUUCAUGAAGCUCCCCUUCUGAUGCAUCACAGAAAAGUUUCUGAAAAUUCUCCGGAUUAUGAGCAAGUGCCAGUAAGGCAUUCAAAAUGCUAGUUGCUAUUGGCAGCUGCACAUAAUUUUUCAACUGUGGAUGCUCUAUAGGCAGGUCAUUCCUCAAAAAUAGGCAUCCUACUUUCAAUAACAAAGAACACAUGUUCUCACUCCACCCAUCAUCUUUUAUCACAUUUGAAUUUUCAAUCAGCUUCAAGAGAUAAUUAUUCCCAACUGGUAAAAUAGGCCACUUCGAAAAUUCUGAGAGAUCAUCACAACAUGACUUCAAAUAACUCCAUAGCAGCCUUAACCAUUCUAAACUUGGUUGGCCUUGAUGACCAGGGUUCCAAAUUACCUGUUUGGCAUGCUGCCACUCUGUUGGGAGUAAUCUUAGGAAAAGUUUUUCAAGCAAAUAACAUGUCAGAAAAGAAAUAUUUAAGUCUUCUAUUUGGGCAAUAUCACAUAGCUUCAUAUGAAUUCCUUCCGGAAUUCCAGAGUCUACAAGUUGAUGUGGAAUUGAAUCCUUAAGAAGACCAUACUCAUCUCCACGUGCAAUAUAAAUCCUUUCACCCACUCUCAUCUUGUCAAAUGCUGUAAAUAAACCAUUGGCAAGGGGUACCAAAGGUAAACCAUACAAACUAUCAGAUCGAACUGGCAUUUUCAAGUCAAGUAAGCAAUAUUCAAGUGUCAAUAUCAUUGCAUUCCUGUCCCUAAAUCCACGUUUCCGCCGAAUCAACAGAGUUCUCAGCAACUGAGGUGUCAGGAAACGCAAUGAUGGACAAAACUCCAUAAGCCUCUCGACAAGUGGCUUAGAAGGAGAAACGAGAGGUAGACCAGCAUCAGAUAAUACUUCUACAAGCUCAUGUGCCUUACUGAAAGUAAAAUCAGGAAAAACAGCUUGUUUGACGGAAAUCCACUGGCCCCCUCUAGCUUUUGUAUACAAUACAGAAAGACCAGAAUCAGCAAUAAAAUUAUAGAGUUUCUGCACCAUUGAUGCCCAAGGUUCUAUUCCAAUGCUAGUUGACCAAAAUGAAAAGAACAAAUCACAUGGACCAAGUUCCAAUGCAAUUUUCUCAAGCAAAUGACCAUAAGCAGGGGCAGCAGCAUCUUCAAGCAGGUAAAUGUUCCAUUCCGAGCAUUUUUUUUUCACCCCCUGCCAUGUCAUUGCCAAACCAGAUAUCCCUUCGAUUUGAUGACAAUUCAAAAUAUGCAUUAACAUGUGCUGGAAGACCAGUACUGAUCGGCAGUGGUAAAAAGCAGAAUGCACAACCCUCAAAAUUCUUUCUAUCUUGAAUAGAAGAAGCAGGAACUUUAAAGACAUCAGAAAUAGUUUCACAAGUUCUCUCAGUAUGUGGAAUAUCACUCGAUUCCCUAUCAACCUUGACAGAGUGUAAAUAUGCAGCAACACAAGCCCAAGGAAUUAAAUUAUGAGACUUCGAGGGUACAAAGCUCUUAACUUGCCCAACACCUAAACAUUCACUGGUUAUCCAAAAGUGUGACAUAUUUUUUUGACGAACUUUGCUCUAUCAUCACAAUCUUCUGACAUUUCCAUGGCAAAUUCUUAUCAACUGAUUUACUCAAUUUUUUUAGAAACUAAUCCUUAUCCAUUCCACUGUGAUGAUUUCCAUUAAAAAUGCUGAACAUAUGUAGAGAAUUGGGUUCAAUGUCAGGUUCACUGAUGCAAUGUUUAUGAACACGAUGUACGAGUUGCAUUUCACAACCAGUUUCUUCCUUAACAAAAAUGGAGAUGGUUUUCACAUUACGGACGAAAAGUAAAGCCUCUGAAACAACCUUAGAAAAAGAAGCAAAGAGAGACAUGACAUCUUCAGGUGCAUAGCCUUCUUUCUUUAUUUGGCUUCGAGAAGCAACACUUGCAUUCUUGAGAGGAAAACGAAAGACUGUGCCAGGAAAGGGAUUCUGCAAGUCAUAGCCAAAGUGUAGGAAUGGAAAGAACUGAUCUGGAAAUUGUUCCAGAAUCCUUCUCCCAACAUAUCUAAUUCUUAAACUAGGGUGGGAUGGAUAGAUUCCAGGCAAAUUACAGGCAUGAGGAUCAAACAUAACAAUAUUUUCCCCAGAAACAAAAGUUGGUAUGUCUGUAAAAUGAUAAACACAAUUAAAUCCCAGCCCAAAUCUUCCAAUAGCAAAUGGCUUCUCUAGCUUGCUUUCUUGACCAAUCCGCGAAAUUGCAUAAAGAUCUUGUGGACUGAAAACAGAGUCAUUGAAACAGUACAAAGCAGAGCCUUGCCAAUCUGCCAUUUCAGGAGAGAGGAUGGAAGAAGUCCCAUACUGGGUUUUCCGCGGUCAUCCCAUCUUUAAAUCUUCGAAGCUCUGCUUUCUCUCCCCAAAAAUUCCGGAAUUUAAGAGCCUCAUCUUUAUGCUCAGCAUUUGGACAAGCAUCGACCACUCUAAAAGCUUUCUCUAAAGAGCUGACUAAAAUCCCAAUGAGCAAUGGCCCUCGCUCAAAGAUCGAUAAGCCAUUUUCCACAUUGCAUUCUGAAGUGGCAUUUUUCCAACUAACACGGAUGAACUUUGCUCUAAGAGAACCAACAUUUCAUCAUAAAACCCAAUUGAUCCAAAACAGGAAACUAAGGAAUUAAUCAAAUCUUCUCUCUGGACAUUUCUUCGAACACACCGUAAGCACCUCAAAUAGAUUCAAAUACCAUACAGGAAGAGGGAUAGAGAACAAAUAAAAAAAGAAAAGAUAUAAAACCCGGAGACGAAGAAAGCGGAAGACAUUGAUCAAUAAACAUAAAUAGCUCCACUUCAAAUGUUAAUCCGUGGGCUGGGGACAGAGGAAGCAAUGCAGUAUAGGAUUUUUAACAAAAAAAAACAUGAUCAAAUUCAAGCAUGGAGUCAUGAAUUUCAAAAGACAACAAUGACACAUGCAAGAAUCAGAAUCUAAAACAGGGCAAAGAAGUGAGUAACCAAUCUCAAGAAAUCAAUUUGUGGCCCUUUCCGUCCACACCAAUCAUCAGUAUAUUAAAUGUUCAGAAACAAACACACGGAGAAAUCAAGUAUGGGUAAGAAUUCCAAGAGUGGCGAGAAUCAUACCUGGGCAGCCUUGGUUGCAAUUGCUCUCUUCUCCAAUUCCUUUUUGCUUCUCCUCAAGACGAUCCCUCAAAUCCCCUCUCUCUUUUUCCUCUCUCACAUAUAUAUCAGCCUCCCUCAAAGAACCCCCCAAAUCUACUGGAGGAAAAUCCACUUUCCUUUCAUAUUUUCUUCCCUUUUGUAACCGAUUCCCUCAUGGAAAUAAUAUACGUGCUAUCCUUCUAAAAACACAAUCUCCUCUUUUCAAAAUUCUGUUGAUUUUCCUUCCAAAUAAAUGGCAAUCGUUUCCUCAUGCCCAAAAAAUAAAUAAAUAAAUAAAUAAAGAUACAAAUAGAAAUAAGAAUAAAAUAAAGACAAAAUAGAAUAAAGAUUAAAAUCAAUAAACAUCAUGAAAUUGGAAAUCAAAAGAAAUUUAAAUCACACAUCUAAAAAAUAAAAUAAAUAAACAAAAAAUAAAAAAUAAAAAUAAUUAAAAACAAAAAAUAAAAUAAAAAAAUCAACCACAUGCAAGCCAUACAAGCUAUGUAACCACCAAAAGAAUAUGAGUCAUGCAACCAUGCAAAAACACGAGCCAUGCAACCAUGCGAACCAUGCAAAAACAUCUAAAGGUGACCUAGGGUGUGUCCUAAUGGGCCAAGUGUAUCUAAAAGCUAUCCUAAAAAAAAAUAAGAAAAGCCUAAGUCUAAGUUAGGGCUGCCAAGGGUCACAAUAAGGGAUCAAAUAAUCCCUCAACCAAAAUCUCCGAGGUGACUCAGAAAAAGGUAAGUGGUACGAGUAGUAAUGGGCCACCAAGGAACUACCGUGGAGCACUGGAAGUGAAUUUAAAGACAUGUGCUAAAGGAACAAAAUUGAGGGUCUACAAAUAUGCCCCUCUUCGAUAUAGAUCACGAGUGUAGAGAAUGCAAGUAGAAGCACGAGUAAUGAGCGAAAUGAAGUGAACUAUACCGAAGAAUUAAAGAAGGACCAAAGAUUUUGUCCUAGCACAUGAAGAGGUAAGGUCAAACAAUGGGGUCGCAAUGAGAUGGAAAUAAGUGAAAAGGGUGACUCAAAGUCAUGAAUGAGAUAAAUGAAUAUGGGUCAAGGACAAGAUGAACGAAUCUAGAUUUAAAAUAGGAUAAACGACUCUGGGUCAUAGGCUCAAGGCUCUAAUUGGAAAGAAUGACUCUGGGUCAAGAUGGAAAACGACUCUAGGUCGAGAGCCCUAGGCUCUAAAUGGAAAAGAAAUGACUCUGGGUCAAAAUGGAAAAUGACUCUGGGUCGUAAUGGAAAGUGACUCUAGGUCGAGAGCCCUAGGCUCUAAAUGGAAAAGAAAUGACUCUGGGCCGUAAUGGAAAAUGACUCUGGGUCGAGAGCUCCAGGCUCUAAAAUAGGAAAGAAUGACUUUGGGUCGAAAUGGAAAGUGACUCUGGGUCGAGAGCUCUAAGCUCUAAAAUAGGAAAGAAUGACUCUGGGUCGAAAUGGAAAGUGACUCUGGGUCGAGAGCUCCGGGCUCUAAAUGGAAAGGAAUGACUCUGGGUCAAAAUGGAAAAUGACUCUAGGUCGAGAGCUCUGGGCUUUAAAUAGGAAAGAAUGACUCUGGGUCAAAAUGGAAAAUGACUCUGGGUCGAGAGCUCUGGGCUUUAAGUAGGAAAGAAUGACUCUGGGUCAAAAUGGAAAAUGACUCUGGGUCGAGAGCUCUGGGCUUUAAGUAGGAAAGAAUGACUCUGGGUCAAAAUGGAAAAUGACUCUGGGUCGAGAGCUCCGGGCUCUAAAUAAAUAGCCGAUCAGGAUACUUUCCGACUCAGGGUGUCGGGUCGAGGCCACUCACAAGUGGCUAGAAUGAUGAAAACAAAACAUCUCAGGGAUGUGAAUGAUGCAAAUGACUCCGGGUCGUGAGCUCAGGGCUCGGGGUGCUAUGAAUGACUCUGGGUCAAGAUGGAAAAUGACUCUGGGUCGAUGAAUAGCUCAGGGCUAUGAGCUCCGGGCUCUAUGACUGAUCGGUUAGAAGGAGAAUGCGAUACGCAAACUCCAGGUCAAACCACUCAUGGGCGACCAAAUGAUGAAGGCUUAGCUAAGAGCUGGAAAGACUCUAGGUCUAUGGGAAAUGAUAGCUCAGGGCCACGAGGCUCAGGGCCUAAAGGAAAAAGAAUGCUCAGGGCUGUAAGACUCGGGGUCUAGAAGGAAUGAAUAACUCAGGGCUAUGAGGCUCAGGGCCUAGAAGGGAAUAAUAGAGAAGACCAACUCGAAAGUGGACAUGAAAUAAAUUGGCUCAAAGCCAUAUACUCAAAAUGUCAAGGGUCGGACUACUGAAACCAAGAAGGGAAAUAUGCCUCAGUAUCCAGGGUGCUCACACUGCUGAAACAACCAGUAAACCAAUCAUCUGCUAGAAUCAAUGGGUCAGAAACUGAUGCAUCGUGACAAACCUCUGAAAAGUCUAAACUGAAGGAACCCUCUAUGUCUGAAAAGCUGCUCUGUCGGUGAAUCUCAAAAGGUAAAUCUCAAAGAGUGUAUAUCAUGGCUCAUCUAAAAGUAAACCUCAAAGUGCAUAAAAUGCUGCUCAUCUGGAUAAUCCAAUCGACAAGGUAACAAUGACGAAAACAAAUCUGUCUCAUGAACAUCUGGCUAAAGGAUCCACCCACGCUCCUCGGGUGAAACCUGAUGCGAUCCAUUUCUAUCUCAACAAAUCCAUGUAGGGAGGCCCUGAUACAGUCGAUCGUCAGAAGCUCUGGGCUAGUACUCAAUCUGAAACCAAACUGGCCACUGUCCCAAUCUCAAGGAUACUCAAAGAAAAUGGGCAAAUAUGCCCCAGUAUAAGAUCCGAUAUCAAAGUCAUGAGGUAAACAACCGACACUAAUCAUCCAUCCUCAUGCCACUGCCCAAAUAAAAUCUCGUCAAGGAGGGGGGAAUAUGCCCCAGUAUGGAUAUCCGAUGUCGAAGUCAUGAGGCAAAAAAAAAAAAAAAACAAAAAAAAACAAAAAAUGAUCAUCCAUCCUCGUACCACUGCCCAAACACAAUCUCAUCAAUGAGAGAGGAAUAUGCCCCAGUAUGGAUGUCUGAUGUACAAUAAAGAGUCUGUCAAAAUCAACCAAACAUCUCUAUAACUAUGAAUAAGGAUAGUCAUACCGCACAAUAACAGAUAGGAAUCUCGAGGGAAUGGGGGAAUAUACCUCAGUGUGAAUAUAUAAUGCACAACCAAAGGAUGAAUCCAACAGCAUCAAUCAACUGUCCUCAGCUCAACAAUAAUACGCUAAGAAGUCAGAAUGAAGUAUCGACCAAUGCCUCAAGGGAGACACUCUAAAUCUAAUCUCAAAUGAAUAGCCAAAAUGAUGAGGAAUGUGGUAAUCUUAGGAGUAGAAGCACGUCUCUAAUGAAUCCCUAACUGAAUCCAACAUGAAUCUGGUAACCUCGAAAUGGGGAAAUAUGCCCCAGUAUGCCAGAUCUAUACACUGCACUGAAAACUGCCUCCAACUCAGUAAUAAUCCACUAGUCUAUCUCAGAAAUACUCCGCAAAUAGAACCAACUAGGGGCUCAAUGAUGCUACACUAGAACUGAUAUAGUCUCAACAUACCCCACUAGGGAUCUCUGAUCGGUGAAAAUGCCCAGACUCAAAGAAAGUGCUCCACUAGGGGCUCAUCUCAACCAAAGGAAAGGGGAAUAUGCCCCAGUAUGGAUAUCUAAUGCACAACCAAAGGAUGAAUCCAAUAUCCUCAACGAACUGUCUCCGAACCCAAAAAUCCAUCAAACACCAAUACGCCAAGCAAGAGAGAAACCAAAUGCUUCCAAAAGUAUCUUCCAUAAAAGAGAACAUAGUAACGACCAUACUUCAACCAAUCUACAAAAGUCUGUCCAAGUGAAGACUGUCAAAGAUAACAUCUGAUCUCAUGGCCUCAGGGUGGUCUUAAGACACGGGACGUAACGUAGGCCAAGGUGAUAGGGUGAAAGAAAUGAAGGGAAACUAGGCUCAAAUACCCAAUGAUCAAACCCGUACCCUCGUGUACAAGAUGUAAUGCAUAGAAAAAUCUCAUGAGUCAUGGACUUAGAAGUAACCAAAGGGAAUGUCGAUAACGAAAUGAGAGAAAUGAUGAAUGGUCAAACCAUCAAUGAAAUAUGUGAAUGAUGUGAAGAAGGUAUCAAAUCAGUAAUGGGUAUCAAUAUGUAGGGAAUGAAUAAAAGGUGGAACAAAGAUCUGGAAAGAGGUAAUGGGAUAUAAAAGAAAGCAAUGAGAAAGUGGAAUGAGUGAUGAUCAACCCGUGUUAGUACAAUAAAGGAAAGUCAUAUCACCAAUGAUGGAAUGGUGGGUAUAAGACAAUGAUUCGGAGACCCUAGUAAAAAGGUCACUCAUCUCUCAUACCUAAUAUAUAUCAAUCAUGAUCCAAGCAGCAUAGGAUCUCAUAGAACUCUCACAUGAACCCUCGACACUCCAAAUGUGUAACAAAAGUGCCUCAAGAGUGAAAAAACUCAUAAAAACUCGCAAAGACCCACAAUGACAAAUAUACCCAAUAAAUGAACCUCAAGAGGUGGCAUAAAUGCCCAAUGGAACGAGAUACCAUACAUGAGCAUAUCAUUGUGCUUUUCUUUUCUUUUCUUUUUUUUUUUUUUUUUUUGAUUUUUUUUUCAAAUUUUUUUUUUUUUUUUUUUUUUACACAUGCUCUGAUCAUCCAUAAAUCAAACUCCAAUGGGAAAAAUAUAAGGAACAAACAAACUCUCUCAAAUCACUUAUGAAUACAUGAACCAUAUCCCAUGAGAUAACCUCUCAAACCAAAAUCUCCAAAUCAAUGUCAAAUGAUGGAAUGAAUAGAGUGAUAUGACUGCCCUCUUUGCACUAAGAUGUGAAGAAUCAUCAACCCAAGGAAGAGAAUAGAUAAGAUGAAGCGAAUAAUGAUAAAGACAAGAAAGAGAAUGAAUAUGUGGUGAUAAUAAAAUAGAACAAAUAGGGUGAUAAGAGGAUGGUAACAAAAUGAGAAGAUAGACCUAUAAGUCUAAAGCUCAUGAGACUUUCCUAGCAAAGCAUGCAUAUACAUCAAAGGGCCCCAACCCGGGUAUAGAAAUGGUAAUCAAAGCUAUAAGAAAAAAAUAAGGCUAUAACAUACCACGCGAAGCUCAAUGGGCUAGCAACGGUCUAAUAUAUAGAGGUGAUAAAGUAUGAGGCUAACCGAAAUGAUGGUCACCCAUCCUGCGACCACGGUCUCAAACAUAAUACUUCUUCAGCUGAUCCACAUUGGUAGGCUCUGAAAAUUGAUUUCCAUCUAAGUCUGUCAACCAUGCAGCCCCUUAUAGAGUCAACUCUCGGAUAACAUAAGGCCCACUCCAACUAGGUCUAAACUUUCCCCUAGGGUCUCCAAUCAAACCUCUGAGAAUCCUCAAAACUAAGUCCCCUUUUUGCAAUGGUCUAGGCUUAACCCGUUUCUUGAAGGCACGAACCAUCUUUCUUUGAUAGGCCUGAACAUGAUCUGCUGCUCUCAAUCUCCUCUCAUCUAAAAGGUUAAGCUGAUCAAAUCGAGCCUGAGCCCACUCUGUCUCAGAAAUCAGCUGCUCAAGGGCUACUCUCAAUGAACCCAUCUCUAUCUCGACUGGCAAAACAGCCUCCAUACCAUAUACUAGGGAGUAUGGCGUAGCUCUUGUAGAGGUGCGAAAAGAGGUACGGUAUGCCUACAAUGCAAAAGGAAGCUUCUCUGACCAAUCUCGAGAAGUCCCAACCAUUUUCCUCAAAAUCCUCUUAAUAUUCUUGUUUGCAGCCUCUACUGUCCCGUUGGUCUAUGGCCUAUAUGCUGAAGAUCUAUGAUGUCGGAUGCUAUACUCCUACAACAAAGUGUCUACCUCAGCUCAGAAGUGCACCCCUCUGUCUGAAAUUAGCUCAUGAGGAACCCCAUAACGACAAAUAAUGUGUCAUCUGAUGAAACUGGCAACCCUAGCGGAUGUCAACCUCGCAUAUGAUGCGGCUUCCACCCACUUGGUGAAAUAAUCUAUGGCAACCAGGAUGAACUCGUGACCACUGGAAGAUUUUGGUGAAACCUUCCUAAUAAUAUCAAUACCCCGUACUGAGAAUGGCCAUGGCGAGGUCAAGGCGUGUAACUCUGAUGGUGGUGCAUGUAUGAGAUCACCAUGAAUCUGACACUCUGGGCAUUUCUGGACAAACUGACAACAAUCUAUCUCCAUAGUCAACCAGAAAUAACUCGUCCUCAUAAUCUUACGGGCUAGCAUGUGUCCUCCCAUAUGCGGACCACAAACUCCUGAAUGAACCUCUCUCAUCACUCGAUCUGCAGAGGCUCGAUCUAAGCAUAACAGAAGCAUACCAUCAGCUGAUCGUCUAUACAAAGUAUCUCCGCAAAUCACAAAUCUAGUAGCCAAAUGCCUCAAUGCUCUCCGAUCCUUGGCAGUGGCUACCUCAGGCUAUGUGCCAGAUCUGAGAAACUGAUAAAUGUCAUGAUACCAAGGUAGAUCAUCCUGGUCCUCUAUCUCUCCAAUCAAACAACAAUAAGCGGGUGCAGACCUCGACUCAAUCAGUAAUGGACGUAUGACUACAUCAAUCAGAAUGUCCAUGAAGGAAGCUAAAGUAGCUAAGGCGUCAGCAAAUCGGUUCUGCGCUCUAGGCAAAUGAACAUAUCUCAAGUCGUCAAAUCUCGCAACCAACAACUCUAAAUAUGCAUGAUAUGGUCUAAGCUUCACGUCCCUAGUCUUUCAAUCCCCCUGAAUCUGCCUGAGUACCAGAUUGGAGUCACCAAAUACCUCCAUCUGUCUAAUGCCAAGCUCUAAUGCAGUCUCUAAACCCAGGAUGCAAGCCUCAUACUCAACUAUGUUAUUCGUGAUAGGAUGUCGAUCAUGAAAAGCCAAACAAACAGAUCUCGGAAUAUGAUCGCCCUGAGAGGACACUAACAAAACACCUAUCCCAUACCCUAACUGAUUGGCUGCACCAUCAAAGUACAAGCACCAUCCUGAUAAGCUAGUCAUAGCAACAAACUCCUCAUCUGGAAAAUCAUCAUCAACUGGUCUGUCUUCAGAUGUCGGUAGUGAAGCUAAGUGAUCGAUGACAAUACUUCCCUUAAUAGACUUCUGAGAAACGUACUGAAUAUCGAACUCUGUCAAAAGUACGAGCCAUCUCAUCAAUCUACCAGUCAAUGCAGGUCUAUCAAACAAGUAUCUCAACGGGUCUAGACAGAAUAUCAAAUGCACUGAAUACUCUGUCAUAUAAUGCCUCAAUCUCCUGGUAGCCCAAACUAGUGCUAAGCAAAGGCGCUCAAUCAUAACAUAUCUCAUUUCAUACUUCAGCAUCCUCUUACUCAAGUAGUAAAUAGCCCGUUCCUUCCCUGAGUCAUCAAUCUGAGCUAACAUACAUCCCAAGGCCAUGUCUGAAACUGACAAAUAUAGAAGAAGUGGACGUCCUGGUUUAGGAGACACUAAAACAAGAGGAUAAAGCAAAUACUCCUUGAUCUUCUCAAAUGCAGACUGACAGUCAUUAUUCCAAACUAUUGGCUAGUUCUUCCUCAAAAGAAGAAAGAUAGGCUCACAUAUGUCUGUCAAUCUGGCUAUGAAUCGAUUGAUGUACUGUAAUCUGCUUAGAAAACUCCUGAUCUCUUUCUCAAUCUUUGGUGCAGGCAUGUCAAGUAUGGCUUUGAUUUUAUCUGGGUCAACCUCUAUGCCUCGCUCACUAACCAUAUGCCCCAAUAAUUUCCCAGAAGUCACUCCAAAGGUGCACUUCUUGGGAUUCAACCUCAAUCUAAACUUCCAUAUCCUCUCAAAGAAUCUCUCUAAAGCAUCUAGGUGAUCUGCUCUACCUCAGGAUUUCACAAUCAUAUCAUCCACGUAAACCUCGACGUCCCUAUGCAUCAUGUCAUGAAACAAAGUGGUAGCGGCUCUCUGAUAAGUGGCUCCUGCGUUUUUCAACCCAAAUGGCAUAACUCUGUAACAGUAGGUACCCCACUCAGUAAUAAAGGUUGUCUUCUCCAUAUCCUCUAGAGCCAUCAAAAUCUGAUUAUACCCUGAAAACCCAUCCAUGAAAGACAACAUCGAAUGGCCUACGGUGCCAUCAACCAACAAAUCAAUGUGUGGAAGGGGAAAGUCAUCUUUAGGGCUGGCUUUAUUGAGAUCUCUGAAGUCAACACAAACCCUAACUUUGCCAUCCUUUUUAGGAACAGGGACGACAUUAGCCAACCACUCUGGAUACUCAACUACUGAUAUGAACCCAACAUUGAGUUGUUUUUUAAUCUCCUCUUUUACCUGUAGACUCCAACGUGGAUGCAAUCAUCUCAAUUUCUGCUUAACUGGCCUAGCAUGUGGUAGGAUAGGUAAAUGGUGCUGGACUAUAGAGGGAUCAAGACCUGGCAUGUUCUCAUAAGACCAUGCAAAGACAUCCAAGUAUGACCUGAGUAAAUGGAUGAGUCUAUCUCUCUCAUCUGUAGAUAGGGGUGAACCAAUCUUCAGCUCUCUAGGCUGAUCCUCUGUGCCAAAAUCAACAGUCUCAACAUCCCCUGUAGCAGUUGAAACUCUCUCAUCCAUGGGAUCAGAGUCAUGAUCAGAAGAGUCCCUAUCCGAAUCGGGCCAUGCAACUUCAUCAUUUAUAUCAAAUAUCUGUGAAGUGGGUGAAUGGGGUGCAGAUAUAGAGGUACUAUCACAAGAGACAGGCGAAUACUCAAAAAUGCUCAAAUUCAUAAAUGAAGCAACAGAAACAUCGUCAGAGCGGGAGACAAAUCCCGAUAAAACAUCAAAAGAAAGAUGUGGGUCCACAAGGUCAGAUGCUCCUUCAACUGAGCUAACAAUGCCCUCAAACAAACUACUAUCAUCCUCUGGAAGCCCUGGAACAGGAAGAGUCUGAGUCCCCUCAAGAACCUCAAUGGUAGACACCCCAAACAUAUCAAAUGCUGAGACAGGCUGAAGUUGAACAAUGCUGGUAAUCUGGCCCAUGGUCAUCAUGUCCAUCUCAUCUCGGUACUCAUCAUGGGAAACAACUCCAUCAAUCAUCUCAGUAGAAUCAACCAUCACCCCAUCACCAGUGAUCUCCUCUGGAAAGCAUAGAGACAACAUGCUAGCUCGAUCUGGAGACGUGGGAGUAAUAGUCAAAGGGAAAGAAGAGUCGGGAGCCCCAUCACUCAACUGUAGCUGGUGAAAUAGAUGCUGAAGAUCGGUCUCUCUAUCUGUAUGAACCACACUAUCAAUCUCCUCUAGACGAGGUCGAGUCUCUGAUCCUCUGACAAAGUAGUCAACCAAACUCAUCCUAUAGGGUCGAAUAGGAUAGUCAAAUGGUGUGCGGGAUAAACGGGCUCUCACCUUCUCCUUGCGCAGCCACGCCAUGUGACGGUAAUCGGCCUCAGUGGGGAUGAAUCCAAGUCCAAAUGUCAUAUCAUGGUCAAUGGCAGCUAUGAACUCGCUCGGUCCCUACUGACGUUGUCCUAACCCCAUGCCAGGUAGAAAGGUCAUACCCCUCAUCAUAUCAAGGACCACUGUGCUACUGUGUUGAUCAAAUGACAUAGCCCCAAAGUCUCUACAAAAAUCCUCAAUCUCGAGAGUCUGUAUCUCAUCAAAAGUAAACCCAGUCAGAAGUAGGUCGUCCUCAUUGUGACUGAUCUGAAGUACUGGCUCAGAAGCGGCAAAUAUAUCCCUGGUAGAGCGCACUGUGAUGACCUGCCCAUCAUGAAUAAACUUCACCUUCUGAUGAAGGGAAGAAGGAAUAUCUCCAGCUACAUGAAUCCAUAGUCGGCCCAGUAGCAGGUUAAAGGAUAUAGGGAUCCUCAAAACCUGGAACAAAGUGGAAAAUGUGGCUGGAUCAAUCUGCAAAUCAAUCAUCAAGGUACCCAUAACCUCCUUCUUGGUGCUAUCAUACGCCCUGACUGUCUGAGUAGAAGGACCAAAAUCUGAAGGCGCAAAACCAAGGGCUAUAACAAUGGCUAAAGGGCAAACAUUCAGGGCUGAGCCGUUGUCCAGUAGGACAGACGGGACUCUACGGCCUGAACAUCCAACUGUGAUGUAUAGAGAACGCACGUGGUCUAAACCAUCAGGUGGCAAGUCAUCAUCUGAAAAUACAAUGCAAGUGGCCCUGCCAGCCGUCAUCAUAUGAAUCAAUCCCUCUGGAGUGGUGGUAGUCUCUACUCUGAUCUGACUCAAGGCUCGAAUCAAAGCAUCUCUAUGAGUACUGGACGAUGCUAAUAAACUCCAGAUGGAAAUGCGAGCCUGAGUGCUCUGUAGUUGUCUCAAAACCUCAUCAUCCUCUCUCCUAACCUCCUCAUGAGAGGCUGUACCCUCAAAUGGUCUGACUGCUGGUGGUGGUGGUUGAGCUAUCCUCCCACUACGAGUCACAAUCUGUAUCUCUCUCCCUACUGAGUCAUCAUCCUCUGGCCAUAAAGUGAAUGGGACAAAAGCAUCCUGACAUCCGAUAACUAAAGGUGUAGGAUGAGUCAACUGGAAUGGUGCCUCGUCCGGGAUCAAACUGAAUGGUGCAGGAGUUUGAGGGACCACUGAAACCCCAUCAACCUCAUAACUGUCAUGCAAAACAAUCGGCUCGGGUAAUCUAUCAUCCCAACUCAACAUGUGUAUACUGUCAUCCUUUAUAAGGUCCAUGUGAUGAAUAUCUCCUGAAGGUGGAUGCACUGUGUGUGUAGAAUGAGCAGGAAGAGGGUUAGUGGUCACACUUGGCUGCCCUAAGUUGACCAAACCCUGUGUGGACCCCACAUUUCGUGCUCAUAUGUUUUCCACUCGAUGGCGAGCUCGAUUUUUAUUUGAAAAAUUGAUUUGUCAUUGAUUAAGAAAAAUGACUUGGAGUCGCCACUUAUUUUUUUUUUUUUUUUUUUAAAGGGUAAACAAAAUAAGAAAGAAAACCCUAAGUGUGACUCCUUAUUUUGGAAAAGGUGAUCUACAAAAAUCGGAUCGGGUUCGGGGGUCAGGUUACUUAUCGGGAAGGUACGGUAAAGACCGUAGCACCCCUCUAAGUCCCUAAAGUCGGGUCUCUACUAAUGAGAUGAAGCUAACAUGGCAAUCAAUGAGAGAAUCGAUGAAUACUCAAAUCGAUCAUGCACAAUAUGAGAAGCAAAGCAUGUAUAAAGAAAGAGCAAAAUAUGAAUAGAUGCGUACCUGGGCGGCAAUCACGAAUGCGCUAUCAUGAAACAUGGUUAGUGAACAACGAACAGAUAUAAUUAAGCGCAUAUCAAGGAAUAGAGUAAAUAAAUCAUGCAUGACAAAUAAAUCAACCAAACAGUCAAUCAAUCAUUCAAUCAAUCAUAAAGUCUCAUAUGUAGGGCCCUCACCAAAGCCCAUUUAUUUUUGUAUGAAUUAAUCCCAUGAAUUUCCAUCAUUCGGAAUUACGGGAAUAAAUUCAUACUUAUUUUAAAACAUUUUUUAAAAAAUAAAGAAAAUUCGAAAGUGGCUUGCCGAAAAGAAAAUGACGGCCAAAUUUUAUUGAAAAUGGGAUUUUGAUACCUAAAACUCUAAGAAUGAAAAUUUUGGAGUUGAGAUUAUUUCUAAAAAUGAGGAUCUGGAAAAUUAUUUAAAAAAAUGAGGUCUGAAAAAUUAUUGUCAAAGCCGAAGAGGAUAAAAAGGGAAGAUGUCACGUGACCAAAAGUGGUCGUGCAACUGGAUACGUGCAUGCAUGGGACUGGGGUGGAAUGAGGGGAUUGGAUUCUUCAAGAUUGGAGACUGCUUGGAAGCAGUCUGUAGCAUCAUCUAUUCGUCCAUCAUCUUUGUGAGCCAUUCCCAGGUAGUACCAAGCCAUUUGAUUGGUAGGCUACAUCCUCAAUGCAUCUGAAAGUAGGUUUCUCGCAGUAGGAAAUGCCUUCGAGCCCAUCUUCAACAACAGAGCACCAAUCAAGAUCUUGCAAGGCACAUAACCCGGAUCUAGUAAAAGGGCAUUGAUAUAAGCAGUCAAAGCUUCUUGGAUUUGCCCAUGACCUUCAAAUUUAACACCUUCUGCAUGCAGUAAGUCCACUGAGUAUUCUUUCAACUCUCCAGCUUUUCCACUGAGUAUUCUUUCGACUCCCCAACUUUUCCACUGACCACCAGCAUAGUUACUACCCGUGAAAAGAGCAUGAGCAAGGGAAUAGUCCUUUGCCUUGUAAUGCUCAAAGCCAUGUACAGGCAAGGCAUCUAUCGCAAGCUCAUCAUUAUUCCAUAUGACUAUGUGUACUUCAGGUCUUUACGCAUUUCCCUGGCGUGAUGGAAUGGUGCUGCUAAAUUCAUUCUCUCCAUCUUCUUCUCUAGGAAUAUAGGCUGGUUCAUGCUGGACUUGGAAACAUUCUUGUGAGUCUCAUUGGUUCCAUUAGACUGAUUUGCUCUUAUUGAAGCAAUCUUCACAGAUGUUCCCCAACCAAUGACCAAGAGAGUAUCAUCCUGCCACACUAAGCGAGGGACCAAAAUCUCAAGACGUGAGCUUCCUCGGUCUCUGAAACUUCCUCUUUCUGCAAUUUAGCCGUGGCUAAAUCUUUGGUUUCCGCUUCCAUUGAGUGCUCUUCUAAUUGGUUCAAAUCUGGAGUUUCAUCAUCUCAUGACGUGAUGUCAAUUGCCUCAUCACAUUCAUCUUGACUACCAUCUAAAAUUCUAGCUUCCUCUGCUUUUAUCUGUUCAACAUUCUCGGACUCAGAAACAGCACGUAUGGCGGGCUCCCCUUCUGUUGCAUGUUGAAAUAGUGCUUCAAGCUCAUGAGUUUCUAGAUUUUCACUAAUCGAAUGUUGCUCUGAUUCAUUCAUGUCUGGAGCUUCAUAGUCUGCCAUGGUGACAUCAGUUGUCUUGACACAGCUAAUUUGGUCACCCUCUUAGACCGUAUCCUCUUCUACUUCAAUAUUUCCAUCAUUCUCUGACUCAGGAACAGCAUUAGUGGCAGCCUCCUCUUCAAUUACCCCUUGUAGCAGUUCUGCACCCUCAUUCAUUUAAUGAUAAACCCACUGCUACUAGAACCAUAUUGCUAAUUCCGCUGUUAUAGCAGCAAGAAAUUCGAAUCUGUGUGCAGGCAAGACACCUUCAUCAAUUUCGGUACCAAUAGAUUCCCCUACAUUCCCUCGCUAACCCAGAACCAAACUCUCACCACCUGAGAGAUAAUUGAACGAAUGGAAUCGAAGUGCUUCUGGAGGGUCAAGGCAGCCAAGAGUGUAGGGUAUGUUACCAAGGAUGGUUUACAUAUUUCUUGGGUUUCAGAGAUUGAUGAUGGAAUAAAGCAUGUAUUGGACUAAGGACAUGGAGGUUUAGAAAAAGAAGUGGGUAGAUGAAUGUGAAGGAUGCGUGGUGCAGGAGAUGGGUAUGAGAAGGUUGAAUAAUGAGAGCAAAGGACUUUGUGUGUAUUAAGUGAUGGAAUGAAAAUGGAUGAUGUGGGGCAUGGUGAGGAAAAGAAUGGAUGAGUUGGGUAUUGGAGAGUAGGGUGGUGAUUAGUGAGGUAUGCCAGAUGGUCUUAGCUAAUGAAGACAAACAUGGUAUGGGUAUGGUGAUAAUAUAGAGAGAGAAGUGGGUAUGUGAGUAAUGGAAGUGUAUGAGGGGUAUAGAAGACGGGUGACAUGGGUAUGCAAAUGAGAAUGGGUGGUAAGAAAAAAUGGGUAAGCUGAUAGACAUGAUGAAGUGAAGACAUUGGAGAUGGUGGGCAAAAGAGAAACGAAACAGGGGUAUGGAUGUGGCCCCUUGAUUAGGUAUGAUCUCUUGGCACUCUCCCAUCAUUUUAUGUACUUCAAUUGUUUCACUUGCAGUGUUCUGACUUAACACCAGAACCAUUCCCACCAAACACUUUAGUUUGAUCCUCUUCAAUAAUGGUCAAACAUUGAACAGAAGAUUCAAAAUCUCCAGUCUUCUGCAUUGACAGAUUUUCUGCAUUGUGUUAAUUUCUCACCACCAAGAUUUGACUCAGCAACUCCACAGACUGCACCCAAACAUUGCACUUUUACCUCGUCAUGCUUACUGACAUCAAGUACUUAAGAACCUUUAUCCUGGUUUUAAAGGCAAGAAUGUGUUUCUGUUAUAUCGAUUUCAACUCUGCUUGGAUCUGAAACUUCAUACAAAUCCUUGUUUUCAGUUUCAGGUAAGUUUCUCACGGGCACAUUCAUAUCAUCCUCUGCAGCAACCUGGGAUUCAAAUAGACUGCUUGCAAAUUCAAGGAUACUCAUCAUAAUAUUUUCCUUUCCUUCCCUGCUUUCCUUUUCUGUUAUCUCACAUUUUGUUAUUUCAACCUUGUCAUUGUCUCCUCAAGAGCUUCAGAACAGAGCCCCAUCCCAAGCUCAUGUAGGUCAAUGUGAACAUCUGGGUCAAUACCAACAUGGGUUCUGAACAGUUGAGUAAAUCUAAAGAGCCAACCAUCCAUCUCCACUUCCUUGGGCUCAAGGUCAUCCGAAGCUCCAGCUUUCUCCUUUGGAGUUUCAUUCUCUGUCUUUUCAAUCUCUGCACCCACAGUGUCCAGCACUGAAUCACCUAAUGAAGAGUGAGAGUCGUUAUCCUCUCCCUCAAGCCCCUUACUCUCAGGAGGCCUCUUCUUCUCUGUUAACACUCGCAGCUGAACGUCCAAACCCUGUUCUCGAAGUGACAGUAUCUCAUAUCUGAUGGGUAGGCAACAUUGCCCCUUGCUAAGACCCAAAUAUGUACCCUGAACCACCAACAGUAAAAAAGAUAACACUAAUGCCCUGAUAUGGCCAUCACCAAUAUUUUUUAGCAUAAUAACCCAGCAAUCUCACGAACAAACGAAACAAACUGCUACCCAAACUCAGAAGCUGUGCCCAUAAAGAAAUCAAAGUAAUGCUAGCCAAAAACUCUUCUCCUUAGAGGGCAUGAAUGGCCAUCGAGAACAGAACAUGAACAGCAAGGAUGCAAGCACAAAAACAGAGUAUCAAUUGAACCAAAGAAAACACCGACCCGAGCUCUAUUUCAUAUUGGAGUCAAUAGGCACAUGUAUAGGUGGGAAAAUCAGUGGAAAUAGGACCCAAAUACAUGACUCAGACACCCAAUGGAGAGAUAAAAAGGAAUCAGAUCACUCUUAAAUCAGUUUUUCAUGAAGAACAAGGCACAAAUUAUUUAUAACACAAUCACAACAAUAUCAAGGAAAACUACUGCAACAAGUAUAUGGUCCAGAAAACGCACCUGAAAGGCUUCCCUCCAACUGAAAUGAGCAAGGAGACUGUUGUGUUUUUCCUCUCCUCACGGUUUGCUUCCUCCGGGAUCCCCCUUCUCUCCGUAACCAGCCUCCAGGAACCUCCCCACUCCUCUGGUUUCUCUCUCUGGUUUCACUCUAAAAAAAAAUGCUCUGUCCUGAUUACUACCAAAAAGUGCUAUUUUUUAGACCUAAUUAUAAUGGUUUUAAGCACCUUUGAGUAGUAAUCAUAUUCAUUUAACCCAAUUAAUUCAUUAAGGUCCUUAGUAAUUGGUUUUAACCAUUUUGUGGCAAGUUUACAUGUUUUUAUCAGCUUAUGAAUCAAUUCAAGCAUGCCAAAUGAUGGAGGAGCUACUUGAACAAGUUAUGGCAAAGCUUUUAGAAGCUCAAAUUCAUGAAGAACCAAAGCUUUGAAGUCCUUUUCCAUAAGCAAAUCCGGAAUGCAAGGAGGGAAAGCAAAGAGAAAUCUGCCAUGAAGCAUUCUUGAUGACAGUCAUGUCAGCCACUUUUGGAGCACUUUCUGAAGUCCAAUUGAUGCAUUCUAUAUACCAUUUCAAAUCUCAGGAAGUCAACAAUCCACUGCUUCAAACGGUGUGCAAUUUGGAGUUGAAACGAAGAAGUUACAGCCAUUGCAAGCCAAUCACUCCAACCUGAAGGAAGCAUUUUGCAAAGUGUUGCGAAAUCACCCUUUUGUUGCGAAGUGAUUCCGCAGCCUUUUUGUAUAGUAGGGUGUAUUUCCUUCUGAAGUUGCCCGACAUAUACCGCGAGAGGGAAGCUUAGAACCUCAAGGUGGAAGCCAACUUUGCAGCCCUGCGAAGAUAGCAUGUUGUUGCGAAAUGAUUUCGCAGCCCUCUUGAGUGUCUACGAAAUCUCGCAGACACCAUUUUCUCUUGCGAAAUGGUUCCUGGAGCCUCCCGAUAUUUGCUACCGACAUUGGGAGAUAUUUUGCAUCAGAUUUUUGUUGUCUAAAUCCCAAAAUACUCCUUGUAAGCCACCAAUUACAAGAUUCCUUAGCUUUUAAGUUAGUAAAAAGAGUAAAUAUGUAUGUAAUAAUUAGUUUUAUAUUAUUUUCUUUAUAUAUAGCUCUCGGGAGCUUGUUCUCGAGAGAGGAUCUAAGAUAGAAAUAGAUAGAUAUAUCAUAUAUAGAAUCAACGAACAGAGCACUUGCUCUGUUUUUCUUAUAUAUUCUUGUUUUCUCGUUAGUUUUCUUGCUAGCCAAACAUUCUCUAAGGAUUUUUCCUCAGAGGAUGAGAGGCUAGGCUCUUUGUCUCUUGGAGUGAGGAAAGCCGAGUAAGUUUCCACAUGCAUAAUUUGGAAGUUUUGUUGUUUUAGUUUUUAAUGAAGAGAAAUUGUGACCCUUUAAUGGUUUUUAUCUUUUUAGUUAACUUAAAAUGCCUUUAAAUCAUCCUGGGCCAACACUUGGUAAGGCAAGUGAUCUCCAUCCAUGGAGAUUCACUAGUUUACCCCUUGCGAGCCUUUGGGAGGUGACUUGAAGGUAGGAUUUUCUAGAAUAGCCAACACUUGGUAAGCUUUUGGACUCCAAGGAGACAUCCAUUAGUUAUCUCUUGCGAGCUUUUGACGGGUAAUCCAAGGUUAAAGAUCACCUUGAAUGGCAAGUGCUAGGUGAGAGGUAUGAGCCAUUGCAAGGUGCAUCAGUGAGAGGGAUUUAGUGUUUGAACCCAUUAAUGGGAAGCAUCUGUACAACACCGGUUGGAGAAGGAACUAUAUGUUAAUUCUCUAAUGCGAGGAAAAGAAACAAGUGACCGGAACUCCCUUUUUGUAUGAGGAACCUAAGCCUAGUGAUCUAAACUCUAAGAAACACUUUUCUUUGUAAGUAAAAUCAGUUACUAUUUGUGGUUAGUUUAAAACCAAACAUUUUCCAACUCAAGUUUAUGUUUUCUUUUAAAGCUAACCUUGAAAUGAAAAAUCACCAAUUCAGCUUUGAAUUAAUAUCAUUUGCAAAGUGAAAACCCAUCCCAGUGAACGAUCCUAGAGCCACUAUGCUAUAGUAGCUUUGUCUUUGCUACCCUAGUAUAUGGUGUAAUAGGUUAUAAAUUUUGUUGAUUACUACCUCAAUCAAGGAGCACCAGCUGGACACGAAUCAGCUGAGACACCAAUUGGGCACGAAUCAAAUGGCGCCGCUGCCGGGGAUCGAACCCCGAAUCAAAUGGUGCCAUUGCCACUGCCGCUGCUAGGGAUGAAUCAUGUCCUCUCUCUCCUGAAACAUGCUCCAUUUUUCUCUCUCUGGUUUCACUCUAAAAAAAUGCUCUGUCCAGACGACACCCCCUUCCUGUAGCUGGCAACCUCUCCAAAAGCACCUCACCUCCAUCUGCCAGCAUCUGCUCCUCUAACAGCCAGUAUAUUCCCAUGUACGCGUCACCUCCUGAUUGGCUCCCCAAACCACUAUUAUGAUUCUCUCAUGGCUUCUCAGGUGCUGACACGUGGCUGACCAAGGCUCUUCCACGUGGUAAAAUUGAGCUGCAAGGUAGGAAUGACCUAAAAGGGGGUCUACACCCUGAUCUAUCAAAUCCUGAAUAGCAUGUCUCAAAGCAGUGCAAUGGUCUGUGUCAUGCCCUGGUCCCUGAUGGUAGGAACAAUGUAAGUCCAUCCUGAAGCGAGGUGGUAUGGGUUGGGGUAAAGGCCUGGAUGCUAAUGAAAUCAGUAAUCCACCCUCUGUGAGCUUCUGAAAAGCUUGAUUCAAAGGCAUACCCAACUGAGCAAACUGACGUGGUGGCCUCUGCACAUAAGUAGUGGUCUGUGGAGCUCGGGGUCAAGUAUAUGGGGCAAGAGGCCUCUCUGCGACGUGUGCAGCAAAAACAGGUUGUGAGUCCGGAUGCAGAUAAGUAGGAGUCAUAGGUCUGGAAGGAGUAGGUGGUCUGUAAUGGGCAUUGAGGUGAAGGUGGAUAGUAGUACCCAAGAGUCUGCCUAACUGUCUGAUAGCGUCUAGAAGGUCUCAUCCUUGCUGAACUGAUAGCACCAACAUCUCCUGAUCUCUGUCCUCCUGAAGGCCUCUUCCCUUUAGAAUCAGUAGGGGAGGACUCAGACCAUAAUCCUCUAGCAAUGCCCUCCUCUAUACCAUACAAAGCCUGUACCAAAGACCCAAAAUCUGUGUGAGGGAAUCCCAUCAAGUGUCUGGCGAAUCUAGGUUGCAAGCUCCUCAUGAUCAUGCUAAUCUGAUCUCUCUCUGAAGGACAAUCUAUAAUCUAUGAAAUCUUCUCCCUCCAGCGGGAGAUAAAUGAAGUAACUGACUCCUCUGGCCUCUGUCUCAAAGCCUCCAACUCUCUCCUCGAAACAUCAAUGACAGUGUUAAAUGCAAACUGUCUCAAAAACUCCUGGGCUAAGUCAUCCCAAGUCCUACGGCGUGAUACCUCCAAUGAAGCGAACCAACGCUGUGCAGCACCACUCAAUGACAUAGGGAAAAGCAUAACUAUCUGGGCAUCAUCCAGUCCAUGGGCCCUCAUAAUAGUACUAUAGAGUCUCAAAUGGAUGCGAGGGCAUCCUAUGCCUGUGUAUCUCUCAAUCUCAAGCAUCCUGAACUUGGCCGGUAGACAGGCCACUAGUGCUCCAUCAAAAUCCUCCCAAGUAAUAGCUCCCUCUGAACUCCUCAUCUGUCUCAACUUCUGCUCAAGUUUAUCCAUACGAACAUGUGGAUCCUCUGAGAUCGGAGUAGGCACUAUGGCAGGAGGUGGUGCAACCUCAGUCUGACUAUGCAGAGUAAAAGAUAUAGUCUGUGGUGCUGGCUGACUGUGCGGAGGUGGUCGUGGUACUGUUGUAUCAAACUGGAUAUCCUCCUGAACUGGGACUUGUCGGGCCUGCUACCCAUCUAUCCUCUGGCCAAGGCUAGCUAUAGCCUCCUGGAUCGAAGCCAUGGCCGCAGCAAACUGGUCAAUGGUAACUAUCUGAGAAUCCAUAUCCCCCUGAUCUGAUCUCUGGUCUAACUGGUUGGAUGCUCUGGUCAAUCUGCCUCCAACUCUAAUCCACGAAGGUGAAUCCAGACUGGUCAGGGUAAACUCUCCUACAAGUAUGGAAACACUGGAUAAGGUGCGGUACGAAAGCGACUCUGUAUGAAUCAACUGAUAAGUGUGCAAGAAAAUAGCCCAAAUGUACUCAAUCUGACAUCCUCCUCUGAUUACACCAAAAGGAGACUAAGGAAGGGAUAACCAAAUCCAAUCGUGACCAAGGCAGCUCUGAAGGUCCACAGAUGCACCCACGUGUAGGAAUGAAAUCUUAAUUAGGUCUAGGAUAACCUACAAGGUUAAGGCGGCUCUAUAAGAUAAAAUGGGUGGGUCAAAGGAUCCCUAGCAGAAGCGAUCGUACCCUCCGGCGGUACGCAACCCUCUGCACGCCUCCACGGAGACGGGGUGCUUCCAUGCAAGGUGGUCAUUACCUCCACACAUGCACUUCCUCGCGCUCCCAGGGGGUUUCUUAAGGUUGAAGGCUCUCCCAUCUCUCAACACUCAGGAAUAAUCUAAAGUGCACAAUGAAGGAUAUGGGUGCAUCCGAAAAACCUAAGAUCUAAAGUGAGAGAGUGAACAAAGACAAGCGAUCAUACGAUCAUGCAAGAGAAAGGGUUGUCAUGCAACAAGCAGUCAUACUAAGCAGAUGAAUAUCAUAAAAUCAAAGUCCUAUCUAGCAUAUGUGAGAGUGAAUCAUGCUGAAGUGAGCAAGCAAUCAAGUGAUCAUCCAAGGCAAUCAAACAUGUCAAGAUAGCAGACCAAUCAAGCAAAUUGAAUCACCUUGCCUAGGAAAGGGGGGUACCCUCUAAUUAAUCAAUUAAACGCCACAUUUUCCUUAACUAGUGUUCAAGCUUGAUCCUCAAAAUCCCCAGUGGAGUCGCCAAUUUGUGGACCCGCAUUUUUCACGUGCGUCCCCACUCGAUUGGUGAAACUCGCUUUUUAUUUAUGAAAAAUUGAUUUUUGAAAAAAAGUUGGAGUCGCCACCUAUUUUAUUUUUAUUUUAAAGGGAAAAUAAAACAAGAAAGAAAAACCCUAAAAAGUGACUCCAUAGUUUUGGAAAAAGCAUGUCUUUGAGAAACCCGAGUCUAGGUCUGGGGAUCAGGUUACUUAUUGGGAAGGUACCUUUAGGAGGUAGCACCCCUCUAAGCCCUAAAGAGGUCCCUACUGACUAAGUUAAGGGAAGUGUGGCCAUUAUUUAGUUAAUUAUGGAUACCUAAGUAGGUUAGGUGAUUUUAAAGUGUGGCAUGUCAAACGCAAUCAAAUUGCAAUAAAGGAGAGUUAGGGUGCGUACCUGAACCGUUCUUCAAGCGCUAUCAUAAAACAUAAAAGUUAGUGUAGAAAUGUAGCACACAACAUUUGUUUUAUUUAAGCAAAUCAAGCAUAUAUCAAGACAUCCAAGAAUCACGUCAAAUAUGGAUAUGGUCAUCAAUGACAUACAAGUCCAUAGAGUUCUUAAAAAAAUAGAUGAGAAGAGAGCGUACCUGGAUAGCAAACUAGUACUCCUCUAUGGGUAACAGGAGUAUUUCAACAAUAAAUACAAAACAAAUUCAUGUAUAUCAUCAAGAAGAAUCAAGCAUCAACACAUCAAACAAACAAUAUCGAAGAGAAAAUCAUGAAUGUAGGGCCCCCACCAAAGCCCUAAUUAAUUUUGCAUGAGUUGGUUCCAUAAAUUCCAUGAUUUGGAAUUAUGAAGUUUAUUCAUGCUUGUUGAAAAUCAAGAAGAUCAAUUGAAAAUCAAAUAAAAUAGUGAAAAUGUGUGCCGGAAGGAAAAUGGCAGCCAAGAAUUUAUUAAAGGUCUAGAUUUAAAUGUCUAUGAACUCCUAAGGAUGAAAUUUUAAAGGAAAUAAGAGUUAUUCAAUGGAAAAUAUUUUGAAAUCCAAAUUUAAAAUGAAUGUGUAAAUUCACAAGCGAACGGAAGGAGCAUCAAGAGGACAAGUGAAUCAAGCCAGCCAUGUUGGAGAGGGCCCUGUGACUAUGCUACUUAAUCUCUGUUUGUGCCUGGACAAUUGAACCUUUCCUAUAGUUUAUUCUUCUGUCUUUCGAAAUUCUCUGUAUUGAAGCAUGCCUCAAGAUGAAUUAGAAUUGUCCUGUUUGACGAAAACUCCCUUAAAAGAAACGGGAAGAAGAUCUGUAUCCCCAUUAAAAGCUCUACUAAUUCCAUAACAGUUCCAGAAUUCUGCAUCAAUUGGCCUCUUAGCUGAACAAACAAACAAAGUCUGUAUGUGCUUCCUGUUUAUCCAUCAAGGGCAAAUUGAAGAUUUCCCUGAUGUCACAUCGCGAGCUUCGUUCCAUCCAAAUCCUUCAUCAUUCAUCAGUAAUUAUAUCAAUUCUGGAAUAGCAGGGGUAGGGUGUGUAUUUUUCAAUUGCGCUGCUACCUUACUGGGAAAUUCAGACCAUUGCCACGAGUCUUCAUCUAUCCUCUCCAUGAAUCUGAAAAUAAUGUCUUGAAGUGGGGCGUUGCAUAGGAAAAAUUGUUGUUUUAGUCGUGAGAGCUUCCCAAUUUCGAUGUAGGGAAGUCAGCUGCAUCCUCCCAAUCAUCUGGCUUGGCCUUAGGCUGAUCAUCUUUAUAUUCUUUUGGAGGGUCAACACACUUGACAUUGCCAUCAUCAACACUGCUGUUCUGACCUAAUGUGGCAUUCUCACACCUAUUGCAAUCACCUUCUCCGUUCUCAGUUGAGAGUUUCAAUGCUACAACAUCUAAACAAGUGAGCAACCUCCUCCCCUGAGCCAGUGUUUUUGAGUCCCUCGAAUCAUGAAAAAUAGAAACUGACCUAGCAAAAUCAAGUAAACCAGUAAAACCCAAGCUUUGUCUAAGGCCAAGGCUAACUAAAGUCUCCAAAGUUUCAGGAUCUGAGAACUUGUCAAGGGGGAAGAAAACUUCUCUGUGAAGCAUGUCUUGCAAUUCGGGAACUCGAGGAUCAUAUAGCCUGGAUGGUUGUUGCCAUGACCCAUUGGCAGCCAAAAAAAAGGGUGUGAUGGAAAGUGUAAGUUUAAUUGAGGUAUCUUCUUCAAUCAAAAGUUUCACAUCAUGUAAAAUGGCUGAAAGUGCUCCCUGCUGUGAAAGAAAUUCUGGCAUGCAAGUGACUACAUAAUCUUUGUAGAAUUGUGCCCUUGAAGGUUCCUUAACCUCUAAAUACCUUCUCAGGAUGAUUCUUUCUUUUUCUGAAUCCGUGCGUACAAAGUCAUCAUUCAAAAGAUCUUCAGACACACCAUUUGGUUUAAGCAAUUUAGUGGGUUUACUCAAACAUACUAGUUUUCUACUUCUGAACGAUUCAAACAUGGGAAGGUGUUUGAUGACAUCAAUAUGUGUGUCAUCCAUCUGACCUUCAGAGAACCACUUUGACUGAAGAAUAAAACUCCUGAGUUCAUGAAGCUCCCCUUCUGAUGCAUCACAGAAAAGUUUCUGAACAUUCUCCGGAUUAUGAGCAAGUGCCAGUAAGGCAUUCAAAAUGCCAGUUGCUAUUGGCAGCUGCACAUAAUUUUUCAACUGUGGAUGCUCUAUAGGCAGGUCAUUCCUCAAAAAUAGGCAUCCUACUUUCAAUAACAAAGAACACAUGUUCUCACUCCACCCAUCAUCUUUUAUCACAUUUGAAUUUUCAAUCAGCUUCAAGAGAUAAUUAUUCCCAACUGGUAAAAUAGGCCACUUCGAAAAUUCUGAGAGAUCAUCACAACAUGACUUCAAAUAACUCCAUAGCAACCUUAACCAUUCUAAACUUGGUUGGCCUUGAUGACCAGGGUUCCAAAUUACCUGUUUGGCAUGCUGCCACUCUGCUGGGAGUAAUCUUAGGAAAAGUUUUUCAAGCAAAUAGCAUGUCAGAAAAGAAAUAUUUAAGUCUUCUGUUUGGGCAAUAUCACAUAGCUUCAUGUGAAUUCCUUCCGGAAUUCCAGAGUCUACAAGUUGAUGUGGAAUUGAAUCCUUAAGAAGACCAUACUCAUCUCCACGUGCAAUAUAAAUCCUUUCACCCACUCCCAUCUUGUCAAAUGCUGUAAAUAAACCAUUGGCAAGGGGUACCAAAGGUAAACCAUACAAACUAUCAGAUCGAACUGGCAUUUUCAAGUCAAGUAAGCAAUAUUCAAGUGUCAAUAUCAUUGCAUUCCUGUCCCUAAAUCCACGUUUCCGCCGAAUCAACAGAGUUCUCAGCAACUAAGGUGUCAGGAAACGCAAUGAUGGACAAAACUCCAUAAGCCUCUCGACAAGUGGCUUAGAAGGAGACACGAGAGGUAGACCAGCAUCAGAUAAUACUUCUACAAGCUCAUGUGCCUUACUGAAAGUAAAAUCAGUAAAAACAGCUUGUUUGGCGGAAAUCCACUGGCCCCCUCUAGCUUUUGUAUACAAUACAGAAAGAUCAGAAUUAGCAAUAAAAUUAUAGAGUUUCUGCACCAUUGAUGCCCAAGGUUCUAUUCCAAUGCUAGUUGACCAAAAUGAAAAGAACAAAUCACAUGGACCAAGUUCCAAUGCAAUUUUCUCAAGCAAAUGACCAUAAGCAGGGGCAGCAACAUCUUCAAGCACGUAAAUGUUCCAUUCCGAGCGUUUUUUUUUCACCCCCUGCCAUGUCAUUGCCAAACCAGAUAUCCCUUCCAUUUGAUGACAAUUCAAAAUAUGCAUUAACAUGUGCUGGAAGACCAGUACUGAUCGGCAGUGGUAAAAAGCAGAAUGCACGGCCCUCAAAAUUCUUUCUAUCUUGAAUAGAAGAAGCAGGAACUUCAAAGACAUCAGAAAUAGUUUCACAAGUUCUCUCAGUAUGCGGAAUAUCACUCGAUUCCCUAUCAACCUUGACAGAGUGUAAAUAUGCAGCAACACAAGCCCAAGGAAUUAAAUUAUGAGACUUCGAGGGUGCAGAGUUCUUAACUUGCCCAACACCUAAACAUUCACUGGUUAUUGAUUACUACCAAAAAGUGCUAUUUUGUAGACCUAAUUAUAAUGGUUUUUAAGCACCUUUGAGUAGUAAUCAUAUUCAUUUAACCCAAUUAAUUCAUUAAGGUCCUUAGUAAUUAGUUUUAACCUUUUUGUGGCAAAGUUGACAUGUUUUUAUCAGCUUAUGAAUCGAUUCAAGCAUGCCAAUUGAUGGAGGAGCUACUUGGGCGAGUUAAGCAAGGAUUUUGUACUUUUAUAGGCUUGAAUUUCAAGUGGAAACACGAGCACAAGCAAUGGAGAAGAGGAAAACAGAGUGAAGAAAACAGCUGCAGUAUUCCUUUGAACUUUUGGAGCACUUCCCGAAGUCCAUUUUUUGCAUGCUAUAUACCAUUUGAAAGCUUAGGAAGUCAAGAAUCCAAAGCUUCAAACCGUGUAUGAUUUGGAGCUGAAAUGAAGAAGAUAUGGCCUUUGGAAGGCAACUGCAUCAUGUCAAAUGACCAAUUUCGCAAGGAGAUUUUCUUCAUGGUGCGAAAUUUUGCCACUUCGCACCAUGAAGAAACACAUUGCGAAAAUUUCGCAAGGAGGAUUUAGGCACAUUGCGAAAUUCCUUUGAAUCCCCUGUUUUGAGACGUUGUUGAUGUUAUUCCACUACCGGUUCUCCAAGAUAUUUUGCUUGAUUUUUAGCUUUGUAAAUACCUAUUUUACCCUNNNNNNNNNNNNNNNNNNNNNNNNNNNNNNNNNNNNNNNNNNNNNNNNNNNNNNNNNNNNNNNNNNNNNNNNNNNNNNNNNNNNNNNNNNNNNNNNNNNNCAGUCACCAGCCCAAUCAAGCCAACAGAGUCAAGGUCAAUCCUCAAUUGAGCAAGCACUCGUAAGCCUUAGCAAGGUUAUGGGUGACUUUGUGAGUGAGCAAAAAUCCAUCAACUCUCAACUAAAUCAGAAGAUUAACAACGUAGAGAGUACAUUGAACAAGAAGAUAGAUGGGAUGCAUAAUGAGUUGUCUCAGAAAAUUGACAACAUCCAAUAUUCCAUCUCAAGGCUCACAAAUUUGAACACUGUCAAUGAGAAAGGGAAGUUUCCCUCUCAGCCUCACCAAAAUCCUAAGGGGAUACAUGAAGUGGAAUCCAAAGAUGAGGAUUCUUCAAAGGUGAGGGACGUGCAAGCUAUUAUCACUUUGAGAAGUGGUAAGGAAGUGCAUCAGCCGGAGCAUGAUCAGAGGAAAGCCAAAGAAGACAAGGCUGAUAGAAAAGAAGAAAAGAAGAAAGAACAAAAGGGAAAGGAAGUUCAGAUGAAAGAAAGCAUCAUUCCAAGCAUGGAUGAGGAACCUCAAAUUCUUUUAAAGGAAGAAAUGAUGAAGAAUCACAUCCCUCCACCUUUCCCCCAAGCUUUGUAUGGCACCAUCAUACAAAGCAAGUCUCAAGUGAGGGAUGCAAACUUCAUAUGGGAUCCGGGCAAGCUAAACCAAGGAUCAAAUUUUUUGAUGGACUUAGUCUUUUUAAAGACUAGCUAGUCCAUAUCUUUUUUGUUUUAUUACUAGUUUUGAUUUUGAUUUUUUAUGUUUUUAAUGGAGCUUUGAUGUCCAAUAGCAGGUACGAAAGCUCACAAGCUCACAAAUGUGGAAAGAAAGGUGAAAUAAGGGAGAAAUAUACCUAAGUCCAAGCUUAAAAGCCCAUUUCGCAACUCAAAAAGUGAGUUGCGAAAUGCACAUUUUGGCAAGAUGCAAAAUGCAACCUCUCGGGAUUGCACUUUCGCAAGGAGUAACCAGUGCGAAAAUUUUCGCAAGUUAUUUUUCACCUUGCGAAAUUGUUUUCAAAGCAAAUAUCAAAAUGCAACCUCUCGGGAUUGGUUUUUAAGGGGAGUAGCCAGUGCGAAAAUUUGGCAAGGUGAAUUUUCACCUUGCGAAAUUUCCAGCACUCCGCCAUGCUCUCUCAGAUCCACCAUCACCUGGGCAUAUCACCUCCUCCACCUCAGGAGCCACAUCCAUGAUUGGAUAUUUCUAUCUCCAUUUUGUAUAUGUUUUUUUGUAGAUGUACAUGUUUUAUAUUCUGAGAUUGUAUGUACCUCAUGCUUCUAUCUUGUACUCAACUCUCUCAGUUUAUAUAAGCAUCAUUUUUUGUAUCUUAUUUCCUCUCUCACGUUUCUUAUGGUUUUUGAAUCAUGUGGAUGCACUCACACGCCUUGAAUACCAUAUCACCAUAAGGUAUAUCAUUCCUUCCUCGUCUUUUUCGAUAGAAACAUUGGGGACAAUGUUCAUCUCGGUUGGUGGGAGAGUUGAGGAAGUAAGUAUUUCCUAUUUUAGUUAGUUAUUUUGUUGAUUUAGUAGUUUUUGCCCUUUUUCAAAAUUUUUUGUUUCAUCCUCUAUGGUUGUUAAAGAUAAUUUCUCAAAAUAAAAUAGGAUAAGUCGAGUUUUAACUUAAUUACUUAAGUCUUAGAGUUUGUUUUAUACUUUCAAAGUUGAUAAUCUAUUGAAGCCCUCUUUGAUUUCGAACUUAUUUCUUCCAUUUCAAGCUUUACACACACCGUGCACAUUAGAUCCCGGAUUUAUGAUGUAAAACUUUCUCACCCUCUAAGCUUAGGAAAAUUUUGACUUGGUUCAUUGCUUAACCUCUUUUUAAUAGUGUUGGGACACCUCAAAAAGACCAAUGAGUCUUAGAAAAAGAAAAAAAGAAAAAAGAAAAAGAAAAAGAAAAAAAAAAUAAGCUUCUAUUCUUUCCUUGAAACCUAAGCAUGAUCCGAAGGGGUGGCGAAAGCCUUUAAAACCCGAUGCCCUAAACCUUGAUUGGUUGGGAGUCAUCGAUCCUCUGCUUGCUACAUAGGUGAAUUGGUUAAGUUUAGUGAGUAAAAAGAAUUGUGAAUAAGAAGGUGCGUUCCUAACCUAUUAAGAGUUGGUUAAUUUUGCCAAUGUCCGAGAAAAGCUUAGGUUGGGGGGAGAGGAUAGUUGUGCAUACUAUAUCCGGAAGCUAAUCUCAUUAACACUUAGCUCAUUAUGGAAGAGUUUGAUUCGGAACCUUGAGAGUAGAGAUUCUUUUGAUACUUAAUUGCAUAAUCUCCACUCUUUGUACUUUUUGUUUAAGUUUUAGCUUUGACAACUCCUAUUGCAUUUUGAAUCUUCGUAUCUUUAGUUCACCAUGUGAGAUGUGUUUUGAUAUCAGUCAUGCCACUCAAUUAUUUUUUGGAGUGAUUUGCAUGAUCCCUUUUAUGUAUAUUAUUAUAGUUUACUUAGUUUUUAUCUCCUCCAUUGCUAAGGGACUAGCAAUGAGUCGGUUGGGGGGUGUGAUUACUACCAAAAAGUGCUAUUUUGUAGACCUAAUUAUAAUGGUUUUUAAGCACCUUUGAGUAGUAAUCAUAUUCAUUUAACCCAAUUAAUUCAUUAAGGUCCUUAGUAAUUAGUUUUAACCUUUUUGUGGCAAAGUUGACAUGUUUUUAUCAGCUUAUGAAUCGAUUCAAGCAUGCCAAUUGAUGGAGGAGCUACUUGGGCGAGUUAAGCAAGGAUUUUGUACGUUUAUAGGCUUGAAUUUCAAGUGGAAACACGAGCACAAGCAAUGGAGAAGAGGAAAACAGAGUGAAGAAAACAGCUGCAGUAUUCCUUUGAACUUUUGGAGCACUUCCCGAAGUCCAUUUUUUGCAUGCUAUAUACCAUUUGAAAGCUUAGGAAGUCAAAAAUCCAAAGCUUCAAACCGUGUAUGAUUUGGAGCUGAAAUGAAGAAGAUAUGGCCUUUGGAAGGCAACUGCAUCAUGUCAAAUGACCAAUUUCGCAAUGUGAAAUUCACAUUGCGAAAAUUUCGCAAGGAGAUUUUCUUCAUGGUGCGAAAUUUUGCCACUUCGCACCAUGAAGAAACACAUUGCGAAAAUUUCGCAAGGAGGAUUUAGGCACAUUGCGAAAUUCCUUUGAAUCCCCUGUUUUGAGACGUUGUUGAUGUUAUUCCACUACCGGUUCUCCAAGAUAUUUUGCUUGAUUUUUAGCUUUGUAAAUACCUAUUUUACCCUUGUAAUCAACCAAUGAAUAGGUUGCUUUUGUAAUAGCUCUUGUAAUUUAGCUUGUUAUUGUCUUUAAAUAGAGGUGAAGAGCCUCAGACAAUCAUCAUCUAAUCUUGUAACCUGUAACUUUAUAAGUUAUAAGAGCACUUUUGUUCAUACGUUUCUUUCUCAUUUUCUUAGUAGCCAAACAUCCUUAGAGGAUGAAAUCCCCAAGGAUGGGAGGCUAAAACCUUUUAGUUUCUUGAAGUAAUGGAUGCCAUGUGAAGCUCCCGUGUCAGGAUGGAGAUUUCCAAGCCAUGAAUGUAAGUAGCUGAGCGUCAUAAAUGUUUUCAUUCAAAGUAAAGCUUUUAAUCCCUCUGACUUGCUUUGAAUGGCCAAUACUUGAUAAGCUUUUGGUCUCAGUGGAUUCUUAUUGUUAGAUCCACUGACGUUCAUUAGUUAUCUCCUACGAGCCAUUGUAUUGCAAGUCGAGGAGAUGACCUAUAUCAUUAAAAGGGCAUUUAUGAGGUUCAGCUACCCUUUUUGUAAGUUUUCAAGGACUAAAACUCAGUUGUUAAACUCAUACCAGUUCGGGAAGUAAGCAUCACCUUAGUUGCUUCCCCAACUCGAGGUGAAAAGUCCCAAAAUCUCCAUUUUUACACAGUGAGUUAAGCAUGGCUAUCCAAAGCUUUGAGAAACUUCUUUUUCCAUCUUUUAACCUAUUUUCAUGUUAGUUUAGUUUACACACCUUCAUCUUUUUAUGUUUUCAUCUUAACCUAAUUUUUAUUAAGAAAAGUUCACUCCAUCCUCCGAACUUCACCAGUUAAAGUAAAAACCCUUCCCAGUGUUCGAUCCUAGAGCCACUAUGCUAUAGUAGCUUUGCUACUUUAGUGUAAGGACCUUAGGUAUAAAUUUUGUUGAUACCCUUACAUGCCAAGCUACCAAGAGUCGGGUUAUCAGUUACCCAAAAGUGUGACAUAUUUUUUUGACGAACUUUGCUCUGUCAUCACAAUCUUCUGACAUUUCCAUGGCAAAUUCUUAUCAACUAAUUUACUCAAUUUUUUUAGAAACUGAUCCUUAUCCAUUCCACUGUGCUGAUUUCCAUUAAAAAUGCUGAACAUAUGUAGAGAAUUGGGUUCAAUGUCAGGUUCACUGAUGCAAUGUUUAUGAACGUGAUGUAUGAGUUGCAUUUCACAACCAGUUUCUUCCUUAACAAAAAUGGAGAUGGUUUUCACAUUACAGACGAAAAGUAAAGCCUCUGAAACAACCUUAGAAAAAGAAGCAAAGAGAGACAUGACAUCUUCAGGUGCAUAGCCUUCUUUCUUUAUUUGGCUUCAAGAAGCAACACUUGCAUUCCUGAGGAGAAAACGAAAGAGUGUGCCAGGAAAGGGAUUCUACAAGUCACAGCCAAAGUGUAGGAAUGGAGAGAACUGAUAUGGAAAUUGUUCCAGAAUCCUUCUCCCAACAUAUCUAAUUCUUAAACCAGGGUGGGAUGGAGAGAUUCCAGGCAAAUUAAAGGCAUGAGGAUCAAACAUAACAAUAUUUUCCCCAGAAACAAAAGUUGGUAUGUCUGUAAAAUGAUAAGCACAAUUAAAUCCCAGCCCAAAUCUUCCAAUAGCAAAUGGCUUCUCUAGCUUGCUUUCUUGAACAAAUCCGCGAGAUUGCAUAAAGAUCUUGUGGACUGAAAAUAGAGUCAUUGAAACAGUACAAAGCAGGGCCUUGCCAAUCUGCCAUUUCAAGAGAGAGGAUGGAAGAAGUCCCAUACUGGGUUUUCCGCGAUCAUCCCAUCUUUAAAUCUUUGAAGCUCUGCUUUCUCUCCCCAAAAAUUCCGGAAUUUAAGAGCCUCAUCUUUAUGCUCAGCAUUUGGACCAGCAUCGACCACUCUAAAAGCUUUCUCUAAAGAGCUGACUAAAAUCCCAAUGAGCAAUGGCCCUCGCUCAAAGAUCGAUAAACUAUUUUCCACAUUGCAUUCUGAAGUGGCAUUUUUCCAGCUAACACGGAUGAACUUUGCUCUAAGAGAACCAACAUUUCAUCAUAAAACCCAAUUGAUCCAAAAUAGGAAACUAAGGAAUUAAUCAAAUCUUCUUUCUGGACAUUUCUUCGAACACACCAUAAGCACCUCAAAUAGAUUCAAAUACCGUACAGGAAGAGGGAUAGAGAACAAAUAAAAAAAGAAAAGAUAUAAAACCCGAAGACGAAGAAAGCGGAAGACAUUGAUCAAUAAACAUAAAUAGCUCCACUUCAAAUGUUAAUCCGUGGGCUGGGGACAGAGGAAACAAUGCAGUAUGGGAUUUUUAACAAAAAAAAACAUGAUCAAAUUCAAGCAUGGAGUCAUGAAUUUCAGAAGACAACAAUGACACAUGAGAGAAUCAGAAUCUAAAACAGGGCAAAGAAGUGAGUAACCAAUCUCAAGAAAUCAAUUUGUGGCCCUUUCCGUCCACACCAAUCAUCAGUAUAUUAAAUGUUCAGAAACAAACACACGGAGAAAUCAAGUAUGGGUAAGAAUUCCAAGAGUGGCGAGAAUCAUACCUGGGCAGCCUUGGUUGCAAUUGCUCUCUUCUCCAAUUCCUUUGUGCUUCUCCUCAAGACGAUCCCUCAAAUCCCCUCUCUCUUUUUCCUCUCUCACAUAUAUAUCAGCCUCCCUCAAAGAACCCCCCAAAUCUGCUGGAGGAAAAUCCACUUUCCUUUCAUAUUUUCUUCCCUUUUGUAACCGAUUCCCUCAUGGAAAUAAUAUACGUGCUAUCCUUCUAAAAACACAAUCUCCUCUUUUCAAAAUUCUGUUGAUUUUCCUUCCAAAUAAAUGGCGGCCGUUUUCUCAUGGCCAAAAAAUAAAUAAAUAAAUAAAUAAAGAUACAAAUAGAAAUAAGAAUAAAAUAAAGACAAAAUAGAAUAAAGAUUAAAAUCAAUAAACAUCAUGAAAUUGAAAAUCAAAAGAAAUUUAAAUCACACAUCUAAAAAAUAAAAUAAAUAAACAAAAAAUAAAAAAUAAAAAUAAAAAUAAAAAUAUUUAAAAACAAAAAAUAAAAUAAAAAAAAUCAACCACAUGCAAGCCAUACAAGCUAUGUAACCACCAAAAGAAUAUGAGUCAUGAAACCAUGCAAAAACACGAGCCAUGCAACCAUGCGAACCAUGCAAAAACAUCUAAAGGUGACCUAGGGUGUGUCCUAAUGGGCCAAGUGUAUCUAAAAGCUAUCCUAAAAAAAACAAGAAAAGCCUAAGUUUAAGUUAGGGCUGCCAAGGGUCACAAUAAGGGAUCAAAUAAUUCCUCAACCAAAAUCUCCGAGGUGACUCAGAAAAAGGUAAGUGGUACGAGUAGUAAUGGGCCACCAAGGAACUACCGUGGAGCAUUGGAAGUAAAUUUAAAGACAUGUGCUAAAGGGACAAAAUUGAGGGUCUACAGAAAGCAACAUGUGAAGCUAAAAAUGAUAUCAGGAGGAUGAUCUUGUGGCUUUGAUCAAUGUAAUAUUUGGUCCAACAUCUCAUAAAACCAAGAGAAUCCAUGGCAACAUAAAAAAGAAGGUCGUGACCAUACUAAUUGACUUAGGAAGCACCCAUAACUUCCUUGAUCUCGUAGAGGCCAAACGAAACAAGAUGCUCAAUACAAACUACCAACCCCAUGAAGGUGGCAAUAACAGAUAGAACUAGAAUUACUAGUGAUGCAAUUUGUAGGCAAUGUUAGGAUAGAACCCUUAAAAGCAUGACAUAAUGUAAUAAAUUUGGAAUUCAUUAUUUAUUUAAUGAUAUUCCAAUUUCACUUUUAUCUAUCCUUAUUCCAUGUAUUAUACUUUAUGAACUUUUUUGUCUACAUCUUUUGCAUUGUACGUGACUUAGGUGCCUUAGGAGUUGCACAGAAGAUCUAAGUCAUGAGUUCCUUGCAAAUAGAUGACUUGUUCACAACCAAUUCAUGGGUGUAGGCAAUCCAUUAGAGGUUUUAGUGCACCACUUCCUAAUUAGAGGAAUAACUGGUCUUGGCUAUUGGGAUGAGUUUCCCAUGAUGAGUGUACUAAUAUGUAUGGAUGCACAUUAGACAGGACCGAUGGUGAGUUAUGACUUAAGGCUAUCAAGUAGUAAUGACUUCACCAAGUUGUUUCAUUAUGUUGUCUCUCAACCUUGAGAGAAUAUUGCAUUUGUGUUGAAGUUAGCAGUGUCUUUGAUCCACGGGUGAAAUCGUAAGCUAAUCAUAUACUCUUUAUGGAUUGGAUCACUACUGAUGGAUGCCAAUAGCAAUAAGUAUUCUAAAUAGAGACACCAUGAUAUCUCUUAGGAAUAAGACAGUGUGUCUCCUCGGGUGAUCCUAAGGAGGUGUGUUCAUGGAAACUAUGGUCAUAAUAGUUCCUUAGGUGGAACUUGACAUAGGCUCUUUGAAAGCUAAGAUAUGUCAAUUGAACACACAAUAGGAGAAUCUAUAACUCAAGGAUGGUAGAGAUAGUCUUAAAAGGCUUAUAGCUUUCACUUUGUUAGACUACGAACACCAAUUCAUGUGGAGACUAAACACAAUGGAUAACAGGUCAUGGACUUGAGCACUUGGUGUCUUAUUAUUAUUUACAUAGGAUAUUUGAGUUCAGUUGAUUCUCUAUAGUGGGAUAUUAAAUCAACUUUAGAAUUGGAUUAUGAGAAAACCAGUAUUUCUAUGGGUCUUAGUGGUCCCUGUUUUGAGCUCAUAUACCUUGUUGGCACAGAUUAUGAGGGUCAGAUUGGCUUUAGGUUUAGUUUUGUACAUAAGGGUGUUUUGGUAAUCACACAAGGUUGCAUAGAGGUAAGUGAGCAAGGUCUUUGGAUUGGGUUAAUUGAUUAAUUAGUAGGCUCUGUUAGGUUAACUAAUCAAUUAGGACCCAUUUUGGGAUAGAUUAAGUGACCCAAGCCCUUAGUGAACUCAAGUCACUUAAGCUUAGUAGGAAACCAUGUAAAUACCCCCUUAGGGGUUAGGGUUCCCAUUGCUUUUUCUAGAGAUCCAUCUUCCAUCUCCAGAGAGAAAGAGAGAGAUUUAUAGCAUGUACUCUUCCUUCUAUCCCCACCAGAAGUGUGUCAAGAUCAAGUUUCGAGUCAUCGGGUGGAAGACUUCAGGUUUAUGAGACUUCUACGAUUUCAUUCUUCAUCUUCACCACAUAGAUUUGAUUUAGAAACGUCUGAAUCUAAGGUAUGGAUUUUGUUUACACUUUAUGAAUCCCUUUAAAGUUUAAAAAUGUUAUUUUUCCAUUGUGCAAAGGAUUUAGAAAAAGCCUAGGAUAGUUAUGCAUGUUCAUAACUUGAUUCGAUCUUAGGAAAGGAAGAGAUCCUAGUUUUUCCCAUUAGGCAAUUGACAUGGAACAUGCAAGGGAAUAAAUUUUAGAUAGAUUUGAGGCUCAUCCUUUUGAGUAGGUGCGAUAUGGUAUUGGGAAUUCAAUGGCCAGCUGAAUUGGGACUCAUAUUAUGGGAUUUCAAGAAUUUAAAAAUUGAAUUUAUUGUUGAUGGAAGGAAAUUCGUGUUAAGAGGUAAAACUAUAGGUCCUAAGAAGUUAGUUUCAACAAAUCAAAUUCAAAAUUAUUUAAGGCAUAUGUCUCAAGCAUCUACAAUUCAAAAUUUCACUAUACAAGGGAAUGAGGAAAAUAAAGUUGAAAAUGAACAACAUGGCAACUGUCCAACUCAUUUCCAAACAACGUAACAUAGAAAGAUGCUUACUUUCAACAAAAGUUUCCAUAGUUUCAACCUUGAGGACAAGACUUCUUUUGAUGGGGGAGAGUAUGUUACAACCCUGAAUAAAGGAUCCCUAAUAUCCCUUAAUCUUUAGUUUCUAUUUCUGCUUAGUUUCUACUUCUAUUUAGUUUCUAUUUAAAUUGGGGAAUAAAGGAUCCCUAAGAUCCCUCAAUCUUUAGUUUCUAUUUCUAUUUAGUUUCCUAUAUAAAAUAAGGAAAGUGUAAUGGAGAAAAACAUGAAAAAAUAAUCUCAAUAAGAAAAAGUUGUUCUCUCAAUUUUGCAUAUUUUCCUCAUAUCAUAAAAUUUUACAUGUAGAUUUUCUCCUUUUGAAGCUCUAUAUGAUACAAAAUCAAUUCUCUUUUACUCCAAUUCCAAGUAUGUAUUUACUGAAAUGGGUAUGCUUUGACUCUCAAUGAACACAUUUUCUCAAUUUUUCUUCAUACCUGAGUGGAAAUAACAUAAGGCAGUUAAACUUGCUUUGAGAUUAAUUGUGGUUUUGACAAGCAUUUCAUCUAUAAUUCAUUUAUACACAACUAGGUACAGUACAAGACUUCCUAAUUAAACAAAGUUUCUGGCAUUAAUGAAUUGAAAAAAAUAUGGGUAAAACAAGUUUCUACUCACCAUCCCAAACAUUCCUUUAGAUGUAUUGUAUGGUAGAGGAUUAUUCUUUAUUAUUAUUAUUAGUACUAUUCUUUUUUUCCCUUUUUAAUGGUUUGUAGUAGAUUCAAAUGGCAUUAUAGAAGUAGAAUUUCCUAAUUUAAUUUGUUGGACAAAUUUGCUUUGGUUUUGCAAUAUUUUGUGUUUUGAAUACAUAGAAAUUGAAAUAUAAUAAGAUAACAAUUAUAAUGUGUUUUUAAGGGGAUUUUUUUUUAUCUUCUAUAAGUAAAUAAAAAGAAAGAAAAAAGAAAAAAAAACCAACACCAACAACAAUAAUAAUAUAGACAUUUGCAAUUUUUUUUAAAGUGUCUCUAUUAGAACAUUGAGUUUUAUUUAUAUGUUGGUAAUUUUGUUCCAAAUUAUUUUUUGCCUUAGAAAUCUUUUUAGAUGGUGGCUUACUCUCCAUUGAAGAUCAUGGAUUGCUACUUGUCCAACUGGAAAGUCAUAGGAACGUUUAAAAGGUUUGACUUGUGGCAAAUUAGGGUUCUAAAGGGUAUAAAUAGGAGUGUUAUUCUUUUUUUGGAAUAAAAUUGAUUUUUAUUUAACUUUGUAAAAAAUGCAGGAUUGCUCGAGCGGGAAAUAGCACUCAAGCCCUGGGACCGCUCGAGCGCUUGACUAGUGCUCGAAUGCCCAAGGUGCUCAAGCAAUGGUUAAGUGUGCUUGGCCUCGAGCUCUCAAGUGUUCAUGCCAAUUAUGCCAAAGAUUAGCAUAAUAUUUUCGAAGAUUUCAUGCAGUUGUAAGUAUUGGAGAUUUCAAUAAGGCUAAAGAGUAUUCAGUGGAGAAAUUAGAGAUUGUUGUAUCAUAUACGUGGAUGAAGUUGUAGGUAUUGGAGGGUAAGCCUUUAGGAUAAAACGACCAGGUAAAUUUGUAACUUGAUCAUGUAUAGUGGAUUUUGAUUAGUAGUCUUAGACCUUGUGGUUUUUUUUAUCUCCACAAUAAUGUGGGGAUUUUUCAUGUAAAAAUCAUUGUGUCCAUUGCUAUAUCUUGUGAUUAUCACGAUUAUUUAGAUUCUGUUUAUCUCUAAUAUUAUCUCACAUUGUAAAAAUUGGGUAUAACAUAUAAUCUUUAUUUUAGAAUUCUUUUAAUUACACCCAUUCACCUCCCUUCUCUCUUUGGGUGUUACCCUACUAGACUUGGCUUUUUCAGUCUCAAAUUCUACACUAGCCUUUUUUUUUACUUAAGUUAUAAAUGGAAAAAGUUAUAAACCCAAGAUAACUUGUUAAAAAAGUGAGAAAUAAUAAAGGACUCGUGUUAGAGUAUAAAUAACUAAUUUGUUCUAGGCUUAAUAUAAAUCCAAUGUUAAAUAUGAAUACUUAAUUAUUUAUUAUAUUUUGAAAAUAAAGUAAGUAUUUUUUAUAUAAAAAAUAAAACAACUUUUCUAGAACAACACAAGGCACUAAUGCAUAUAGUUGGUAACAAGUUGGAGAAAGAAAAUAAUGUGGAGAAAUAAAACGUGUAGAAAGAAAACAACUUGGAGAGAAAGAAAAUGACUAACAGAAAAGGAAAUAGAGAAAUUAUAGAAUGUAAGAUAAUUACACUUAUUUUCAUAAAAAUAAUAUAUUUUCGAAAAAUAGAAAAUUUCAUUCAUAUUCUCUUUUUCACUUAUUUUAAAAAUUAAAAUUAAAAUUAAUAUUUAUCAAAUGAAAAUAUUAAUAAUUAUAAAAUUAAUAUUUAUCAAAUACAUAAGAUUAAGAUUUAGAUAUAAACUUUUUAUAAUCUAAACUAUUAUAUAUUUUCAUUUUAAAUGAGAAAGGUUGAUGUGAUAUUAUAAAAUUUGUACACAUAAUUUAAGUUAUCUCUAUUCAUAUAGAAUUAUAUAUAGGUAUAGAUUCAUUUCAAAAUUCAAAUAAUUAUUUGAAUUUUACAUUUAAAUUUUAUUUUUAAAUUUAAGACUUAAUUAUUUUGUAAUUAGAGUACUUGUCAUAAAAUUGAAGCUUAUAUAUUUAUAAAUGCCUCCACUUCCAUACCUGUCAUAAAAUUGGAGCCUACUUUUUUUUAUUUUCUUUUGUGUGUUUAUAAAUGUCUCCAAUUCCAUAUCUAGCUGUGAUAUAUUUUUAUAGAUGAUUGUGAUUGAAGUAUAAUUUCUUUUGAUUUUAAUUUUAUAAGAAUUAAAAAUCUUAUCUAAAUUUGAUUAUUAUUUUAGUUUUCUAAAAGUUCAGAGUAUUACAAAGAAACUGUUGGGUAGAAAGAUGUUUCCCUCCAUAUAUACAUAUCUAAUUAAAAAAAAAAACACACAAAGAAAGACAACAAUAGAUGAUCAAAAUUAUUAUUCAUAUGUUAUGUCAGUGCAAAAUAUGAAAAAGAAGACAGAAGCGUGCGUCUUCACUGUGACUGAGGAUCAAAAUCUCUUUGAGAUUGAUAUAAAUUAUUUAUAGCUUCAUUGUUUGUGGAGAGUUGAUUCAGUAGUGUCUUCCAUUUGAAGACAUACAGAAAUAGUUAGAAUUAUCUAUUCAUUUCAAGAGAUAACUUGCAUCUAUGACCCUUAUACUCCCAUGAACUUUGAUCCGAUUAACACAGUGGGCAUUUAUUAUUUAUAAAAUAUGGAUGAAAAGAGAAUUAAAAAAAAAUUAAUGGGAAGUGUAUUUUGGAAAAAAAAUAAUUCUCAUUUGAUACAUUGGAAAAGUAUCUACCUCAAAAAUGUCAUUAUAUGUGUACAUGGGUCAUCAUCCAUAGUAACCCAAUUCACAUGAGGACGGUACAUCAUUCAACCAAUAAAGGUACUUUAAGCUCAAAACAGUGGUACAGUAUAAUCAAAACAAUAUUACUUUAAUAUCAAAAUACAUGCAAGGACAUUUUUAAGGUAAUGUGAGGUAAAUACUACUAUAAUACAUUAAAUAAGAAUUAUUUUCCCAAAAAUGUGCUUCCCAUGAAAAUGACUUAUGUGGUUUCUUUUAUUUAUAUUUUAUAAAUAGUGCAUGUUUACAUAAUUCCCUCAUUAAUUAAUAUAAUCAUCUAUACCUGAUAAUUAAGGAAAUAAAAAAUAUUUACAUACUAAGCAAGGAUAAUGGAAAUUAAAGAGUAUGUCAAAAAGAGAAAAAAUAAUAUUAAAGAUAAAUUAAAACUCUAAAAUACAAGCUUCAUUUACGCAUAUAGGCCAAUAUCUUAGGAGGUAUUUGAUUAAAUAAUAAUAAUAAUAAUGAUUAAAAAAUGGAAAAAAUUAUGGAUCCCAUUUUUUAAGUGUUUUCAAUAACAUAAUUAUAAACCUCUUAAAAUUUAAAAUCAUUUAUUUAAACCAUUUUAUUCAUUUAGCAACAAGGACUUAAUUAAUCACUAAGAUCGAACACAAUGAUUUAUAAUUUUUUCUUCCAUUACCAUCUUUUUUUUUUUUUUUGUUAAUAAAAUGAAGAUUUCUAUAGAUGAAUUUUUUAUAAUAAAACGUAACUUCUUUUAAAUUAAAACCAUUUAUUAUUAAAAAAAAUUAUUUUAAUCCAUCUAUGUUCUUUUAACCAAUUCUUUUAGAAUUUUUAUAAAUUUUUUUUUCAUAUUUAAAGAUAAAAAAAUGAUUAUGAAAUAAUUUUAUUCAUUAUAAAAUUUAUCUUUCUUUUCUAAAUCAGAAUUUUUGUCAUGUCCAUUCAUAUAAUAAAAUUUAAAUUAUGAAUAAAAAAACCUAUUUUAAUUUUUAGCGUCAUGGAAUCUCUCCAUGCACACUCAUGCAGCCAACCAUCAGUUCCCAUGGCAGCCACGUGUCUUCCAACAAGUAUAUUCCCUUUCUUUGGCUCUCCACAUUUGUGUUCUAUUUUUAUUUAUUUAUUUUAUCUUGAUUAGUAGUUCACAGAACAAGCAUGAGAAGGAUAUGAGUAGAUAUGCCAUGGCUAUGAUCACUUCUAACACUAAACCCUCUUAAACCAAGUGAGGUGUGAAUGCAGUAUGCAAGUCUAAAUAAUGGUGAAAGAAUAAAAACAAAGGAGAAUGCAUGUAAGAUGUAUAUAUAACUAUAAAUAAGGAUUCAAAAUGAGGGGAAAAAUCAUCAAGAAGGGUGAACCAUGGGUGAUAAGCCACUUUAAGGUUCAUCCUUUGGAUAAAUAUUAAAAGUUAAAGAGUAUAAAAUGUCUACGUAUGUUGUCAAUUAUUUUUUUUUCACUUUUAAGUUAAAUAUAUUUUUAUUGUUAUAGAUGAAGUAAUGAAUGCCACCACAUUUAUUAUAUUAAAUGUUCAUUAAAAGCCUAUAAAAUUGUUUCCUAUCCCCUGUAAAAUGCAUCCCAAGCAAAGAAAUAAAUUUUCUUUCUCUCUUAUUCUUUAUUUAUUUUUAUUUAUUAUAUUGUUCAUUCUUUCAACUCUCUUAAUUAUCUUUUAUGAUUCCUUCCUCUCCAUUAUAUAUUAUUAUCAAAAUAAUAUAUAGUUGUUCUCUACUUUUACUUGCGUUGCAUUUCCUCCUUUUACAACAUGUUAUAAGCAUGAAUUGCCCUGAAGGUAAUUCUCAUAUCUUAAACUUGAAGUUAUUUAUAUAGAUUAAAAUUUUACAUAUUUAUAUUGCUAUUGUUAAAUUCAUUUAAUUUGUGUUAUAUAUUAUUAAAACCUAUAAGCAAAUUAUUUGAUUUUGAUUAUAAUCAAAAGUUAUACCAAUGCUAUUAAUUUAUAACUAAUUCUAGUAAUAUUGUUUUGUCAUAUAUCUGAAGUUAUUUAACAAUGUCAAAUCUCACAAAACUCGAAUUUGUGGUACUUGACAUUUCGGGAAAGAACUAUAUAUCUUGGAUCCUUAAUGCUGAAAUACAUCUUGAUGCAAUGAAUCUUGAAGCUACGAUUAAAGAAGGAAAUCAAGCAUCCUUGUAGGAUCACGCAAAAGCGUUGAUUUUCCUUCGCCAUCAUCUCUAUAAAGGUUUUAAAAAUGAGUAUCUUAUAGUAAAGGAUGCUUUUACUCUAUGGAGUAAUUUGAAGGAAAUGUAUGACCGCCAGAAAAUUGUGAUUAUCCCAAAAGCUUGAUAUGAUUGGAUGCACUUAAGGUUGUAGGAUUUUAAAACUAUUAGUGAAUAUAAUUUGCACUUUCAAAUUUAGCUCUCAAUUAAAGCUACGUGGAGAAAAAAAUCACAGAAGAAGACAUGUUAGAAAAAAUGUUGCUACAUUUCAUGCCUCGAAUGUGCUCUUACAACAGUAAUACCAAGAGCGUAGAUUUACAAAAUACUUUGAAUUAAUACACUACAAGGAAAAAUAUAUAUGGUGACAUUUAUAAUGAGUCACCCUAAACAUAGGGUGUUGCUACAACAUAGCGUCACCUUAUCCACUGACACCAUAGAAGGUACCAAUUGGUGACGUAUUUGGAAGUGACACCAAAGCAGAUAAAUGGUGACGCAUUCAAAAGCGACACCAUAUAUUUUUAGUGAUGCUUAAUUUGAUAUAGAGUUGUGUGAGAUAUAUAAGGUGUCAUAUUAAAUGCAUCAUCUUUAAGUUAUGAUGUCACGUUAAAUGCAUCACCUUUGAGUUAUGGUGUCACAUCAUUGUAAAUGAUUAUAGAAGAUAUGAUUGUUUUUUGUUGAUUAGCCUAUAGAAUUUUGUAAUGGUUAUUAAUAAAUAAGAUCAAAGUGUGUAAAUUUUGUCCAUAAAUAUAAUAAUCAUAUUACAUUUAGCUUAUAUUUUCAUAAUGCUUAUGGAUUAACUUGUAAUACAUUACAUCAUCCACCAAUAUUUGUAUAUCAAAUGUUCACAAAACAAUAGUACAUCAAACACAUCAAACCCACCAAAACUAAAAAAGAAAAGUGAAUACACAUUAAAACAUGAUUUAGAAAUGUUAAGCAUCCCAACAUUCAUGUAUACCUACAUUUCAUAUGCAUAAAAAUAGCUAACUAUAAAAUGACAUGAGUUGCAUCAAAAAACCCAAAAUUCUCAAUUCCAAAUAAAGUAACAUUUAUGUCAUAUAAUGUAUGACAUAAGAAUCACAUCUAAAAACCCAAAUCUUGUCACCUCUUUCUCUUUUCUUUUUAUUCUUCAUAUUGUCCUCCUAAGAGUGUAUAUCUGCAUUUUAUAGUUUAAUGAGUUUUAGAGUUCUUAUUGAAAAUAAAAAUGUGAUGUUAUAAAAAAUAAACAAAUCUAAGCACUAAUGUUUUCUUUUUUCUUUUUCCUAUUUUGAUAUAAAAAUAGUUCAUAAAGAAUAAUUAAUGCUAUAUAAUACCAAUGGAAAAUUUAUAUAACAAAUAAGGGACUCACCAUGCAUGAUCACGAUACAUGAACAUGAUUCAUGAUUAGUUAUAACACAAAAGUAAUACAUUCUCCUUUAAUUUCAUCAAAUUCUACUUGAGAAUGUGUUUUUUGUCAUCAAACUGAAAUCAAAUAAGAAUAACAUUAAUAUCACAAUAAUUGGAAGUAUGAAACCAUGUACAAUUCAUUAAAUGAGUAAAACCUUUAAUGCAAUAACUGUAGAAUCAACAAUUAUUUCUUUAAUGAAUCUCAUAACAAAGUAAUCACAUUUGAACUCAAAUAAAAACAAUUCAAUAAAUAUAAAAUAAAUCAAAAUUACAAAAUAAAAAUAUAAAUCUAAAAUUUUAGAAAAUACUAAUCUUCCACUUAAAAUCUACACUUUUUUAAAUUUAUUUUUUAUAAUUCAUUAUGCUUUUAAAAACCAUUUUUUACAUCUAAUUCUUUUUAUAUAUUUUUUAUUUCUUGGAAGGAUUUUCUUAAUUUCAAUAUUUUUUUAAUGUUUGUUUUGUGAAAUAACAUUGUCCAUUAAAUUUCAUCUCAAUUAUAUAAAAUAAAAUUUUAGUAACAAAAUAUAAAUUUUUUUUCAACUAUUAAUAUGAUAAAUAGGACAUGAUAUUAUAACAAGAAUGAAAAUUGUGUAUAUAAGAUAAAAAAAAAAAAAAAAAAAACCUAAUUCAUUAUUAAGAAAUGCUAAGAGAAAAAUUAGUAUGAGAAAGAAUUAAAGAACCUUUCAUAAAAAUUAUUGAUUUUUCAAUGCAUAAGUCCAAUUGAUAUUUUUUUUUUCUAAGUAAAAUAAUUAAUAAAAAAUUUGUAUAAGAAAAAAAUAUUCAAAUAAAAAUAAUAAUAAAAUAAAAACACCAAAGGAAAAAAUAUUCAAUAUUUUAAAUUUUUGACUUUUAAUAUUCUUUAGAUCAAUAAAUUGUCAAACAUCUUUUUCUGAAAAAAAAAAUGAAGAAAAUGAAGAGUUUUAUGGAAGGAAUUGGAAAAUUUUUUAUAAUUAAAGGAUUUUAUAGAAAUUUCGUAACCUUGAAAGGAAAAUUUCAUCACCAAUCUCAAAUUACUCCAAAGUUUGGUCAAUGCAUAUAAAGACAAUAAGAAAAUAAGGCAAAAAUAAAACAUAUUUUUAGAAUCCUUUUGCAGGAGAUGACAAUAUUGAGAAUAAUUUUCUCAAAAAUUAUUUUCCAAAUAUCACCAACCCAUUUCCUCAUCACAACAUACUAUAAUAUUCUUAGAAAAUAAACAAAUAGUUCAAUUAAAGGAAAUUUCAUAGAAAAUCAAAAGAAAAUUAUCAAACAUCUUCUUUAAAAAAAAAAGGAAGAGUUUUAUGGAAGGAAAUGAAAAAAUUAUGUAAUAAAAGGAUUUUAUAGAAAUUUUCUAACCUUGAAAGGAAAAUUUCAUCAUCAAUCUCAAAUUACUCUAAAUUUUGGUCAAUGAAUAUAAAAACAAUAAGAAAAGAAAGUAAAAACAAAAAACAAAAAACACAUUUUAAGAAUAUAAAAAAUAUGAAUAGAACAAGAUGAGAUAUUAACCAUAAUACCAUGUAAAAGAAUAGAAAAAAAAAACAAAAUAUAAGAUUUGAUCAUUUUUAUAAUUAUAAAAAUUUUCAUUCCUAUUUAAAGUUUUAAAAAACAAUUCAUUUACAUUGAUAAAUAAAAAAAAUUAAUUUCUCAUUGUUAAUUCCAACAUUCCAAACUGACUCUUAUAUGAUAUGGAAACUAUUUCAUUUUUCCUUUUGUGAGAGAUGACAAUAUUGAGAAUAAUUUUCUAAAAAAUUAUUUUUCAAAUAUCACCAAUCAAUAUCCUCAUCACAAUAUUCUAUAAUAUUCCUUGAAAACAAAUAGGAAGUCCCAUCAAAGGAAAUUUCCUGCAAGAUCAAAAGAAAAUUUCAUGUUGUAAAAUGUUUAUCUCUCAUUUUGAGUAUAAAAUAUAUUAAAAAAUUAUUCAUUUUUCUUAUUUUCAUUCAUUUUGGGAUUUAUGGGUUUAACAAUGAAACAUAAGAUAUGGUGGAAUGUUAAACCUAAUUUUUACUUUCCUACAACUCAAUAAAAAAACAUUAUUUACAUAAUCCAUAUUACAGAUAUACCAAAUCAAUGAAUAUAAAUCAAUUGUACUAAUAAAGAUUUUGAUAUUAAUAAAAAAUAUUAAAAUGAUAGAUCUAAGAGAUUUUGGGUGACCUGAGAGUCCAUGAAGCAAAGAAGAGCAGUUGUGUGUUAACUAUGAGUGUGAGAAGAGGUAGAAGAAAAUUUUGGCUAGGGUUAUGGAUGAGAUUUUUUUUGGAUUGUGGGUAUAUGGAAACAAUGACCUUUUUAUAUACUAUCAUUAUUCUCAAAGUGGGCCCAUUAAGUUAUAAUAUUUUUAACAAAUUAUUUUAUAUGGUGUCACUUUUCAAACAUUGACACUAUAAACCUAAAAUUAAUAUCAUCGAUCCUAAUUGAAUGUUUUUAUAUGAUGUGUCACCUUUGUAAAUUUUAAGUCAUAUGGUGUCAUUAUUUUAAAAGUGACACCAUAAAUAGUGGCACCAUAAAUUAUUUUUGUAGUAGUGAUAUCAUGUCUUCUUGUUGUUGAACAAAAUAAUGAGCUUUUGAUGAGAAAUCACUAGUCUCAUCCAAUUGGAUCUGAACCAUUCCCUGAAGUGAAUGCAAUAUCAUCCCAAACUCAUGGACAUGGGCAAGGACAAGGAAAUGGUUGUGGUCAUGGAAGGAAUCCCCGAUAUAAUGGUUAUUAUGGUAAUAAUUCCUCAAAUUCUCAUAAAAUGAAAGCUUCAUUGCACCACCAAAAGUGGAAUAAUACUGAGGCAAAACAAGAAAAUGGGAAGUGUUUACAAGAUAAACCUCCAAAGAACGAUGAGAAUAAUUGUUAUAAAUGUGGUAUGAAGGGUCAUUGGUCAUGUACCUAUCGUACACUCAAACAUUUGGUCAACCUUUACCAAGCAUCAAUAAAAGCAAAAGGAAAAGAGAUAGAGAUGAACUUUACCAAUGGUGAUGGAUUGGACCUAACCUACUAUGACAUUGAUUUCUUUGGAAGUCCUAGUGAAAAAAUAGACCAUUUAAUAAAUGAUGAGAAUGCUAACAUUGAUUGGUGUUACUUUAUAUAUCAAAUAAUAUAUUAUUAUGUCUUAUAUUUAUAUCUGAUUAUUACAUUUUCUUUUAUAUUAUUAUUUAUAUUAUGCCUUGUUUUUUUUAAUAUUAGUUGUAUCUAAAAUCCACGUGUUAUUUGGUCUCAAGAUGAAUGAGGAUGAUGUAUGUUUCGCAAAUUGUUAAACCACACACACAAUUCUUCGAGAUAAAAGAUAUUUCAUUGAAUUGACAUUGAUAAAAGCUAAUGUAAGUACCAUAUUUGGUACUACAAGCUUAGUUGAAGGCUCUGGAAGAUGACACAUAAUGCUACCAAAUAGAACUAGAUUUCAUAUAAAUGAUGCUUUAUAUUCUAGCAAAUCCAGAAGAAAUUCGCUCAGUUUUAAAGAUAUCCACAAAAAUGUACAUCAUAUUGAAACUAUGAAUGAAGAUAAUGUAAUUAUCUUUACAUUACUUCCAUUAUAUUUGGCCAGAAGCUUAUAAUAGAAAAACUCUCGACUUUCUCCUCUAGGUUGUAUCAUACAACUAUAAAGCCUAUUGAAUCAUAUUUUGUCGUGAACCAGAAGUUCAACGACCCAAAAGUUUUUGUCCUUUGGCAUGUGAGACUAGGUCACCUAGGGUUUUCAAUGAUGCGUCAAAUAAUCGAACACUCACAUGGGCAUCCAUUAAAGAACCAAAAAAGUCUUUUGCAUAAUGAAUACUCAUGUGCUACUUGCUCACAAGGUAAAUUGAUAGUCAAACCAUUUUUAACUAAAGUCAUAUCUGAGUCACUAGUCUUUUUAAAAAGAAUACAUGGGAACAUAUGUGAGCCUACCCAUCCACCAUGUGGACCAAUUUGUUAUUUUAUGAUCUUAAUAGAUACUUCUACUAGGUGGUCACAUGUUUGUCUCCUUUUUACACGUAAUGUUGCCUUUGCCGACUCCUUUCACAAAUGAUCAAAUUAUGAGCACAAUUCCAAGGUUAUCCAAUUAAGAUAAUACAUCUUGAUAAUGUCGGCGAAUUUACUUCUCAAACAUUCAUUGACUACUGUCUAUUGGUAGGAAUAAAUAUUGAGCAUCCUAUUGCUCAUACUCAUACCCAAAAUGGUCUAGCAGAAUCCUUCAUCAAAUGUCUCUAAUUAAGAGCUCGACCAUUACUAAUGAAAACCAAAUUAUCUACUUCUACUCGGGGACAUGUUAUUAUGCAUGCUGCAACUUUAGAUUGUAUUCGACCUACAACUUACCAUGAAUACUUCCCUCCACAACUCAUACUUGGAAAAUAACCAAAUAUCUCUCACUUAUGAAUAUUUGGUUGUGCAAUAUAUGUACCAAUUGCACCUACGCAAUGCACUAAAAUGGGUUCCCAAUGAAGACUUGGGAUUUAUUUAGGUUUUAAUUCUCCAUCUAUCAUAAGAUAUUGUUAGAAAAAUUAAGCUAAUCCAACCUAAGGUAAUCAUCCUAGAAAGAGGAGGAGAGGAUGAAUAGAGUGAUGAUUUUUUUUUUAAAUUUAAAUUAUAUGAAUACGAGAGACAAUUAUAUGCAAAUAUAUAAUAAAACAAUAUAAAGAUAGAUGCAUAUAAGGAUCCCAUCUUGAUCCUUAUACAAAUGAAUAUGAACUAGAAGUUCAAAUGAUCAUUUAUUUGCAAAAUCUUGCAAACUAAUUACCAGAUGCAUUCAUUGAUAUAAAGAAAGUGACAAAAUCACAUAGCUCGGCUACAAAUACUCCAACACGGAUUGAUGUCCCUGUAGGACAGUUAAAAAAUGAACCUAAGAUAUGCCUAAAGUGUGGUAGACUUGUUGGCUCAAAUGAUGUAACUCCUUGGAAGAGGAGAACAUAAGAAAAACUUGGCACUUUAGAAGAGGUCAUUAAAAUGACUGAUUAGUCUAAAAUUGAUAAAUCUAUAGCCCCAAAAGAGGCACAAAUAAUGCAAAAAGCCCAUGAAGAGGCACAUAUUAAACAAGAAGCCCUUGAAGAGGCACAUAUUGAACAAGAAACCCUUGAAAAGGCACAUGUACCUGAAAAUUGUGAAAUCUUAGUAAGUUAUGUACACAUGGGAAAAAAAUGGGAUCCAAAUAAUAUUGUUAUUAACAAUAUUUUUGCUUUUCAAGUGGCCCAUGAUAUCAUAAGAAAUUAUGAAGAUCUUGAACCACGAAAUAUGGAAGAAUGCCAACAUAGAAAUGAUUGGCCAAAAUGGAAAGAAGCUAUGCAAGCAAAGUUAAACUUAUUAACAAAACGAGAAGUUUUUGGACCUGUACUCCAAACACUUGAAGAUGCAAAGUUUGUUGGGUAAAAAGGGGUAUUUUUACCAAGAAACAUACUCUCCCGACAUGGACAUAAUCAUAUUUUGUUUCUUAAUUAGUUUGGUAGUCUCAAAAGGAUUAGAUAUGAUCCUCAUGGAUUUUAUUACAACAUAUUUAUAUAGAUCCAUAGAUAAUGAUAUAUACAUGAAAAUCCCUGAAGGAUUUAAACUGCCUCAAACAAAUAAUGCAAAGACUUGUAACAUGUACUCAAUCAAGUUAUAACGAUCCUUGUAUGGAUUAAAGUAAGUGGGACGCAUGUGGUAGAAUCGCCUUAGCAAAUACUUACUAAAGGAAGGGUAUGUGAAUAACCCUAUAUGUCCAUGCAUCUUCAUUAAGAAAUCAGAAACCAGAUUUGCAAUUAUUGUAGUGUAUGUUGAUGACUUAAAUCUCGUUGAAACUCCUGAAGAGCUCAUAAGAACAAAAAAUUACUUAAAAAAGGAAUUUGAGACGAAGAAUCUUGGAAAAACAAAAAUUUUUAUUGGUUUGCAAAUCGAGCAUUUUCCAAAUGGAGUUUUAUUCCAUCAAUCAACGUACAUUAAGAAAAUUUUGAAGUGUUUUUAUAUGGAUAAAGCGCAUCUUUUAACCUUUCCAAUAGUUGUCUAAUCACUUGAUAUGAAAAAAAAAAAAAACAUAUUUCAGCCUUGCAAAAAAUGUGAAGAAUUACUUGAUCCUAAAGUACCAUAUAUUAGUGCUUGGUGAACUUAUAUAUCUUGCCAAUUGUACAUGUCUAAACAUUGUUUUUUUUUGUCAAUUUAUCAACAAGAUAAAGUUCCACUCCAACUCAAAGACAUUGAAAUGAUAUCAAACAUAUAUUGCACUAUCUUUGUGGAACUACUGAUGUGGGUCUAUUUUACUCAAGGGAAUCAAGCAACAAUUGAUUGGAUAUGUAGAUGUAGGAUACCUUUCAGAUCCACAUAAAGGUAGGUCAUAAACAGGGUAUAUGUUUAAUUGCAACGGUACUACUAUUUCAUGGAGAUCUGUCAAACAAUCAAUGAUGUCAUAUUAUCAAAUCAUUCAAAAAUACUUGCAAUUCAUGAAGCAAGUCGUGAAUAUAUAUAACUAAGAUCUAUGAUCCAACAUAUUCGGGAACCAUAUGGACUCUCCUCUAUCAAAAGUGACUCGACAAUAUUAUUUGAAGAUAAUGUUGCAUGCAUUGCACAAAUAACAGGAGGUCAUAUUAAAAAAGAUAGAACUAAACACAUUUCAUCAAAAUUAUUUUAUACACAUGAACACCAGAAAAUUAGUGAAAUUAGUGUGCAACAAAUACGCUCAAUUGAUAAUUUAACAGAUUUAUUCACAAAGUCAUUUCCAACCUCAACAUUAAAGAUGUCAAUACACAAGAUUGGAAUACAUCAACAUGAUGGAGAGUUUGCUUGUAAAAGGGUGUUAGUGUAUUGUACUUUUUUUCCCUUUAUCCAGAUUUUGUCCCGUUGGGUUUUACUAGCAAGGUUUUUAAUGAGAAAGUCCUAACAUAUCAAGAGUAACUUAAAUAAUUAUCAUAAUAUUGUACUCUUUUUCCUUCACUAGGUUUUCCUAUAUGGUUUUUUACUAGCAAGGUUUUAAUGAGACAUAUUCUUCUAAUGUGGUUGACAUCCAAGAAAAGUGUUAUAAAUAAAGUAAUGAAUACCACCACAUUUAUUAUAUUAAAUAUUAAUUAAUAUUAUUUAUGAAUUCCAUUAAUAUUCAUUAAUGGAAGCCAUUUGGAAAGCCUAUAAAAUGGCUUCCCAUCCCCUGUAAGAUGUAUCCUAAGGAAAGAAAGAAAUUCUCUCGCUCUUAUUCUCUAUGUCUUUCAUUCUUUCAACUCUGUUAAUUCUCUUUUCUGAUUCUUUCAUUCCCAUUAUAUAUUAUUAUUAAAAUAAUAUAUAGUUGUUCUCUACUUUUAUUUACGUUGCAUUUAUCCUCGUUUUACAACACUUAUUUUUUUCUUUUCCUUAUUUUAUUUUAUUUUUUUCCCUUCUAGUUAUUAUAAUUAUUAUUUCAAAUUUUUUAUAAAUAUUAUAUAUAACUUAUAAUGCAAUAAUAAUAAUAAUAAAAUAAUUUUACAAAUAUUGUUUCAUUCAUGUAUUGAAGACAGUUUUCUUAUAUAAACUUUCAUAAAUUUUCAAUUGUUUUUUACAAUAUGAUUAUUAAGAAAAUAUUACAAUAAAAAAUUAGUAUUGAUAAUUAUGAAAAAUCAAAAUUAAAGCAUGUGUUAUCGUACUUUCAGUGUACUUAUAUUGUAAUUUCAAUGCAUAACUAUGACACAUACAUUUUGGAACAAACUUAAUAGUGUUAGAAGCGUUGUCUUAUCCUACUAUAUUGAUUUCUAUAUUAUUAAGGCAUCCCAAUGAAUUAGCAUCAUAUACUAGAUGCAUUCUUAUUAGCAAUAAUUCUUAUAAUGAAACUCAUACACCUUAUAAAAAAAAAUGUCUUAUAAGGUUAAUUUAUAGUAGAUGAAAUGUUAAAAAAUAUAUAAAAUAUAUGACAACCAUUCAUCAAUGCCUGUUUAAAAGGAAAAUUUUAAAAUACAGUUAGGUUUUGCAGUAAUGUAUAAGACAUUUAAAGUAUUCAUGUUGUAAGAUCAUUAUAUUUUUGUGGUACGUAUACGUUGGCUUUUAUAUUAAUACAUAAUAUCGGUGUACUAGCAUUAUACAUUUAAUGAAUCAUUAUUAUGCAUGAUUUUUAUAAUAAAGCCUAUAAGUUUUAAGAAUUAGAUGAAAGAAAGAUCAUAUUCUAAGAUUGGUUUAUAAUCAAUGACAUUAUGAAAAUAAAAAUAUGAAUAAUGAUACAUAUGAAAUAUUAAUAAUAUAAAACUAAUAUCAUAAAUAAUAAUAUUAAUAAUAUGUUAAUAAUGAUGAUAAUAAUAAAUAUAUAAUUAUAAUUUUUUUUAAUAAAUAGUAUAGUUAGUCUUAACAUAUAGUAAAUAAAGCACAAAAGGUAGAAAAGAAAAGUAGAAAAGUAAAGUUAUAUGGGAGUAGGAGGAAAAGACAAAAUGAUGUAAUUGGAAUUAUGAAAUGAUCAAAUUAUCAAACUAUAACUUGUGAAUUUGACAAGACUUUGAGACUUGGUGACCCUUAAGGGAGAGCUUAUCAUCACUUCGAGCUAGGUGACCAUUUUUAAAAAAAUUUCGAAAAUAAAGCCCAAGAAAAAUUUAUUUAUUAAGAAUAAUAACAAUUUUGUAGUUUUUUAAUACAAAUUAGAUAUUUAAUUUAUUAGAAUCAUUUUGAUGGUAAUGACAAACAAAACAACUCCUUAAAUAGGUGAAAUAAUUCAUUUUCUCAGUUUUACAUGCAAAAUUAUUUUAAAACAAAAGGGAUAAUACAUUAUUUUUGUUCAUCAAUCCACAUUUUGACUUUCAUUUUAAAAUCCAUCUAUAAAAAUCUCUCUUUAUAUAUAUCUGCCUAGAUUGCCUAACCAUCUAUUCAGUCAUUGUCUAUAACUUCUUGCCUGAUUAUCAAAUUAGAUGUUCAUAUUUGCAUAUAUUUAUUCAUUCCACCAUGUAUUUUGUUGGCUUAUUUGUAAUGUAUACAAUUUUGAUUAUUUGAAAACCGAAUUUCCCCUAACCCACUAAUAAAAAGCAAGUAAAAGUCCGACCAAGAGGGGUGUUCUUGGCCGGUGGCCUUCCUGAUAAGUCACCUUAGCCGUAGACUAGAUUUAGAUUUUGCAAUUAGUACCUUUCUUUUCCUUGUAGGAAUCACUAUCAUCUUGACCAAUCUAGCCAUGUACCAAAAAGUCAAUUUUGCAAAGUUUAAGAAGUUUGCUUUAACCCUGUUCAUCAUAGUUGACAGAAGUUAGAAUUACAAUGAAAUAUCUAGGAGAAAAUGUCCGCUGGAGCAGAGAGAGAGAGUGAAGGCAAUACAUUCAGUCAUGAAUUUGAUGCAAAUCCCAAAGUACGUAAUUGUGUCGAAUACUCUCACCAUGAUUGUCAAUCUAUCGGAUCAGACGAUUACUAUGUUUGCCAAAAAUGCCUGGGCCGUAUGUGGAAUAAAUCAAUUCCACAAGGAGGGGAAACUGCAAAAUUCCGUACAAGGUCACUGGAAAACAGGCUAAUGCAGCCAAGGUAAUAAGAAUCCAUGCCUUAUUUUCACCAAAGAGAAGAUAGAUUGCGCUACUGUAGGCUAUCAUCAUGAAUGUUACGGAGAGGAAUAGAGUAACAAGGCCAAAUAUCAACCUCCUGGGAAGGGCAAAAAUAAAAUCAUCUUCUGCAUAUCGUGCCGUGAGAAUGGAUAGGCAUAUCAGCACCGAAGCAAUGGAUAGGAAGAGGGAAAGAGCAUCCGCAGCUGCAAAAACUUUGAAGGCCUUUUCUUUGGAGAAAUUUGGUAUGCCAGUAUCAUCAUGGUUGCCACCCGGGAUGGUAAUUGCUGCUGCAAACACUACAGUAGCAAUAAGCGCUGCUGCCAAUGUGUAAAAUUUUGCUGUGCCUUUCAUCCAUUUCUCCCCUUCUUUUAUCAACUUUUUAUGUUCCUUUAUAAAUGCCAUUUUCGGUUUAUCUCCAUCUCUGUUCUCAGAUUCACUGAAGGCUCUCGGGGCAUAUUUUUCAAUUUCCUGUGUAAAAAUAAAAAAGUUUCUAAGAUACAGAAAAAGAGUGGAUAUGCAUAAGAAAAUUAAUUCCCCUUCAAAACAAAAAUUAUUACCUUAAACCAAUGUAACUCGCGUUGCAUUUGUAGAGCUGCACCAGAAACAAGACUGAGCCGGUGCGGAGGGGCCAAUUUUCCAGCCAAAUGCAAGAUAUUAUCGUUAUUUGUAUCAUCUCUGGUUCGUAUUAUAAGUUGUCUAUGCAUACCGGUUUCGCAGAUGAGGUUGAAAAUCUUUUCAUAACGAUUUAAUACUACCAAUUUGAAUACAUCCUCAUCCAGAUACUCGAGUGCAAAAGGAUAUGACUUUAUAAUCUCUUCCAGAAUCUCGGGAAUCCCAUAUUUUGCCCCAUUAAUGAAUGAUUGUCUAAAUAUUUCCUUUGCUCUUGACACUUUCAAAACUUCAGUACAUAGGUGGUUAAGCAAUUGAAGAGUCAGAGUAUGCAUUGUUUUUGUUUCUUGGAUAUGCUUGAUGGGUGGUGGCACUGCAAUUAAAAUUAUAUUAAGGACAACAUAACAUUGCAUUCAAGACUUUUGCAUGCUUUAGUGGUAGUUUUGUUGUGUCCCUUACCUAACCAUCCAACCGGUUCCCAGAAUAUUGCAUUUGCCUUUCGGCAAGCUGUGUGCAACGUAAAAUUGAAGCAGGUCAGAUGCAAAAGCAGGACUAACAGAAGAAAAAACAAAAAAGCAACCCUGAACCAAGUACCAAUUAAACACUAAUCUAAAUUAAAGUGAUCGUGAGAAGUUGCCAACUCAUAUUUCAUAUAUUUCCCUUAAACCGUCGCACUUGAAUUUAAAGCCUAAGAAUCAAGAAGCUCAAUUACUCGAUAUUCACAAAAUCUAUCAAAGCAAUGAAAAUUGUGUAUCUCUGAGUAGGGAAUUUGAUUGUAGAGCUGAUUUCAAAUCCAUUAAGGAAAAAAAAUGCAGACAAUUUUGUGAGGACAAAUUAAAAUUGUGAGGACCUCGAAUUCAACAAAUUAGCAUUUCUCUACCGGGUGCAAUUUGGCAAAUUGGUUUGACCUUACUCGAAUCUCGGUGAAGUUGAGAAACCAUUUUUAGUACUCAAGUUAGGAUUUGGUCGAGUUUCUCAACCAAAAGUUAAUUUUGGUUAAGCUCAAUUUUGGGCUGAGUUCAGACUAAUGCUUCAACAAUCUAAGCUGAAUUAAACUCCAUUAAUAUUUUAUAAUAUUUGUAGAAUGUAUUACUAUAUAAUAAUAUCAAAUUUUUUUAUAAAAUAAGUUUAAGGGAAAAAUCAUCAAAAUAUAUUAAGCUAACUCUCAGAAAUUUGCCUACCCCCUUGUGAAUACUAUUUGGAAAGAAAAUUAAUUAGGAAGCCUCUUAAGCAAGCCGAAAAGGUAUCUUGUCCUUUGUAGCCUAUGCAUCCAAAAGUACAGGGCCUAAUGAACAUGAGACCCAAGCAUGGUGCCUACUACUUCAUCACAUGUACGGAUGGUUAUAUCUACAAGUCCAAAGAAUUGCUUUGAUUUAUAUGUUAUAGGAAUAUUGUAAAAAAAUUGAAAAGAAAAAACUAUUACAGCAUUAAGGAUAAAUCAUGGACAUGAGUAUCCAUUGAAGAGUUUUAAAAAUCUCUAUGAUGAAAAGGAAAUCCAAAGAACAAUCAAUAUCUUCAAGGACUCCAUUGUAAAAUGGUUGAACUGAAAAAAGUAACCAUAAACUUUUGAUAUGGUUCACUCAAAAAGGCACAAGCCAACUAUCUAACAUCUUUUGGGGUGGGAAAGGAGGGUUACUAUUUUGAUUACAACUUAAAUCUUGAAUAGAGUGCCCUCAAAAUCAAUUACUUCAAAUCCAUAUAGUUAAGAAGCCAAACCUAACUCACUUGUGAUCCUAAGGGUUAGCAGGUUUAGUUCAUGUAAAUUCUCAUAGAUAUUGUGCUAUAAAGGAAACAAGUGCACUUUCAUUAGAUAUUCUAAUAAAUGAAAGGUUGCGUGAUGCUUAGUGAACAACUCAAUGGGAGUAUAAUUGAAAUUAAGUCAUAUGAAGUUAAUUUCUUAUAGGAUGAUAUUUUGAGUAAAGGAGCAUUGAACAGGAGUCUCAAUUUAUUUGAGGCAAUUAAACCAAAGGAAAAUACUAUGAUAUCUC
rnacentral:lncRNA from 1 species